rnacentral:lncRNA from 1 species
AAAAAACAAAAGUGUGUGAUCCUCUUUCUCGAGUCUUCACAUUUAGAGACACUGAACCCAAAUCAAAAUUAAUCCUUCAAAUUAAUUUUCACCUCCAAACAUAGCUAUCCGAAAAACCCUAACCUCUGCCUCCUCUUCCUCUUAUCCCGGAAACCUAAAUUCCGUGACCCUAACCCCUUCUCUUUCCGAAAACCCUCCGGAAUCGGAAAAUUCAUAAUUCUUCAGAAUUAAUUUUCACCUCGAAGCCAAACCCUAACUGCCUCAUCUUCCUCUCAUUCAUAUCCCAAAAGUAGCUUCAACAGUCAGGCCUGUAGCCAUGAAAGCCGUAGUGAUCACUACUUCCGGUGAUCCCCAAGUUCUCCAAGUGCAAGAAGUCGAAAACCCUGAAAUUGGAGAUGAUGAAGUUCUAAGUAGAGUGGACGCCGCUGCCAUUAACCGAACAGAUACGCUUCAGAGGAAGGGCUUGCACCCUUCCUCAAAGGCGGCAGUCCCUACCCGGGUCUCGAAUGUUCUGGAAUCAUCGAAGCUGUUGGAAAAGCCGUCGUUCGAUGGAAGGUUGGCGAUCAGGUAUUUCAAUUGCCUAAUAUUUUGAUUUCGUUUCUGUUCCUCUGUUUUUCUCGGCUAUCAAACACUAGGAACGUGUAAAUAAGGAGGUUAGUUGAUUGCGAAAACGGGAAUUUUUUGUUCGUGUCUGUGUUAAGGAGUCUUUGUUGAGAAUUUUGGGGAAAUUUAUGAUAAGUUUGUGAUUUUAUGAUUAAUUUUGUGUAUCAAUAUAGGUUAAAUUAUUGAGCUUAUUGGUUUUCAAAUUUAUGGUUGUAAGAAAAUUGGUCAGUGUAAGGUUAUGGGAUCAUUACCAAUUUGCUUACUGAAAAUUUUUCCAGAUAUUGUGGACCGGUUUGGUAGCAGAAAUAAGAACUGUGUUUUGUUUUUCAAAACGGAAAUGGAUGCAGAAAACAUGUUUUUCUUUCAGAACUUGUUUCCGAAAAUAUUUCCUGAAAAUGAAUUAUUUCAGAACUUGUUUUAAAAAAAUUCAAACACUUUAUCAAUUUAAAAGGUUCUGAAAUGGACAUGUUCAUGGUCUUCAUUUUUUAAAAUUAAAGCUUUUAUGAAAAAACCAUUUUCCCUUCUACUAAACAAACAGGCUCUAUAUUGUAACAGAUCGAUUGGCCAUUUCCUUUGUCAUGUUUUGUGAAUCAUGGCAACACUGGAAUCCACUCCAUUACCAUCUGUUAGUGAUUAGAAGACAAAGCACCAAUUUUAAUGAUAUCCUUUAUGUGAUUUUGCUUCCUCCUGAGUACAAGUUCAUAGUAUACAUGGUACAUGGUGAAUCUGUAUGACAGUUCAUGGUAUACAGGUGUGUGCUCUUCUUUCUGGUGGAGGGCAUGCUGAAAAAGUGGCUGUUCCAGCUGGGCAAGUUCUCCCUGUCCUAUCUGGUGUUUCUCUGAAGGAUGCUGCUGGAAUUCCUGAGGUUGCAUGUACUGUUUGGUCAACUGUUUUAAUGAUGAGCCGACUGUCUGCAGGAGAAACAUUCCUGGUGAAUUUUUUGUCUUUUUUAUUUUCUGAUGCCUGAUAUAUUUACCAGCACAAAUUUACCCUGUUGCUGUUUAAUGUGUGUGCAUCAAUAUUGGAUUAGGGAGGUAGAAGAGCCAUGGUUCUAAUUAAAUCAUUACAUCAUCAUAUUCUUAUUUAGAUACAUUGUAUCCCACAAUUUCAUUGCAUCCAAGGCUAUGUUGUUUUUUAUUGCACGGUUUGUGUCAUGGUAAUUUCUCAACCCUUCUCUGGAAAAUUAUGUUGGAUGGCUGCUAUUAAUUACCCCAAAAGAAGAAAUUUUAUGUUGAAGUAAGAUGAGUAGCACAAAGAGUUACUUGUGGUUGAUCCUAUCAUCAAAUGGGCGAUUGAUGCACAAUCCAAAUGGUAAAUUUUUUUCCCCCUUUAUCCAGAUGGAAUUUUUAUGCAUGGUUGAAUAGUGAAAUGAGGACUGAUAAUAUUUCAGGUUCAUGGGGGUUCAAUUGGAAUUGGUACCAUCUAUUCAAAUAGUGAAAUACUGAGGAGCAAGGGUAUUUGUUACAGCAGGUUUGCCAUCACUGUUCUACCUCAUCUCACAGAAUGCUUAUCUCAUGGCACCAAUUCCUUUUCUUCACAUGUUUUCAACCAUUUUUUCCACCCAGGAACGAGGAAAAAUUAGCUGUUUGUAAGGAUCAUUGAGCAGAUGUGUGCAUCAAUUACAAGACUGAAAACUUUGUUGCAUGGGUGAAGGAGGAAACAGGAGGGAAAGGUAUAAUCUAUUGUAUCUUAACGAUAAUUUCAAUUGAAGGUGGAAUUGCUUUUUAAUUUUUAGUGCACCAAAUCCACUAGUCUGGAAUGUUUGAAAAGAUAAAUAGUCAUCUUCCACUUGAUACCGAUUGUGAAGAUCUAACCCCAAAAAUGUUGAAUGACAGGUGUUGAUGUUAUACUGGAUAAUAUUGGAGGGGCCUACUUUUGGGGAGACAUCAAUGGUUUAAAUGUUGAUGGAAGGCUUUUUAUUAUUGGUUUUCAGGGUGGAACAGUGGUACAAGUAAAUCUUUCAGGUUUACUUGCAAGGCGCCUUACAGUGCAAGGUACCGCUUUCUCUGUAGUUUUGGAGUUGAAUCAAUUUGAUUAAUCUCAUCCAAGUUCAGAACUGAGGUGGAUUCUGGCAAGCCAAGGAAAAACCAAAUUACCAUAAAUUCUUUUUUUCUUGGAAAUCCUGUUUCUCAAUCUGGUCAGUAUAUGGAAAUUCCAAGGAAAAUAUGUUUUACAUUUUCCAUAAGGCUCAAUGGGUUUUAACUCCACUCAGCUACUUUAUGUCUUGUAUUUAAUAUUGCAAACCAAAAUAAUAAUACGUAGAGAUUGAGCUUGGAGGCCAAUCUAGCAAAUGUGGAGAUUAGAAAUAGUUUACCAUCUAGAUAGUCAAGCAUAGCAAUUUACCAAACCCUUACCAACCAUCCAUACUAACCAAUUGUGGUUAAAUGUUUACAAAAAUGUACAUUAAAUCAAAGAGAAAAAAGAUUAAAAACGAACAAGAGAGAAGAAGUACGUCACCUAAUUUUGGUAAUAAAUGAAAUUAAAAUAAAUUCAUAAAUUUUUUAAAUUAAAAUGAAUUUGAACUCUAGAGAUUUGUGUAGAUAUCUUAUUAAAAAACCAAAAAGUUUGUUGCAUAUAUAAUUUCAACAAUGCAUAAAUAAUUACAACAUACGCAAUACAAUAAUAUUACACAACUAUAUUUUCAAAUAUAGUAUAAGAUCAUUAAAGUGAUAAAUUGUAGUUGUAUAAAAUAUUUAUACAAGUAAAGAAGAAAUUAUGAGAUUGAAAUGCUUGUUGGAUUCUAAGUAAAAAGGAAAUGAGAUAUAGAGAUUGUCCCAUCAGACAUAGAAUUUCAUAUACAUAAUUUUCCCUUCAAGAAAAUUUAGGGUCAAAUUGAAAAAUUUUCAUUCAUAGAUUUUGGUAAAACCUCUAUCUAGUCCUCCAAAUCUUGUAUACAAAAGGAAAUAACAUUGGUAUGAGGGGUUUGAAUGCUUAAUUUUAGAUUGAAAAUGCUUGAGAUAAUUUUUGAUCGACUUCACAUGUGUUUUUGAUAAACUUGGAACAUUCAAACUUGUAUUUGAAGAAUCUUCAAAUCUUCAAUUUGAUCUUAAAUAAUGUUGAAACCUUCGAAAUUUGAAUAGAAGAAUCUUUAAGCAUUUGAAUUUUGGUUUAAAGAAUUUUGAAAUUUGAGAUUGAAGAAUCUUCAAAUUUGGGCCUGAAGAUCAAAGGCUAAGCUUGAAGAGUUCUUGAAGCUUGAGUGGUAUCUCCGAUUUUGUUUUGUAUUUCAUAAAAACUUUUAAGUAUACUAUAUUUAUAGGUUUGAAGAGACAUUGAGAUUUUGUAUACAUGUUUGGAGUUUUAAACCUUGAAAUAUUACUCUUUUAUGAAAUUAACAUUUAUAAAAUUUGGAAGAACAUAAUUAGAUAAUAUUCUAAGUUAUUUUUAAUGAAAAUUGAUAAUUACCUUUUAAUUAUCAAAUUCACUAUUUCUAUUUAUUUUUGUAAUAUAUAUUAAUUACUAAAAUCAUUUAUUUCCUUUAUUUAGUUUGAAAGCAAUUAUAUAUCUUUUGUUUGUGUAGAGCUCAUGUGACACGACAAAUUUUAUUUUGUAACUUGCUCUGGAUGAAUGGCCAUUAUAAACUUCAUUUUAUCCUCAUCUGAUUUUGAGGUGGGAAUAGGAGAGAUGAGGAUUUGACAUUUGGACCUAAGCCUCAGAGGGUUUUAACUCCACUCAACUACUUUAUGCCUUGUAUUUAAUAUUGCAAACCAAAAUAAUAACAGACAUGAUCCUUUUCAAAAUUUUUAUAAUAAUAGAAGUGUAAAUAAUAUAAGUAAAAAUAAUAUAAUAUUUUUUAAAAUGAUAAAAUAAUAGGUUAUAUAAAUUUUAAUAUAUAGGUAAAAUUAAUUAAAUUUUAACAAAUACCUUCACACUUAAACAUUACAUAUCUUUUAUUUAAUAAAAUGUUAAAAUAUUAAUAUAUUUAAAAUUGUAUAAUUAUUUUUUAUUUUAAUACUAUAUAAAUUAUAUAUUUAUGAUAUUACUGGUUCAACUAUAAUUCAAUCACUGAUCCAACCAUUGAACCAUGAAUUAGUAAAUUUUUUUAUUCAAUGAUAGGUUUGAUUCUAAAAAUAUUAUGACUAUGUUUGGUUCCAGAAAUUUUUUUUUGAUGGAUUACAUCAAUCUAGAUAAUGACAAAGAUAUUACCAAUUUGAUAUCACCAAUUGAUAACACAAUUAAAAAAUAAUAUGCAUUUUAACAUAUUUGAAUUCAUUGUACUCAUAUCCAUGACCUAAUUUUACACAUCCUUAAAUCAUGGUUGAUUUAUGAAACAAAUCUAUACCAUCAAUAGAAAAUAAAUAAAUAAAAUAAUACAAAAAAAUAUAUAGAUAGUCAAGCAUAGCAAUUUACCAAACCCUUAGCCACCAUCCAUACUAACCAAUUGUUGUUAAAUGUUUACAAAAAUAUACAUUAAAUCAAAGAGUAAAAAGAUUAAAAACGAACAAGAGAGAAGAAAUACAUCACCUAAUUUUUGUAAUAAAUGAAAUUAUAAUAAAUUCAUAAUUUUUUUAAAUUAAAAUAGAAAUUCAAAUACAUGUAACUAUUGUUUUUGUCUUGUAAAUCAUCCAAUUUUUCAAUGAAUUUAAACUCCACAUAUUUGUGUAGAUAUCUUAUUAAAAAAAACAAAAAGUUUUCACUAAAAUCAUAAAAUUUAGAUUAGAAAUGAUUUACUAUAUUAGUUCAAAAUUCAUCUCCACAAAAAUUGAAAUAAAUUAAUUAUCUUGAUCAAUUCAAAUAAAAUUUCUCCAAUUAAAUUUCCAAAUAUGUGCCUUAAUACCUAUAAUGGAAUUAGUAAUUUUAAUUAAAAAAUAAAUAAAAAUAAGGAUUUGAUCUUUUUCUUACCAUUUGAUGAAAAUUAUAAAAUAUACUAAAAUGACAAGUGAUCAGACAUUUGAAAUUUGCAUCAUUUCUACCAUUGCAAACACCACCAACUCCAUAUUUCCCAUUUUUCUACCUACUGCCAAUUCACUCAUCUCUCUGGGAAGAUUUUUGAGGUUAUCGCCAUGCUUGAGAUAAUCCAGAAAGUUGAGCGGCAUCACUCUCUGAAAGGUGCCUUACAGCAUGGGUAAUGUAUGGGAUACAUCUGAUAGCUUGCCAUAUCCAUAAACCACUAUAUUAAACCAUGGUUCAUAUCCCCAACGCCACACGAGAAUCUGUACUCAUCCCAAGCAGCUUGGAGAUCAUAAAAUUAGGUUUUGAGGGCCUCCCGAGACAUGCACAGCUUCACCUUUGUGCAUUCCUUUGAUUUGGAAAAUUUCUUCUGUAAAAUCCCCCAUUAUCAUGCCCUGAACCAAGACAAUUUCACAAUAUCCAAUAGCAUAUCAUUUACUUCCAUUUUGUCAAUGGGAAUUACCAUUUUGCAUGGGAAGCACCAACGGAGAUAGGGGUUUUCAAAUUGGAUCACUAGCAAAGAAACCCACCGCAACGAUCUGAAUAAUUGAGCACAACAUCCACUUUAGAGAACCCCUCCUGAAGGCGAAAUCGUCAUCUUGGCUAAACGUAGUCAUAGUUGGGUUGUGAGAAAUGGAGAUGAAUCACAGAAGGCUUUCAGUUUGAUAGCAACGAAAAGGUAAAUGUACUCUAGAGAAGUUUUGACCUUGGGAGAAGCGCUUUUGAAUCCAAGUCAAGGUCUGUUCUGGAUCCCUUUUCGACUCUCUCUAUUAAAGGAAGAUAAUCUGCCCAGGAUUUGGAUGCAAGCCUACAAGGCCAUGUUUAGGAGACUUAUGCAAAAUAUUUAUCCAUAGCUCCCCGCCUGAAACAUCUACAUAAAGCGUCUUCCAAGUGUGAACCAUCGUCUUGGGUCCUUGAGAUGAACAAAAACUGAGACAUGUCGUGAGUUAGAUGCAUUGCCUGAAAAUGCCGAGCAGUAGUAUGGCCUUCUUUCUGAUCAACUGUUUUGUCAAAUUCUAGAGCUCUCAUUCCAAAUCCAUCAGUUUUCUCAAAUGAUUGGCCAGUGGAGAUCCAUGGAUAUAACAUAUGAAAUGUGCACAAUAAAAGUAAUCAAACGGUUGGUUGGUUUGGCUGAAUCCCACAAUCGCAAAGACUUAUCAUAUGAAACUGUUACCAACUGAGUUGAAUUUGGCCUAAAAAGGAUAUCCGUUACUACAAACUAGCGUUCUUUCGUGGUGCUCUCUCUUUGCAGGCUAUCCAUGUUCCAAAGAAAAACUCUCUUGUCAUGUCUGGCACUGGGCACUGAUUAGAGUGUGGGACGUUCAUUCUCCAUUAUCACCAAACACAUGCAGGAUAUAUAUAUAUCAAUUCAUUCAAAAUAUGCCUUUAUUUUAUGGAACAUACCCGAAUCCAUUUUGUUUGUGUUGAAGAGGUAUAGAUCUUCUAAGGCUAUGGAGGGCACCACCUUUUCUCAGAAUUCUCUCUGACGAUGGGAAGCCGAAGAGAACGGGUUUUGUUUUUAUUUUGAAAACGUUGUUAUCCUUAAAGAACAAACACUAUUCUUUGGAUUUAUACCCUCCUACCUUAGGGACCAUACCGUUUGGCUACUGGGCCUCACGAGUCUUAGGCCCAUCAUCUAAGGCCCGUGAUGGCACUGGGCUCUACACAUAAGGUGGCCCAUACUCUAGAACGAAUAGAAAUCAUAUGUAUAUAUAUGGAUAGCUAAAUCCUGAAUAAUGGUUAAUAUGAUGUCGGUCCACAUUUAUUCUAUCAAUCUCCCACUUGGACCACAUAUAUUACAAAACAAUGUUCAUGAUAGUACUUUAUUGAGCUCAUCUUUGCUAUCCUAUCUUAAUAUCCUUAAACAAUCUGGUCUACUAGUUAUGCUAACAUAGGAUCAAAGUGGCCUUCAUUAAUCAUAAUUAUAACUAGACCCAUCAAUGAUCACAACAUUAACAAAAUUAGCAACAUAGAUCAAGUAUGGAUGUGUAGCAUGAAAAUUACAUAAAAUGUGAUCUUUAUUAUGUCUAUUUCCAAUUGGUCCUACUUUAUGACUAAAAAAUAGUCAAAUUCCACUUUCAACACUUGAUGCUAAACUGCUUCUGAAAGUCAUCAUUUCAAUUCAGAGAAUUCAAAUACAAUAGUCUUUAAAAUCAAGGUUUGUUGCGUACAUUAUUGGAAUGUUCAGCAAAUAUUUGAGUAACCCAAGUAUGGAUUACUGGAAAAAGGCAAAAUAGGUUAUGCGGUAUUUACAAAGAACUAAAGAUUAUAUGCUCACAUACCGUAGAUCCAGUCAUUUAGAGAUCAUGGGAUAUUCGGACUCCGAUUUCGCGGGAUGUCUUGACAACAAGAGAUCCACUUCAAGCUUCAUCUUCAUGUUGGCUAGAUGAACAGUUUCAUGGAAAAGUGUUAAACAAAUACUUAUUGCUUCUUUCACCAUGGAGGCAGAAUUCAUAGCCUACUACAAAGCAUCAAACCAUGGGAUAUGACUGCGGAAUUUUGUCACUCAGUUGCGAAUCGUUGAUGAGAUUGAGAAAUCAUUAAGAAUAAAUUGUGAUAAUAAAGCCAUAGAAUUGUAAUUCUAAGAACAACCGAAGUUCGUCAAAGUCCAAACACAUUGACAUCAAGUUCUUGGUUGUGAAAGAAAGAGUUUAGAGUCUUCAAGUAUCAAUUGAACAUACAAGCACAAACUCCAUGAUUGCGGAUCCGCUCACUAAGGGUUUGCCACCCAAAGUAUAUCAUGAGCAUGUCACACAUAUGGGUGUUGUACAUAUUGAUGAUGUUCCAGUAUAGUGGGAGUUUGUAUUUAGAUUUUGUGUUUGUUUUCUUGAUAUGAUGUUAUAUUGUGUUAUCGUGUACAAACUUGUGCAUACAUGAGACUUCCUAUUGUUGAGGCAUAGGGAAACCUCUUCAUAUCCUUCUUUUUAAGUUCAUUUUUCGGACAUUGGUGCAAACUAAAUUUAUCGCCUUUUGCUACAGGCAUGUCUCCUGGUGUACAAUUGCUCAUGCCAAAUCUACUCAACACCUUAUCGAUGUAGGCCUUUUGUGAUAACCCAAGUAUACCUCUUAAACGAUCCCUAUAGAUCUGUAUACCUAGCAAAAAAGAUGCAUUACCAAGAUCCUUCAUGUCAAAUUUACUAGACAAAAAUAGCUUAGUUUCAUGCAAAAGUCCCACAUCACUACUUGCAAGUAGAAUAUCAUCAACAUAUAGCACCAAGAUAAUGAAUUUGCUCCCACUAAACUUGAGAUAUAUGCAUUGAUCAAUGGUGUUUUCCUUAAAACCAAAUGAAGUAAUCACCUGAUUAAACUUUUGGUACCAUUGUCAAGAUGCUUGCUUUAAACCAUAUAUGGACCUUUUUAAUCUGCAUACAAGUUGCUUUAAAUCAUUAGACUCAAAGUUCUCCGGUUGCAUCAUGAAUAUUGUUUCAUCAAUGUUACCAUUAAGAAACGCAGUUUUAACGUCCAUUUGAUGCAACUCUAAAUCAUAAUGAGCCACAAGUGCCAUGAUGAUUCUAAAGGAGUCAUUUGACAAAACCGAUGAAAAAAUCUCCUUAUAAUCAAUGUCUUCCUUUUGAGUGAAACCUUUUGCGACUAGACGUGCCUUAUACCUAACAAUGUUGCCUUUUGAAUCCCACUUGGUCUUAAAAAUCCAUUUACAACCAAUCGAUUUUACACUUUCAGGCAACUUUACUAGGUCCCAAACACCAUUAUCUUUCAUUGAUUUCAUCUCAUCUUUUAUGGCUUCUAUCCACUUUUCAGAGUCAGAACUUUGUUUGACUUGACUAACUGAAAUUGGAUCAUCUUCCAAACCCAUGUCAAACUCUUGUUCCUGGAGAUGUACAACAUAAUCAUCUGAAAUUGUACUUCUCAUUUCUCUAGUGGAUCUCCUUAGUGGCACUUGUAUUUGAGGUUCUUGAGGCUGUUGAGUUACCUCUUCAUAAACUUGAACCGGUUCCAUAACUUGAGCAGGAGGAAUCUCAAGUGUGUUUUGAAUCUCUGUUAUUGAUUGUACAAUCUGGAUAGUGUCAUCAAACAUAAUAUGACCAUGUCCAGUCGUAAUAAUAGGAAUACUAACAGAUUCCUCUUCAAAUACCACAUUUCUUAACGGUUCUCUCCCAUUUAACUCAACAUCCUCAAUAAAUUUAGCUUUGCCCGUUUCAAAAAAGGAUCUAGUUGAGGGGUCAUAAAACUUGAAACCUCUCAACCUUUUAGAAUAUCCUACAAAGUAGCAGCUCACUAUUCUAGAGUCCAAUUUCUUUUCAUUUGGUUUUUAAGGCCUAUCUUCAGCUGGACAACCCUAGACAUGCAAGUGCCUAAUACUAGGUUUCUUGCUAGUUCAUAACUCAUAUGAGGUUUUGGCUACUGCUUUGCUUGAGACUCUAUUCAAAAUAUAAAUUGUUGUUUUGAUGGCUUCGCCCUAAAGUGAUUCUGGUAAGGUGGAAUGACUGAUCAUACUUCUUACCAUAUCCUUAAGAGUACGAUUUCGCCUAUCUGCUACACCAUUUUGGAUUGGAGUCCCCAGCAUGGUGUAUUGAGGAACGAUACCACACUCCAUCAAAUAUUUGGCGAACAGCCCUGGACGUUGUUCACUAGAUCCGUCAUAUCUACCAUAAUAUUCACCUCCACGGUCAGAUCUGACGACCUUUAUUUUCUUGCUUAGUUGGUUCUCAACUUUAGCUUUGAAAUUCUUGAACACAUCUAAUGAUUGAGACUUCUCAUGAAUCAAAUAAAGAUAGCCAUAGCGCGAGUAAUCGUCAAUGAAAGUGAUAAAAUAUUAUUGUCCAUUCCAAGAAGGGGUAGGAGAUGGACCACAAAUGUCCGUAUGUAUCAAUUCAAAGACGUCACUGCACUUGUUAACAUCAUUUUUUUUCUCAUAUUUGUUUGUUUACCCUUAAUAUACUCUAUACAGACUCGAAAGUAUAAGAAAUUAAGUGGAUCAAGAAUUCAUUCUGACACAAGCCUUUGAAUACGUUGAUUUGAAAUAUGACCCAAAUGCCUGUGCCAUAACAUCGAUGAAUUCUCAUUUGUUAAUUUCCGUUUAAUGUCAUAAUUACUUGAAUUCAAGGUUUCAUUUUCAUUAGUGGUCUUUAUGUUUAAUUUGUAUAAUUUGUCUGUUAGAUUACCUGUACCAAUAACAUUUGAAUUUAGAUAAAGACUAACCAUUCCAUUUCUAAAUGAACAAUAAUAUCCAAAGUACAUCCAGAGUCUAACUGUAAUCUAAAAAGACCAAUAGUCUUGACUGCAACCUUGUUGCCAUUUCCCGCAUAGAUGUAUCUUUCACCAUCAAUUGGCAUUCGGCUCCUUAGGCAACCCUACAUCGUGACACUUAUGUGAGUAGUUGCACCCGUAUCUAUCCACCAAGUGUCAGUAGGCACUACGACUAAAUUAAUUUAUGAACAAACAAAGUUGAGAAGUGUACCUUUCUUUUCACGCCAAGCAGCGUAUUUGGUACAUGUCUCUUCAUAUGACCAACCUUCUUGCAAAAGAAACAAGUCAUCUCCUUAUCUUGUUUCUUCUACACCUUUUGCAUUGAUGUCCCAAAAAUUGCAGUUUGUUUUUCUUUAUUGUCCCUUUUUCUUUUCUUGUUGGUACCAAAUCCCUGAGAUGUGGAAGCCAAGUGAGCACUUUCUAUCUUUUCUUGUUUCAAUCUCUCAUCCUUUUGUGCACAUUGAGCAAUAAGCUCAUUCAAAGUCCAUUUUUCUUUUUGUGUGUUGUAACUGAUUUGGAAUGGACUGAAUUGUGUAGGCAGAGAGAUCAAGACCAAGUGCACGAGUAUGUCUUCUGAAAACUCUAAUUUUAGUACCUUUAGUCUAGUCACAAGAUUAGACAUUUCCAUAAUAUACUCCCUUAUAUUCUCUUUCCCUUUGUACCGCAUAGAGACAAGCUUACUAAGAAUAGUGCUUGUCUCAACCUUUUCAUUUGUAGUGAAUCGGUUUGCUAUCUGGUCUAAGAAUGCCUUGGCUCGAGUUUUCUCAGGUAUUGCACUUCUUACAGCUUUUGGAAUUGAGUGCUUUGUUAUCAUUAGAGUCAUGCGAUUGGAUCGCUCCCAUUUUUCCAUAGUAGAACUUUGCUCAGCAGUGCUGGCACUAGUAAGAUCUGGAGGGCGAUCCUCUCUUAAUGCAUAGUCUAAAUCCAUGCACCCGAGCACAAUUAUAGCGUGUUUCUUCCAUUUCUUGAAGUUUGUGCCAUUAAGUGCAGGAAUGUUAUUAACAUUUGCAGAUAUAGAAUAUGUUGAAUUCAUAAUAAUAAAGCUCACAAUCAGUCACAUAAAUAUCAUACAUACAUGAAAAAUAACAUCAUACAAGAUACUUAGCACAAACAUUAAUAUUCUGUCUUUGGACAAUAAAUAUUAACUUGUAAUUGGUAUCCUUAUUCAAAAUUAUUCAUAAAUAUUGACAAUAAAACCAAAAACAAUAUGCUUGUCUUUAGACUAACAUAUCGAAUGCAAGAUAAACUUUAUAUGUCACAUAUUUAUGACUACUUUAUUUAUUAUUAUAUUAAAAUAAUCUUCCUUUGGGCCAAUUAUUUUAAAUAAUAAUAAUAACAUGUUUAGAUAUUAUAAAAUAAAUAAAUUAUAUAAUAUAAGUUACUUUGACAACUAACAUACAUAAUUCAUUUAUUUUAAAAUAUUAAACACAAACAUAACAAGAAAUAAUAAAUUCAAUUAAAAUUAUUUAUUUAUUUAUGCAUAAACCCAUGUAUAUAUAUAUAUAUAUAUAUUAAUUGAAGCAUAAAAAACCAUCUACAUGUGUAUAUAUAUCAAUUGAAGCAUAUAUACAAGCUUUAGUCUAAUGGUUUAAGCAAAAAAUAGGCCAUGGUAAAGGGUUUAAGCCAACCCGCCCCUUUAGUUUGGUUUUUGUUUUUUUUUUUUUGUUUUAAUUUCUUUUGGGCUACUGACCAUGCAUUCUCUCAUGGCCCAACGACCACUUAUGGUCACUUACAAGCCAAGCCCCUUCCAUAUAUAUAUAUAUAUAUAUAUGUUUUUAUUUAUUUAUUUAAAUUUUGUCCAUUGCAGCCCAAAGCGACCAUCCCUUGUAAUGGCAUCAUCAACGGUGCCAGAGCUGUCCUCGAACGACACCGAUAGUGAAACGCUGCCACCAUCACCGGAACGGUGAUUUCCCAUCGCCAAACGACGGUGUCACUACCGGAAUGAUGCUGUAACAGCAUCGCUGGGAAGCAACCUAACUUGUGGCGUGACACCAUGACAAGCAAUGCCACUAGCAGUGAAACGCUGUCGCCAUCACCGAAACGGUGAUUUUCCAUUGCCAAACAAUGGCGCCACCACCGGAACAACGUUGAAACAACAUCACUGGGAAGCAGCCCUACCCGUGGCACCAAAAUGGCGCUUGGAUGGCAUUUGGAACACUUGCAACAACGUUCAAAUCAGCGCUUCUCACUGGCAAAUGACGCUUGAACGACAUCUGGAAAUAAUGCCUACAACGCCUAAAAAUUGUGCUAUUUUGAACUCUUAAAACAACGUUGAAAUGACGUCUACCAAAGUCUGGAAUUGCACCGCUGUCUAGAACGAUGCCAUGAUGGUGUCUCACUCGCCUUAAAUGGCACCAACCACCAUGACUUGCAACCUAAAAAAUGGCACUUGAACAGCGCCUGAAGCGUGCCUGGAACGACGCUACAAACGAUGCCUGAAAUGGUGCCUUUUGUAUGCCUGAAAACGACAUAGGAAUGACGCUUAAACUACGUCCAUUUUGAACGCCUGAACGGUGUCCUAACGGCGCCUGAAACGAUGCCUGAAUGACGCCUGGAAUUGGCCCAGAUUUAUUUUAUGUUGUUUCCUUCCUCUUGGAUCUUUUGUUUGUGUUUUAAAAAAAAAAAUGUUUUGGUGAAAAUGGGAAAUGCAACCAGGCUCUGAUACCAUUUUGUGGGACGUUCAUUCUCCAUUAUCAUCGAACACAUGCAAGAUAUAUUUAUAUAUAUCUAUCAAUUCAUUCAAAAUAUGCCUUCAUUUUAUGGAACAUACCCGAAUCCAUUUUGUUUGUGUUGAAGAGGUACAGAUCUUCUAAGGCUAUGGGGGGUACCACCUUUUCUUAGAAUUCUCUAUGACGAUGGGAAGCCAGAGAGAACAAGUUCUAUUUUUAUUUUGAAAACGUUGUUAUCCUUAAAGAACAAACACUAUUAUUUGGAUUUAUACUCUCCUACCUUAGGGACCAUACCCUUUGGCUAUUGGGCCUCACGAGUCUUAGGCCCAUCAUCUAAGGCUCGUUAUAGCACUAGGCUCUACACAUAAGGUGGCCCAUACUCUGGAAAGAAUAGAAAUCAUAUGUAUAUAUAUGGAUAGCUAAAUCAUGAACAAUGGUUAAUAUGAUGUCGGUUCACAUUUAUUAUAUCAUAGAGACUUCCCAUAUGAAGAAAAUCGACAGCAGGUAGCUUUGCCAUUCUUAGUCUGUAUACAACCAACCUUAGCAAGGAUUGAACCCUUUUAUGCUUAGUUGUGCCAUAAAGAUCCUUACCACUGCCUAUAACAUGUAAUCAAAAUGAUUCGAUAAUAUCAUCUAGUGAACCAAUACCUCCAAAUGAGAGACCAUUGCCUUGGUAACUAGGGCUCAUGACUGAGAAUUGCUUGAACCCCUUUGCUUGGGUUGGAGCUUGACUGAUGCACAAAAUAUUCAUAGGCCUCUUCCCAUAACUGGCACCUUGUGUUUGCAACAUAAUUGAACAUGUAUUGAAGUGAGUUUUUUUGCAUCUUUUUGUAAGAAAAUUCUAAACAACAGAGAUUGCUUAGUGUGCCCGGCUCCUCGGGGAAUCAAGGUUCAUUCCUGUAGGGCCAAUUUUUUCACAGUCGAACUAGAUAACAUGGAGAGUAUGUUGCAAUGCUUCAACGGGGUAUUUCUUAGGAAAAUCCACCUGAAGCUAGUACAAUUCGUUGGCGUACUGAGUUCCUGGAGCUCUAUUGACUUCAAUCACCCAUCUUUGUAGAUUAUCGGUGACUUAUGCUCGGAUCCUGUAGGAGGAUUGACCUGACAUUCCACUAGCUCUUUCUGGAAGGCGAUCUUGUUUAACACCUUGUGAGAAGAGGCAAGGGAACUGGUCAUUGUUUCUUCGAGAAGAUCAGUGGCCGAGGAUGGGUUUGGAUCAGAAUUGCUAUAUGGGUUUUCUUUGGGUGAACCAAUUAGUGAAGUGGGUGGCUAUAUAGCAACUGAAGGGUAGUCAUACUAACGAGGAACUAUUAUUUCAUGCAUGUGGAGAGGAAAUGAGUAGAUUCUUCAGGGAUAUAUGAUUAUUCAUCUCUAGCUUACGUUGAAUAUCUCCUAACAAAUUUAUGCUUUGAAGCUCCCUUAGUUUCAUUACAGCUAACUUGGCCAACUUGGUUUCAUCAUGUUUCCUACAACCUCUAAGCAAAGCACGCCAGAUCACCAAAUCAGGUUCUAUUCGCAUUUUGUCCAUAAACUCCUUUGCCUAUUGACAAUAGACUGCCCCUCAAAAUUUGAUGAGAUAACAUCAACGCUGACAGGUUGGCCAUCCCCAUAAGCAUCUUUAUAGAGAUUGAUUCUAUGUUUAGAUAUUUCUCUCUCCUCAAGUGAGUUCAAUUUUUUUGUAACAUCCUUCUCCUUCUCUACUAAUAGUCUUAGCUGAACAUCCAACCUAUGUUCCUAAAGUGCCAGCAUCUCAUAUCUGAUGACAAGCCAACAACCUUGCCCUUGCUGAGACCAAUGUUUUUAAGGCGUUUGUGGGGCGCGCCUUGAGGCGAGGCGCAGCGAAAACGUGUUGAGGCGUUAAAAAUAAAAUGAAACACCUGAAAGGCGUACGCUUUUCCGAUGAGGCGUGAUUGAGGCGUGCUUUGAUCGCGCCUUUCACACUCCAAGAAGAAGGUGUAUGCUUCCUCGGAUCUGAUGUGGCAAUGAACAGAGAUUUAAAAAAAAACCCUAAGUAAUCCCUAAAACCCUAGUCCCGACUGAAAACAAACCCAAAACGAAACCCUACCUCCAACGACUCAAGUGGCGACGGAGUGCUCACCCUCGGCUGCGACCAAUCGCAAUGCAUCUUCUCCGGCGACGAUCCCUCUCAUUCAUCUCCAGGUAUGUUGCGAACUCCUUCUUCCAUGGUUUCUCCCUCUUCGUUUCUCUUUCUGCAAUCCACACGGGCUUCGUCGACUCUUCAUCCAAAUUUUUUUUUUAUCAAAUCAGUUAUGUAUAUCUAUUUAAAUUUUAAACCCUUUUUUCUCUCUCUUACAGUAUAUCUAUUUAAAUUCUUUCUCGGCAAUCCACAGCCCACACUUCCAGUCCACACUUUUCUCUCUCUCCCAAUAGGCUUUUCAUUUUCCUUUUUUUUUUUUUUUUUUUUUUAAAUUAUCAAAUCAAAUGUGCCUUUUGUUAAUAAGAUUUUUUUUGAAGUUUUUUAUAUGUUUGCUUAUAGUAUCAACAAAAAAAUAUAAUUAAAAUUAUAUAAAAGACAAUUAUUUGUGAAUUUUGAAUUUUUUAUUUCUGGUUUAAUUUUAAUUUUCACCUCAAUUUUCUUUAUUUCAUUAUUAAAUUCCAAUUAAAAUUUAUGUGUAUAAUUUUUAAACUCUUUUAAAAAAAAUUGGUUUUUUUUUAAUUUAAACCAAUUAAAUUUUGUAUUUCAUUUUUAAAUUUCUUUCAAUUGUGCUUUGUUAUUAUUUUUUUAGUCAAUUAUAUUGUUAUAUGGAAAUUUGAAUAUUAUUAUUGGUGAUUUUUUUUAGAAUGAGUUCCUCUGAUUCAAAAAAUUCAAGAAAGGAUUUUGUGUGGAAGUAUGUGAUGGAAGUUUCUAGAGAGCAAUAUUUAAUAUGUAAAUUUUGCAAUCAAAGAUGUACGGGAAGGGUGAAUAGACUAAAACAUCACUUAGCCGGAACUCAUCAUGGUAUGAAACCAUGCAACAAAGUUAGUGAAGAUGCUAGAUUGGAAUGUAAAGAGGUAUUGGCUAAUUUUAAGGAUCAAAAAACGAAGAGAAAUGAAUUGCUCCAAGAAAUUGGUAUGGGUCCAACUUCAAUGCAUGAAAGUGCCUUGUCUAAAAUAAUAGGGACAUUAGGGAGUGGGAGUGGGAGUGUAAGUGGGAGUGGGGAACCUAUUCCUAGGGGACCCAUGGAUAAAUUUACCACUUCACAACCUAGACAAAGUACUUUGAAUUCAUAGUGGAAGCAAGAAGAAAGGAAGGAAGUGUGUAGAAAAAUUGGUAGGUUUAUGUAUUCAAAAGGUCUCCCAUUCAACACUGUGAAUGAUCCUUAUUGGUUUCCUAUGAUAGAUGUUGUUGCAAACUUUGGGCCCGGGUUUAAGCCUCCAUCUAUGCAUGAAUUGAGGACAUGGAUUCUUAAAGAAGAGGUGAAUGACCUAAGUAUCAUUAUGGAAGAUCACAAAAAAGCUUGGAAACAAUAUGGAUGUUUAAUUAUGUCAGAUGGUUGGACAGAUGGAAAAAGUAGGUGUCUUAUCAAUUUUUUGGUGAAUAGUCCUGCUGGAACUUGGUUUAUGAAAUCAAUUGAUGCUUCUGAUACAAUAAAAAAUGGGGAAUUGAUGUUCAAAUAUCUUGAUGAGGUGGUUGAAGAAAUUGGAGAGGAGAAUGUUGUGCAAGUCAUCACUGAUAAUGCCUCUAAUUAUGUGAAUGCUGGAAUGAGGCUUAUGGAAAAAAAGAGUAGAUUGUGGUGGACUCCUUGUGCUGCUCAUUGCAUUGAUUUGAUGUUAGAGGAUAUUGGAAAGCUAAAUGUUCAUGCUACUACACUUUCUCGAGCUAGGCAAGUUGUGAAGUUUAUAUAUGGGCAUACUUGGGUUCUUAGCUUGAUGAGAACAUUUACAAAAAAUCAUGAACUUAUUCGUCCAGCAAUUACACGGUUUGCUACUGCAUUUCUUACUCUCCAAAGUCUUUAUAAGCAAAAGCAAGCUCUUAUAGCAAUGUUCUCCUCAGAAAAAUGGUGUUCAAGCACAUGGGCUAAAAAGGUAGAAGGUGUGAAAACUCGAAGUACAGUGUUGUUUGAUCCAAAUUUUUGGCUUCAUGUUGCUUUUUGCAUAAAGACCACUGUUCCAUUAGUUAGUGUCUUGAGAGAGGUUGAUUCAGAGGAAAGACCAGCCAUGUGUUAUAUUUAUGAGUUGAUGGAUUUAGUUAAGAAGAAGAUUGCAUUUAAUUGUCGGGGCAUGGAGAGAAAAUAUGACCCAAUUUGGAGAAAAAUUGAUGCAAGAUGGACUCCGCAACUUCAUCGACCUUUACAUGCAGCAGACUAUUAUCUUAAUCCUCAAUUGCGGUAUGGAGAUAAGUUCUCUAAUGUUGAUGAGGUGAGGAAGGGAUUAUUUGAAUGCAUGGAUAGAAUGUUGGAUUAUCAAGAACGUUUAAAAGCUGACAUUCAGUUGGACUCAUAUGACCAAGCAAUGGGUGAAUUUGGGAGUCGUAUUGCAAUUGAUUCUCGAACAUUAAGAAGUCCUACAAGUUGGUGGAUGCGUUUUGGGGGUUCAACACCGGAGUUGCAAAAGUUUGCUAUUCGAGUCCUUAGCCUUACUUGUAGUGCUUCGGGAUGUGAAAGAAAUUGGAGCACAUUUGAAUCGGUAAUACUUCUAUUUUUGUAAAUUUUUAUACAUAUAUUUCUAUUUCAAUGUUAGAGAACUUUAUUUCAUUUUAACACAUAAAAUUGUUUCUUUUAUUAUUUGUAGAUCCAUACAAAAAAAAGAAAUAGACUUGAACAUCAAAAGUUGAAUGCUCUAGUGUAUGUAAGGUACAACACUAGAUUGAGAGAGUGAAGUCUACAAAGGAAACAAAAUGUUGAUCCAACCUUGGUAGAGGAGAUUGAUUCUGAUGAUGAAUGGAUUGCGGAGAAAGAAGAUCUCCUCCUCCCCCUUGAUCUUUGUUGGCUUCAAGAUAAUGAAUUAUUCAAUGUUGAUGCCAUUAGAGUUGUGUCAUCCAACUCCCAAGAGACGCAAGCAUCAUCGGAUCAUAUGGUUUCUUCACAUUCCUACAAAAGGAAACAUAAUGAAGUACCAAGUAAGUACUCAAAAAUUGAAAUCAUAAAUUUGAUUAAAUUUAAUAAAAAAAACUUUUAAUAUUUAAACAUAAUUAAUACUUUAUGCUAGGUACAAGUGGAGGCAAAGGCAAAGAGAAGGAAUUGAAUUUGACACCAAUUGAUGAAGAUGAAGAUUUAGAUGAAAUGGGGAUACAUGAUAGUGGACAUUUUCCUACUAUUGAUACAUUGGAUGAGGAUGAUGAUGACCUUGGAGAGGAGGAUUUAAGUUGAAACAAUUUACUCUAGUUGUUAUUUCAUGACUUAGUUAUGGAUUUUUUGUAAAAGUUUAGAACUAUUAUUAUGGUUGACUCUAUUUUCUAUUUCAUGACUUAGUUAUGGCUUUUUGUUAAAGUUUGAAACUAUUAGUAUAGUUGAAUCUAUAAUCUAUUUUAUGAAUUUGUUAUGGUUUUUUGUGAAAGUAAGGAACUAGUAUGUUUUUUUUUAUGAUUCUAAUGAAUUGUUUUCAUGUUUUUAUUUAUGCUAUUUUAUUUUAUAUAUUUUAAAAUAUUAAUUAAUUAUAUAAUGUGAGGCUCAAAAAGCUUACGCCUCAAUGCCUCGAGGCUUACGCCUCGCCUCACGAACACAAAAACGCCUCGCCUUACGCUUUCGCCUUUAAAAACUUUGGCUGAGACCCAAAUAAGUAUCCAGAACCAUCAUCAUCAACCCUUUCACAAGCCUUUGUAUUUGAAGGUCAGAUUGGGAUUGCUUUGAAUGCACUGACACUGACACUGCAAUACACAAUUGUUUCUUCUCCAAUAAAAACACCACAAAGAGGUGAGGGGACUGGUAUUAGCAAAGAAGUGUUGUUAUCUAUAUUGUUCUGAGCCCGAGUACCAAAAACAAAAUCCUCAUCCUCAUCUAUACUCUUCCAUUACAUCCCUAGGCUUUUCAAUGUGAUCCACAUGGCUUACAGGAAUCCAGAAAUAUCGGUCUGUAUAAAAGUUGCUCUUAUGUGGCUCUCCUAGAAAACAUCCCAAUCAAGAUGAUCAACCUAGCUUAGAUGCUCAACACCCCAAACUUACGAGAAAUAGAGGAAUAAAAAGCAAGGAUAGGAGCCAAAGUAAAAACUGAGGGAAGAGCAAAUAGGAAAUCAAGCAAAACAUGAAUGUACAGAGCCUCAUUUCAGGUGACAUCUUUGGGCUAAUAAUAGGUGGAAUUAACAAAGUAGAUAAGCAUGAUUGUUAUAAAUAUCAAGUUCAAGGAUGAAGUCGUGCAUCAGCUACUUAUAGGGGGAGUCAAGGAAACCAAGAUAAGAUCAAAGAGAGCAUGUAUGCAAAUAAACAGAUUUGACAAAAUAGACCAAACAGCUUGUGAAUAUCCUCCUACAAAAAACUACUACACGUGGCAAAAAGUGAUGAAGCAAAAAGAGUCGGGUCCGCAUAUACAUAUCCUAUGCUAUCCUAUUCCUUCAAAUCCAAAGCAACCUGUAUUUUCAAUGGGAUUUGUUGUGAUGAAUUUUACUGGAUUGUAACAUGUAAAUAUGUUAAAAAAGGCUUGGGACAUUCCUAUAUAGUAACGCAUAAAGGUACUUCCAUUGUGAAGUUGUCAAAAUUGCAAAUUUAAAUUACAAAAUUUGAAAACAUAGAGAUGAAAGAUGAUGAAACCUUCUUUGAAAUUUUAUAUUGAACUCAUUAAUAUUAUUAAUUUUCAUUUCAGUCUAAGGGAAAGAAUUCUUUACUCUAAAGUGGUCACAAAAAUAUUAAAAUUCCUUGUCGAGAGAUUUAGAUCUAAAGUGAUCAAUAUAGAAGAAAGUAAAAAUAUUCUAAGUGUAGGUAAACUUGUAGACUCAAAUGACUCUACCUUCUCAUAAAAAAUCCUCAAUUUUAUAAAUUAUAUAGAUUUCUUCAUUUGAUACAAAAUUUGAAUAAAGAUUUUUCAAAUGACAACACAAGGAAAGGGAAAAAAAAAAUCUAUCCAGAUCAUAUUAUUUAAUCACUUAAAUUAUUUAAAAAUAAAAAUGUUUACUGCUAACAUUAUUUAGGUUCAUCUUUCUUUUGAUGGAGGUUAAAAUUCAUAAUUUUGAGGAAAAAGAUGAGGAUUCUCAUUUUUUUUUUCCAUGUAUGAAUGGGAUUCUCAUUGUGUAUAUGUGGGUUACUAAAUGGCAAAUUUGGGGGCCAAUAUGAGGGAAAAAAUGAAGUUGAGUUUGUCACCAAGAAUAGACAUGGUUCCUACAAAGGUGGCAUCUUUAAUUUCAUGUUUGGAUUGGACUUGUCAUGUAACAACUUAACAAGUGAAAUCCCUCAUGAACUUGGAAUGUUAAGUUUGAUUCAUGCAUUGAACUUGUCUCGUAAUCAACUAAAAGGCUCCAUUUCAAAGAGUUUUUGCAAUCUUUCUCAAAUAGAGAGCUUAGACCUUUUUAAUAAUAAACUAAGUGGAAAAAUUCCUCCAAAAUUGGUUAGACUAAACUUUUUAGCAGUGUUCAAUGUUAGCAUAUUCGGAAGAGUUUUAGAUAUGAAUGCAUAAUUUGCAAAAUUUGAUGAAAGUAACUAUGAAGCUAAUCCUUUCCUUUGUGGACCACCAUUAAACAGAAAAUGUAGCAUAAAUGUUGUUGAACCACCUUACCAACCAUUAGAGUCUUCAGAAGAAAGUGAUGCAAAAUGGUAUAAUAUCAAUCUUGUUAUUUUCUUUGCAAAUUUUACUACAUCAUAUAUCAUGAUAUUAUUAGGAAUUUCAACCAUUCUUUACAUUAACCCUUAUUGGUGUCAAAUAUGGUUCAAUUUUAUCGAGAAAUAUAUAUACUUUUGCUAUUAUUUUGUUUCCUAUACUCUUUCCAAGUUAUUAACAUAUUUUGAAUAAUUAGAGAUUUUUGUUUUCAAUAAUAUUUACAUAAUUAACUACUAUUGGUUUCCAUGACAUGGAAAGAAAUGCGGUGAAGGCAACAACCACUUUUUUUUCUCCUCUACUAGUGCAUGAUUGAUAUGAGUUAAAACUUGCACCCUUAUCUUUACUUAAAUUUUCUCAGCUUUUGUUUCAAUUCUUAAUUAUCAUUUCUUUUAUGUAUUGUUUAAUACAAUAUCCUAAACACAUUGCUUUGAAGGUUACUUAUUUAUUAAGCAUGAUAUUUAUUUUCAUAAAGACAAAUUCAAGUUUUUUAGGAAUUUUUAGAAUUAUUAUAAUUUGGAGUUCACAUUAGAGGAAAAAAAGGAAAGAAAAGAAUAGAUAAUUAAAAAAACAAUUUUAGUAAGUAUAAUUUGUCAUCUUCGGUAUAACAAAUGGGAAUUCCAAAAUAAUAUUUCAAUUUGUUAGUCUAUUCCUUAUAAUAUUAAUUGAAAUAUCAAAUAAGGAGUCACGUUUUGAUUUUUUUAUUAGCUUGAAUUGCAUGUCACAUAUAUUUUAAAAUCAAGCAUACCUCAGCAGGGAAGUUCUUGUAACAUGCAUGAACAUGAUAUGAUGAAUUAAAUAAUUUUCUUAAUUGUGUGAGACACAAACCCUCUUUGUUUAAUAAUAAUAAUAAUAAUAAUAAUAUACUACACAUUAUUAAAUCAUAUAUGUAUAUUUAUAGUCGUAUAAUAUAUUUAUAUAAGUAACAAUAAAUUAUAUUGUAUAAGGUAUCGGUAGGAGUUUUCAAUUCCCUCAUAUAAUAAUAUCUAUCAAUAAUUGGAUUGGACACCUUGCUGGCCAUGAGAAUGGACUUGACAUUAACACAUAGCCUUGAGUGGUGUUGAUAUUAUUACUUUGAACCAGAACUGCAGUCAUCUCAAAAACUAUAUUAUAUAGAAAAGCAAAAUAAAAACAUUAGUUAAAAAAAAUGUCAAGAUCCUUGAAAUCACGUUUCAAUAUGUUAAAUUACCAUUUUUUUAAAUAAAUUUUUGAUAGGUUGUGUGAAUAAAUAUAAUUGCUAUGAAGGGUUUCAAUUUAAUUUUACUAGCAAAUCCAUAAUAGGUGAAAAGACAAAACUACCAUUUUUGUUUUUUUUCUUUAUUUACCUUUUUUCUCUCGUAACCUUACUCCUUUCUCCUUUUUGUUUUUUCCUUUUUUAUUAUUAAUUUGUCUUUUUCCUUUUUCUCAACUAACUAUUUUUUUUCUUGUAAUUGUUAUUAUCAUUCUUAUUAUAAAUAUUAUAACCUUAUAUUAUAAAUUUUUAGUUUAGAUUAUAUUUAAACUAACUAAUGUUGUGGUUUUAAUUGACAUGGAAAAGAAUGUGGUUAUACAUGUGAUUGUCGCCUUUUUUUUUUUCAAUUAGUUAACUAUUGAUACAAGUUAAAAGUAAAAAUUGCAAUAUUAUCUUUACGUCAAUUUCACCGAUCUUUUGUUUUUAUUUUCAUGUAUCAUUCCUUUUUUGGUUAUUUAAUUAAAAGGAUUAAAAAAAAAUCACAUAUUCACAAUAAUAACCUUCAUAUUUUAAAAACAUAAAAUAAACAUUUUUUUUUUUUUAUAAAAAUACCCUCCAACUAUAUUUUUUAUAUCCCUAUUUCAAAUCCAAACACUUCUUUUAAAAAUAAUAAUAAUAAAUAAGGGCAAAAAUGUCAAACUGGGAUUAUAUUUAUAAUUUUCAAUAAUUAGAGGUUGUUUUUCCAAUGUAAAAAUUAUUUUGUUCCUUUGGCACAAAUAUUUCUUUCUUUUAUGUAUUUUUUUUAUUCAAAAUAUUAAACACAUUACCCUCAAGGUUACUAUUUAUUAUGAAUGGUGUUUACUUUACAUAACGAGAUAUUCAAAUUUUUUAGAAUUUUUUAAUGUUAAAAUAAUUUGGAGCUUAAUAGGGAAAAAAAAGAAGAAAGAAUAGAUAAUUAGAAAAGCAAUUCAAAAAAAUAAAAUUUAUCCUCUUAAAUUGGUUUUGUGUAAUACUAUAGAAGCCAUUUCUUGAGUUUGAUAUGGUAGAAUUUGGAUUCAUAUUUAUUUUAAAAUCAAGAAAUUCAAGUGUUGGUAGCAUCAAUAGAAUCUUAACAAAUUUGAAAAAAAAUAUUUAGGUAGAUCACAUUUAAAUAUAGCUAAUAGAAUAAAAAAUUAGUAUUAUUAGAAAGACAUGAUCAAUUAAAUCUUUUUUCUUAUCUAUGACACCGACUUUAUUUUUUUACAUAGUCAAUACAAUUUAUUACAACUUAUAUGUCAUUAAAUUAUAUACGUUUAUAUUAAAUAUAAUAUAAGACCAUUAAUGGAAUAAUUAUGCAAGUAAUAUAAAUUGUAUAUAAUAUAAAAAAUUUAAACUCCAUCAAACUAAUGGAAUCUAUUAUAAUAAGUAGACUAGACACCAUGUUGGCCCGAGUUGCAGGCCUGGGCCAGAUUUUAAAGGCUGGGCUUUGAGUUGCCCGUGGGCCUGAGCCAAGGCCUUCUCUUGGUAUCAUCAUUUUGAAGAAAUAAAUUGCUGAUACAGAGAAAAAAACUAUACUAAAUAGAAAAAUAAAUAAAAGCAUUGACUAAAAUGAAGGUCAAGGUCCUUGAAAAAUAAUCUUUAAAUUGUUGCAUAUAUAAUUUCAAUAAUGCAUAAAUAAUUGCAAUAUAUAUGAUAUGAUAAAGAAUUUGGAAUUAAAAGAAGAUUGAUCUAUUUUAAAUGUGGUUGGAAUAUUUCUAAAUUUGUGAUGGGAAGUUAGACAGCCAAUUAGGGAUCCAUAUUAUUUAUUUUCAAUGAUAUGAAUUUAUUUACUUUUAUUAAUAUUCUUAAUGCAACAAUAUAAAAUAUGUCAAUUUUCUAAAAUUUAAAAAGUAAUUGUAAAAGAAUUUUUUUUAAUUAUUUUUCUGAAAUUGAGUUUAUUAUAACAUUUUUCUUUACAUAAAUUUCUUUUUUAUUUUUAUUUUUUUUAAAAUGAGAUAUGAAAAAAAGAGAUCAAUAUUAGUACAAGUAAAACCCAAUAUAUAUAUAAAAAAAAUGAAUAAAUGUUUAUGAAAUAUUUUUUCUCUUUUAAUUCCUAUUCAAUUCAUUACACAAAAUAUUUUUGGUUUUUAUGCUAAAAUUUAUUGUUUAUUCAAAAAUUCUAGUAUACCUAGCUAUCAUAGAAGAGCCCCAAAAUUUUAUUGUUUAAGAGAAUAUGUGUUGCCACUUUAAAAGAUUUAUAUGCAAAAGGGAUUGAUAUUUUUUUCCUUUGGAUAUAUUUAGUUCCCGGAAAAUUUGAGGGAAAAUGUGAGGGAAGAAAAAUAGAGAAGAAAAGUAUAACGAAAUAAAAAGUGAAGGAAAAUGAAAAAUAGAUUUAAAGUUAAUAAAUUAUUUUCAUUGGUUUUUUCAAACUUAUUUUACUUAUUUUAUUCUAUUAAAUAAAGAUUAGCUAAUUUUAAUUAUAUUUGGUUUGAUUUUUAUUAUUUUUCAAAGCAAAACCAAAUAUGAAAAAAAAAACAUUUUUUUUGUUCAUUUUUUCUUUCCUUAUUACUUUUCAAAACUCAAACAUAGCUUUUAGAUUUGGAGCAUGGAAAGAUAAGAGUAUUGAAUAAAGGUUCUAUAUAUGCCCAUGCCCAUGAUACCAUUGAAAAAAAUGGAGAAAGGGUGAAACUUUUUCUCUUCAAUGGAAAUCAAAUAUAAUUAUUUUUAUCUUGUAGUAAUUGAAUGUUAUACUCCAUAAACUCAAAAUUAAAAUAAAUAAAAAAUUUAAAAACUAGGACAAUCCCAUUUUUUUUUUCAAUUUCUUAAAAAGAAAUUAAAUUACAUUUAUUUAUAUCUAUUUUCAUCCCUACCCAAAAAAAUAAAAAAAAAAUUAACAAGGUGGGACAUGUAUGAGAAAUUCUCACACUAACUCUCUCUAGUUUAUUUUUUAUUUUUUAAAAAAAAUCAAUUUCUUUUAAAAAAAUUAAACUAUAUAAAAAAUAAAUAUAAUUUAAAAUAAAAUAAUUUAACAAUUUUUUUUUUAAGAAAAGUAAAUUUCUUAUUUUAUAUAUGUUAAAAAUAAAUAUAAUCUUUUAUUUUUUUAUAUAUAUAAUCGGGUAAGGUAGAGUGGGACAAAGAAAUAAUCCCCUUCGAUUCCAAUAUGAAUUUUUAAAAUAUAAAAUAAAAAUCUUAAACUCAUCCCUAAUCCAUUUAUUUUUAAUCCUAAACUCGUCUUAUUAAGAAUAAGGCAAAGUGAGUACAUGAAAACACUUCUUUUAUCAUCAUCUCUACAAGUUCUAAUGUUUAGACUGCAAUCCAUAUCAAAGAUUUAUAAAGAAAGGACAACGAUGAAUUUCAUAAACAUUUGAAAGCAUAUACGUACAAAGUUUUAAAUAAUAUUGCUUGAGGUGCAAAUAUUAUUUGGCGCACAUAUUGAGGGACUUCAACUUGUUUUUUACAUUAGUAAGUAAUCUUGAAUAUCUAGAGUAACUUGACCAAAAUCUCUUUAAUUUUAUUUUCUUUGAUGGUUGUAUGAUGAAUUAGAAUGCUUAUAUAACAUGAUUAAAAAUUUUAAGAAAAAAAAAACUAAGAAGAAAGAAAGAAGCACCGAUCUUCCAAAUAUUGCUUCCACUUUAAUAUCUAGAAGGCUCUAAGAAAAGAACUUUUUUCAUGAAUCAUAACCCAAGUCGAAAAUAAAUUGAACCCAUUUUCUAAGUUAAAUUUUGAAUUUUUUACUAGUGAAUGCAAAUUGGGAAAAUGUAUAUAAAUAUAAUUAAACUAGAAUAGUAGGUUAGGUUUGUAGGUGGAGUUUGUUUGAAUUGUUGGAACUUCCAAGUCGUUGUGGGUCUAGUGGUCCCAUAGCUCUCUAUUAAUUUCCACCAUCAAUUUUCUGCAAUAAAGUCAAGUCAUUCCUAACCCCUAUAUUAAGUUGGCCUUAAAAGUCAAGUCAUUGAUCAUAGUUACAUUCAUGAAUCACAACCUAAGUCGAAAAUAAAUUGAACCCAUUUUUCAAGUUCAACUUUGAAUUUUUUACUAGUGAAUGCAAAUUGGGAAAACAUAUAUAAAUAUAAUUAAACUAAAAUAGUAGAUUAGGUUUGUAGGUGGAGUCUGCUUAAAUUGUUGAAACUUCCAAGUCAUCGUGGGCCCAGUGGUCCCAUAGCUCUCUAUUAAUUUCCACCAUCAAUUUUUUGCAAUAAAGUCAAGUCAUUCCUAACCCCUAUAUUAAUUUGGCCUUAAAAGUUCAGUCAUUGAUAGCUAAAUCCCAACCCAAGUCAAAAAUAAAUUGAACCCAUUUUCUACGUUCAACUUUGAAUUUUUUUUAAUUGGAAAAAUGUAUAUAAAUACAAUUAAACUAGAAUAGUAGAUUAGGUUUGUAGGUGGAGUCUGCUUGAAUUUGUGAAACUUCCAAGUCAUCGUGGGUCUAGUGGUCCUAUAGCUCUCUAUUAAUUUCCACCAUCAAUUUUCUACAAUAAAGUCAAGUCAUUCCUAACCCCUAUAUUAAUUUGGCCUUAAAAGUCUAGUCAUUGAUAGCUACGUUCAUGAAUCCCAACCCAAGUCAAAAAUAAAUUGAACCCAUUUUCUAAGUUCAACUUUGAAUUCUUUUAAUUGGGAAAAUGUAUAUAAAUACAAUUAAACUAGAAUAGUAUAUUAGGUUUGUAGGUGGAGUCUGCUUGAAUUUGUGAAACUUUCAAGUCGUCAUGGGUCUAGUGGUCCCAUAGCUCUUUAUUAAUUUUCACCAUCAAUUUUUUGCAAUAAAGUCAAGCCAUUCCUAAACCAUAUAUUAAUUUGGCCUUAAAAGUCAAGUCAUUGAUAGUUACGUUCAUGAAUCACAACCCAAGUCUAAAAUAAAUUGAACCCAUUUUCCAAGUUCAACUUUGAUUUUUUUACUAGUGAAUGCAAAUUGGGAAAACGUAUAUAAAUAUAAUUAAACUAGAAUAGUAUAUUAGGUUUGUAGGUGGAGUAAGCUUGAAUUGUUGAAACUUCCAAGUCAUCACGGGUCUAAGGGUUCCAUAGCUCUCUAUUAAUUUUCAUGGUCAAUUUUUAUGAAUUAAGAUUUAAAAGUGAGAAGGGAAUAAAUUUUUUCUUUUUCAAUUCAUUACAAAAAAUAUUUUUGGUUUUUAUGCUAAAAUUUAUUGUUUAUUCAAAAAAUUAAAGUAUAAAUAUAUAUAUAUAUAUCUUGCUAUUAUAGAAGAGCUCCAAAAUUUUUGUGUUUAAGAGAAUAUGUGUUGCCACUUUAGAAGAUUUAUAUACAAAAAGGAUUGAUGUUUCUCCUUUGACUAUGUUUGGUUCCCAAAAUUUGAGGGAAAUAAAAAAAAAAUAGUAAAAAAGAAAAAAUGAAAGAAAAUAAAAAAUAGUUUUAAAGUUAAUAAUUAUUUUUAUAUGUUUUUUCAAACUUAUUUUACUUUUUUUUUCAUUAUAUAAAGAUUAAAUAAUUUUAAAAUGCAUAAAUUUCUAACUAAUUUUAAUUAUAUUUAAUUUUUCUUUUAUAUUUUUUAGAUAGGAUCCGACACAUGAAAAAUCCUUUUUUUUAGCAUUUUUUUUUCUUUUCUUAUUACUUUCCAAUAACCAAAUAUAACCUUUAGAUUUAGCCUUUAAACUUGGAGUAUGGAACGAUACUGAGUAUUGAAAGAAGGUUUUGUAUAUGGCCAUGAUACCAUAGAAAAAAUGGGCGAGAGAGAAAAAACCUUUAUUAAAUGAUAAAUUAUUUUUUUCAAUGGAAAUCAAAUAUAAUUAUUUUUAUAAUAAUUACUUUAUUUUUUUUAAAAAUAAUAAUUUGUUGUUGCAUUAAGUAUUCUUGCAUUUGGAGAAGCAUGUUACUACUUACUACAUAAAUAGAUAUUCAUGGAGUGCAUUCUCUAAAAAGCUCCAGUCUCAUGAAAAUGGAAAGAUGGACCGGCCGGUGAACCGGUUCGAGUUUGGAUUUAUUGGCUGCCUCAGCCUUACACGCAUGAUAGGCUGUUGCAGGUGAAGAACUAAUUAAUUUAAAGCCUUCUUCUAUCCUCUCCUAUUCCUCUAUCACUCCAAAUGUUCCACAUGAUAAUGACAAUUCUUUUGUUAAAUGGUAAAAAAAAAAUUUAAAUAUUAUUUAAAAUUUUUUUUAAUUCUAAAUCCAAUGGAAAUUCGACUCUAAGGUGUGUAGAAGGCCCUAGUGCCCAUGUUGCUAAUUUGAUGAUAGUUAAAUUGUCAUUUUGGGAGAUUCCACACACUAGUAUUCUCAUUUAUAAAAUCAUGAACUUUGGCAUCCUAAUUAAUGCAAUUUAAACUUUUUUUGUUUACAAAUGAAAUAAGAGGCAACAUAUAAACCCAAAAGUUAAUUUUCCUACCAUCUCUAUGCACCAUUUUAGCUUUACUCCAAUAUAUUUUCUAUGAUUAAUUAUUUUCAUUCAAACAAUAAUAUCAAAAUAUUUUAAAAUUAGACAUAUCAUAAUCAAAUACCAUUAUAUUAUUACCGAAUAAUAUUUAAUGUAAUUUAAUUAUCAACGUAUACUUAUAAAAUUUAUAUUUUUUAUUAAUGCAUAUAAUAUUAUUAUCAAAUAUGAUAAAUUAUAUAUAUAUAUAUAUAUAUAUAUAUAUAUUUCUUCAACAAAACAACUUUAAAAUAUCUAUUAUAUUUCUAAUUUCAUUUCUAAGAAGUUUUUUUUUUUUUUUUACAUUUUUAUAAGUUUUGAUCAAUUGUAGGCUAACUGAUAUUUUUUAUAUCAAAAUAUCCACCAAUAUAUCUCUGAUAUAUUAGAUAUAUCCGUAAAAUCGAAAUACCAAUAUAUCCGUGAUUAUCGAUAUUUUUAUCCUUGAGGGAUAAUAACUAAUCUAGUUUUUGCACUUAUUGAUAUUUCUCAACAUUUAGAUUGAUUUGACCAAAAUCUUUUUAAUUUUAUUUUCUUUGAUGGUUAUAUGAUGAAUUAGAAUAGUCAUAUAAACAAAUUUAAGAAAAAACGAUAAAAAAGCUCACAUUUUUCAAAUAUUGGUUUCAACUUUGAAUAUUUUUAUUGGUAAAUGAAAAUUGUGAAAAACCUACUAAUGCUAAUACUUUUCACCACAUAAUUAAAUAUAAUAAACUAGAAUAGUGAUUCAUUGAUGUCUUAUAAAGCUACAUGCCUACUUUGACUUGUUAGUUGAUUUUUGUAGGCAGAGUCCAUUUCCAUAUGAAUUGUUGAAACUUCCAAGUCCUUGUGGGUCUAGUGGUCUCUCUAAUAAUUCCCACCAUUAAUUUUUUGUGAUGAAGUGACGUCAUUGAUAGCUACUAUAUCAAUUUGCUAUUAAAAGUCAAGUCAUUGAUAAUUACUAUUCAAUCUUUUUCAAUAUGGAAAUUGGAAUCUCUACUCUUCUCAUUGUUCAUUUUUAGGUAAUGUGAGAAUGUGAGAAUGUGUGAACAUAAAUGUCUUCUAAUCAACCAAUUUUUUUUGAAAAAAACAUGUACAAAAUUGCAAACUUGCAAAAUCAAACUUUCUUGUUGAAUAACCAUAGCUUGAUGGUUUUGAAGAAUCAAAGGAUGAAUCAUAAAAGGGUAUUUGAUAAAAAAUAAAAAUUAAAAAAAUUAAAAGACAACUACUCCCUUAGGUGUAAUAAGUGUAUUUGGUAGCACAAAUUUCCUACCACUUAUUAUUUUUUCCUUUCUUAAAAAAUUAUUUACUCUAUUAAAUAAACUAACCUUGGCUUAUCACUUAUAGCAAAAUAGGUUAAGUACUUUUUAAAAUUUUAUAAUAUUAGAUUUACAUUUUUAUCCUUCAAAAUUUCAUUAAUGUUAGAUUCUUCUAUAUGCUUAACUAAUAAAUAAUUUUUAGCAUUUUUCUUUUCUUAUAAACAUAAAAAAAUAAAAAUAUUAUUAACUUAUUGGUAUAUUUUAAAAUUUUAAUUAGAUUUAAGCUUUUAUUUAUUUGGAUUACCAAUUAUACAUAUAAAUCCUUUAUUAUUAUUGUUAUUAUUGAAAGAAAGGGGUUGAAUAGGUAGUCCCUCAAUCCCCAAAUUAAAUUCUUUAUUGCCUACUUUUGGUUUAUUCCUUUACAUGAAUUCCUUGGUGAGAGUAAACAUUUCAUUAAUAGAUAAAUAAAAUUGAUUCCAUAUCAUAGGGUAUAAUGUGGAAAAAUCACCAGUCUCAUGUGUUCCUUAGUGGAUCCUUUGGAGCCCUUAUCAAAGUUUCAUGAUGAAACCAUUGACUUUUGUUUAACCCAAAUGUGCUUUCAAGACAAAUCUUGAAAUAUUUGAGAGAUGGAGGUUCAAGUCUUUUAUGAACGACCAUGUUCUCUUAGGGUUCAUGAAAAUUCACACCUUUUGAUAAAUAAAACUUAUCUAUUUAUACGUCUAAAACCCAGUAUUUAUUUAUUUAAUUAUAGAAAGUUUCUUAGUUUUAAAAACAUUUCAAAAAUCAUUUUUAGAAUCAAAUAAUAAUUUUAGAGAUAAACACAAUAUUAAAAUUUAACAAAAACAAAAUUUCGAAUUAAAAACACAAUAUAAACUAAAUUACAAAAUAUAAAGGAAUUUUUAUCCUAAUUUCUUGUUUCAAAACCAAAUGGAACACCUAGAAGGGGAGUGAAUGGGUGAUUUUAAAAUUUUUCAAUAAUGAUUUAUAAGUUAUACCCAAUUCUUUUACCCUGCGAGUUGUUAGGGACUAUCAAUUCUUUCCUUUUGGCAAUUCAAACAAUAUAUCAAAUAAUAAAAAGAUAUAAAUAAUGAGACAUAAAGAUUUUUACAUGGAAAACCCCCCACACUAACCAUGGAGAUAAAAAGCCAUGGAGUCUAAGACCUAUUAAUCUAAAUUCACUGUACGAAAUCAAGUUACACAAAUUUAUUUGAUAGCUUUAACUUAAAGACUUACUCUCCGGUACUGACAACUUGAUUCACAUCCACAACGUAGCAACCCUCAAUUACUCCAAUGGAUCACUUCAAGCUUACUAAAAGGAUGAAGGCCUUCAAACCAAGAUUCAAAAAUCAAUUCCUUGAAUGAAAGAUCAGGGAUGGUGUGCCACUUUAGGCUUUCUCUCUAAGAACUCUAAAAUGAUCUCCUCAAUGAAAACCUCUUAAACAAAAUGAGAUAUUUCCCCACAAUCUCUAAUCCUCAAGGGGUUAUAAUGAGAUAUUUAUAAGCAACUAAGUUGAAGAGUUUCAGUUUUGGAACAUGACCGCUCGAGCCAACACACUUCCUACUUGAGCGUUUCGGGCACUUGAGCGGUAAGGCUCGCUUGAGUUGUCCUAAGCGCUUGAGCAUUCCAAGCUACUUGAGCAAUCUUGCUCUAUUUCAAAAGUUAAUUUUAAAUCAUUUUAAGUUCAAAACAAAAUUGAUUCCCUUUAUACCUCAAAGUAGCCUAACUUACAAACCAAACUUUUUUAGAUAUACUUGUGACUUCCUGGUUGGACGAACAACUCUUAAUCUUCAAUGGAAAGCAAGUCAUUAUCUAAAAAGAUUUAUAUGGUCAAACAUAAAAAAACAAAAACAAAAAAAUUGCCAACAUAACAACAAGACUCAAUGUCCUAACAAUCUCCCCCUUUGGCAAUUUUAUGACAAAAACAACAUUACAUAUACCCACUUGAACUCUCAUAAUGGAGUUUAAUAAUACACAUUAAUGUUCAAUUAAAAAUAAACUAAGGGAAUACUUUGUAUCACUUUGUAGUAUUUGUCUUCCAACUUUGUAACCUACACACAUAUAGAAAACUAUACCAAAGGUAAAGCAAUGUGUAGGAUAAGAUAUGAUCAAGAAAGCAAAAUAGGAUAAUUGAAAAUUUUGCUUGAUGCCUUGUGAAAGCAUGAAAAGGGAACAAAUUCAUAUAGUAAUACCAAGGGACAAAGCAAAACUAGAGAAGAAUAUAUAUGUAUGCAAAUCAACCAAACAUAAUAAAAGCUACAUAAGAUGCAAUAGAUCAAUAAUAAUGCCUAGGGGUCUAUCUCCAACCAGAAAAUAGGGAGUGAAAAUCAUAGGAAGAACCUUCUGUGACUUAGAAAGGUUCUAGAGAGAUAGUCAAUUCAAACAUAAAUAUCUUGCUAGAAACAUCUAUGUUAUGUAUCUCUCUAAACCUUCUAAGUUAUGCUUUCAUUAGUUGAUUUGGUUUUUCUCCAAUGUCUCAGGUUUAAUUUCCUCUAAUAUUUCAAUUAGAGAGAAAUUGGUAGUCGAUUGACUUAGUGGGUGUUUGGUAAAACUUAAUACUUAUUAUUUAAUGAUUAACUUUAAGUUAAAUUGUUCUUAAGUUAUUAAUUUAAAAUUUAUUACUUAUUUUGUAUUUAAGUACUAGGGUUAUUUGAAAAAAUCGACUUAAAAUUUAUUCUAAAUCAUCAAAAUGACACAUUUACCCUUAUUAAUUUUAACUUAUAUUUAUUUUCAUUAAUUUUAAACAAUAAAUUUAUUCAUAAAACAUCUAUAUUUUUGUAGAUACAUAACCAUAAAAUAUUUACUAUAAAAAAUGAGUCAUGGAUGUAGAAUUAUAAUUCUAAAAUAUACACUUAUGAGUGUGGGUAAAUAAGGCAAAAAUGAUUUGAGAUUAAGAGUAAAGUUAAUUAUUUUGACUUAAGACUUCAAGUUAAAAAUAACUUUAAGUUGCAAUAUUAAGUUAUUUUAUCAAACAUGCUUAAUUUACUUAACAACUUAAAUUAAGUUAUUAAGUUGAAUUAUCAAACACCCCACUAGUAGUAUGUUGAAAAUUCACACCUUUUGAUAAAUAAAACUUAUCUAUUUAUACGUCUAAAACCCAGUAUUUAUUUAUUUAAUUAGAGAAAGUUUCUUAGUUUUAAAAACAUUUCAAAAAUCAUUUUUAGAAUCAAAUAACAAUUUUAGAGAUAAACACAAUAUUAAAAUUUAACAAAAACAAAAUUUCGAAUUAAAAACACAAUAUAAACUAAAUUACAAAAUAUAAAGUAAUUUUUAUCCUAAUUUCUUGUUUCAAAACCAAAUGGAACACUUAGAAGGGGAGUGAAUGGGUGAUUUUAAAUUUUUUCAAUAAUGAUUUAUAAGUUAUACCCAAUUCUUUUACCCUACGAGUUGUUAGGGACUAUCAAUUCUUUCCUUUUGGCAAUUCAAACAAUAUAUCAAAUAAUAAAAAGAUAUAAAUAAUGAGACAUAAAUAUUUUUACGUGGAAAACCCCCCACACUAACCAUGGAGAUAAAAAGCUAUGGAGUGUAAGACCUAUUAAUCUAAAUUCACUGUACGAAAUCAAGUUACACAAAUUUAUUUGACAGCUUUACCUUAAAGACUUACUCUCCGGUACUGACAACUUGAUUCACAUCCACGACGUAGCAACCCUUGAUUACUCCAAUGGAUCACUUCAAGCUUACUAAAAGGAUGAAGGCCUUCACACCAAGAUUCAAAAAUCAAUUCCUUGAAUGAAAUAUCAGGGAUGGUGUGCCACUUUAGGCUUUCUCUCUAAGAACUCUAAAAUGAUCUCCUCAAUGAAAACCUCUUAAACAAAAUGAGAUAUUUUCCCACAAUCUCUAAUCCUCAAGGGGUUAUAAUGAGAUAUUUAUAAGCAACUAAGUUGAAGAGUUUCGGUUUUGGAAGGUUUCUUAAUUGAAUUUGUGUGAAAAACUCAACAGAAUCAACAUGACCGCUCGAGCCAGCACACUUCCCACUUGAGCAUUUCGGGCACUUGAGCGGUAAGGCUCGCUUGAGUUGUCCUAAGCGCUUGAGCAUUCCAGGCUACUUGAGCAAUCUUGCUCUAUUUCAAAAGUUAAUUUUAAAUCAUUUUAAGUUCAAAACAAAAUUGAUUCCUUUUAUACCUCAAAGGAACCUAACUUGCCACAAACCAAACCUUUUUAGAUAUACUUGUGACUUCUUGGUUGGACGAACAACAACUCUUAAUCUUCAAUGGAGAGCAAGUCACUAUCUAAAAAGAUUUAUAUGAUCAAACAUAAAAAAACAAAAAAAUUGCCAACAUCACAACAAGACUCAAUGUCCAUGCAUGGUCACCUGAAAGUUGACUCCAACCACAAUAUAAUGCAUGUUCUCAUAGAACAUGUGAACAAGAUGGAGAUAGAAAGUCCCUUAGAGAGAAAACAGAGUCUUCUAACCCUACUCUUGAAUGAUGAUAGGGAAGACAGUGUCCUGAAAAGCUUAGAGGUUAAUGGCAUGUUGAGGCUCGACACACCGAUAUGUGAAAGAAGCGUAAUAAUGGUCCCAUGCCACCUGGCAGUGAAAGCGCUCAAUCGAAAGUGCAUCUAGGUUAAAAAGACCCUAGAGUGGGAUGCCCUAGACGGUUUUCAGUGACCUAGGAAAGGUCACCUCCCUCUGAAAUCUAUGACUAGCCAUAUCUAAGGUAUAUAAUAUGAAAAAAAAAAAGCUAAAGAAAAACUAAAGAAAAUCCAAAGAAAAGCUAAACCACUAAAAAUGUUAAACUCAAUGCGUCGAACAAUACUAUACAAAUGGAAAUGAAAAAUAUGAAGCGAACUGACCUCAGAAGACAAAAGGACAGUUACCCAGAGGGCUCGAAGAGGAAUAGGAAAGUUUGAAAUGAAUAUUGUGUGAUGGAUGACCUUUAUAUAGCUUAUAGGAGUGCUUGAUGCAGAUUAGCACUUGAGCGUCAUGACUAACUUAAAUCAAAUUAUUUAUUAAUAUGGAAAUAUUUUAUAAGUUUCAAAGGAAGUAUUCAAUUUAGAACCUUUUUAGAAUUUUUUUGAAAGAAACAAAAAUAAAGCGUGAAAUAUUAUGUGUUAAAGGUGUUAGAAGACAAUAUUGUCUAAUCAAAAGCCUUACACAUUCCCAAAAAAAAAAAAAAAAAAGGAAAAAAAAAGAUACUAUAUAAGAUUUUGAUCACAUCUAAUAGAAACUAAUAUUUAGCAACAUAUCACCAAGCACUAUCUUAUCAGAAAGCUCUAACAUGUUGGAAAUUUAUGUAAGGUUCCAUAACAACUAACAACUUUUUAUGACGACUCGGUAAUGGACCAUUUGCACUUCAACUACAUUAUUAAAUUUAAAUCAUAUUAGAAUAUAAUUGACUUCUCUUUUGUGAGGUUACAUAUCUUGUAGGAUGGGAUAGGUGAUUCAUUUCAUAUAUGAAAUUUUCUUAAUUUAGUAAUGCUUCCAAGUUCAUUAUGAAUCUAAUGGUAUCACAACUCCUUGAAUAUUUGUAAUCUGUAAUCUUUGCUUCAACUUCUCAAGUCUAGUCAUUUUAUCGGCAUAACUAGUUUGCUUCAAUUAUCUCUCAACUUUAUUAUAAAACUAAGGGAAAGGAUUGUCACUCAUUUUAUAUUAACUUAACCAAACAUCUUUAUAUAUAUAUAUAUAUAUAUAUAUUGUAAAUUUAGGAAAAAUUCAUCCAUUAGCCAUAGUAAGUAAGAAUCAAAUAAGGGAUAUGUAAGCCAAUGGUGAUAUUGAUGGCGUUAAAUCAAUGACAUAGUAGAAAAGUGGAUUGUCUAUUUUCAAACCUUUAUAUUUUCAUGCAAUAGUAAAAAGGUUAAGGCAUCACUUGAAAAGUAGUUCGUUUUUUACCUUGGACUAUGAUUUAUGAAUAAAGUUCUUCUGUUGUAUACCUUUUGUGAUGCCCCAACCUAAUUUAGGGGUAAAAAAAUAAUUUAGAAAAAAAUAAAUAAAAAGUUAAAUAAAUUUAAUUAAGGUAAAAAUGUAUUUUUGUAUUUAAAAUUCCUAGGUAUCAAUUAUAUAUUUCUUGUCUUCUCUAUUCAAAAAACCAUAUUACACAAAAAUCAAAUAUCAGAGAACAUAGGACAACGCAGGGUUGAAGAUUUGGAGGUUUAGGGUUGAAGAUUAGUUUUCCAGGUAAGAUUCUAACCCUUAAAUUAGUAUUUUAGAUUCGUUAAUUAGUUUGAACACUUUAGAUAUUCUUUGAAAAAUCUGAAUAUACAUUAGGGUUUGUUAAUUUAAUUUUUAAAUAAAAAAGAUUGAAAAUUUAUGAACAUAAGUAGAGUUAUUAUUAAAGAUUGAAAAUUUUUGAAUAUUUGAAUUAAAAAUCUAGAAAAAAAAGAAGAAAAUAAAUUAUAGCUUUGGACGUGGAAAAAAAUUAAUAUUAAUUAAUAAAUAAAACCUAUGAGUAUGGAAGUAGAAAAAUAUGAGAGUUGAAAGCAAAGAAAAAAAAAGAGAAUAAGGUUUUGUGGUUGUACAUGCCUCCUUAGUGGAAAAAAAAAAUACAAGGUUGCUUGCAAUAGGAUAUGACAAAGAGAGAGAGAUAAAUGCUUAGAUGUUGAUUUUUGUGGGGAAAAAAAGAUUGGGUAAUGUAGGAGAGAAAUAGGUAGCACUUUUAGAGUCGGUGGAGUUGUUGUAAAAGCUCGUAGGGGUAAUUGUUAGGUAGUAGUAGGGUAUGAGAUUAAUUGUUAGGAAACAUUAGGACUUGAAAUAAUAAUAAUUGCUUCUAGUAAAAGUUUUAAUUUAGUUUAAGUAUAUAAAAGAAAUAGAUGAUUAGAAUAAGAUUUGGAAGGAAUAUGAAUUCAUAAAAAUUUCAAAAUUUACUAAUUUAGAUUAUUAUUGUUUUGGAAGUUGAAUAUAAUAUAGGUGAUAAUAUUAUUAAUAUAGGAAAUGAUUAAGAUUCUCAAACCUACAAUUUUAGAUAAAUAGUUAAUAGUAAUAGUUGAUUUUUUAUUUUUUUUUUAUUUUUUAUUUUUUAUGUUAUGUUAAGUGAAUAAUGGAUUCUUUGAUUAAUUCUCUAAGGUUUCUAAGUGCUUCUUUAAGGUAAGGGAUAUUAAUACUGAUUUUGUAAAUGAAAAUAUUUCUUUUUAUAAGUUAUUUUAAAUUAUGAAAAUUUUUAUUUUUAUUUAUGCAUGGAUCAAAUAUAUAUUUUUUCAUGAGAAACAUGUUUGGGCAAUUUCUUUGUUUAUAAAUAAAUAAAUGAAAACUUUGGAAAUAUAAUGUUUUGUUUUGUAAGUUUAAAAUAAUGAAAUAAAGUUUUUGACUCUGGUUUAUAUGACCUUAGUUAAUAGGUUAUAAUUGUUGACAUUUUCAGCUCCAGUCAACGAUUAUAAUUGUUGACAUUUUCGGCUCUCCAAUCAAUGAUUAUAAUUGUUGAGAUUUUCAACCCUAGCCAACGGGUUAUAAUAGUUGACCUUAUAGCCCUAGUCAACAGAUAUAAUUGUUAACCUUUGGCUUUUCCCAUCUUAAAAAGAACAAAUUUAAGGCUAGCCAUUUAUUUGUAAAGUCCCACCUAACUAAGUACCAUUUGUUAUUUAAUAACCAGAGUAAAGAUAUUUUGAAUGUAUUUGAUGUGAAAUUGUUGUGAUAUUAAUAUGAAAAUGUUUGGUUGAAAAGUUCAAAUGUUUAAUGCAUGUUGAAUUCAAAAGUUUUUAUGAAAAUGAUUAUAUGUUAUAUCUCUUAUUUGUAAGUUUGAUCCAUGAAACUGUAUUAAUAUUCCUUAUUGGACUUUGAGCUCAUUCCCCUUUAUUGAGAAUUUUUUUUCGUAUUCUCAGUUUGGGCAAGGAGUGAUGACUGGGUUGGGGAAUUUUCUUUACUAUGGUUUUGCUUCAAUCUUAUUUUGGACAUUGUUUAGAUGUUAAAAUUUAAUUCCCAUUUAAAUUAUUUGGGUUUGGAGUUAUUUGGACGAUAAAACUUUGAUUGAUGUGUUAGUUUUAAAGUUGAGAAUUGAAAAUUAUAGAAUUUAUUUAUCUUACUACUUUGAACAGAAAUUUAGUAAUUGGAGAUCAUCCAGUUACAAGAUGAAUAUUUGAGUCGUUUCAAGUCGUUUCCACUUUGAGUGUUCAGGCUUAGGGUGUGAAAUGAUCGUUAUGCCCUUGGAGUGGGUAUAUUGUUUAUUUGAAUUUAAUGGUCCCCGAACUCCUUAAUUACUCAUAACUUUAUAUCAGCUUCUCAAAGUUAAGUUGUUUUACAACUACUAUCUAGCUACUUUUCUCUACUAUGACAACUUUAUUACAUAGUGAUUAAUUGAAAGAAUCUACAUGUCUUAUUUCAUAGGAUAGUUGAUUUUUUUACUCAAUGAAUUUUGCUUUUAUUAUUGAAAAUUUCAAAUCAUUGUAGUCCAACAAUUUCCUAUCCAUUGGUAAUUUCAUAUUACAUUUCCAAAGUCUAAUCAUUUAAAAACACUUGUAGUUAAUAUAUUGGCAAUUGCAUUGUGGGAAGUUGUUCACUUGAUUUUAAUGUUGAAACUUUCAAAUUUUUGUAGUCCAACAAUUCCCUAUCCAUUGGUAAUUUCAUAUCACAUUUUCAAAGUAUAAUACUUGUAUAUAGUAUAUUUGGUGAUUGUAGAGUGGAAAGUUGAUCAUUUUCAUGAAGACCUCUAAAAUAGAAUUUUUUUUCAUUCCAUUUAUUAAAGAAUUUCAUUAAUUGAACAUAUAUGUUUUUUUAACCGAAAAGUAGAGGCCACAUUAUACGAGGCCUUAGGUGACAAUACUAGGUGAGGGCUUUUUUUUUUAAUUUAUUUAUUACGAAAUAUAAAUAAUAUUAUUUAUUGUAUAAUAAAGAUUAUUAUAAUAUAUUUUUUAUAGAUGAAAAAAAAUAUUAAUUGAGUUUUAUUUUUUUAAAUAAUUGUUUUCAAUAAAUAACGUAUUUGUAAAAAGAAAACUAUAAAAUAUAUGCAUUUGAAAAAUAUUUAAUUUUUAUUUGAUUUAGUAUCAAUUAAUAUUUGUAAUAUUUUUUAAUAUUAUAGAAGUUAACAUACUCAAUUAAGAUAUUCAAGAUCAAGAGAAUAUUUGAGAUUGAAUUAAUUUCUUUAUUGUUUAUGUUUUAGUAAAUUUUUAUAUCCAUUAAAAUUUUUUUAUUGUUUAUUUUUCAUUCAAUGUUUGCAUUUUGUAAUAGAUAUUAAAACAAAUUUUUUUCUUGUAUGUUAAAAAAAUAUUUCAAUGUCUUUAAAAAUAAAAUAUUGUAGUAAAAUCAAAAUUACAUUGUGAAACUUUAAGCGAAUGUUUUAUACUAAAGAAGUGCCAAUUAAAGUAAGCAUGCAUCUACAAUUGUAAUUUAGAUGUCAUAUUGAAACAAUAGUUCUCUUUGACUAUAUCAUAAAAUUUGGUUCGAAUUACUUUAAGUCAUCUUGUAGAUUUUCAAGUUCCAAUGAUAUGCAUCAAGUAUGUGCAACAUACUUGAUAUGACUAAUAUUUUCUUAAGUAAUUGGACACUUUUUUCUAUAAAUUUACUUGAUUAUCAAUGAAUACUUUUAUGUAAGGUAUUGAUAUAAUUCGAUAAAUAUUUUAAAAUAGUAUUAGAAUAGCUUUGCUCUUUCCUAAUUAACAAAUUUACUAAAUUAACUUAUAUAUAUUUGUUUAUUUUAAUUUACUGGUAUUUGACUCAAUUUGUUAUUAUUUUUAAAAUUAUAGGAAAACCAUUAUUUAUAGAGUUUAAUUAUAUUUGGUAAAUUAUCUUUUUAAGUUUGACUAGGAUUAGGAAACUAUUAAUUUAAGAUUAAUCCAUAAGGCUCUAUAAAUUUGCAGUUUUAUAUAACAUUUAAAAAAAGAAAGAAAAAGUAAGAAAAAGUGAAGAGAGAUAGGCAAAGAGUGCAUUGGGUUUUAGAUAGAGAAAGGUCGAGAGAGUUUUGAUUACUACUCAAAAAGAACAUAUUUUAGAUAGUAAUUCUCAUGGGUUUCACAUCUUUUGAGUAUUAAUUAUGCCUAAAAAUGCUCAAUUAACAUGUUGUUGCCCUUGCAAGAGUUACUAAUAAGUUUUAUAAAGUUUUGGAGUCAUUUCAAGUUAUGAUUUUAAUAAAUUGGUGAUGAAAGAGAUGAAUUGAUUUGAAGAAGGAAAAUAAUAUUGAUGAUGAUCCAAAUGCAUAAUGAAAGAAGCAAUAUAAUUAGUUUGAUCGGGAUUUGCUGCUAAUUUGGAGGUAGUUAAGGUGGAGUCAAAAGAAGAAAAUGGAAGAAAUGACAAAGAGGAACUUAAAAACCAAAUGUUGCAGAUUUGUAUGAUCAUUCAAAAAUUACAUGACUAUGCCAAAUGGAUUAGAGAAGGAAAAUUGACUAUAGUAUAAGGAGGAUGCUUAAGUUGAUUUAGCAUGAACAUGAGAAAAUUUCGCAUGAACAUGCGAAAAUUUUGCACAAUCAUGCGAAAUGGUCCAGAAAGCUCUCUAAUGUUGUUGUUGCUCCACUAAUUUCGCACCACCAUGCGAAAUCGAUCUUUUCAUGCAAAAUGGCUGAAGCUCAUGUGAAAUCAUGAUUUUGAUGCUAAACUCCAGAUUUGUGAAUUUGGAAGGUUUUAGAAGACCAAUGAGAGGUUGCCAAGUGUCCACUUGACCUUGGUCUAUAAAUAGAAACUUGAAUUUCCCAUGUAAAGAGCUUUGUGAUACUUUUGAUUUUAGAUUUUUCUAGAAACUCUUUCUCUAAAUAGAAUUCUAUAUUUUCUUUAAUUUUCCCUCAUUUUCUCAUUAGCCAAACAUGCCUAGUGAGACCAAAUUUCCAAGUAUGAGUGACUAAAUCUCGUUUUUCUCAGAGGAAUGAGGAUCUAGAGGCAAGAUCUAUGGUGAAUUAUAGAAAUGAGUUUUAAUUGCAAAUGUAAUUUGAUUCAAUUGAUUGAUUAAUUGAAAUUCGAGGAUUUUUCUCUUCAAAUUGUCCUGAAUGACAAUUACAUUGCAAACUAGGCAGAUUAAUUAAAUUCUUAAAGUUAGAUUUAAUGAGACUGAAUAGUUGCAUUGUAUGAAUCAUUGGAAGAUGAUUUAAGAUGAAUUGAAUAUAUAAUUUAAAUUCAUAUCUUGGAUUAAAUAACCUAAUUUGAAGAGAAAUUAGGUUUAGACUUAAAGGGAAAUCUAAAAUCGGUUUAGAUAAGAAUUUAGGUUUUCAAUCUAACUUGAUGAAAAAUAAAUCUCAACAUUUAUUCACCAUGGAAAUUGUUUUCUAAAAAAUAUUAACUCUGAGAAUUCCUUUUCCUUAUCAGUUUUCUUAUAUUCUACAUUAUAUUAUUCUUUUCGAUUAGAAAUCAUUGUUAUUUUGAUUUUUCGUGAAUUGUCAAAUCAAUUUCACUUGACCAUAAUCAUUUCUUUUCCUCUCAUUUAAACCUUAAUUAUCGAGAAUAAUCCAUCCCAAUAGAAGACACCUAAGACCACUAUACUACUGUAGCUUUUGCUAAAAAACCUUUUUGAUCGGGCAAGAGUUACCUUAGCAUAGUUGAAUUAGGUUAUAAAUUUUUUAUCCAAUAAACAACAAAAAAAUCAAUUGAUCAAGUUUACAUUGUGUAUUCUUGAAUUUUAUUAAUAAAUUUGAUCCCCUUUUUUGAAGCGAUUACACCAAACCAAGUAAAUAUUUUAUCUACUUCAUUUGCUUUAUUUUUUCUAUUAAGUUUAGGUGUUGCAAUUUUUAAGAGUCAUGGUGAGAAGAUUGUGGGAAAAAUUAUUUUAAGGAUGGAGUCGAACAUAAAAUAUGAAAUUGAGUCCUUUGAUGGAAAUAAUAAUUUUAAUAUUUGAUAGAGUAUUAUUAAAGAUGUUUUGAUACAACAAAGACUUCUCAAAGCAUUACAAGGCAAAAAAAACUAGAGAGCAUGACAAAUAAAGAAAUGAAAGAAUUACAAGCAAGAGUUGUAAGUACUAUUUGUUUAAGUCUUAAAAAUGAAAUACAUUGUUUUGAAUGAAAAAAAUAUUCUUUUAGGGGUGUCAAUUGCUCUUUUAGAGACCAAAAAUAUUAAGCAAUCAAGUAGUUCAUCUCAUAUUGGACAAACUGUUAUGAUGAAUUCUAAACCAUAUCAUCAUAGGAGUAAAUCGAAAGAAAAGUAUCUGAUAGGAGGAUGAUCAUUCCAUUCACACUUAUAGAGGAAUAUGAAGUAUUAUUNNNNNNNNNNNNNNNNNNNNNNNNNNNNNNNNNNNNNNNNNNNNNNNNNNNNNNNNNNNNNNNNNNUAGUGAUUGUUUUAUGUUGAAGAAAGGCUAAUUAAAGUAAACAUGCAUCUAAAAUUAUAAUUUAGAUGUUGUACUCAAAUAGUUGCUCUCCUCGAUUAUAUCAUAAAAUUUGGUUUGAAGUCUAAGUCAUCUAAUAAUUUUCUAGUUCCAAUUACAUGCAUCAAACAUGUGUGUUAGGAAGUGUUGCAAAUUACUAAUUAGUAUAUAUUCUUUUUUUUUUAAGAAUAUUGUAUUAAAUAUUUCUAGGUUGAUAUAUUAUUGUAAUAUUAGACUUCUUUAUAGAAUAAGGAAGGUUGUUGAAAAUAUCCCUAUAAAUAUUCUAGUUCAUAAGGGGAAAAAGUUUUGAGAUGAAGAUGGACCCAUAAAGACUAUACAAGGUGGAUAGAGAUGUGAGGAAGAACGAGAGGUACCCGAUGGAGCGAGAGGGCUCGUGGUAGGGUAUAGGUACGAAGAGUGAGGAAACAUGGGAUGUUUUGGGAACUCAAUAUUUGUAUCUAGUUAUGUCCUCUAUAAGUUCUAGUUCUGUCAUCUGCAUUGUUCUCUAUUUUAUAGUGGAAUGAUUCUCUCUUAUCUGUGGACGUAGGCAUGGUUUUCGAACCACGUUAAAACCUUGUGUACCGUUUGUGUUGAUUUUUUUUAUCUUUAUUUUCUUGAUUAAUGAAGUUUGCAUCAAAGCUUCUGUCAACGUAACAAACUUGUAUCAAAGUUUGGGAUAAAGAUUUCUAGAAGAGUAAAAGAUCAUAGAGCACACAAGAUGAAAACAAAAGGAAUUUUUAGUGAAAAAGGAGUCAAUUGCUCUCUCGUGGUGAUAUGAUAUAAAAAGUUUAUGUCAUGGAAAGUUUGAAGAUUUACUUCAUGGAAUCUGGUCCAAAAUGGAGAUUGUUAAUAAGUGUCCCAAAUUCCUAAUUAGUAUAGAUUUUUUUUUUUGUAAAGAAUAUUGUAUAGAAUAUUUCUAGGUUGAUAUAUUAUUGUAAUAUUAGACUUCCUUAUAGAAUAAGGAAGGUUGUUGAAAAUAUCUUUAUAAAUAUUCUAGGUCAUGAGGGAAAAAAGUAUGAGAUGAAGAUGGGCCCUAUAAAAACUAUAUGAGGUGGAUAAAGAUGUGAGGAAGAAUGAGAGGUACUCAAUGGAAUGAGAGGGCUCGUGGUAGGGUAUGGAUACAAAGAGUGGGGAAAUAUGGGAUGUUUUGGGAACCUAUUAGUUGUAUCUAGUUCUGUCAUCUAUAAUGUUCUAGUUACGUCCUCUAUAAUGUUCUCUAUUGUAUAGUGGAAUGAUUCUCUUUCAUCCGUGGAUGUAGGCAUGGUUGUCGAACCACAUUAAAACCUCGUGUACUAUUUGUUUUAUUUUUAAAUUUUUUUUAAUCUUUGUUUCUUGAUUAAUGAUGUGUGCAUCAAAGCUUCCAUCUACGUAACAAACUGGUAUCAGAGCUUGGGUUGAAGAUUUUUGGAAUAGUAAAAGAUCACAAAGCACACAAGAUGAAAACAAAAGGAAUUUUUAGUGAAUGUGGAGUCAAUUGUUCUCUCGUGGUGAUAUGAUACAAAAAGUUUGUGUCAUGGAGGGUUUAAUGAUUGACUCCGUGGAAUUUGGUCCAAGGUAGAGAUUGUUAGGAAGUGUCCCAAAUUCCUAAUUAGUAUAGAUUUUUUUUUUUUAAAGAAUAUUGUAUAGAAUAUUUCUAGGUUGACAUAUUAUUGUAAUAUUAGACUUCCUUAUAGAAUAAGGAAUGUUGUUGGAAAUAUUUUUAUAAAUAUUUUAAGUCAUGAGGGGAAAAAUUUAUGAGAUGAAGAUGGGCCUAUAAAGACCAUAUGAGAUGGAUAGAGAUGUGAGGAAGAAUCGGAGGUACCCAGUGGAGCGAGAGAGUUCGUGGUAGGGUGUGAAUAUGAAGAGUGGGGAAACAUGGGAUGUUUUGGGAACCCAAUAGUUGUAUCUAGUUCUGACAUCUAUAAUGUUCUGGUUCUGUCAUCUAUAAUGUUCUGGUUUUGUCCUCUGUAAUGUUCUUUAUUGUAUAGUGGAAUUAUUCUCUCUCAUCUAUAUAGGCAAGUUGCUAAACCACGUUAAAACCUCGAAUACCUUUUGUGUUGAUUUUUUUUAUCUUUGUGUUCUUGAUUAACGAUGCUUGCAUCAAAGCUUCUACCAACGUAACAAUGUGCAACAUAUUUGAUAUAACUUAUAUUUUCUUAAGUAAUUGAACACUUUUUUCUAUAAAUUUACUUGAUGAUCAAUGAGUACCUACAUAUACGGUAUUGACAUAGUUUGAUAAACAUUUUAAAAUAGUAUUAGAAUGGCUUUUCUUUUUCCCAAUUAACAAAUUUAUCAAAUACACACACACACACACACACACAAAAUACUCAUUAGUAUGUCUUUUAUGAAAAAACUAUGUUUGUUUAUUUGAAUUUAGUAGCCAUUCAAUUCCUUAGUUACUCAUAAACUUUUUAUCACCUUCUUAAAGUCAAGUCAUUUACAAUUAUUUUCAAGUCAUUUACAAUUAUUUUAGCCUUCUCCAUUAUGACAACUUUAUAAGAUAGUGAUUGAUUGGAAGAAUCUACAUGCCUUUGUUGAUAGUAUAAUUGUUUUUCUUUUUUUUCGUAUUCAAAGAAUCUUGCUUCUGUUAUUGAAACUUUCAAAUCCUUUAUGUCUAGUGGUCUUAUAAUUCCCUAUUCAUUGGUCUUUCAUAUUACCAAUCAUUUUGCAAAUGAGUUAAUUUCAUUCACAUCCUCUGAGAUUUGAUGUAAAUUCGCUUAGUUACCAAUGAUUUCAAAUUUCAUUAAUUAGUACCCCUACAGAUAUAAUUCGUGUACAAAAUUUAUUUUUUAAAAGAGUUUAGGUAAAAAUAUUUUAGGUAUAUGUCUUUAACAAUUCUCUAAAAUAAAUUUUACUUGCUAAAAAAUAACUUAUAUAGAUAGAAUACAUCUACAGGAGUUCUAACUAACGAAAUUUAAAACUAAUGGUGGUUUAGUGUAUUUAAACUAAACAUUAGGAAGGGUGACUGAAAUUAACCCUCUAGGUAUAUAUGUUUAACAAAAUUUUUAUUGUUUAUUUUUCAUUUAAUGUUUGCAUUUUUCAAUAAACAUUGAAAAGGAAUUGUUUUUCCAUAUGUUAACAAAAAGAAAUUUGAAUACCUAUAAAAAUGAAAUCUUGUAGUAAAAUUGGAGUUACAUUAUCAGACUUUUAACGAGUGUUUAUGUUUAGAAAGGCCAAUUAAAGCAAGCAUGCAUCUAGAAAUUGUAACUUAGAUGCAUCAAACAUGAGCAACAUAUUUGAUAUAACUAAUAGUUUCUUAAGUAACUAAACACUUCUUUUUCUAUAAAUUUACUUGAUUGUCGAUGAAUACUUACAUACAUUUACAUAGUUUGAUAAAUAUUUUAAAAUAAUAUUAGAAUAACUUUGUUUUUUCUCAAUUAUAUUAGAAAAUAAUAUAAAGUUACUUAUAAACUUUAUAUCAUUUUCUCAAAGUCAAGUCAUUUACAAUUAUUUCUAUCUAGUCUUCUCCAUUAUGACAACUUUUAUAUGAUAGUCGUUGAUUGGAAGAAUCUACAUGUCUUUUUUGAUAAGAUAGUUGUUUUUAUUAUUUUUAUUUUUUUUAUUCCAAAAAUUUGCUUCUAUCAUUGAAACUUUCAAAUCUUUUAUGUAUAUUACCAAUCAUUUUACAAGUGAGUUAAUUUCACUUAGGGUAGAUAUACUUAGCCACACCCCUAUAGAUGUAAUUUGUGUUUAAAUUUUAUUUUUUAUUUAGGUAAAAAUAUCUUAGGUAUAUGUGUUCUACAAUUCUCUAAAAAAUAAAUUUUCUUAUCUAAAAGUUUAUAUAGACAAAAUACAUCUAUAGAAGUCCUAACUAAUGAAAUUUAAAAUCAAUGGUUGUUUAGUGUAUUUACAUUAAACCUUAUGGGGUAUGAUUGAAAUUAAGUCUUUUACAAGCACUUGUAGCUAAUAUGUUUGUAGUUGUAGUCUUGGAAAUUGAUCAUUUUCUUGAAGGCCUCUAGGAUAUUGAAAAUAUUGCCAUAGUUUUAGACUUUUUUUUUAUUACACCUAAUAAAAAAUAUUAUUAAUUUAACAUAUAUAUUCUUGACUUAAAAGUAAAGUCUCUCCAUAUUGUAUAAGCCCUUAGGUGGCAAUAUUAGGUGAAGUUUUUCUUUCGUUUAUUACAAAAUAUAAAUAAUUUAUUAUUGUAUGAUAAAAUUUUAUGUAAUAUAUUUUUAUAGAUGUAAAAUUAUUAAUUGGGUUUUGUUUUUUUUUACUAAAUUGUCAUUUCAAUAUAUAAAACUUAUUUGUAAAAAGACAAUUAUAAACUAUAUGAAAUUGAAAAACAUUUAGUUUUUUUAUUUAAUUUAGAAUUUUAUUUGGAUUAAUAAUUGAUAUUUGUAAGAUUUUUGAAUAUUAAAAAAAGUUAGCAUACUUAAGAAAGAUAUUCAAGAUCGGGAGUGUUUGAUAUCGGAUUAAUUUCCUUAUUUUCUCUAUUUUAAUAAAUUUUCACGUCCAUUACAAAAUUUUUGUUGUUUAUUUUUUACUUCAAUAUUUUUAUUUUGUAAUAGAAAUUUGAAAAGAUUUUUUCCUACAUGUUAAAAAAAAAAAAGAUUUGAACACUCCUAAAAAAGAAAUAUUGCAAUAAAAUUAAAGUUUACACUGUAGGACUAUUAGCAAAUGCUGCAUACUUAAAAUAGACCAAUUAAAGUAGAAAUACUUCUAAAAUUGUAAUUUAGGUAACAAUAAUAUAAAAAGACAAUAUUUUUGAAACAAUAGUUCUCUUGGAGUUUUGGGUACAAUGGACUAGACUUUAUGUAACAAUAGAUAUACAAACUUUCCAUUAACAUCUUGAGAGACAUGAUGAGGAGCAAAGUCAUCCAAGAAGGUACCAUAGAGGUACCUUAGCUCAAUUCAUCUAGACUACAUAAUGUUUAAAGAUCAAAUUCAAUGACUAGAUUUCAAAAAUCAAUAUAAGCUUUCUCAUAUUCUACUCUAUAUAAGACAAUGGUAUGAUACCUCUCUUGUGUCGUAGAAUGCACCAUGAAAACCUUAUCAUUUUAACAUCAGUUUGAAACUUAAAAGUCACUUAGCACAUUCUAGUUAUUAAUUUAAGAGCAUUAAAAGAAAUAUAUAAAAAAAAAGUUACUUUAUCCUUGUGAUUUUGAUCUAGGACUUUUAAUGAUAUUAAAAAAAAAAACAGAAAAAUAAAUGGAAAUAAAAUCAAUAAAUUAAACAAUUGAAUUAAGUUAGUUUAAUUUUUGAAUCGUUAAAUGGGUAAAUAAAGAUCUUAGAUUUGAUAUUAAUAUGAACAUCAUGACUUCAGUGAAUCUUACAAGAAAAUUUUAGUUUGAAAGACUUCAUUCAUUAAACGUGUGGCACAUAUUAAAGUAAAACUAAGUCUUCUCUAUAAUUUGUACCUAUCAUAGUUUCUUUCCUCAUAAAUAGCCUUUUUUGAAUAUAAUAUAGACUUCAACAUGCAUGGUGGGGCCAAUCAAACUACUAGUCAAGACAACUCAUGGGCAACAACGAUGUACCAACUACAUUUAAAUACUCUUCAUAUAUUUGCAUAUCAAGAGUAAUUUAGUAGUGUCUUUCUUAUGUACCUCAUAUCUAGACUUUCAAUGGAGAGUUCUUCAUCUAAAAAUUUGACUUGGGUUUUCAUACUAGUUUUGGUUUAGACAUGUGGAUGCAAAGGUUGCAUCAAAGAAGAGAAGUAGGCUAAAUCAUCUUACAAAUUUUCAAGUUCAAAUUAGAUGCACCAAACAUAUGCAACAUAUUUGAUAUAACUAAUAUUUUCUUAAGUAAUUGAAUACAAUUUUUUUUUAUAAAUUCACUUGAUUAUUAAUGGAUAACUAACUACAUGUAUGGUAUUGACACAACUUGAUAAAUUUUUUAAAAUAGUAUUAGAAUAACUUUGCUAAAAAAAAGUAAAAAUAAAAAUAAAAAUACAUCUAUAUAUAUAUAUAAUUAAAUAAAAUUAAAAAUUAAUAUAUAUAUAUAUAUAUAUAUAUUCUGUGUGUGUAUGUGUGCAUGGUCUCACAAGUCAUUAGCUACUCAUAAGCUUUAUAUCACUUUCUCAAAGUCAAGUCAUUUUGUAAUUAUUUCUAUCUAGCCUUCUCCAUUACGACAACUGUAUAGGAUAUUGAUUGAUUGUAAAAAUCUUCAUGUCUUUUUUUAUAAGAUAGUUUUUUAUUAUUAUUAUUAUUCAAAGAAUUUUCUUUUAUUAUUGAAACUUUCAAAUCCUUUAUGUCUAGUGGUCCUACAAUUCCCUAUUCAUUGGUAUUUCAUAUUACCAAUCAUUUUACAAAUAAGUUUAUUUCACCCGGUAAAUAUACUUAACUACCAAUGGUUUCAAAUUUAAUUGAUUAACACACUUAUAGAUGUAAUUUGUUUUUAAAUUUUAUUUCUUUUAGAAGAAUUGUAGGUAAAAAUGUUCUAGGAAUAUGUGUUCAAUAAUUCUCUAAAAACAAUUUAUAUAGAUGGAAUACAUUCAUGGAAGUUCCAACUAAUGAAAUUUAAAACCAAUGACGAUUUAAUGUAUUUGCACUAAAUCUUAGGGGAGGUGUACUAAAACUAGCCCUUUUACAAAUAUUUGUAGCUAGUAUAUUUGUAGUUAUGGUGUUGGAAGUUGAUCAUUUUCUUAAAGGCCUCUAAGAUAUUGGAAAUAUCGCCAAAGUUUUGAACUUUUUGUUUCACCUAAAUAAAAUAUCAUUAAUUUAAUAUAUAUACUCUUCGCUUGAAAGUAUAGUUUCUUCAUAUUGUAUGAAGUUGUAACUAGGUGACAAUAUUAGGUGAAAUUUUUUUUUGUUUACUACAAAAUAUAAAUAAUAUAUUUAUUAUAUGAUAAAAUUUUGUAAAAUAUAUUAUUAUAGAUGCAAAAUUAUUAAUGGAGUUUUAUUUUUUACUAAAUUAUCAUUUCAAUAAAUAAGAACUUAUUUGUUAAAAGAAAAUUAUAAAAUAUAUGCAAUUGAAAAAAAUUUAAUUUUUUUAUUUAAUUUGGUAUUUUAUUUGAAUUAAUAAUUGAUAUUUGUAAAAUCUUUUAAUAUUAAAAGAAGUUAACAUACUUAAAAAAGACAUUCAAAAUCAAGAGAGUAUUUGAUAUGAAAUUAAUUAAUUAUUUUUUUUCUAUUUAAAUAAAUUUUUACAUCCAUUAAAAAAAUUUUCUUGUUUAUUUUUCACUUCAAUAUUUUUAUUUUGUAAAAUAAAUAGAAAUAAAAUCAACAAAUUAAACAAUUGAAUUAAGUUAGUUUAAUUUUGCCACCGUUAAAUUGGUAAAUGAAGACUCUUAUAUUUGAUAUUAACAUGAACAUCAUGACUUCAUUGAAUAUUCUCACAAGAAAAUUUUAGUUUGAAAGAUUUUAUCCUUUAAACAUGUGGCACAUAUUAAAGUGAGACCAAGUCUUCCCUAUAAUUUGUAUCUAUCACAAUUUCUUUCCUAAUGAAUAACCUUUUUGAAUAGAAUAUAGACUUUAGCAUAUUACCAACCAUUUUACAAAUAAGUUAAUUUCACUCAGUAAAUAUACUUAACCACCAAUGGUUUCCAAUUUGUAGCACUCUUAUAGAUGUAGUUUUUUUUUUAAAUUUUAUUUUUUAGAAGAAUUGUAGGUAAAAAUAUUUUAGAUAUAUAUGUUCAACAAUUCUCUAAAAACAAUUUAUAUAGAUGGAAUACGUUCAUGGAAGUUCCAACUAAUGAAAUUUAAAACCAAUGAUGAUUUAAUGUAUUUGUACUAAAUCUUAGGGAGUGUGGACUAAAAUUAGCCCUUUUACAAAUAUUUAUAACUAGUAUAUUUGUAGUUGUGGUAUUGAAAGUUGAUCAUUUUCUUAAAAGGUUUACCAUUGAAGUUAGUUGAAUAUAAAGUUAGGUGAACUUUACCAUUGUUUAAUUGGUAAAUGAAGACUCUUAGAUUUGAUACUAACAUGUACAUCAUGACUUCAUUGAAUCUCUCACAAGGAAAUUUUAGUUUGAAAGACUUCAUCUUUUAAACAUGUGGCACAUAUUAAAGUGGACCAAGUCUUCCCUAUAAUUUGUAUCUAUCACAAUUUCUUUCCUCAUAAAUAGCCUUUUUUAAUAGAAUUAAUAUAGACUUUAGCAUGCAUGGUGGGCCCUGUCAAACUAUUAGUCAAGAUAAUUUGUAGGUAAGAACGAUGGACCAACUAUAUUAAAUAUUCUUCAUCUAUUUGCAUAUCAAGAGCAACUUAAUAUUGUCUUUCUUUUGUACUUCAUGUUUGAACUUUCAAUGGAGAGUGUGUCAUCUAAAUAUUUGAUGUGGGUUUUUAUACUAUUCUUGGUUCAAAUAUGUGGAUGCAAAGGUUGCAUCGAAGAAGAGAAGAUGGGUUUGCUUGAAUUCAAGGCUUUUCUUAAAUUGAAUAAUGAGCAUGCAGAUUUUCUUCUCCCUUCAUGGAUAGAUAACAACACUAGUGAAUGUUGUAAUUGGGAGCGGGUUAUUUGCAAUCCCACCACAGGUCGAGUUAAGAAGCUUUUCCUCAAUGAUAUUACGCAACAACAAAGUUUCUUGGAAGACAAUUGGUACCAAUAUGAAAAUGUCAAAUUCUGGUUACUAAAUGUCUCCCUAUUCCUUCCUUUUGAAGAACUUCACCAUCUAAACUUGUCUGCAAACUCAUUUGAUGGGUUUAUUGAGAAUGAAGGUAUGUUACCUCUCACCUUUAAAAUUUCAUUUCACUUAUACUCCAAACAUUCUAAAGGAACUACUAGCAUAUGUUCUUAAAAGUGUUCAGGUGGAGACCAAAUGGUCACUAGUAACUAUUGAAUUUAAUAUAAGAACAAUUACUAAUUAUUAAAAUUUAUAAUGUAAAUUAACAUUUAAACAGAACAAUAAAAAAAUUAUUAUUUUAGAAAACUAUAGAUUACAUUAGCCUUAUAUAUAUAAGCAUACUUGUUAUUUAUGCCAUCAUUUCACACUCAACCCAAUAAGUGGGAUUCAACUAAGAGUGAGCAAUUUCACAAUUAUUAAUUAACAGGAACACUUAGUCUCCCAUAUCCUUAUCCUUUUUGUUGAAUUGUCUUUCCUUAUCUUCCAUUCCUAAAAAGCUUGAUUUCUAUAUUCUAAAUUGAUAAAGAUUGGUUAAAGAAAGGUGAUCACAAAAUUUGACUAUUGCUGUCAAAUAAGGAAUCACCAUCUUCAAAGUUUCACAUUUACAAAAAAAAAAAAAAAAAAAAAAAAAAAAAAAAAAAACCCUAGCCUUGGGUAAGGUCCAAGCCUUAUUGUUUUAAGCUGAUGUCGGGUUGGUUUAAUAAUAAACAAAAAAAAUCCUAACCCAUGACCAUCUACGCAUUUCCAAAUUCCACCCAUCCACAACCCAUUAAUAUGACAUUUUCAAGGACAAAAUUUAAUCAAUUAAACCUAUUAGAUGGAUUCUCCAUACAAUGUUAAAAUGAAUAUAAAAACUUUAAUUCAAAAAAUAAUUUCCUUUAUUUAGUUAGGAUUCAAAUUAUAGGGGCACAAAACAUGAAAAUUUUCAUGUUUAAAAUUCACAAAGAUCACAAAAGCUCUUUGAAGCUCUAUGGACUUUUUUAUUUCUAACAUUUAAACACAAAAAUCACCAUAUUUAAUUAGAGAUUUGGAUACAUAUUCUUAUAUUAAAGACAUGUAAGCUUACAUAUUUAAAUAUGAAGAUCUCAACUUGUAAUUACAUGCUUCUAAUUAAAGUUAUAUUACUCUAUUUUAUAGGAUUUAAAGGGUUAUCAAGUUUAAAGAAAUUGGAGAUCUUAGACAUAAGUGGUAAUGAGUUUGAAAAAAGUGUCUUAAAAUCUUUGGACACAAUAACAUCACUCAAGACAUUGGCUAUUUGCAGCAUGGGACUGAAUGAAUCUUUUUCCAUUCGAGGCAUGUUAUAUGUCCACAUUGUUUCUUUGAAAUUAAGUAAAAUAUAUUUCUAACUUUUAAUGUUCCUUAGUUAAUCUCUCUUUUGAUUCAUGUUUGUUGCAGAAUUAGCUAGUUUGAGAAAUUUGGAAGUGUUGGAUCUAAGCUAUAAUGAUUUGGAAAGCUUUCAACUAUUGCAAGGUACUUCAUUAACUUGCUAAAAAAACUUAUGAUAUUUUGUUAUUAAAUUAAAGGUAAGAUUAACAAACAAUUUCUUCUCAUUAGUUACUUUUCUUUGUAAUAUCAUUAAAUUUGAUAUAAAGUAGUCUAAAUCAUCCUUUCAAUUUAUAAGUUUUAAUUAAAACGCAUCAAGCAUGCACAAGAUGUUUAAUAUAACUAAUAUUUUCAUAAGUAAUUGAAUUUUUUUAUAUGAAUUAAUUAACUUGAUUAUCAAUAAAUACUUACAUGUAUAAGAUUAAUAUAGUUUCAUAAGUAUUUUAAAAUUGUCUUACAACACACACACACACACACACAAGGAAAAUGAAAGGUAUGUGAUAUCUUUAUGCUAUGUUUGGUUCCCAAAAAAAUUGAGGGAAAAUGAAAGGAGAAAAAAGUAGAGACGAAAAGUAAAAGAAAAGAAAAAAAGUAAAGAAAAAUAUAAAAUUGAUUAAAGUAAAUACAUUAUUUUUAUAUGUUACUUUAACUUGUUUCACUUAUUUUAAUUCUUCAAUGUAAAGAUGAAAGAUUUGAAAAUGCAUAAGUUUCUAAUUAUUUUUUAUUUUAUUUUAUAGUUUUUACAAUACAACCAAACAUAAUAAAAUCAUUUUCUUUAAUUUUUUUUCUUUUCUUAAUACUUUUCACGAACCCUUUAAGUUAUGUUUGUUUGCAGAAAAUAUGAGGAAUAGAAAAUAGAAAAGAAAAUUAGAAGGAAAGAAAAAGUGAAGUAAAAUAAAAAUAAAUUUAAAUUUAAUAAAUUAUUUGUAUAUGCUACUUUAAACUUAUUUCACUUAUUUUAAAUUAUUUAAACUCAUUUCUAAUAAAUAAUAAUGGAAAUUGUAGAGAAGUUUGUGUUAUUCAAGCUUUGCAAUGACUUUACAAGGUGAAGGAAAAUAUUCUUGCUGAAAUUGAAAAAAGAAAUACCUUCUUAAAUAGCCUAUUGACCGAAAACACAUUACCCUAACAUAUACACACACCUUUAUUAUUUAUACAAUCAUUUAAUACUUAAUCCAGUUAGUGGGAUUCUAGUGGUUGUUUUUAUCUUGGUUUCCAAUAUUUCUGAUUGAUAGUGUUCGAUUAAUGAAAUAUCAUAAAUUUUGACCCUAAUAAGGACCAAUCCCUAUUAAAUGUAAUUGGGUUGACCUAAGACUAAAUGUUAGAUCCAACUAAUAAAAACCCAUCUAUUUGUUGGAGUGUAAAUAACCCGGCCUUAGGUAGGGCCCAUGCCUUAUUAUUUUAAGAUGUAGUCCAACUGGUUUGACACUAGAUUGAGUAAAGCCCAACUUAUGAGCAUCUAUGCAUUUCCAUCCAUCCACAACCUACUGGCAUGGACAAACUUUGGUCAAUUAAACCUAUUAUAACUGCAUACAAAAUUUUAAGUUCAAAAGAUAAUUUUCCUUAUUUAGUUAGGAUUCAUAUUAAAAAGGCACAAAGCACGAAUUUUCAUGUUUAAAUUCACAAAUAUCACAAAAGCUCCUUCAAGCUCUAUGGACCAUUUUAUUUGUAACAUUAUAUUACUCUUAAUUAUCAAAUUAACCAACAAAUUCUUCUCAUUAGUUAUUUUUCUUUAGUAAUGUCAUAAAAUUUGAUAUAAAGUAGUAUUGGUCAUCAUUUCAAAUUUUAGGUUCCAAUUAGAUGUAUCAAGCAUGUGUACCAUAUUUGAUAUAACUAAUAUUUUUAUAAGUAAUUGAAUUUUUUUUUCUAUAAAUCAAUUAAUUUGAUUAUCAAUGAAUACUUUCAUACAUGAUAUUGAUGUAGUUUCAUAAAUAUUUUAAAAUAGUCAUAGAAGUCUUUUAUCUGAUUCACUAGAAAGAAAAAUAAACUAUUCUAAUGAAAAGACUUGAUGAUUUGAAGUGAUUGCUUUUGAUUUUAUUUGAUUGCUACCAUUAUUAAUUGUUAGAAAUUGGCAACAAAUACCCAUUUUGCAUCACUUCUAUAUGCAUCGGGGGAAUGAAUUAUAUUUCAUAGAGCUAAUAGGGCAAAACUCAAACUUUUGGAAUUAUGGAAAAGGUUGCUAGAAAGCUAAUUAACCAUUUAUAUUAUGAUUAAGACUAGUUGGGUUAGAAAUAAUUCAUAUGGAGAUUAAAAAAAACUAUGUAAUUUAGUUUAGUAGCUUGGGUGCUAUUGUAAUGAUUAAUGAUCUGCAACUUGAACACAUCUACUAGUGCUUUCUACUUGUAUAGCUAAAUUUAUGUUACCACUUUGAACUACAGUACUUACAUGAGAAGAAAGUUUUUCCUUAGUGAUAAUGCAAAAGAAAUUAAGUAUCAAUUUUUGUUAAACUAACAAGUGAUAGUUUAGAUAUGGUUUGAAUACACUUCCUUUCUUCUAUAUUUUUAUUUUGAAAAAAAAAAACUCUUUAAUGAAAUAUAAGAAAUCUUAUAUGUAUAAAAAUUAAAGACUUAAACAAAAAAAUUCUUCAAAUUUGAAAAUUUUCGAGAAGUAUUUUUAAGAAUUUGUAUUUUCAAUAUAAUAAUUCAUAUAUUUUGUAUAAAAGUUUUUGUUUAAAAAAAUAGAAGUGUGUCCAAAUUACAAAUUAAUUGUUAAAUUAAGAAUGUUUCUCAGAUCAAGAGAUGAUGAAAGUUGUAGAGAGUUUGCAUUACUCAACCUUUGCAAUUACUUUUUGAAGGUAAAAGAAAAUACCUUCCUACAUAACAUACAAUGGCAGGUUCUGGUUUGUAAGAAACUAAUAAAUGAUUAAGAAUAUGAAUAAGACUUCCUUUAUAAUGGAUAUGUAGAGAAGAAUAGUGGAUGAUAGGAGGUGAAAAUCUUGUAAUAAAAUAUCAAUAUCAGUUAUAAGAUAAUCAACAUUUUCUCUAUUUCUUGUACCUAUGUGAUUAAGAAUCUUGUAGCUCCCUUAUUGAAAUAUAAUAUAAAAAUAUAAAUAAACUAUUUAGAAGUGCAUGUAGUUUUCAACAUGAGGAAGUUCAAAAGCAAGUUAAUUAUGAUAAUUUUCUAUAGUCUAUAUUGAACACAAAUUAUUUUUACUAAAGGUUCAAUCGUUCUAUGAAGGUUAAAAGUUUGAAUUGUUUACAUAUGCAAAUGGACAACCAAACAAGAAAAUGAUUUUGAAAUCCUUUUUGGACCUUUUUUUAUCAUUCAUUUUUUCCCCUACUCUAUUUCCUUUCCCUCAAACUCUCUAGGUAGUAAACAUUACCUAAGAUAAAUAGGGAAGAAAAUAUUUUAUCAUUUAUUUAUUUAGUAUUUUUCUUACAUUUUUUGUAUGUUAUCCAAAUAUAAGAAAACUAUUUUUCUUUAUUUUUUCUUUUCCUUGUUGCUUUUCAAGAAUCAAGCAUACUUUAAACUCUAAUUAAGAGUUACAUAGAUUUACGAAGAAACAAUGCAACUGGUAACAAAAAAUUAAGGAAAUUUAAUUUUUGAGAGUAGGUAUAAUGAGAUUGGUUUGUUUGAUACAAAAUUUGAAUAAAAAUUCUUUCAAUGAAAAUUCAAGGAAAGGAAAAAAAAAACAACUUUCUCUCUAGACUAUAAUACUAAAUCACUUAAAAAAUAUCCUAACAUCGUUUAUGUUCAUCUUUCUUUUUAUGGAUUUGAAAAACCCAAUAAUUUGGAGAAAACUGAUUCAAGGAAGAAUAAUUUUUAGAAUAAAAUAUUAUUAUUUAAGAAGAUCAUAAAUAUUAUAGUCAUUGUUGAAUAUGAUAAAUGAUUUAAAAAAAAUGGUAGUUGGAAAUUUAGAUACUUUUAUAAGACAAAUGAAUUUUUCUAGUAUGGUAUGAAAAAAGGUAAAAUGAUAGGCUUUGAUCAUUUUUUAAGGUAGUUUGUUUAAAUCAUUUUAAUUUAUUUUCAUUUAAGAACAAUAACUUUUAUUACACUAGUUAUUUUGAUUUUCUUUUGAUAGAUUUUGCAAGCUUAAGCAAUUUGGAGCUAUUGGAUUUGAGUAAUAAUUCAUUUAGUGGGAGCGUUCCAUCAUCUAUAAGAUUGAUGUCUUCUCUCAAGUCUUUAUCCCUGGCUGGAAAUUACCUCAAUGGUUCCUUACCAAAUCAAGGUAUAUAUAUAUUGUGAUUACAGGUUUUUCUGUUUUCUUUUUUAAUAUCUUGUUUGUUCUUUAUGCCAAUGAAGUCAUGCAUGUCUAUUAAUUUUUGGUAUUUAAUAAAAAACUUUAUUCUUAAUUCAUAAAGACCUCAUCAACGGUAAGUAACAGCUAGUUGUAAGUUUGGGGGCAUUGACAAGACGAGGAGAUGAUUGGUUACAUGUCUUAUUCUCUUUUGUAGGCUUUUGCCAAUUGAAUAAGCUUCAAGAAUUAGAUCUUUCUUACAACUUGUUCCAAGGAAUCCUUCCUCCAUGUUUGAAUAAUUUGACAUCUUUGAGGUUAUUGGAUCUCUCUUCCAACCUAUUCUCCGGAAAUCUUUCUUCCCCUCUGUUACCUAAUCUCACAUCCCUGGAGUACAUCGAUCUCAGUUACAAUCAUUUUGAGGGUUCAUUCUCUUUCAGCUCUUUUGCUAAUCACUCCAACCUUCAAGUGGUCAAACUUGGAAGGAAUAACAACAAAUUUGAGGUAGAAACUGAAUAUCCAGUUGGUUGGGUUCCCCUGUUUCAGUUGAAAGCUCUUGUGCUAUCCAACUGUAAGCUCAUCGGUGACCUUCCUAGUUUCCUUCGACACCAAUUAAGAUUAACCGUGGUUGAUCUCUCCCAUAAUAACUUGACUGGAAGUUUCUCCAUUUGGCUGCUUGAAAACAAUACAAGACUAGGAUCUCUAGUUCUGAGGAAUAACUCUUUAAUGGGUCAACUACUUCCCCUGAGACCUAAUAGUCGUAUCACUUUAUUGGAUAUCUCAGACAACCGACUUGAUGGGGAACUUCAACAAAAUGUGGCCAAUAUGAUUCCAAAUAUUGAGUUUCUAAAUUUAUCCAACAAUGGUUUUGAAGAUAUUCUCCUAUCCUCAAUAGCCGAAAUGAGUUCCUUACAGUCAUUGGAUUUGUCUGCUAAUAGUUUCUCAGGGGAAGUACCAAAACAAUUGCUUGUGGCAAAAUAUUUGUGGCUUCUGAAAUUAUCAAAUAAUAAAUUUCAUGGUGAAAUAUUUUCAAGGGAGUUUAACUUGACUCAGUUAGGGUUUUUACAUUUGGACAAUAAUCAGUUCAAGGGAACACUGUCAAAUGUAAUCUCCAGAAUCUCUAGGUUAUGGGUGUUGGAUAGGUAACAUGACCGAUUUGACUACCCUAGUGUUGGGCAACAAUAGUUUUAAAGGCAAAUUACCACCUGAGAUUUCUCAAUUGUUGGGGAUGAUAUUUCUUGACCUUUCUUAAAACGCUCUUUCAGGAUCUUUUCUUUCUUUGAAGAGCCUGGAGUAUUUAGAGCAUCUACAUUUGCAAGGGAACAUGUUUAUAGGAUUGAUACCUAGAGAUUUUCUCAAUUCCUCAUAUCUAUUGACUUUGGAUAUCAGAGACAACAGGUUAUUUGGAAGUAUUCCCAAUUCAAUCUCUAGACUUUUAGAGCUAAGAGGAAACCUUUUAAGUGGUUUCAUUCCAUAUCAGCUCUGUCAUUUGACUAAAAUAAGCUUCAUGGAUCUUUCAAACAACAAUUUUUCUAGGUCAAUUCCUGGAUGCUUUGGUCAUAUCAGAUUUGGAGAUUUCAAAACUGAGCACAAUGUGUAUAUACCGAUGUUGGAUUCGUAUUCAGAAAGCAAUCCUUCUAUAUAUGCGGGUUACUUAAUAAAAUUUUAUUUUUCUCUAGUGAACUCCCUAAUGAAGUAGAUGAAGUUGAGUUUGUUACCAAGAAUAGGUAUAGCUCCCACAGAGUAGAUAAAUAUAUUUGUUGGGAAUUUAGAUAUUUUUAUAGAAAAGUAGACAAGUAUUCUAAUUUAUAAAAAUAAUGCAUUUCUUUAGUUUGGUAUAAAAAAAAUGAAAUGAUAUGUAUUGGUAAUUUUUUUUAAAGUAACAAACGUUUUAUUUUAUUUGUAUUUAAGAACAAUUUUUUUUCUUAUACUAGUUAUUUUAAUUUUCUUUUGACAGAUUUUGCAAGCUUAAGCAAUUUGGAGAUGCUAGAUUUGAGUUAUAAUUCCUUAAGUGGGAUUAUUCCAUUAUCUAUAAGAUUGAUGCCUCAUCUCAAGUCUUUAUCCUUGGCCAGAAAUCACUUCAAUGGUUCUUUACAAAAUCAAGGUACAUAUGUUAUGAUUUGUUUGUUUCAUAUAGAUUAGAGAAGAUGAAUAUUGUUAAAAAAAAAAAGUUGUUGUUAAUGUAAGCUAGAAAUAAGUAUUUUGCCUUAUAAAUUAUAUAAGCAUGUGUUUGUUCUGAAUGAAUCUUUACAACAUUUAGAGUUACCAAUGUUUAUAAUUCAUAAAGACCUCAUUAACAGUGAGUAACAACUAAUUGUAAGUAAUUGUGGAAAAAGUAAGGAAAACAAAAUGAGGGAAAAGCAAGGAAUUAGGAAAUUAUUUUGUUCCCAUAAAAAAAUGCUAAGGAAGAAAAAGGUAAAAGAAAGUUUAAAAAAAGUGUAUUUUUCAAAAAUUUAUUUCUCUUUCCUUUAAUUUUGCUAUGGACAACCAAACAAGAAAAUAAUUUUAUAAUUCCUUUUUUUUUUCAUUCUCUCUCUCUCUCUCUCUUUUUCCCUACUCUAUUUCUUUUCCCUCAAACUUUCUUGAUAGUAAACACAACCUAAGGUAAAUGAGGAAGAAAAUUUUUAGUUUUUUUUAUUUUUUAUUUUUUUAGAAUGUUUUCUUACUUUUUAGUAUUUUAUGCAAAUAUAGGAAAAUUUUCAUCUUUCUUUUUAUGGAUUUGAAAAACCCAAUAAUUUGGAGAAAACUGAUUCAAGGAAGAAUAAUUUUUAGAAUAAAAUAUUAUUAUUUAAGAAGAUCAUAAAUAUUAUAGUCAUUGUUGAAUAUGAUAAAUGAUUUAAAAAAAUGGUAGUUGGAAAUUUAGAUACUUUUAUAAGACAAAUGAAUUUUUCUAGUAUGGUAUGAAAAAAGGUAAAAUGAUAGGCUUUGAUCAUUUUUUAAGGUAGUUUGUUUAAAUCAUUUUAAUUUAUUUUCAUUUAAGAACAAUAACUUUUAUUACACUAGUUAUUUUGAUUUUCUUUUGAUAGAUUUUGCAAGCUUAAGCAAUUUGGAGCUAUUGGAUUUGAGUAAUAAUUCAUUUAGUGGGAGCGUUCCAUCAUCUAUAAGAUUGAUGUCUUCUCUCAAGUCUUUAUCCCUGGCUGGAAAUUACCUCAAUGGUUCCUUACCAAAUCAAGGUAUAUAUAUAUUGUGAUUACAAGUUUUUAUGUUUUCUUUUUUAAUAUCUUGUUUGUUCUUUAUGCCAAUGAAGUCAUGCAUGUCUAUUAAUUUUUGGUAUUUAAUAAAAAACUUUAUUCUUAAUUCAUAAAGACCUCAUCAACUGUAAGUAACAGCUAGUUGUAAGUUUGGGGGCAUUGACAAGACGAGGAGAUGAUUGGUUACAUGUCUUAUUCUCUUUUGUAGGCUUUUGCCAAUUGAAUAAGCUUCAAGAAUUAGAUCUUUCUUACAACUUAUUCCAAGGAAUCCUUCCUCCAUGUUUGAAUAAUUUGACAUCUUUGAGGUUAUUGGAUCUCUCUUCCAACCUAUUCUCCGGAAAUCUUUCUUCCCCUCUGUUACCUAAUCUCACAUCCCUGGAGUACAUCGAUCUCAGUUACAAUCAUUUUGAGGGUUCAUUCUCUUUCAGCUCUUUUGCUAAUCACUCCAACCUUCAAGUGGUCAAACUUGGAAGGAAUAACAACAAAUUUGAGGUAGAAACUGAAUAUCCAGCUGGUUGGGUUCCCCUGUUUCAGUUGAAAGCUCUUGUGCUAUCCAACUGUAAGCUCAUCGGUGACCUUCCUGGUUUCCUUCGACACCAAUUAAGAUUAACUGUGGUUGAUCUCUCCCAUAAUAACUUGACUGGAAGUUUCCCCAUUUGGCUGCUUGAAAACAAUACAAGACUAGGAUCUCUAGUCGUAUCACUUUAUUGGAUAUCUCAAACAACCGACUUGUUGGGGAACUUCAACAAAAUGUGGCCAAUAUGAUUCCAAAUAUUGAGUUUUUAAAUUUAUCCAACAAUGGUUUUGAAGGUAUUCUCCCAUCCUCAAUAGCUUAAAUGAGUUCCUUACAGUCGUUAGAUUUGUCUGCUAAUAGUUUCUUAGGGGAAGUACCAAAACAAUUGCUUGCGGCAAAAUAUUUGUGGCUUCUGAAAUUAUCAAAUAAUAAAUUUCAUGGUGAAAUAUUUUCAAGGGACUUUAACUUGACUCAGUUAGGGUUUUUACAUUUGGACAAUAAUCAGUUUAGGGGAUAUUUCUCCAGAAUCUCUAGGUUAUGGGUGUUGGAUGGGAGAUAGUUUUAAAGGCAAAUUACCACCUGAGAUUUCUCAAUUGUCGGGGAUGAUAUUUCUUGACAUUUUUCAAAACGCUCUUUCAGGAUCUCUUCCUUCUUUGAAGAGCCUGGAGUAUUUAGAGCAUCUACAUUUGCAAGGGAACAUGUUUAUAGGAUUGAUACCCAGAGAUUUUCUCAAUUCCUCAUAUCUAUUGACUUUGGAUAUCAGAGACAACAGGUUAUUUGGAAGUAUUCCCAAUUCAAUCUCUAGACUUUUAGAGCUAAGAGGAAACCUUUUAAGUGGUUUCAUUCCAUAUCGGCUUUGUCAUUUGACUAAAACAAGCUUCAUGGAUCUUUCAAACAACAAUUUUUCUGGGUUAAUUCCCGGAUGCUUUGGUCAUAUCGGAUUUGGAGAUUUCAAAACUAAGCACAAUGUGUAUAUACCGAUGUUAGAUUCGUAUUCAGAAAGCAAUCCUUCUAUAUAUACGGGUUACUUAAUAAAAUAUUUAUUUUUCUCUACUGAACUCCUUGAUGAAGUAGAUGAAGUUGAGUUUGUUACCAAGAAUAGGUAUAGCUCCCACAGAGUAGAUAAAAAUAUUUGUUGGGAAUUUAGAUAUUUUAUAGGACAAUAUACAAGUAUUCUAAUUUAUAAAAACAAUGCAUUUCUUUAGUUUGGUAUAAAAAAAAUAAAAUGAUAGGUAUUGGUAAUUUUUUUUCAAAGUAACAAACGUUUUAUUGUAUUUGUAUUUAAGAACAAUGUCUUUUCUUAUACUAGUUAUUUUAAUUUUCUUUUGACAGAUUUUGCAAGCUUAAGCAAUUUGGAGAUACUAGAUUUGAGUUAUAAUUCCUUAAGUGGGAUUAUUCCAUCAUCUAUAAGAUUGAUGUCUUGUCUCAAGUCUUUAUCGUUGGCCGGAAAUCACCUCAAUGGUUCUUUACAAAAUCAAGGUACAUAUGUUAUGAUUUGUUUGUUUCAUAUAGAUUAGAGAAGAUAAAUAUUGUAAAAAAAAAAAAAGUUGUAGUUAAUGUAAGCUAGAAAUAAGUAUCUUGCCUUAUAAAUUAUAUAAGCAUGUGUUUGUUCUUAAUGAAUCUUUACAACAUUUAGAGUUACCAAUGUUUAUAAUUCAUAAAGACCUCAUUAACGGUGAAUAACAACUAAUUGUAAGUAAUUGUGGAAAAAGUAAGGAAAACAAAAUGAGGGAAAAGCAAGGAAUUAGGAAAUUAUUUUUUUCCCAUAAAAAAAUGCUAAGGAAGAAAAAGGUAAAAGAAAGUUUAAAAAAAGUGUAUUUUUAAAAAAAUUAUUUCUCUUUCCUUUAAUUUUGCUAUGGACAACCAAACAAGAAAAUCAUUUUAUAAUUCCUUUUUAUUUUUUUCAUUCUCUCUCUCUUUUUUUCCCUACUCUAUUUCUUUUCCCUCAAACUUCCUUGGUAGUAAACACAACCUAAGAUAAAUGGGGAAGAAAAUUUUCAGUUUUUAUUUUUAUUUUUUUAGAAUGUUUUCUUACUUUUUAGUAUUUUAUGCAAAUAUAGGAAAAUUAUUUUUUUUUCUUGCUCCUUUUCAGACAUGAAUCACACUUUAAAAGAAAAUUAAUUUUUAAUUAGGAGUUAAGAUAAAUUUAAGGAGAAACAAUGAAUCACGAAUAACAAAAAAUUAAGGAAAUUGAAUUUUUGAAAGUAAGUAUAAUCAAAUUGCUUCAUUUGAUACAAAAUUUGAAUAAAAAUUCUUUCAAUGAAAAAUCAAGGAAAGGAAAAAACAUUUUUGUCUCUAGAUUAUAAUACUUAAUCAUGUAAAAAAUCUCUUAACAUCAUUUAUAUUCAUAUUUCUUUUUGUAGAUUUGAAAAAUUCAACAAUUUGGAAUAAACUUAUUCAAUGAAGAAUAAUUUUUAGAUUUAAAGAUUAUUAUUUAAGAUCAUAAAUAUUACCAUCAUUGUUGAUGUCCAAGAAGAUCAUAUUCAACAAUUUUUUUAAUAUGUUGUUUUUUAUGGUAAUUAAUUGAUGUCUUGUAAUUUUUAAUAUUUAAUGAAAAACAUUAAUUUAAUUCAUCUAAAGCUCUUAAUUCAUGAAGACCUCGUUAAUGUAAUGGUGAGUAAUAGUUGGCUGUAAGUUUGGAGUCAAAGACAUGUUAAGGAGAUGAUUAGUUACAUGUCUUAUUCUCUUUUGUAGGUUUCUGCCAAUUGAAUAAGCUUCAAGAGUUAGAUCUUUCUUACAACUUAUUCCAAGGGAUCCUUCCUCCAUGUUUGAAUAAUUUCACAUCUCUGAGGUUAUUGGAUCUCUCUUCCAACCUCUUUUCCGGAAAUUUUUCUUCCCCUCUGUUACGUAAUCUCACAUCCCUAGAGUACAUAGAUCUCAGUUCCAAUCAGUUUGAGGGUUCAUUCUCUUUCAGCUCUUUUGCUAAUCAUUCCAAGCUUCAAGUGGUCAUACUUGGAAGGGAUAACAACAAAUUUGAGGUAGAAACUGAAUAUCCAGUUGGUUGGGUUCCCCUGUUUCAGUUGAAGAUUCUCUCUCUAUCCAGCUGUAAGCUCACCGGUGACCUUCCUGGUUUUCUUCAAUACCAAUUCAGGUUAGUGGGGGUUGAUAUCUCACAUAAUAACUUGACAGGAAGUUUCCCCUAUUGGUUGCUUGAAAACAAUACGAGACUAGAAUCUCUAGUCUUGAGGAAUAACUCUUUAAUGGGUCAACUACUUCCCUUGGGACCUAAUACUCGUAUCAAUUCAUUGGAUAUCUCACACAAUCAGUUGGAUGGACAACUUCAAGAAAAUGUGGCCCAUAUGAUUCCAAAUAUUAUGUUUCUAAAUUUAUCCAACAAUGGUUUUGAAGGUAUUCUCCCAUCCUCAAUAGCUGAACUAAGAGCCUUAUGGAUUUUGGAUUUGUCUACCAAUAAUUUCUCUGGAGAAGUACCAAAGCAAUUGCUUGCAACAAAAGAUUUGGGGAUUCUGAAAUUAUCAAAUAAUAAAUUUCAUGGUGAAAUAUUUUCAAGGGACUUUAACUUGACUGGGUUAUUGUGUUUGUAUUUGGGCAAUAAUCAGUUCACAGGAACUCUGUCAAAUGUAAUCUCCAGAAGCUCUUGGUUGGAGGUGUUGGAUGUGAGCAACAACUACAUGUCAGGUGAAAUUCCAAGCCAGAUAGGUAACAUGACCGAUUUGACUACACUGGUGUUGGGCAACAAUAAUUUUAAAGGCAAAUUACCACUUGAGAUUUCUCAAUUGCAACGGAUGGAGUUUCUUGACGUUUCUCAAAAUGCUUUUUCAGGAUCUCUUCCUUCUUUGAAGAGCAUGGAGUAUUUAGAGCAUCUACAUUUGCAAGGGAACAUGUUUACAGGAUUAAUACCCAGAGAUUUUCUCAAUUCCUCAAAUCUAUUGACUUUGGAUAUUAGAGAAAACAGGUUAUUUGGAAGUAUUCCCAACUCAAUCUCUGCACUUUUGAAGCUAAGGAUUCUUUUGCUAGGAGGAAACCUUUUAAGUGGUUUUAUUCCAAAUCAUCUUUGUCAUUUGACUGAAAUAAGCUUGAUGGAUCUUUCAAACAACUCUUUUUCAGGGCCAAUUCCCAAAUGCUUUGGCCAUAUCCGAUUUGGGGAAAUGAAAAAGGAGGACAACGUGUUUGGACAGUUCAUUGAAUUUGGGUUUGGAAUGGUUUCUCAUCUUGUAUAUGCAGGUUACUUGGUGAAAUAUUACGGUUCCCCAACUUUAGUAUAUAAUGAAAAAGAUGAAGUUGAGUUUGUCACCAAGAACAGGAGUGACUUCUACAAAGGUGGCAUCCUUGAAUUCAUGUCUGGAUUGGACUUAUCAUGUAACAACUUGACAGGCGAAAUACCUCAUGAACUUGGAAUGCUAAGUUGGAUUCGUGCAUUGAACUUGUCUCACAAUCAAUUGAAUGGCUCCAUUCCAAAGAGUUUCUCUAAUCUUUCUCAAAUAGAGAGCUUAGACCUUUCUUAUAAUAAACUGGGUGGAGAAAUUCCUCUAGAGCUAGUUGAACUCAAUUUUUUAGAGGUGUUUAGUGUGGCUUACAACAACUUCUCUGGUAGAGUUCCAGAUACCAAAGCACAAUUUGGGACAUUUGAUGAAAGGAGCUAUGAAGGUAAUCCUUUCCUUUGUGGGGAACUAUUAAAGAGGAAAUGCAACACAAGUAUUGAGUCACCAUGCACACCAUCACAGUCUUUUGAAAGUGAGGCAAAAUGGUAUGAUGUCAAUCAUGUUGUUUUCUUUGCAAGUUUUACUACUUCAUAUAUCAUGAUCUUGUUAGGAUUUGCUAUCAUCCUUUACAUCAAUCCUUAUUGGCGUCAUAGAUGGUUCAAUUUUAUCGAGGAAUGUAUAUAUUCCUGCUAUUAUUUUGUUUUUGAUAGUCUUUCCAAGUUAUCAGCAUAUUUGUAUAAUUAGAUACUUUUAAUUGGAUGAUAUUUGCAUAAUUAACUACUAUUUGUUUCCCUGGGAUAGAAAGAAAUGGGAUGUAUAAUGCUAUGAGCUGAAACUUACAUACUUUGCUCAAAUUCUAACAUCUUUUGAUUUUAUUUUCAAGUUCCGUUAUUUAUUAUGUAUUGCUUAAUUCAAGAUUUAACCAUAUUACGUUACUCUUAUAAAAGCAAAUUCAAAUUUUUAGGAACUUUUAGCAUUAAAAUAAUUUCAUAGUCAGAUUUUAAAAAAUAAAGAAGAAAGAAAAUAAUAAAUAAUUGGAAAAACAAUUCAAGGAAGUAUUAAAUUAUUAUCUUAGAAUUAUUUGGCGUAGUAUGGGAAUUCAAAAAUAAUCUUUCAAUUUGUUAGAAAUGUUUAUUUAUUUAUUAUAGCAAUGAUUGAAAUAUCAAUCACAAAGUAAUGUUUUCUUUUCUUUUGUAGGGCACUAACACUUUUUCUUUGAUAGUAAUAAUUGAUAAAUAUAUUACACAAUUAUUUGUUUUAAAAAAGGGAGGGAUGACAAACAUAAUAACAUGUGAAAUAUUUCUAAAACUGUAAUGGGAAAUAAGCCAUCUAAUUAGGGUGCAAUAUUAUUCAUUUUAAUUUACAUGAAUUUACUUAUUUUUAUUUGCAUCAUAUUUUGAACUAUUUUAUGAAAUUAAGGGAGAUUAAAACAUCACGAGUUUCUUAUUUUAGUUUAUAUUCUUAAUAAUAAAGCAUGAAAUAUUAUAAAAAAAAAAAUCAUGAAUUUCUUUAAUUCCUUAGGAAACCAAUAUAUAAAAAAUUGAACAUAUUAUUAUUUUAUAUCCUAAAUCUCUAAAUUUGUUCAUUACCUAUUUAUUUUUAUAUUAAAUUUAUUAUUAAUUAUUUAUUUAUAUUAUUAUUUUAUGUUUAAAAUGUUCAUAAAUAAUUAAAAUUAAUAAAUAUAAAAAUAAAAUAUUAAAAAAUUAAAUUAUAAAGAUUUCAUCAAACUGACAUAUUUAAAAAAAAAAAAAAGCUAAAAAAGAUGAGGAUAUUAUAGAGGAGGGGAAAAGGAUAAAAGAAAAUUCAUGUGGUAUGAUAAUAUCACGUGUCAAAGUUAUUUUCUUUAAAAAAUAAUAAUAGUAAUGAUGAACUCAUUUGUCUUAUCAAAGUAAGUUAAAAAAAAAAAAAAAAAAAAAAAAGAAAAGAAAAAGAUGGUAGUUGGCUUAUUUGUUCUUUGAAAAUAAAAAAUCAAAGUUUUAGAAAAAUACAAUUUUCUUUUAAAUGAUGAAUGGUUACAUCAUUUCCCCUUAGCUUAUCUGUUCCUUUAAACUUUAGUUUGAAUAAAAUUAGUUUUAAUUAUUUUCUUUUUGGAAUUAUAUUUAAUCGUAUUAUUAAAAAUAUAAAAAACAUCGUAAUAAUAUUGUCAAUAAGUUUUUUUAUAUAUAUUGAAAAAUAUUUAUAUUUAAAAAUAUUUAAAUUUUGUCAUGGGCUGCCCAUUUCAAAAUGAUAAGAAUAUAAUAACCUAAUUUUUCCAAAUUCCAGGUAAAUAUGCUAAUCUAAAAAAAAAAAAUUAUUAGGUUUUUAUGUGCUGAUUGGGUUUUUUUUAUACCCAGUAUGCUCUCCAAUCUACCACUUAAGCAUCCGACAUGGCUAAAAAUAAAUUUUUAAAAAAAAGAAUAAAAAAGGAAAAAAACGAAAGUGUGUGAUCUCUUUCUUGAGUCUUCACAAUCUGAGACACUGAACCCAAAUCAAAAUUAAUCCUCCAAAUUAAUUUUCACCUCCAACCCAAACCCUAACGACUGCCUCACUUUCUUCUCAAACAUAGCUAUACGAAAAACCCUAGCCUCUGCCUCGUCUUCCUCUUAUCCCGGAAACCCAAAUCCCGUGACCCUAACCCCUUCUCUUUCCGAAAACCCUCCAGAAUCGGAAGAUUCAAGUGAUCGAAUUAAUUCUUCAGAAUUAAUUUUCACCUCGAAGCCGAACCCUAACUGCCUCAUCUUCCUCUCAUUCAUAUCCCAAAAGUAGCUUCAACAGUCAGGCCUGCGGCCAUGAAAGCCGUAGUGAUCGCCACUUCCGGCGAUCCCCAAGUUCUCCAAGUGCAAGAAGUCGAAAACCCUGAAAUUGGAGAUGAUGAAGUUCUAAUUAGAGUGGACGCCGCUGCCAUUAAUCGAGCGGAUACGCUUCAGAGGAAGGGCUUGCACCCUCCCUCAAAGGCGGCAGUCCCUACCCCGCUGGAAUCAUCGAAGCUGUUGGAAAGGUCGUCGUUCGAUGGAAGGUUGGCGAUCAGGUAUUUCAAUUGCCUAAUAUUUUGAUUCCGUUUCUGUUCCUGUAUUUUUCUCGGCUAUCCUUUAUGUGAUUUUGCUUCCUCCUGAGUACAAGUUCAUAAUAUACAUGGUACAUGGUGAAUCUGUAUGACAUUUCAUGGUAUACAGGUGUGUGCUCUUCUUUCUGGUGGAGGGCAUGCUGAAAAAGUGGCUGUUCCAGCUGGGCAAGUUCUCCCUGUCCUAUCUGGUGUUUCUCUGAAGGAUGCUGCUGAGGUUGCAUGUACUGUUUGGUCAACUGUUUUAAUGAUGAGCCGACUGUCUGCAGGAGAAACAUUCCUGGUGAAUUUUUUGUCUUUUUUAUUUUCUGAUGCCUGAUAUAUUUACCAGCACAAAUUUUCCCUGUUGCUGUUUAAUGUGUGUGCAUCAAUAUUGGAUUAGGGAGGUAGAAGAGCCAUGGUUCUAUUACAUCAUCAUAUUCUUAUUUAGAUACAUUGUAUCCCACAAUUUCAUUGCAUCCAAGGCUAUGUUGUUUUUUAUUGCACGGUUUGUCAUGGUAAUUUCUCAACCCUUCUCUGGAAAAUUAUGUUGGAUGGCUGCUAUUAAUUACCCCAAAAGAAGAAAUUUUAUGUUGAAGUAAGAUGAGUAGCACAAAGAGUUACUUGUGGUUGAUCCUAUCAUCAAAUGGGCGAUUGAUGCACAAUCCAAAUGGUAAAUUUUUUUCCCCCUUUAUCCAGAUGGAAUUUUUAUGCAUGGUUGAAUAGUGAAAUGAGGACUGAUAAUAUUUCAGGUUCAUGGGGGUUCAAUUGGAAUUGGUACCAUCUAUUCAAAUAGUGAAAUAUUGAGGAGCAAGGGUAUUUGUUACAGCAGGUUUGCCAUCACUGUUCUACCUCAUCCCACAGAAUGCUUAUCUCAUGGCACCAAUUCCUUUUCUUCACAUGUUUUCAACCAUUUUUUCCACCCAGGAACGAGGAAAAAUUAGCUGUUUGUAAGGAUCAUUGAGCAGAUGUGUGCAUCAAUUACAAGACUGAAAACUUUGUUGCAUGGGUGAAGGAGGAAACAGGAGGGAAAGGUACAUUCUAUUGUAUCUUAACGAUAAUUUCAAUUGAAGGUGGAAUUGCUUUUUAUUUUUUAGUGCACCAAAUCCACUAGUCUGGAAUGUUUGAAAAGAUAAAUAGUCAUCUUCCACUUGAUUCCGAUUGUGAAGAUCUAACCCCAAAAAUGUUGAAUGACAGGUGUUGAUGUUAUACUGGAUAAUAUUGGAGGGGCCUACUUUUGGGGAGACAUCAAUGGUUUAAAUGUUGAUGGAAGGCUUUUUAUUAUUGGUUUUCAGGGUGGAACAGUGGUACAAGUAAAUCUUUCAGGUUUACUUGCAAGGCGCCUUACAGUGCAAGGUACCACUUUCUCUGUAGAAGAUUUUUCUGUAGUUUUGGAGUUGAAUCAAUUUGAUUAAUCUCAUCCAAGUUCAGAACUGAGGUGGAUUCUGGCAAGCCAAGGAAAAACCAAAUUACCAUAAAUUCUUUUUUUUUUUCUGGAUCGUUUUACUUCUUGGAAAUCCUGUUUCUCGAUCUGGUCAGGUAUAUGGAAAUUCCAAGGAAAAUAUGUUUUACAUUUUCCAUAAUUGGAAACACUCAGGAAUUUAAUAUUUUCCUCUGAAAUAGCAAUGGUUUUCUAAUUACGACAUUUGUUUUUCUUGUAUCAUCCCAAAAUAUUUUUUAGGUGUUUGUUCUCUCUUGACACAGCUUUUAAUUGGGUCUGUCUUGCUUUUUGAUAGAUCUCUUGACAAGUUGCUUGUAUAUCAUACUUUCUUUAUUGUUUUCGGAUCAUGAACCUUGCUUCUGUCAGCCCUGUUAUCACUACCCAAACUAGUAAAUUUAUGCACAAAACUCCAUGUGUCAGUAACAGUGGUUAUUUGAUUGUAUUAAAUAAUUUGUAAAUACAGUGGAUAAGUUUGUGCAUAGAUUGAAGGCGAAUGAAAAACGUGCAUAGAUUGAAGGUGUGCUGCUUGAGUUGAUUGUAGUUUGAGCAUGAAAAUUUGAAGAUCCAGAACAGCAAAUGAGGAAUGCCUAUCAAUUUGAAACCAGCAUGGGUGGAUGAAUGGAGAGGUUCUUCACUGAAUUUGUCCAUGAAGCUUUUUAGCACUCUAGGGCAAGGGUCUCCAAGCCUAGCUGUUGAUUGCACAUCCCUCCUGCGCAAUACUAAGAACAGAGUGAAAUGCAAAUGCAGGAAAGGGUGUUUCUUAGCUGUUCAACAACUGACAAUACAUUGGCAUGACAAUUCCCUGGAUCGAAUGCCACAAUGCCCUCUUGGAGUUCCAAAGCUUGUUCACAGGUCAAACGAACUUGAGGGUUUUGGGACAUGAACUCCAAGUUUGGUUGCCAAGAAUCUCCAGGUGGAGGAUCAGCUUCUGACACGUGCACACACCUCUUGGCCAGUUUGUGUUAUUGCAAUUUUUAUUAAAUUGCUAAAAAAUUUAUCGCGAACAAUUUUUUCUUUUUUCUUUUUUCUUUUUUUCUUUUUAAACAAACUGCAAAAAUCCCUUUUUUUUUUAUAUAAAAAAAAAAAAAAUUCUCCAACAAAGUGAUUUUUUUUUGUGGCAUGACUCGGUUUGACCACUAACUCGGUGAACUGGUCUAUCGGCUCAAGUUUGGAUCCCUUAAUUUUGUGGCAAAUUGGGCAUCAAGCCCAACAACCUAACUUCCAUGCGGGCUAUCUACUGGAUCUCACCCAUUGUAACUUGCUCUGGGUGAAUGGCCAUUAUAAACUUCAUUUUAUCCUCAUGUGAUUUUGAUGUGGGAAUGGGAGAGAUGAGGAUUUGACAUUUGGACCUAAGGCUCAAUGGGUUUUAACUCCACUCAGCUACUUUAUGUCUUGUAUUUAAUAUUGCAAACCAAAAUAAUAAUAGACAUGAUUCUUUUCAAAAAAUUUAUAAUGUAAUAUUUUUUAAAAUUAUAAAAUAAUAGGUUAUAUAAAUUUUAAUAUAUAGGUAAAAUUAAUUAAAUUUUAACAAAUAUCUUCACAUUUAGACAUUACAUAUUUUUUAUUUAAUAAAAUUUUAAAAUAUUAAUAUAUCUAAAUAUAAUAUUAAAAAUGAAAAAUAAAAUAGUAAUAAUUUUUAUUUUCUUUAUAUAUUUAAAAUUAUAUAAUUAUUUUUUAUUUUAAUAACAUAUAAAUUGUAUAUUUAUAAUAUUAUUGGUUCAACUGUGAUUCAACCAUCACUCCGAUUAUUCAAUUAUGAAUUAAUAAAUUUUUUAAUUCAAUGAUAGGUUUGAUUAUAAAAAUAUUAUGUUUUUUUUUAUGAAAAGUACUCAAGAAAUAUCAUUAAUCACUAAGAUCACGUGGUUGGAUUAGGUGUAUCCGAAACAUAGGUAUUACUCUCUUCCUUAGUUAGGGCUUAGCUUUUGAAAAUGUAGAUAGGUAAAGUGGAUGGAAAGUCUAUAACUACGUAGAGAUUGAGCUUGGAGGCCAAUCUAGCAAAUGUGGAGAUUAGAAAUAGUUUACCAUCUAGAUAGUCAAGCAUAGCAAUUUACCAAACCCUUACCAACCAUCCAUACUAACCAAUUGUGGUUAAAUGUUUACAAAAAUGUACAUUAAAUCAAAGAGAAAAAAGAUUAAAAACGAACAAGAGAGAAGAAGCACAUCACCUAAUUUUGGUAAUAAAUGAAAUUAAAAUAAAUUCAUAAAUUUUUUAAAUUAAAAUGAAUUUGAACUCUAGAGAUUUGUGUAGAUAUCUUAUUAAAAAACCAAAAAGUUUGUUGCAUAUAUAAUUUCAACAAUGCAUAAAUAAUUACAACAUACGCAAUACAAUAAUAUUACACAACUAUAUUUUCAAAUAUAAUAUAAGAUCAUUAAAGUGAUAAAUUGUAGUUGUAUAAAGUAUUUAUACAAGUAAAGAAGAAAUUAUGAGAUUAAAAUGCUUGUUGGAUUCUAAGUAAAAAAGAAAUGAGAUAUAGAGAUUGUCCCAUCAGACAUAUAGAAUUUCAUAUACAUAAUUUUCCCUUCAAGAAAAUUUAGGGUCAAAUUGAAAAAAUUUCAUUCAUAGAUUUUGGUAAAACCUCUAUCUAGUCCCCGAAGUCUUGUAUACAAAAGGAAAUAACAUUGGUAUGAGGGGUUUGAAUGCUUAAUUUUAGAUUGAAAAUGCUUGAGAUAAUUUUUGAUCGACUUCACAUGUGUUUUUAAUAAACUUGGAACAUUCAAACUUGUAUUUGAAGAAUCUUCAAUUUGAUCUUAAAUAAUGUUGAAACCUUCAAAAUUUGAAUAGAAGAAUCUUUAAGCAUUUGAAUUUUGGUUUAAAGAAUUUUGAAAUUUGAGACUGAAGAAUCUUCAAAUUUGGGCCUGAAGAUCAAAGGCUAAGCUUGAAGAGUUCUUGAAGCUUGAGUGGUAUGUCCGAUUUUGUUUUGUAUUUUAUAAAAACUUUUAGGCUAUGUUUGGUUCCCAGAAAAUUUGAGGGAAAAUGCGAGGGAAAGAAAAUACAAAGGAAAAGUAGAAGGAAAGAAAAAGUGAAGGAAAAUAAAAAAAUAGAUUAAAAGUUGAUAAAUUAUUUUUUUUGUUACUUCAAACUCAUUUUAUUUAUUUUAACUCAUCAAUAUAAAGAUUAAAUAAUUUAAAAAUAUAAAAGUUUUUAAUUAGUUUUAAUUAUAUUUAAUUUUCUUUGAUAUUUUUUAUAAGACAACCAAACAUGAGAAAAUCAUUUUCCUUAGCAUUUUUUUUCUUUCCUUUGUACUUUCCGGGAACCAAACAUAGCCUUAAGUAUACUAUAUUUAUAGGUUUGAAGAGACAUUGAGAUUUUGUAUACAUGUUUGGAGUUUUAAACCUUGAAAUAUUACUCUUUUAUGAAAUUAACAUUUAUAAAAUUUGGAAGAACAUAAUUAGAUAAUAUUCUAAGUUAUUUUUAAUGAAAAUUGAUAAUUACCUUUUAAUUAUCAAAUUCACUAUUUCUAUUUAUUUUUGUAAUAUAUAUUAAUUACUAAAAUCAUUUAUUUCCUUUAUUUAGUUUGAAAGCAAUUAUAUAUCUUUUGUUUGUGUAGAGCUCAUGUGACACGACAAAUUUUAUUUUGUAACUUGCUCUGGAUGAAUGGCCAUUAUAAACUUCAUUUUAUCCUCAUCUGAUUUUGACGUGGGAAUAGGAGAGAUGAGGAUUUGACAUUUGGACCUAAGCCUCAGAGGGUUUUAACUCCACUCAACUACUUUAUGCCUUGUAUUUAAUAUUGCAAACCAAAAUAAUAACAGACAUGAUCCUUUUCAAAAUUUUUAUAUUAAUAGAAGUGUAAAUAAUAUAAGUAAAAAUAAUGUAAUAUUUUUUAAAAUGAUAAAAUAAUAGGUUACAUAAAUUUUAAUAUAUAGGUAAAAUUAAUUAAAUUUUAACAAAUACCUUCACACUUAAACAUUACAUAUCUUUUAUUUAAUAAAAUGUUAAAAUAUUAAUAUAUUUAAAAUUGUAUAAUUAUUUUUAUUUUAAUACUAUAUAAAUUAUAUAUUUAUGAUAUUACUGGUUCAACUAUAAUUCAAUCACUGGUCCAACCAUUGAACCAUGAAUUAGUAAAUUUUUUUAUUCAAUGAUAGGUUUGAUUCUAAAAACAUUAUGGCUAUGUUUGGUCCCAGAAAUUUUUUUUUGAUGGAUAAUGACAAAGAUAUUACCAAUUUGAUAUCACCAAUUGAUAACACAAUUAAAAAAUAAUAUGAAUUUUAACAUAUUUGAAUUCAUUGUAAUCAUAUCCAUGACCUAAUUUUACACAUCCUUAAAUCAUGGUUGAUUUAUGAAACAAAUCUAUACCAUCAAUAGAAAAUAAAUAAAUAAAAUAAUACAAAAAAAAUAUAUAGAUAGUCAAGCAUAGCAAUUUACCAAACCCUUAGCCACCAUCCAUACUAACCUGUUGUUGUUAAAUGUUUACAAAAAUAUACAUUAAAUCAAAGAGUAAAAAGAUUAAAAACGAACAAGAGAGAAGAAAUACAUCACCUAAUUUUUGUAAUAAAUGAAAUUAUAAUAAAUUCAUAAUUUUUUUAAAUUAAAAUAGGAAUUCAAAUACAUGUAACUAUUGUUUUUGUCUUGUAAAUCAUCCAAUUUUUCAAUGAAUUUAAACUCCACAGAUUUGUGUAGAUAUCUUAUUAAAAAAAGCAAAAAGUUUUCACUAAAAUCAUAAAAUUUAGAUUAGAAAUGAUUUACUAUAUUAGUUCAAAAUUCACCUCCACAAAAAUUGAAAUAAAUUAAUUAUCUUCAAUUCAAAUAAAAUUUCUCCAAUUAAAUUUCCAAAUAUGUGCCUUAAUACCUAUAAUGGAAUUAGUAAUUUUAAUUAAAAUAAAAAUAAAAAUAAGGAUUUGAUCUUUUUCUUACCAUUUGAUGAAAAUUAUAAAAUAUAUUAAAAUGACAAGUGAUCAGACAUUUGAAAUUUGCAUCAUUUCUACCAUUGCAAACACCACCAACCCCAUAUUUCCCAUUUUUCUACCUACUGCCAAUUCACUCAUCUCUCUGGGAAGAUUUUUGAGGUUAUCGUCAUGCUUGAGAUAAUCCAGAAAGUUGAGCGGCAUCACUCUCUGAAAGGUGCCUUACAGCAUGGGUAAUGUAUGGGAUACAUCUGAUAACUUGCCAUAUCCAUAAACCACUAUAUUAAACCAUGGUUCAUAUCCCCAACGUUACACGAGAAUCUGUACUCAUCCCAAGCAGCUUGGAGAUCAUAAAAUUAGGUUUUGAGGGCCUCCCGAGACAUGCACAGCUUCACCCUUUGUGCAUUCCUUUGAUUUGGAAAAUUUCUUCUUUAGAAUUCCCCAUUAUCAUGCCCUGAACCAAGACAUAUCAUGAUUGGAUGGGCCCCUUCACCAAUUUCACAAUAUCCAAUAGCAUAUCAUUUACUUCCCUUUUGUCAAUGGGAAUUACCAUUUUGCAUGGGAAGCACCAACGGAGAUGGAGGUUUUCAAAUUGGAUCACUAGCAAAGAAACCCACCGCAACUAUCUGAAUAAUUGAGCACAACAUCGGCUUUAGAGAACUCCUCCUGAAGGCGAAAUCGUCAUCUUGGCUAAACGUAGUCAUAGUUGGGUUGUGAGAAAUGGAGAUGAAUCAUAGAAGGCUUUCAGUUUCAUAGCAACGAAAAGGUAAAUGUACUCUAGAGAAGUUUUGACCUUGGGAGAAGCGCUUUUGAAUCCAAGUCAAGGUCUGUUCUGGAUCCCUUUUCGACUCUCUCUAUUAAAGGAAGAUAAUCUGCCUAGGAUUUGGAUGCAAGCUUGCAAGGCCAUGUUUAGGAGACUUAUGCAAAAUAUUUAUCCAUAGCUCCCCGCCUGAAACAUCUACAUAAAGCGUCUUCCAAGUGUGAACCAUUGUCUUGGGUCCUUGAGAUGAACAAAAACUGAGACAUAUCGUGAGUUAGAUGCAUUGCCUGAAAAUGCCGAGCAGUAGUAUGGCCUUCUUUCUGAUCAACUGUUUUGUCAAAUUCUAGAGCUCUCAUUCCAAAUCCAUCAGUUUUCUCAAAUGAUUGGCUAGUGGAGAUCCAUGGAUAUAACAUAUGAAAUGUGCACAAUAAAAGUAAUCAAACGGUUGGUUGGUUUGGCUGAAUCCCACAAUCGCAAAGACUAAUCAUAUGAAACUGUUACCAGCUGAGUUGAAUUUGGCCUAAAAAGGAUAUCCGUUACUACAAACUAGCGUUCUUUCAUGGUGCUCUCUCUUUGCAGGCUAUCCAUGUUCCAAAGAAAAACUCUCUUGUCAUGUCUGGCACUAGGCACUGAUUAGAGUGUGGGACGUUCAUUCUCCAUUAUCACCAAACACAUGCAGGAUAUAUAUAUAUCAAUUCAUUCAAAAUAUGCCUUUAUUUUAUGGAACAUAACCGAAUCCAUUUUGUUUGUGUUGAAGAGGUAUAGAUCUUCUAAGGCUGUGGAGGGCACCACCUUUUCUCAGAAUUCUCUCUGACGAUGGGAAGCCGAAGAGAACGGGUUUUGUUUUUAUUUUGAAAACGUUGUUAUCAUUAAAGAACAAACACUAUUCUUUGGAUUUAUACCCUCUUGCCUUAGGGACCAUACUGUUUGGCUAUUGGGCCUCACGAGUCUUAGGCCCAUCAUCUAAGGCCCAUGAUGGCACUGGGCUCUACACAUAAGGUGACCCAUACUCUGGAACGAAUAGAAAUCAUAUGUAUAUAUAUGGAUAGCUAAAUCCUGAACAAUGGUUAAUAUGAUGUCGGUCCACAUUUAUUCUAUCAAUCUCCCACUUGGACCACAUAUAUUACAAAACAAUGUUCAUGAUAGUACUUUAUUGAGCUCAUCUUUGCUAUCCUAUCUUAAUAUCCUUAAACAAUCCGGUCUACUAGUUAUGCUAACAUAGGAUCAAAGUGGCCUUCAUUAAUCAUAAUUAUAACUAGACCCAUCAAUGAUCACAACAUUAACAAAAUUAGCAACAUAGAUCAAGUAUGGAUGUGUAGCAUGGAAAUUACAUAAAAUGUGAUCUUUAUUAUGUCUAUUUCCAAUUGGUCCUACUUUAUGACUAAAAAAUAGUCAAAUUCCACUUUCAACACUUGAUGCUAAACUGCUUUUAAAAGUCAUCAUUUCAAUUCAGAGAAUUCAAAUACAAUAGUCUUUAAAAUCAAGGUUUGUACAGAUAACACAAUAUAACAUCAUAUCAAGAAAACAAACACAAAAUCUAAAUACAAACUCCCACUAUACUGGAACAUCAUCAAUAUGUACAACACCCAUAUGUGUGACAUGAUCAUGAUAUACUUUGGGUGGCAAACCCUUAGUGAGCGGAUCCGCAAUCAUGAAGUUUGUGCUUGUAUGUUCAAUCGAUACUUGAAGACUCUAAACUCUUUCUUUCACAACCAAGAACUUGAUGUUAAUGUGUUUGGACUUUGACGAACUUCGGUUGUUCUUAGAAUUACAAUUCUGUGGCUUUAUUAUCACAAUUUAUUCUUAAUGGUUUCUCAAUCUCAUCAACGAUUCGCAACUGAGUGACAAAAUUCCGUAGCCAUAUCCCAUGGUUUGAUGCUUUGUAGUAGGCUAUGAAUUCUGCCUCCAUGGUGAAAGAAGCAAUAAGUAUUUGUUUAACACUUUUCCAUGAAACUGUUCAUCCAACCAACAUGAAGAUGUAGCUUGAAGUGGAUCUCUUGCUGUCAAGACAUCCCACGAAAUCGGAGUCCGAAUAUCCCAUGAUCUCUAAAUGACUGGAUCUACGGUAUGUGAGCAUAUAAUCUUUAGUUCUUUGUAAAUACUGCAUAACCUAUUUUGCCUUUUUCCAGUGAUCCAUACCUGGGUUACUCAAAUAUUUGCCUAACAUUCCAAUAAUGUACGUAAUAUCUGGAUGCGUACAAACUUGUGCAUACAUGAGACUUCCUAUUGUUGAGGCAUAGGGAAACCUCUUCAUAUCCUUCUUUUUAAGUUCAUUUUUCGGACAUUGGUGCAAACUAAAUUUAUCGCCUUUUGCUACAGGCAUGUCUCCUGGUGUACAAUUGCUCAUGCCAAAUCUACUUAACACCUUAUCGAUGUAGGCCUUUUGUGAUAACCCAAGUAUACCUCUUGAACGAUCCUUAUAGAUCUGUAUACCCAGCAAAAAAGAUGCAUUACCUAGAUCCUUCAUGUCAAAUUUACUAGACAAAAAUCGCUUUGUUUCAUGCAAAAGUCCCACAUCACUACUUGCAAGUAGAAUAUCAUCAACAUAUAGCACCAAGAUAAUGAAUUUGCUCUCACUAAACUUGAGAUAUAUGCAUUGAUCAAUGGUGUUUUCCUUAAAACCAAAUGAAGUAAUCACCUGAUCAAACUUUUGGUACCAUUGUCAAGAUGCUUGCUUUAAACCAUAUAUGGACCUUUUUAAUCUGCAUACAAGUUGCUUUGAAUCAUUAGACUCAAAGUUCUCCGGUUGCAUCAUGAAUAUUGUUUCAUCAAUGUUACUAUUAAGAAACGUAGUUUUAACGUCCAUUUGAUGCAGCUCUAAAUCAUAAUGAGCCACAAGUGCCAUGAUGAUUCUAAAGGAGUCAUUUGACGAAACCGGUGAAAAGGUCUCCUUAUAAUCAAUGCCUUCCUUUUGAGUGAAACCUUUUGCGACUAGACGUGCCUUAUACCUAACAAUGUUGCCUUUUGAAUCCCACUUGGUCUUAAAAAUCCAUUUACAACCAAUCGGUUUUACACUUUCAGGCAACUUUACUAGGUCCCAAACACCAUUGUCUUUCAUUGAUUUCAUCUCAUCCUUUAUGACUUCUAUCCACUUUUCAGAGUCAGAACUUUGUUUGAAUUGACUAACUGAAAUUGGAUCGUCUUCCAAACCCAUGUCAAACUCUUGUUCCUGGAGAUGUACAACAUAAUCAUCUGAAAUUGUACUUCUCAUUUCUCUAGUGGAUCUCCUUAGUGGCACUUGUAUUUGAGGUUCUUGAGGCUGUUGAGUUACCUCUUCAUAAACUUGAAUCGGUUCCAUAACUUGAGCAGGAGGAAUCUCAGGUGUGUUUUGAAUCUCUGUUAUUGACUGCACAUUCUGGAUAGUGUCAUCAAACAUAAUAUGACCAUGUCCAGUUGUAAUAAUAGGAACACUAACAGAUUACUCUUCAAAUACCACAUUUCUUAACGGUUCUCUCCCAUUUAACUCAACAUCCUCAAUAAAUUUAGCUUUGCCCGUUUCAAAAAAGGAUCUAGUUGAGGGGUCAUAAAACUUGAAACCUCUCAACCUUUUAGAAUAUCCUACAAAGUAGCAGCUCACUGUUCUGGAGUCCAAUUUCUUUUCAUUUGGUUUUUAAGGCCUAGCUUUAGUUGGACAACCCCAGACAUGCAAGUGCCUAAUACUAGGUUUCUUGCUAGUUCAUAACUCAUAUGAGGUUUUGGCUACUGCUUUGCUUGAGACUCUAUUCAAAAUAUAAAUUGUUGUUUUGAUGGCUUCGCCCCAAAGUGAUUCUGGUAAGGUGGAAUGACUGAUCAUACUUCUUACCAUAUCCUUAAGAGUACGGUUUCGCCUAUCUGCUACACCAUUUUGGCUUGGAGUCCCCAGCAUAGUGUAUUGAGGAACGAUACCACACUCCAUCAAAUAUUUGGCGAACGACCCUAGACGUUGUUCAUUGGAUCCGUCAUAUCUGCCAUAAUAUUCACCUCCACGGUCAGAUCUGACGACCUUUAUUUUCUUGCUUAGUUGGUUCUCAACUUUAGCUUUGAAAUUCUUGAACACAUCUAAUGAUUGAGACUUCUCAUGAAUCAAAUAAAGAUAGCCAUAGCGCGAGUAAUCGUCAAUGAAAGUGAUAAAAUAUUGUUGUCCAUUCCAAGAAGGGGUAGGAAAUGGACCACAAAUGUCCGUAUGUAUCAAUUCAAAGACGUCACUGCACUUGUUAGCAUCAUUUUUUUCUCAUAUUUGUUUGUUUACCCUUAAUACACUCUAUACAGACUCGAAAGUCUAUGAAAUUAAGUGGAUCAAGAAUUCAUUCUGACACAAGCCUUUGAAUACGUUGAUUUGAAAUAUGACCCAAACGCCUGUGCCAUAACAUCGAUGAAUUCUCAUUUGUUAAUUUCCGUUUAAUGUCAUAAUUACUUGAAUUCAAGGUUUCAUUUCCAUUAGUGGUCUUUAUAUUUAAUUUGUAUAAUUUGUCUAUUAGACUACCUGUACCAAUAACAUUUGAAUUUAGAUAAAGACUAACCAUUCCAUUUCUAAAUGAACAAUAAUAUCCAAAUUUGUCUAGACAUAAAACAGAAAUUAAAUUCCGUCUAAACGACGAUACUACAAAAGUCUCUUCCAAAUCCAAAGUACAUCCAGAGUCUAACUGUAAUCUAAAAAGACCAAUAGUCUUGACUGCAACCUUGUUGCCAUUUCCCACAUAGAUGUAUUUUUCACCAUCAGUUGGCAUUCGACUCCUUAGGCAACCCUACAUCGUGACACUUAUGUGAGUAGUUGCACCCGUAUCUAUCCACCAAGUGUCAGUAGGCACUACGACUAAAUUAAUUUAUGAACAAACAAAGUUGAGAAGUGUACCUUUCUUUUCACGCCAAGCGGCGUAUUUGGUACAUGUCUUCUUCAUAUGACCAACCUUCUUGCAAAAGAAACAAGUCAUCUCCUUAUCUUGUUUCUUCUGCACCUUUUGCAUUGAUGUCCUAAAAAUUGCAUUUUGUUUUUCUUUAUUGUCCUUCUUUCUUUUCUUUUUGGUACCAAAUCCCUGAGAUGUGGAAGCCAAGUGAGAACUUUCUAUCUUUUCUUGUUUCAAUCUCUCAUCCUCUUGUGCACAUUGAGCAAUAAGCUCAUUCAAAGUCCAUUUUUCCUUUUGUGUUGUAACUAAUUUUGAAUGGACUGAAUUGUGUAGGCAGAGAGAUUAAGACCAAGUGCACAAGUAUGUCUUCCGAAAACUCUAACUUUAGUGCCUUUAGUCUAGUCACAAGAUUAGACAUUUCCAUAAUAUACUCCCUUAUAUUCUCUUUCCCUUUGUAUCGCAUAGAGACAAGCUUACUAAGAAUAGUGCUUGUCUCAACCUUUUCAUUUGAAGCGAAUCGGUUUGCUAUCUGGUCUAAGAAUGCCUUGGCUUGAGUUUUCUCAGGUAUUGGACUCCUUAUAGCUUUUGGAAUUGAGUACUUCGUUAUCAUUAGACUCAUGCGAUUGGAUCGCUCCCAUUUUUCCAUAGUAGACCUUUGCUCAGUAGUGCUGGCACUAGUAAGAUCUGGAGGGCGAUCCUCUCUUAAUGCAUAGUCUAAAUCCAUGCACCCGAGCACAAUUAUAACGUGCUCCUUCCAUUUCUUGAAGUUUGUGUCAUUAAGCGCAGGAAUGUUAUUAACAUUUGUAGAUAUAGAAUAUGUUAAAUUCAUAAUAAUAAAGCUCACAAUCAAUCACAUAAACAUCAUACAUACAUGAAAAAUAACAUCAUACAAGAUACUUAGCACAAAUAUUAAUAUUUUGUCUUUGGACAAUAAAUAUUAACUUGUAAUUGGUAUCCUUAUACAAAAUUAAUUCAUAAAUAUUGACAAUAAAACCAAAAACAAUAUGUUUGUCUUUAGACUAAUAUGUCGAAUGCAAGAUAAACUUUAUAUGUCACAUAUUUAUGACUACUUUAUUUAUUAUUAUAUUAAAAUAAUCUUCCUUUGGGCCGAUUAUUUUAAAUAAUAAUAAUAACAUGUUUAGAUAUUAUAAAAUAAAUAAAUUAUAUAAUAUAAGUUACUUUGGCAACUAACAUACAUAAUUCAUUUAUUUUAAAAUAUUAAACACAAACAUAACAAGAAAUAAUAAAUUCAAUUAAAAUUAUUUAUUUAUUUAUGCAUAAUAUAUAUAUAUAUAUAUAUAUAUAUAUAUAUAUAUAUUAAUUGAAGCAUAAAAAACCAUCUACAUGUGUAUAUAUAUCAAUUGAAGCAUAUAUACAAGCAUUAGUCUAAUGGUUUAAGCAAAAAAUAGGCCAUGGUAAAGGGUUUAAGCCAACCCGCCCCUUUAGUUUGGUUUUUGUUUUUUUUUUUUUUUUUUUUAAUUUCUUUUGGGCUACUGACCAUGCAUUCUCUCAUGGCCCAACGAAUAUAUAUAUAUAUUUGUUUUAAAAAAAUUUUGUCCAUUGCAGCCCAAAGCGACCAUCCCUUGUAAUGGCAUCAUCAACGGUGCCAGAGCUGUCCUCGAACGACACCGACAGUGAAACGCCGCCACCAUCACCGGAACGGUGAUUUCCCAUCGCCAAACGACGGUGUCACUACCAGAAUGACGUUGUAACGGCAUCGCUGGGAAGCAGCCUAACCUGUGGCGUGACACCAUGACAAGCAAUGCCGCUAGCAGUGAAACGUUGUCGCCAUCACCAGAAUGGUGAUUUUCCAUCGCCAAACGAUGGCGCCACCAUCGAAACAACGCUGAAACGACGUCACUGGGAAGCAACCCUACCCGCGGCACCAAAAUGGCACUUGGAUGACAUUUGGAACUCUUGCAACAACGCUCAAAUCAGCGAUUCUCACUGGCAAAUGACGCUUGAACGACGUCUGGAAAUAAUGCCUACAACGCCUAAAAAUUGUGCUCUUUUGAACGCCUGAAACAACGUUGAAAUGACGUCUACCGGCGUCUGGAAUUGCACCGCUGUCUAGAACGAUGCCAUGAUGGUGUCUCACUCACCUUAAAUGGCACCAACCACCGUGACUUGCAUCCCCAAAAAUGGCACUUGAACAGCGCCUGAAGCGUGCCUGGAACGACGCUGCAAACGAUGCUUGAAAUGGUGCAUUUUGUAUGCUUGAAAAUGGCACAGGAAUGACGCCUACACUACGUCCAUUUUGAAUGCCUGAACGGUGUCCUAACGGCGCCUGAAUGACGCCUGGAAUUGGCCCAGAUUUAUUUUAUGUUGUUUCCUUCCUCUUGGAUCUUUUGUUUGUGUUUUAAAAAAAAAGUGUUUUGGUGAAAAUGGGAAAUGCAACCAGGCUCUGAUACCAUUUUGUGGGACGUUCAUUCUCCAUUAUCAUCGAACACAUGCAGGAUAUAUUUAUAUAUAUAUAUAUAUAUCAAUUCAUUCAAAAUAUGCCUUCAUUUUAUGGAACAUACCCGAAUCCAUUUUGUUUGUGUUGAAGAGGUAUAAAUCUUCUAAGGCUAUGGGGGGUACCACAUUUUCUUAGAAUUCUCUAUGACGAUGGGAAGCCAGAGAGAACAAGUUCUAUUUUUAUUUUGAAAACGUUGUUAUCCUUAAAUAACAAACACUAUUAUUUGGAUUUAUACUCUCCUACCUUAGGGACCAUACCCUUUGGCUAUUGGGCCUUACGAGUCUUAGGCCCAUCAUCUAAGGCUCGUGAUGGCACUAGGCUCUACACAUAAGGUGGCCCAUACUCUGGAACGAAUAGAAAUCAUAUGUGUAUAUAUGGAUAGCUAAAUCUUGAACAAUGGUUAAUAUGAUGUCAGUUCACAUUUAUUAUAUCAUAGAGACUUCCCAUAUGAAGAAAAUUGACAGUAGGUAGCUUUGCCAUUCUUGUCCGUAUACAACCAACCUUAGCAAGGGUUGAACCCUUUUAUGCUUAGUUGUGCCAUACAAAUCCUUACCACCGCCUACAACAUGUAAUCGAAAUGAUUCGAUAAUAUCAUCUAGUGAACCAAUACCUCCAAAUGAGAGACCAUUGCCUUGGUAACUAGGGCUCAUGACUGAGAAUUGCGUGAACCCCUUUGCUUGGGUUGGAGCUUAACUGAUGCACAAAAUAUUCAUAGGCCUCUUCCCAUAACUGGCACCUUGUGUUUGCAACAUAAUUGAACAUGUAUUGAAGUGAGUUUUUUUGCAUCUUUUUGUAAGAAAAUUCUAAACAACAGAGACUGCUUAGUGUGCCCGGCUCCUCGGGAAAUCAAGGUUCAUUCCUGUAGGGCCAGUUUUUUCACAGUCGAACUAGAUAACAUGGAGAGUAUGUUGCAAUGCUUCAACAGGGUAUUUCUUAGGAAAAUCCACCUGAAGUUGGUACAAUUCGUUGGCGUACUGAGUUCCUGGAGCUCUAUUGACUUCAAUCACCCAUCUCUGUAGAUUAUCGAUGACUUAUGCUCGGAUCCUGUAGGAGGAUUGACCUGACAUUCCACUAGCUCUUUCUGGAAGACGAUCUUGUUUAACACCUUGUGAGAAGAGGCAAGGGAACUGGUCAUUGUUUCUUCGAGAAGAUCAGUGGCCGAGGAUGGGUUUGGACCAUAAUUGCUAUAUGGGUUUUCUUUGGGUGAACCAAUUAGUGGAGUGGGUGGCUAUAUAGCAACUGAAGGGUGGUCAUACUAAUGAGGAGCUAUUAUUUCAUGCAUGUGGAGAGGAAAUGAGUAGCUUCUUCAAGGAUAUAUGAUUAUUCAUCUCUAGCUUACGUUGAAUAUCUCCUAACAAAUUUCUGCUUUGAAGCUCCCUUAGUUUCACUACAGCUAACUUGGCCAACUUGGUUUCAUCAUGUUUCCUACAACCUCUAAGCAAAGCACGCCAGAUCACUGAAUCAGGUUCUAUUUGCAUUUUGUCCAUAAACUCCUUUGCCUAUUGACAAUAAACUGCCCCUCAAAAUUUGAUGAGAUAACAUCAAUGCUGACAUGUUGGUCAUCCCCAUAAGCAUCUUUAUAGAGAUUGAUUCUAUGUUUAGAUAUUUCUCUCUCCUCAAGUGAGUUCAACUUUUUUGUAACAUCCUUCUCCUUCUCUACUAAUAGUCUUAGUUGAACAUCCAACCUAUGUUCCCAAAGUGCCAGCAUCUCAUAUCUGAUGACAAGCCAACAACCUUGCCCUUGCUGAGACCCAAAUAAGUAUCCAGAACCAUCAGCAUCAACCCUUUCAUAGGCCUUUGUAUUUGAAGGUCGGAUUGGGAUUGCUUUGAAUGCACUGGCACUACAAUACACAAUUGUAUCUUCUCCAAUAAAAACACCACACAGAGGUGAGGGGACUGGUAUUAGCAAAGAAGUGUUGUUAUCUAUAUUGUUCUGAGCCCGAGUACCCUCAACAAAAUCCUCAUCCUCAUCUGUACUCUUCCAUUACAUCCCUAGGCUUUUCAAUGUGAUCCACAUGGCUUACAGGAAUCCAGAAAUACCAGUCUGUAUAAAUGUUGCUCUUAUGGGGCUCUCCUAGAAAACAUCCCUAUCAAGAUGAUCAACCUAGCUUAGAUGCUCAGCACCCCAAACUUACUAGAAAUAGAGGAAUUAAAAGCAAGGAUAGGAGCCAAAGUAAAAAUUUAGGGAAGAGCAAAUAGGAAAUCAAGCAAAACAUGAAUGUACAGAGCCUCAUUUCAGGUGACAUCUUUGGGCUAAUAAUAGGUGGAAUUAACAAAGUAGACAAGCAUGAUUGUUAUAAAUAUCAAGUUCAAGGAUGAAGCCGUGCAUCAGCUACUUAUAGGGGGAGUCAAGGAAACCAAGAUAAGAUCAAAGAGAGCAUGUAUGCAAAUAAACAGAUUCGAAAAAAUAGACCAAACAACUCGUGAAUAUCCUCCUACAAAAAACUACUACACGUGGCAAAAAGUGAUGAAACAAAAAGAGUCGGGUCCGCAUAUACAUAUCCUAUUCUAUCCUAUUCCUUCAAAUCCAAAGCAACCUGUAUUUUCAAUGGGAUUUGUUGUGAUGAAUUUUACUGGAUUGUAACAUGUAAAUAUGUUAAAAGAGGCUUGGGACAUUCCUAUAUAGUAACGCAUAAAGGUACUUCCAUUGUGAAGUUGUCAAAAUUGCAAAUUUAAAUUACAAAAUUUGAAAACAUAGAGAUGAAAGAUGAUGAAACCUUCUUUGAAAUUUUAUAUUGAACUCAUUAAUAUUAUUAAUUUUCAUUUCAGUGUAGGGGAAAGAAUUCUUUACUCUAAAGUGGUCACAAAAAUAUUAAAAUUCCUUGUUGAGAGAUUUAGACCUAAAGUGAUCAAUAUAGAAGAAAGUAAAAAUAUUCUAAGUGUAGGUAAACUUGUAGACUCAAAUGACUCUACCUUCUCAUAAAAAAUCCUCAAUUUUAUAAAUUAUAUAGAUUUCUUCAUUUGAUACAAAAUUUGAAUAAAGAUUUUUCAAAUGACAACACAAGGAAAGGGAAAAAAAAAAUUCUCUCCAGUUCAUUUCAUUUAAUCACUUAAAUUAUUUAAAAAUAAAAAUGUUUACUGCUAACAUUAUUUAGAUUCAUCUUUCUUUUGAUGGAGGUUAAAAUUCAUAAUUUUGAGGAAAAAGAUGAGGAUUCUCAUUUUUUUUUCCAUGUAUGAAUGGGAUUCUCAUUGUGUAUAUGUGGGUUACUAAAUGGCAAAUUUAGGGGCCAAUAUGAGGAAAAAUAUGAAGUUGAGUUUGUCACCAAGAACAAACAUGACUCCUAUAAAGGUGGCAUCCUUAAUUUCAUGUCUGGAUUAGACUUCUCAUGUAACAACUUAACAGGUGAAAUCUCUCAUGAACUUGGAAUGUUAAGUUUGAUUCAUGCAUUGAACUUGUCUCGCAAUCAACUAAAGGGCUCCAUUUCAAACAGUUUUUGCAAUCUUUCUCAAACAGAGAGCUUAGAUCUUCUUAAUAAUAAACUAAGUGGAGAAAUUCCUCCAAAAUUGGUUAGACUAACUUUUUUAGUGGUGUUCAAUGUGACUCAUAGUAGCAUCUUUGGAAGAGUUUCAGAUAUGAAUGCAUAAUUUGCAAUAUUUGAUGAAAGUAACUAUGAAGAUAAUCCUUUCCUUUGUGGACCACCAUUAAAGAGAAAAUGUAGCAUAAAUGUUAAGCCACCUUACCCACCAUUAGAGUCUUCGGAAAAAAGUGAUGCAAAAUGGUAUAAUAUCGAUCUUGUGGUUUUCUUUGCAAGUUUUACUAUAUCAUAUAUCAUGAUAUCAUUAGGAAUUUCAACCAUUCUUUACAUUAACCCUUAUUGGUGUCAAAGAUGGUUCAAUUUUAUCGAGAAAUAUAUAUACUUUUGCUAUUAUUUUGUUUCCUAUACUCUUUCCAAGUUAUUAACAUAUUUUGAAUAAUUAGAGAUUUUUGUUUUCAAUAAUAUUUACAUAAUUAACUACUAUUGGCUUCCAUGACAUGGAAAGAAAUGCGGUGAAGGCAACAACCACUUUUUUUUCUCCUCUACUAGUGCAUGAUUGAUAUGAGUUAAAACUUGCACCCUUAUCUUUGCUUAAAUUUUCUCAGCUUUUGUUUCAAUUCUUAAUUAUCAUUUCUUUUAUGUGUUGUUUAAUACAAUAUCCUAAACACAUUGCUUUGAAGGUUACUUAUUUAUUAAGCAUGAUAUUUAUUUUUCAUAAAGACAAAUUCAAGUUUUUUAGGAAUUUUUAGAAUUAUUAUAAUUUGGAGUUCACAUUAGAGGAAAAAAGGAAAGAAAAGAAUAGAUGAUUAAAAAAACAAUUUUAGUAAGUAUAAUUUGUCAUCUUCGGUAUAACAAAUGGGAAUUCCAAAAUAAUAUUUCAAUUUGUUAGUCUAUUCCUUAUAGUAUUAAUUGAUAUAUCAAAUAGGAAGUCACGUUUUGAUUUUUUAUUAGCUUCAAUUGCAUGUCACAUAUAUUUUAAAAUCAAGCAUACCUCAGCCGGGAAGUUCUUGUAACAUGCAUGAACAUGAUAUGAUGAAUUGAAUAAUUUUCUUAAUUGUGUGAGACACAAACCCUCUUUGUUUAAUAAUAAUAAUAAUAUACUACACAUUAUUAAAUCAUAUAUGUAUAUUUAUAGUCGUAUAAUAUAUUCAAAAUAUUAAACACAUUACCCUCUUAAAUUUUUAUGAAUGGUGUUUACUUUACAUAACGACAGAUUCAAAUUUUUUUAGAAUUUUUUAAUGUUAAAAUAAUUUGGAGCUUAAUAGGGAAAAAAAAGAAUAAAUAAUUAGAAAAGCAAUUCAAAAAAAAUAAAAUUUAUCCUCUUAAAUUGGUUUUGUGUAAUACUAUAGAAGCCAUUUCUUGAGUUUGAUAUGGUAGAAUUCGGAUUCAUAUUUAUUUUAAAAUAAAGAAUUUCAAGGGUUGGUAGCAUCAAUAGAAUCUUAACAAAUUUGCAAAAAAGUAUUUGGGUAGAUCACAUUUAAAUAUAGCUAACAGAAUAAAAAAUUAAUAUUAUUAGGAAGACAUGAUCAAUUAAAUCUUUUUUCUUAUCUAUGACACCGAUUUUAUAUUUUUACAUAGUCAAUAUAAUUUAUUACAACUUAUAUGUCAUUAAAUUAUACAUGCUUAUAUUAAAUAUAAUAUAAGAUCAUUAAUGGAAUAAUUAUGCAAGUAAUAUAAAUUGUAUAUAAUAUAAAAAAUUUAAACUCCGUCAAACUAAUGGAAUCUAUUAUAAUAAGUAGACUAGACACCAUAUUGGCCCGAGUUGGAGGCCUGGGCCAGAUUUUAAAGGCUGGGCUUUGAGUUGCCCGUGGGCCUGAGCCAAGGCCUUCUCUUGGUAUCAUCAUUUUGAAGAAAUAAAUUGCUGAUACAGAGAAAAAAACUAUACUAAAUAGAAAAAUAAAUAAAAGCAUUGACUAAAAUGAAGGUCAAGGUCCUUGAAAAAUAAUCUUUAAAUUGUUGCAUAUAUAAUUUCAAUAAUGCAUAAAUAAUUGCAAUAUAUAUGAUAUGAUAAAGAAUUUGGAAUUAAAAGAAGAUUGAUCUAUUUUAAAUGUGGUUGGAAUAUUUUUAAAUUUGUGAUGGGAAGUUAGACAGCCAAUUAGGGAUCCAUAUUAUUUAUUUUCAAUUAUAUGAAUUUAUUUACUUUUAUUAAUAUUCUGAAUGCAACAAUAUAAAAUAUGUCAAUUUUCUAAAAUUAAAAAAGUAAUUGCAAAAGAAAAUUUUUAAUUAUUUUUCUGAAAUUGAGUUUAUCAUAACAUUUUUCUUUACAUAAAUUUCUUUUUUAUGUUUAUUUUUUUAAAAAUGAGAUAUGAAAAAAAAAGAUCAAUAUUAGUAAAAGUAAAACCCAAUAUAUAUAAAAAAAAUGAAUAAAUGUUUAUGAAAUAAGAUUUAAAAGUGAGAAGGUAAUAAAUUUUUUCUCUUUUAAUUCCUAUUCAAUACAUUACAAAAAAUAUUUUUGGUUUUUAUGCUAAAAUUUAUUGUUUAUUAAAAAAUUCUAGUAUAUCUAGCUAUCAUAGAAGAGCUCCAAAAUUUUAUUGUUUAAGAGAAUGUGUUGCCACUUUAAAAGAUUUAUAUGCAUACCUUUGGAUAUGUUUAGUUCCCGGUAAAUUUGAAGGAAAAUGUGAAGGAAGAAAAAUAGAGAAGAAAAGUAUAACAAAAUAAAAAGUGAAGGAAAAUGAAAAAUAGAUUUAAAAUUAAUAAAUUAUUUUCAUUGGUUUUUUCAAAUUUAUUUUACUUAUUUUAUUCUAUUAAAUAAAGAUUAACUAAUUUUAAUUAUAUUUGGUUUGAUUUUUAUUAUUUUUCAAAGCAAAACCAAAUAUGAAAAAAAAAACAUUUUUUUUGGUUAUUUUUUUCUUUCCUUAUUACUCUUCGGGACUCAAACAUAGCUUUUAGAUUUGGGGCAUGGAAAAAUAAGAGUAUUGAAUAAGGGUUCUAUAUAUGCCCAUGCCCAUGCCCAUGAUACCAUUGAAAAAAAUGGAGAGAGGGUGAAACCUUUACUAGAUGAUAAAUUAUUCUCUUCAAUGGAAAUCAAAUAUAAUUAUUUUUAUCUUGUAUUAAUUGAAUGUUAUACUCCAUAAACUCAAAAUUAAAAUAAAUAAAAAAUUUAAAAACUAGGACAAUCCCAUUUUUUUUCAAUUUCUUAAAAAGAAAUUAAAUUAUAUUUAUUUAUAUCUAUUUUCAUCCCUACCCAACAAAAUAAAAAAAAUUAACAUUGUGGAACAUGUAUGAGAAAUUCUCACAAUUUUUUUUAAGAAAAAUAAAUUUCUUAUUUUAUAUAUGUUAAAAAUAAAUAUAAUCUUUUAUUUUUUAUAUAUAUAAUCGGGUAAGGUAGAGUGGGACAAAGAAAUAAUCCCCUUCGAUUCCAAUCCGAAAUUUUAAAAUAUAAAAUAAAAAUCUUAAACUCAUCCCUAAUCCAUUUAUUUUUAAUCCUAAACUUGUCUUAUAAGGAAUAAGGCAAAGUAAGUACAUGAAAACACUUUUUUUUAUCAUCAUCUCUACAAGUUCUAAUGUUUAGAUUGCAAUCCAUAUCAAAGAUUUAUAAAGAAAGAACAACGAUGAAUUUCAUAAACAUUUGAAAGCAUAUACAAAGUUUUAAAUAAUAUUGCUUGAGGUGCAAAUAUUAUUUGGCGCACACGUUGAGGGACUUCAACUGGUGUUGUCUAGGUUUUUUACACUAGUAAGUAAUCUUGAAUAUCUAGAGUAACUUGAUCAAAAUCUCUUUAAUUUUAUUUUCUUUGAUGAAUUAGAAUGCUUAUAUAACAUGAUUAAAAAUUUUAAGAAAAAAAAACUAAGAAGAAAGAAAGAAGUACCGAUCUUCCAAAUAUUGCUUCCACUUUAAUAUUUAGAAGGCUCUAAGAAAAGAAUUUUAUUCAUGAAUCACAACCCAAGUCGAAAAUAAAUUGAACCCAUUUUCUAAGUUAAAUUUUGAAUUUUUUACUAGUGAAUGCAAAUUGGGAAAAUGUAUAUAAAUAUAAUUAAACUAGAAUAGUAGGUUAGGUUUGUGUGGUCCCACGAUGACUUGGAAGUUUCAACAAUUCAAGCAGACUCCACCUAUAAACCUAAUAUACUAUUUUAGUUUAAUUAUAUUUAUAUAUGUUUUCCCAAUUUGCAUUCACUAGUAAAAAAUUCAAAGUUGAACUUGAAAAAUGGGUUCAAUUUAUUUUCGAUUUGGGUUGUGAUUCAUGAAUGAAACAAUGAUCAAUGACUUGACUUUUAAGGCCAACUUAGUUAAGUCAUUCCUAACCCCUAUAUUAAUUUGGCCUUAAAAGUCCAGUAAUUGAUAGCUAAAUCCCAACCCAAGUCAAAAAUAAAUUGAACCCAUUUUCUAAGUUCAACUUUGAAAUUUUUUUUAAUUGGAAAAAUGUAUAUAAAUACAAUUAAACUAGAAUAGUAGAUUAGGUUUGUAGGUGGAGUCUGCUUGAAUUUGUGAAACUUCCAAGUCGUCGUGGGUCUAGUGGUCCCAUAGCUCUCUAUUAAUUUCCACCAUCAAUUUUCUGCAAUAAAGUCAAGUCAUUCCUAACCCCUAUAUUAAUUUGGCCUUCAAAGUCCAGUCAUUGAUAGCUACGUUCAUGAAUCCCAACCCAAGUCAAAAAUAAAUUGAAUCCAUUUUCUAAGUUCAACUUUGAAUUUUUUUUAAUUGGAAAAAUGUAUAUAAAUACAAUUAAACUAGAAUAGUAGAUUAGGUUUGUAGGUGGAGUCUGGUUGAAUUUGUGAAACUUCCAAGUCGUCGUGGGUCUGGUGGUCUUAUAGCUCUCUAUUAAUUUCCACCAUCAAUUUUCUGCAAUAAAGUCAAGUCAUUCCUAACCCCUAUAUUAAUUUGGCCUUAAAAGUCCAGUCAUUGAUAGCUACGUUCAUGAAUCCCAACCUAAGUCAAAAAUAAAUUGAACCCAUUUUCCAAGUUCAACUUUGAAUUUUUUUUAAUUGGAAAAAUGUAUAUAAAUACAAUUAAACUAGAAUAGUAGAUUAGGUUUAUAGGUGGAGUCUGCUUGAAUUUGUGAAACUUCCAAGUCGUCGUGGGUCUAGUGGUCCCAUAGCUCUCUAUUAAUUUUCACCAUCAAUUUUCUGCAAUAAAGUCAAGCCAUUCCUAAACCAUAUAUUAAUUUGGCCUUAAAAGUCAAGUCAUUGAUAGUUACGUUCAUGAAUCACAACCCAAGUCUAAAAUAAAUUGAACCCAUUUUCCAAGUUCAACUUUGAUUUUUUUUACUAGUGAAUGCAAAUUGGGAAAACGUAUAUAAAUAUAAUUAUACUAGAAUAGUAUAUUAGGUUUGUAGGUGGAGUAAGCUUGAAUUGUUGAAACUUCCAAGUCAUCAUGGGUCUAAGGGUCCCAUAGCUCUCUAUUAAUUUCCAUCAUCAAUUUUUAUGAAUUCAGAUUUAAAAGUGAGAAGGGAAUAAAUUUUUUCUUUUUCAAUUCAUUACAAAAAAUAUUUUUGGUUUUUAUGCUAAAAUUUAUUGUUUAUUCAAAAAAUUAAAGUAUAAAAAUAUAAAAUAUAUAUCUUGCUAUUAUAGAAGAGCUCCAAAAUUUUCGUGUUUAAGAGAAUAUGUGUUGCCACUUUAGAAGAUUUAUAUACAAAAAGGAUUGAUGUUUCUCCUUUGACUAUGUUUGGUUCCCAAAAAUUUGAGGGAAAGAAAAUAAAAAAAAGGUAGUAAAAAAGAAAAAAUGAAGGAAAAUAAAAAAUAGUUUUAAAGUUAAUAAAUUAUUUUUAUAUGCUAUUUCAAACUUAUUUUACUUAUUUUUUUUCAUUAUAUAAAGAUUAAAUAAUUUUAAAAUGCAUAACUAAUUUUAAUUAUAUUUAAUUUUUCUUUUAUAUUUUUUAGACGGGAUCCAACACAUGUAAAAAUCCUUUUUUUUAGCAUCUUUUUUUCUUUUCUUAUUACUUUCCAAUAACCAAAUAUAACCUUUAGAUUUAGCCUUUAGACUUGGAGUAUGGAAGGAUACUGAGUAUUGAAAGAAGGUUUUGUAUAUGGCCAUGAUACCAUAGAAAAAAUGGGCGACAGAGAAAAAACCUUUAUUAAAUGAUAAAUUAUUUUUUUCAAUGGAAAUCAAAUAUAAUUAUUUUUAAAAAUAAAAAUAAAAAAUAAUAAUUUGUUGUUGCAUUAAGUAUUCUUGCAUUUGGAGAAGCAUGUACUACUUACUACAUAAAUGGAUAUUCAUGGAGUGCAUUCUCUAGAAAGCUCCAGUCUCAUGAAAAUGGAAAGAUGGACCGGCCGGUGAACCGGUUCGAGUUUGGAUUUAUGGGCUGCCUCAGCCUAACACGCAUGAUAGGUUGUUGUAGGUGAAGAACUAACUAAUUAAUUUAAAGCCUUCUUCUAUCCUCUCCUAUUCCUCUAUCACUCCAAAUGUUCCACAUGAUAAUGACAAUUCUUUUGUUAAAUGGUAAAAAAAAAAUUUAACAAUUAAUUUAAAAAAUUUUUAAAAUCUAAAUCCAAUGGAAAUUUGACUGUAAGGUGCGUAGAAGGCCCUAGUGCCCAUGUUGCUAAUUUGAUGAUAGUUAAAUUACCAUUUCGAGAGAUUCCACUCACUAGUAUUCUCAUUUAUAAAAUCAUGAACUUUGGCAUCCUAAUUAAUGUAAUUUAACUUUUUUUUGUUUACAAAUGAAAUAAGAGGCAACAUAUAAACCCAAAAGUUAAUUUUCCUACCAUCUCUAUGCACCAUUUUAGCUUUACUCCAAUAUAUUUUCUAUGAUUAAUUAUUUUCAUUCAAACAAUAAUAUCAAAAUAUUUUAAAAUUAGACAUAUCCACUAAUAUAUCUUCGAUAUAUUAUAUAUAUCUGUAAAAUCGAAACACCAAUAUAUCCGUGAUUAUCGAUAUUUUUAUCGUUGAGGGAUAACAACUAAUCUAGUUUUUGUACCUAUUGAUAUUCCUCAACAUUUAGAUUGAUUUGACCAUUUUUUUUUUAAUUUUAUUUUCUUUGAUGGUUAUAUGAUGAAUUAGAAUAGUCAUAUAACAUUAACAGAUUUAAGCAAAAAUGAUAAAAAAGCUCGCAUUUUUCAAAUAUUGGUUUCAACUUUGAAUAUUUUUAUUGGUAAAUGAAAAUUGUGAAAAACCUACUAAUGCUAAUACUUUUCACCACAUAAUUAAAUAUAAUAAACUAGAAUAGUGAUUCAUUGAUGUCUUAUAAAGCUACAUGCCUUCUUUGACUUGUUAGUUGAUUUUUGUAGGUGGAGUCUGUAGGGACCCCUCCCCCUGAUGACACGUGGCACGCAUUUCUAUCCGGAUUAGCUCCAUCCGGAUUUCCUCCAAGGAGACACGUGGCGCGCUUCCCCUAUCCGGACUCCCUCAGGGAGAAGCACACGACACUCGCAAACAUCACAUCCGGACGACCGCCAUAUCGCAUCCGGACGAUCGACAUAUCCUAUCCGGAUAUGUUUGUCCGGAUCGUUGACUAAAGUAAGCAAGUCUUACUACGUCAUUCCGACAGCCUGCCAUGGCCCACGUUCCACCACCUGCAAAGUGAAAAGACAGGAAUGAUGGCAAGUCACUUCCUACGAUCUCUGACAGCUGUGGCGCCUCUCACGAUCUCUGUCAGCCGCCCGUAGGGUGAUGAUGGCCCUGUCACCACCUAGAGUCAUCAUGACAAGCCAAAAUAUCUCUCUAUCAUUAAAGAGGGAGACAGAGCUUCUGGUACUAUAUAUAUGGACCUUCACACAAAGAGGAAGGUAAGCUUGCUAUACCUAGUAAAAGGCCAACUGAUUUAUCUCUUUAACCAUGGCUGACAAAACCAUCGGAGGGUGUGUCCGGACACCCUGUCCGGACGCCUUUUGCAGGAACGAUUGAACCAGGAAUCUAUAUUGGUUGAGAUCGUGCGUCCAUCCAUUUGGCAACUACGUGGAUCACCAGGGACGCGAGGCCUCAACAUUGGCGCCGUCUGUGGGAAAAUCACUGAUUCAGUCACCGACAAAGAUAGCCACACCUUCCCAAAGCCGCUCGUCCGCUAGGGAAAAGGAAGAUAAUUCUGAAUGGCGCCGAGCCAUUGAAAGAAGACAGUUGGCAAGCUCGUGACAACUGCAAGCUCUCCUCCAGGAGACAGAAUGACUAAGAGAAGAAAACGCGGUACUACGCAUCCAAGCUUCAUCGACGGGGCCUCCCCGUCGUCAGCAUUCAAAAGGCCAGGUAGCAAACUCAAGGCCUGACCCAGAGUCAAUAUACCCUGGGGCAGCAGGAGCAAUACUUGAAACAUGCAACGUUAGGCCACAUGAGCCACACACGCCCAUGCACCGAGCUCCCCAUGAGGAAAGCUCAGACUCUACUCAUUUUUCAGCAAAAAGACAACGCGACAAAAAAUCCCAAUUGUCAAACUCAAUGCGUGCGAGACUAGGCCCACAGGAGCCUGGGAGGCCAAAGCCGCCAGUAGCCAUAACCUGGGCAGUGCACCUUGACCCUAUGGUCACCCCCAUGGUGCAGAGCGUUCUCCCGCACCGUGACCCUAUGGUCACCCCUAUGGUGCAGAACGUUCACCCGCACCUAGCGGUACGACAAGCUGGGAGAAACCUCCCAAAUGAGCCACCCAUUGGCUCCAUUAGCAAAAGGCUGGACGACAUGCUCUCCACGCCUUUUUGCUCUCAUAUCAUUCAUUACGAGCCCCCAAGGGGAUUCCUCGUGCCCAAAUUCUCCACAUACGAUGGGUCCAGCGACCCCUUCGACCAUAUCAUGCAUUAUCGACAGCUCAUGACUCUCGAUAUAGGCAAUGACGCGCAGCUAUGCAAAGUAUUCCCCGCCAACCUACAAGGGCAGGCCCUCUCAUGGUUUCACCGCCUACCUCCCAACUAUGUUGAUAAUUUCAGAGACCUAUCAGAGGCCUUCGUGGGACAAUACUUAUGCUCUGCUCGACAUAAGCAGAACAUCAGCACUCUGCAAAACAUAAAAAUGCAGGAUAACGAAUCCUUAAGGGAGUUCGUGAAGUGGUUUGGUCAUGCCGUACUACAGGUAAAGGCUUACAGCAUGGAUGCUGUCCUGCAGAUCUUCAAGCGAAGUAUUUGUCCAGGCACCCCAUUUUUUGAAUCACUCGCUAAAAAGCCUCCUACGACGAUGGACGACUUGUUCCAGCGUGCGAGCAAAUACUCAAUGCUCGAAGAUGACGUGCGAGCAGCCACCCAGCAAGUCUUGGUUGCCGGACAGGCAUCUAGAAGUGGCACGGAAAGAAGUGCCAAACUUCCGGACAGGCCAAGACAGUCCCAUCAAAGGCAGGAAGGGCCAAGUCGCCCGGAAAGGCCGCCCCUCACACCCCUUUCCAUAUCCUAUGAGAAGCUUCUCCCUAUGAUCUAAGACAUGUCCGACUUCAGGUGGCCUAGACCCAUCGGAACGGACCCAUCCAAAAGGGAUCAUAGUAAAAAAUGUGCCUUCCAUAAAGAGCAUGGUCACACAACGGAGACAUGCAGGUGCCUUCAUUAUUUGGUCGAAAGGCUCAUAAGGGCGGGACAUUUAAAGCAAUACCUCCACUCAGAUACCGGAGGUAGAGAUGCUUCCCGAAAUCACAACUCUGGAGCCCCUAGGGCCCUAGCCGUCCCCAAAGCCGUUAUAAACUAUAUUAACAGAGGCCCAUCUGACGAGGAGUACGACUCCAAACGAAAGAAACAAAAGUUGUUGCGGGCAGCAUCGGUGCGCGAACGUGUCAACUCCAUCCGGCCUGGGAUAACUGGGGGGGCCCUCGCCCCAUAGAUGGGAUAAUCAUUUUCCCACCAGUAGACCCCACCCGGAUAUUGAAGCCGCACCGCGACGCCCUCAUCCUGUCCUUAAAGAUAGGAGACUUCGACGUGAGACGCAUCCUGGUUGACCCAGGUAGCUCGGCCGAUCUUGUGCAAGCAUCGGUCAUUAGCCACAUGGGGCACAAUCUCACAGGCCUCGAAAACCCUGGGCGAAUCUUGUCCGGAUUCAACGGGGCGUCAACUACUUCAUUGGGAGACAUUGUACUGUCGGUCCAAGCUGGCCCAGUCACUCUCAACGUACAAUUUUCGGUGGUACAAGAUUUAUCACCCUUCAAUGUCAUCUUGGGGCGCACAUGGCUGCACUACAUGAAAGUCAUCCCCUCUACAUAUCAUCAAAUGGUAAGCUUCCUUACCAAGGAUGGGCAAAUUGACCUAUACGGCAGCCAGUUAGCCGCUCGCCAAUGCUACCAGAUAGCACGAGAAGCAGGGACCAACCAGGAGGAUGCAUCCCUCCCUGAGUCCAGCCAUGCACGUGACCAAUAGCAAUUAUUGAGUCCGGGGGACAAAGAUCCCCCGGCAGCGGAUCCCUUGCAAGCAAUCCAAAUUUCGGAAGAAGGUACUCACCUUACGAAUAUCAGUUAGAAGAGACCCGGAACAUGCAGAACGCCCUCAGACAAAACCAUGACGUCUUCGCAUGGACACAUUCUGAUAUGAAGGGAAUUCAUCCCUCCAUUACCUCUCAUAGGCUUAACGUCUUGCCAACAGCCAGACCCAUCCGGCAGAGGGUUAGACGUUUUCACCCGGACAGACAAAAAAUUAUCCGGAAUGAGAUUGACAAGUUGCUAGAAGUCGGAUUCAUCAGAGAAGUGCAUUACCCGGACUGGUUGGCAAAUGUAGUGGUGGUACCCAAAAAAGAAGGCAAAUGGCGGGUGUGAGUCGACUAUACCAACCUCAAUAAUGCAUGCCCAAAAGACAGUUUCCCUUUGCCACGGAUGGAUCAAAUUGUGGACUCCACUGCUGGGUAAGGGAUGCUCUCCUUCUUGGACGCCUUCUCUGGAUACCACCAAAUCCCCAUGUCCCCGGCUGAUGAAGAAAAGACAGCCUUCAUAACACCACAUGGUCUCUAUUGCUACAAAGUCAUGCCAUUCAGACUCAAAAACGCUGGUGCCACUUACUAGAGACUGAUGACGAAGAUCUUCAAACCUCUGGUCGGCCGCACAAUAGAGGUAUAUAUUGACGAUAUCGUGGUUAAAAGUAAAACCCGAGAGGAACAUGUCCUCCACUUGCAAGAAGUCUUCCACCUCUUGAGGAAGUAUGGCAUGAAGUUGAAUCCCUCUAAAUGUGCCUUUGGCAUAAGUGGUGACAAAUUCUUGGGAUUUAUGGUUAGCCAAAUGGGGAUAGAGGUCAGCCCGGACCAAGUCAAGGCAGUCAUGGAAACACCACCCCCUAGGAGCAAAAAGGAAUUACAACGCCUCACAGGCAAGCUCGUCGCGCUAGGGCGUUUUAUAGCCCGCUUCACUAAUGAACUGCGACCCUUCUUCUUGGCAAUACGAAAAGAAGGAGCAAACGGAUGGACGAACAACUGUCAAAGCGCUUUUGAAAAAAUUAAACAUUGCCUCAUGCAAUCGCCCAUCCUGAGCAGUCCCCUCCUUGAAGAAAAACUGUAUAUGUAUCUGGCUGUAUCGGAGUGGGCAAUUAGUGAUGUUCUAUUCCGCUGCCCCUUACCCAAGGAGCAGAAACCUAUCUACUACGUCAGCAGAGCAUUGGCAGACGUAGAAACCAGGUAUUCAAAGAUGGAGCUAAUGGCCUUAGCUCUUCGAAGUGCUGCCCAGAAGCUCUGCCCCUACUUCCAAGCCCACCCGGUGGUCAUGCUAACUGACCAGCCCCUUCGCAACAUUCUGCACAAGCCAGACUUAACCGGAAGAAUGCUUCAAUGGGCCAUAGAGUUAAGCGAAUAUGGAAUCGAGUUCCAACCCAGGCUGUCCAUGAAAGGCCAAGUUAUGGCUGACUUCGUGUUGGAAUACUCCCGAAGGCCUAUCCAGCGCAAGGAACCAAGUGAAAAAGAGUGGUGGACUUUGCGGGUCGAUGGAGCCUCACGAUCAUCAGGAUCCGGAGUAGGGCUCCUGCUGCAAUCACCAACAGGAGAACAUCUGGAGCAAGCCAUCUGGAUGGGGUUCCCCGCCUCUAACAAUGAAGCGGAAUAUGAGGCCAUCCUAUCCGGAUUGGACCUCGCCCUGGCUCAUCCGUCUCCAAGCUCCGGGUCUAUAGUGACUCCCAACUCAUGGUAAGACACGUUAAGAAGGAAUACGAAGCUAAGGAUGCGCGCAUGACGUGAUAUCUGACUAAAGUAAGGGACACCUUACAACGGUUCACCGAAUGGACGAUCGAAAAAAUCAAACGAUCUAAAAAUGGACGUGCCGACGCCUUAGCAGGCAUAGUUGCCUCCCUCCCCAUCAAAGAAGCCAUAUUGUUGCCUAUACAUGUGUAAGUCAACCAUUCCGUCGCGGAAACCUCCACUUGCAAUACCAUUGAGGCAAAUCAAGCAGACGACCAAGAGUGGACGGAAGACAUUAUAAGGUACCUCUAGACAGGCACUCUGCCUGAAGAGCCCAAGCAGGUACACAAGCUCCGGGUGCAAGCCGCCCGUUUCACCCUAAUUGGGGGGUACUUGUACAAGCGAUCCUUCACAGGUUCCUAUCUUCGGUGCCUAAACCACUCAGAGGCCCUGUAUGUAUUAGCUGAAUUGCACGAGGGAGUAUGUGGAAUUAUUCUGGAGGUCGAUUUCUGGCACACAGGGCCCAUUCGCAAGGAUAUUACUGGCCCACGAUGAAGAAGGAUGCGGCAGCCUAUGUCAAAAAAUGUGACAAAUGCCAAAGGCAUGCCCCCAUACCACAUGUGCCGUCGGAGACAUUGAAGCCAAUAUCAGGCCCCUGGCCCUUCACGCAGUGGGGCAUGGACAUAGUAGGACCCCUACCACCCCCACCCGCUCAAAAGAAAUUCCUGCUCGUCGCCACGAAUUACUUCAGUAAAUGGGUGGAAGCUGAGGCAUACGCUAGCAUCAAAGACAAAGAUGUCACCAAGUUCAUGUGGAAGAACAUCAUCUGCCGCUUCGGAAUCCCCCAAACCAUUAUAGCCGACAACGGUCCAUAGUUUGAUAGCAUCGCUUUCCAGAAUUUCUGUUCGAAACUAAACAUCCGGAAUUCAUACUCCACACCGCGUUAUCCUCAAAGUAAUGGGCAAGCAGAGGCCACAAACAAGACUCUAAUCACUACCUUAAAGAAAAGGCUCGAGCAAGCCAAAGGAAAGUGGGUGGAAGAGCUACCCGGCGUCUUGUGGGCUUAUCGAACCAUACCCAGAUGUCCGACAGGAAACACUCCCUUCGCCCUCGCAUACGGUAUGGACGCAAUCAUUUCUAUUGAAAUAGGGCUACCCACUAUCCCGGACCGAGGCAGGAAAGCAGGAUGAUGCAAAUGUGGAGUUAAGAAGAAACUUGGACUGGGCAAACGAAGUAAGGGAAACUGCAUCCAUUCGGAUGGCAGAUUAUCAACAAAGGGCAUCCGCUCACUACAAUCGCAAAGCAAGGCCCAGAAGCUUUAAAAAUGAUACGCUGGUCCUUAGAAAGGUUUUCGAAAAUACUGCUGAGAUAGGAGCGGGAAAAUUUCAAGCCAAUUGGGAAAACCCCUAUAUAGUAUCUAAGACAAGUGAAAGUGGAGCCUAUCAUCUGCAGAAGCUAGAUGGAACCCCAUUGCUCCGACCAUGGAAUGUAUCUAAUCUAAAGUAGUAUUACCAAUGAAAGAAAAAUAGAGGUACAAAUAUGAAUAAGUAUGUUUUAUUAAUACUUGUGAAAAAUUGUAUACAAAAGUUCUCCGGACUACAAAAUACAGAGAGAAGAUAGCAGUAAAAAUUACAAAAAGAAAAGCUCUCAUUGGGAAGGCUUGCCACGCAGCUUCUCCUCCUCACCCGGGGGAAUCGAAGGGACGUCCCGUUUGAUACCAAGUUUCUUCAUACAGCAACGGUAGCCGAAGAAGUACAUUUCGUCUACCUACUUCUGGUAGUCUGCUUCAAGUUCCUCCCUUUCCGCAGCAAACUCAGCCUCCAACUCUUCUUUUUGCGCUAAUAAACGCAACUGCAAAUCCUCUCUCUGCUUUUUCUCAAUUGACACCUCUGUUUGGAGUUGCCUCACUUCUCCCGCAGUUGGGCCAUUUCGUCCUCCGCCUCAUGUAGACGGGCGUCUGUAGAUUCCUCCCGACUCUUUGCCUCAGCUAGCUCUACCCGGAGAGCCUCGUUGUCAUCUCGAGCAGCGGAUAAACUGGCUUCGGCCUGCUCUAAUCUCAAGCGCAGUUCCUCUUCACUGUUUAUGCGUUGAGAGACGAAGGCCUUCAUAUAAUCAGCAGUUCGUAGUAGGUCAGAAAAAAGAUCACGUUGUUGAGCCAUGCCGCGGAUACCGCUCACCAGCUGCAGAAAAACCCACAAACAAGAAGUGCAAAAAUUACAACCCAUGUGACAAACACAUCAGAAUGGCAAGAAAAAUCAAGAAGUAAACUAUACCAUUUCCGCUGCUUCAAACAUUUUUGCUGAAGGCACAGCAACAUCUGAGCUGGAUGGAAUCCGUUUCAGCAUCUCUCCCAACUGCGCAUAGCUGAAAGGACUAGCGGAGAUGCAAGCUGCAUCAUCAACGGGACUUCCUCCUGACGAGGCAUUAGGGAGUGACUCCUUUCCCGAGUCCGGGGCCUCAUCAUUCUCGACCGGCUGGGUCUCUCCGAGUGAACCCCCAUCUGGGACCAGCACCGGGGCGGUUGGAUUCUCUUCUGCCAUCUCUGUCUCACUCCCCUCCGGAUGAUCCUCCUGGACGGACGAGCAGCUGACUUCGAUGGUUUCCAAAAAACGAUCUUGAAGCCGCCUGAUGAGGCUAGACUUUAAGUCACGGGCCGGACGAGACCUCCUUGCAGUUGGCCCCUUCACCGGUAUAAAGGCAAGGGAGCUUGGCUCGCAAGGAGGCACACCCUGACUUUCUGCCCUCGUUUCUUCCGUUGGGGGUGCCGUAGGAGGCAAUGCUUCAGUACAAGAGGCCUCGGCUGCAUCCGCGUCCGAAUGGGGAGAGCCGAGCUGAUUUACUGAAGUCGCUUCCUCAGCCAGAAGAGCCAGCCGUCCAGCCGCUGGCACUGAAGGCCCCGAAUGGUUUAGACCCGCGAGACGUCCGGAGCCUCUUGAAACAGAAGGCAAGACGGGGGAAGGGGGGAGAGGGGGGGGGGGGGGGGUGGUCUGGCUCUCUUAUUAUUAUUUCCUUUACGAAAGUUGGAGGUGGUAUUACCACUUCCUUUGGUGGAGUUGGAAGUUUUAUUUAUUUCCCCUUAUUGAGAGCCUUCUUCUUCUUUUUCUUCGCCGGGGCGCCAGCAGGAAGAGAGGGCGCGAAGCGUUUUAUAUCGGGGGCCCUCCGCAAAGUUCCCUCUUGCCUCAUUCCCUCCCGUUCGUCGAGACGUGCUCGGCGUGCCUGGGCAUCUGCCUUGCGCACCUCCUUGUAGAAAGGAAGGUCUUUUAGAACAAAAUGCUCCCCAGGCAUUACCUUCUUUGGCAACUUCCUGGGGAGAAUAUUGAUGACAUACGCCUGGGGCUCUUGGACAACGGCUAGCAAGUUUCGCGUAGUAAGCAGCGUCUCAUGAUGCCUCUCAGCGGCAGUAAUCUCAAAUAACUUGUUCAGUCGAACGAAAGACGUUUUUUCUACCCACUCGACUACGCGACCCCUCUUGUCCGGACCUGCAUUAUCAGCAACCAAAGAUAUUAAGCCAUCUGAUAACCCCAAAGCAAGAAAAGCAACAAGACGAAUGCCGAACAAACCCCGCAAGCUGUCUUACCCGGAAGCACCAACGAAAGGUUUGGGGAGAAUGGCCUCUCCGGAUGCUCCAGUAGCCCAGCCCAGAUACCCCGGACCAACACAUGUCCCUUGGCUCCUCCCUUCGUCGAAUCCGAAAGCUUAGUCACUAGUUGGAGAGAAGGCAGGUGGGAAACCAUGCUAAAAAUGUCAUUUUUCUCCUUCUUAAGGGAGUAGAUGAAAAGAACCUCCAGCAGCGAGAGGUCCAGGUUGAACAACAUGCUCAGAAUGCUGCAUCCCAUCAGCACCCGGACCAUGUUGGGAUGGAUGUAGGCCGGGGGGAUCUGGGUGAAGUGGAGAAAUUCUUUGAAAAGUGAUGGGAGAGGGAACCGGAGCCCAACAUUGAGUUGCUUCUUGGUAAAGCAGAUAGUGUUCUCCUCAGUUUUCUCAGUCGACAUGGCCUCUCCGUCCAUAAGUUCAACGGACACGCCAUUUGGGAUGCAGAAGCGUUCGCGAAACUCCCUCACAUUCAACUUAUCCACGGAUUUCUCAGCAUGAGCAUCUCCGGGUGAGCUGGAUGAAGUAGCUUCCUUGUUCGCAGACAUUUUGUAGGCUGGGGCUGAAAUGGAAUCUGCAUGGAGGAAUGCCAACAGUCAAACACAGCAAUCCGACCCCACAACCUUAACUCUACCCCAAAGAAGAAUCGGUGACCCACAAAAGGCACAAGGGUGCAACAGAAACCCUAAACACACCCAAAACACGAUCAAAACCCCCCGAAAAAAGCCCUAGAAACCAAUACCGAUUCCUAGUCGCAAAGCAACUUGCCCAGCAAGCCAGAAACAACCAACAAAACAAACACAACAAGGAGAAAAAAAAAAUAGAAAACGUACCGAGUGUAAAACUGGAAAAAUGGGAUGAAAUCCGCAGUGCAGUCACCGUCACGAUACGAGUAUUACCGGCAGAAAACCCUAGAGCUUCACUAGAAAGUGAAAAUACGCGGAAGGUAGAAGAGAAAGCACUACCAGAAAAAGCGCAGAAGGAAAAAUGCAAGAGAAAGGCACAGUUUGCUAUUUAUAGAGAGACAGCUCCUCGGUAUCCCAAAUGCUUAGCCGCACCAUCAUUGAAAGGACACGCUGCCUGGGAAAUCCCAGAAUCGGCGGCUCAUCAUAAAUGAUCUUCUUCCUUUUUCGCCCCCGCUCGCCACGUGGCCCAAUAAAGCGAAAAAAGUCAACCUCAGUUUCAAAAAACAAUCAUUUUUUAACCCACCCAUUUUGCCCUGGCAAAAUGGGCAGGUUAAAAGGGGGGCAUUGUAGGGACCUCUCCCCCUGAUGACAUGUGACACACAUUUCUAUCCGAAUUAGCUCCAUCCGGAUUUCCCCCAAGGAGACACGUGGCGCGCUUCCCCUAUCCGGACUCCCUCAGGGAGAAGCACACGACACUUGCAAACCUCACAUCCGGACGACCGCCAUAUCGCAUCCGGACGACCGACAUAUCCUAUCCGAAUAUGUUUGUCCAGAUCGUUGACUAAAGUAAGCAAGUCUUACUACGUCAUUCCGACAGCCUGCCACGGCUCACGUUCCGCCACCUGCAGAGUGAAAAGACAGGAAUGAUGGCAAGUCACUUCCUACGAUCUCUGACAGUUGCGACGCCUCCCACGAUCUCUGUCAGCCGCUCGUAUGGUGAUGAUGGCCCUGUCACCACCUAGAGUCAUCAUGACAAGCCAAAAUAUCUCCCUAUCAUUAAAGAGGGAGAUAGAGCUUCUGGUACUAUAUAUAUGGACCUUCACACAAAGAGGAAGGUAAGCUUGCUAUACCUAGUAAAAGGCCAACUGAUUUAUCUCUCUAACCAUGGUUGACAAAACCAUCGGAGGGUGUGUCCGGACGCCUUUUGCAGGAAUGACUAAACUAGGAAUCUAUAUUGGUUGAGAUUGUGCGUCCAUCUAUUUGGCAACUACGUGGAUCACCAGGGACGCGAGGCCUCAACAUAGUCCAUUUCCAUUUGAAUUGUUGAAACUUCCUAGUCCUUGUGGGUCUAGUGGUCUCUCUAAUAAUUCCCACCAUUAAUUUUUUGUGAUGAAGUGCAGUCAUUGAUAGCUACUAUAUCAAUUUGCUAUUAAAAGUCAAGUCAUUGAUAACUACUAUUCAAUCUUUUUCAAUAUGGAAAUUGGAAUCUCUAGCGCUACUCUUCUCAUCGUUCAUUUUUAGGUAAUGUGAGAAUGUGUGAACAUAAAUGUCUUCUAAUCAACCAAUUUUUUUUUGAAAAAAACAUGUACAAAAUUGCAAAACUUGCAAAAUCAAACUGACUGUAAUCAACCAUCAUAAUUUUGAUGGUUUUGAAGAAUCAAAGGAUGAAUCCUAAAAGGGUAUUUGAUAAAAAAUAAAAAUUAAAAAAAUUAAAAGACAACUACUCCCUUAAGUAUAAUAAGUGUAUUUGGUAGCACAAAUUUCCUACCACUUAUUAUUUUUUUUCUUAAAAAAUCAUUUACUCUAUUAAAUAAACUAACCUUGGCUUAUCACUUAUAGCAAAAUAGGUUAAGUAGUUUUUAAAAUUUUAUAAUAUUAGAUUUACAUUUUUAUCCUUCAAAAUUUCAUUAAUGCUAGAUUCUUCUAUAUGCUUAACUAAUAAAUAAUUUUUAGCAUUUUUCUUUUCUUAUAAACAUAAAAAAAUAAAAAUAUUAUUAACUUAUUGGUAUAUUUUAAAAUUUUAAUUAGAUUUAAGCUUUUAUUUUUUUGGAUUACCAAUUAUACAUAUAAAUCCUUUAUUAUUAUUGUUAUUAUUGAAAGAAAGGGGUUGAAUAGGUAGUCCCUCAAUCCCCAAAUUAAAUUCUUUAUUGCGUACUUUUGGUUUAUUCCUUUACAUGAAUUCCUUGGUGAGAGUAAACAUUUCAUUAAUGGAUAAAUAAAAUUGAUUCCAUAUCACAGGGUAUAAUGUGGAAAAAUCAUCGGUCUCAUGUGUUCCUUAGUGGAUCCUUUGGAGCCCUUAUCAAAGUUUCAUGAUGAAACCAUUGACUUUUGUUUAACCCAAAUGUGCUUUCAAGACAAAUCUUGAAAGAUUUGAGAGAUGGAGGUUCAAGUCUUUUAUGAACGACCAUGUUCUCUUAGGGUUCAUGAAAUUUCACACCUUUUGAUAAAUAAAACUUAUUUAUUUAUACGUCUAAAACCUAGUAUUUAUUUAUUUAAUUAUAGAAAGUUUCUUAGUUUUAAAAACAUUUCAAAAAUCAUUUUUAGAAUCAAAUAACAAUUUUAGAGAUAAACACAAUAUUAAAAUUUAACAAAAACAAAUUUUUGAAUUAAAAACACAAUAUAAACUAAAUUACAAAAUAUAAAGUAAUUUUUAUCCUAAUUUCUUCUUGCAAAACCAAAUAGAACACCUAGAAGGGGAGUGAAUAGGUGAUUUUAAAUUUUUUCAAUAAUGAUUUAUAAGUUAUACCCAAUUCUUUUACCCUGCGAGUUGUUAGGGACUAUCAAUUCUUUCCUUUUGGCAAUUCAAACAAUAUAUCAAAUAAUAAAAAGAUAUAAAUAAUGAGACAUAAAGAUUUUUACAUGGAAAACCCCCCACACUAACCAUGGAGAUAAAAAGCCAUGGAGUCUAAGACCUAUUAAUCUAAAUUCACUAUACGAAAUCAAGUUACACAAAUUUAUUUGGUAGCUUUACCUUAAAGACUUACUCUCCGGUACUGACAACUUGAUUCACGUCCAUGACGUAGCAACCCUCGAUUACUCCAAUGUAUCACUUCAAGCUUACUAAAAGGAUGAAGGCCUUCAAACCAAGAUUCAAAAAUCAAUUCCUUGAAUGAGAGAUUAGGAAUGGUGUGCCACUUUAGGCUUUCUCUCUAAGAUCUCUAAAAUGAUCUCCUCAAUGAAAACCUCUUAAACAAAAUGAGAUAUUUCUCCACAAUCUCUAACCCUUAAGGGGUUAUAAUGAGAUAUUUAUAGGCAACUAAGUUGAAAGUUUCAGUUUUGGAAGGUUUCUCAAUUGAAUUUGUGUGAAAAACUCGGCAGAAUCGACAUGAUCGCUCGAGCCAACACACUUCCCACUUGAGCGUUUUGGGCACUUGAGCGGUAAGGCUCGCUUGAGUUGUCUUAAGCACUUGAGCAUUCUAGGCUACUUGAGCAAUCUUGCUCUAUUUCAAAAGUUAAUUUUAAAUCAUUUUAAGUUCAAAACAAAAUUGAUUCCCUUUAUACCUCAAAGAAGCCUAACUUGCCACAAACCAAACCUUUUUAGAUAUACUUGUGACUUCCUGGUUGGACGAACAACAACUCUUAAUCUUCAAUGGAGAGCAAGUCACUAUCUAAAAAGAUUUAUAUGGUCAAACAUAAAAAAACAAAAAAAUUGCCAACAUAACAACAAGACUCAAUGUCCUAACAAUCUUCCCCUUUGGCAAUUUUGUGACAAAAACAACGUUACAUAAACCCACCUGAACUCUCAUAAUGGAGUUUAAUAAUACACAUUAACGUUCAAUUAAAAAUAAACUAAGGGAAUACUUUAUCUCACUUUGUAGUAUUUGUCUUCCAACCUUGUAACCUACACACAUAUAGAAAACUAUACCAAAGGUAAAACAAUGUGCAGGAUAAGAUAUGAUCAAGAAAGCAAAAUAGGAUAAUUGGAAAUUUUGCUUGAUGCCUUGUGAAAGCAUGAAAAAAGAACAAAUUCAUAUAGUAAUAUCAAGGGACAAAGCAAAACUCGAGAAGAAUAUAUAUGUAUGCAAAUCAACCAAACAUAAUAAAAGCUAAAUAAGAUGCAAUAGAUAAAAAAUAAUGCCUAGGGGUCUAUCUCCAACCAGAAAAUAGGGAGUGAAGAUCAUAGAAAGAACCUUCUGUGACUUAGAAAGAUUCUAGAGAGAUAGUAAAUUCAAACAUAAAUAUCUUGCUGGAAACAUCUAUGUUAUGUAUCUCUCUAAACCUUUUAAGUUAUGCUUUCAUCAGUUGAUUUGGUUUUUCUCCAAUGUCUCAGGUUUAAUUUCCUCUAUUAUUUCAAUUAGAGAAAUUAGUAGUCGAUUGACUUAGUGGGUGUUUGGUAAAACUUAAUACUUAUUAUUUAAUGAUUAACUUUAAGUUAAAUUGUUCUUAAGUUAUUAAUUUAAAAUUUAUUACUUAUUUUGUAUUUAAGUAUUAAGGUUAUUUGUAAAAAUCAACUUAAAAUUUAUUCUAAAUCAUCAAAUUAACACAUUUACCCUUAUUAAUUUUAACUUAUAUUUAUUUUCAUUAAUUUUAAACAAUAAAUUUAUUCAUAAAACAUCUAUAUUUUUGUAGAUACAUAAUAACCAUAAAAUAUUUACUAUAAAAAAUGAGUCAUGGAUGUAGAAUUAUAAUUCUAAAAUAUACACCUAUAAGUGUGGGUAAAUAAGACAAAAAUGAUUUGAGAUUAAGAGUAAAGUUAAUUAUUUUGACUUAAGACUUCAAGUUAAAAAUAACUUUAAGUUGCAAUAUUAAGUUAUUUUAUCAAACAUGCUUAAUUUACUUAACAACUUAAAUUAACUUAUUAAGUUGAUUUAUCAAACACCCCACUAGUAAUAUGUUGAAAAUGAAGAGCAUCCAUAGCAGAUAAUGUAUAUGUAUUUGUGUUUAGAGUAGAAGGGCACUACAACAAUGGACUUGCAUGUGAUUUGGUCGCGAUAUGAUUUUGAUGAGAAUAUUUUAUUGUCUUUAAAAUAUUGUUAUAUGAAAUGCCACACUAUGUUAGUAAAUGAUAGUUAUGUUAGUAGAAAUGAAAGUUUGUUUUAUAAUGCAUUGACCAUCCUAACACAUGCACUUAAUUAUCAUUAGUAGUUAGACAUGUAUUCCCUUUUUUCAAUUUUUUUUCUUCUUUUUAAAUACAUUCUAGUGGUACUUUGCCUUAUGACUUAAUUUUUGUUACACUUACUACUUUUGGUUUUAGUCAUAUUUCAUUUUAUUAGUAUUUUCAUUUUGUGUUACAAUUUUAUUUAGUUUCUCUAUAUUCUCUUUUGGAUGGUGAUUUCACUUCAAAUUUUAAUUCAAAUUAGGCUUAUUGUCCUCUUAGUAAGCCUUUUCUAGGCGAGUUGUUAUAGAAAAUUAAACAAACCUCUCCUAAGGUUGGCCUUGUUACAUAGACUUCUUUUCUAUUUUGAAAUAUUAUAUUGACCUCCCUUGUUAGAUAUUGGUUUUUACGAUUACUAAGAAUAAUGCUUCUUAAUCAUUAUUAACGAUAAUGCAAAAUGAUAUAACUACUCUUAGUUAAAUCAAAUCAUAAUGACAAUAUUUUCAUCUUCUUUUUCCAAUUUUCUUCUUCUUCCUCCAUACAUGCUAAUUUGCAAAAAUUUAUACCCAUUAUUUAAAUGAAAUCUUUUGAAAUAAAUUAAAAUCUUCCUUAUUUGAUAUUAUAGAAACCUAAUUUAAAUAAAAUAUUUUGAAAUAAAUUAGAUAAAAAAAAAACUUGUCAUCAUUCUAACCCAAAUCAAAUUUAAAAGAAUAACUAAAUAUUUCAAGUCUCAUUUUGUCUCAAUAUCACCUUUGCUAAUCAACCUAUCCAAUCUUAGAUCAAACUCAAAUUGCAAUCAAAUUUUGACAAGAAAAAAUCUACUUAAGACUGAAUAAGAAAACUUGUGGAAAGAGUCUUAUCAAGAAGGUGCAUGAAACCCUCAGUUCAAAAACUUCUUCUAAAAUAAAAUUAAAAAAAGAAAAGAAAAGAAAGAUAUUCAAUGUUAAAGGACUUUUAAGAUAAAUCAAAAUUUGAAAAUGAAUGUUAAUACUUGCGAUAGAUUCCACAUUCAUGAACAAAUUACCAUUGCACCACUUAUUUUCAAUUCACACUUUAAUUUACUAUCCAUAGAAACUUUCAUUAAAUUUUCCAUAAAACAAACAAAGAGCCUUAACCCCCAAAUAUUUUAAUUCUUAAAAAUACAUCAUUUCAUCAAUUUUUGAAACCCUCAUUUUAACACAAAUUAUUUUUUUUUACAAAUUAUUAAAAGAAUAAAAAGAAAAUUAAGAAGAGGUUGUCAUUAUUAUUCUUGCAAAGUCACCACAAAAUAAAUUAUAACAAAUAUAGAAAAUAAAAUAAUGUGACGAUGAAGAUGAUGCUUAGAAAGUUAGAAUGAAGAAGAUAGUAUCAUUUAGAUGAUUUAGGUUAAGAUGAGGACUAGAUAAGGAAAGUGACAUCAAUUGCCUAAUUAUUUGGGGUUUUAGACAUACAAAAUGAGGGAGAUGACUAAAAUUAUGGUUUAAUUAUUUUUGGUUAAGGAUUAUUAAGUUAUUUUAAGGAAUUAAUUAAUUAAUUUAUAAUAAAUUUAGAAUUAAUUAAAAGUUAAUUAAAAUAAUUAUUGAUUCAUAGUUUAAUUUAAAACUAAUUUGAAUAAAAGAUGAAAAACUGAAAGUCCAUUAGGGUUUCACCUAGAGAGGGGAGAGGAGGUGGAUGAUUUAAAAAAUUUCAAUAAAGAUCUAUAUGUUAUAUCCAAUUUUAUUUUACCCUGUGAGAUGUUAGGGAUAACCUUUUCUAUCAACCUUAGGCAAUUCAAACAAAAUAUCAAAUAUAAAAGAUAAGAACAAUAAGGCAUGCGAUUUUUAUAUGGAAAAUCCUCACACUAACUGUGACGAUAAAAACCACGAGAUCUAAGACCUAUUAAUCUAAAUGCACUAGAUGAAAUCAAGUUACACAGAUUUACUUGACUGCUUUACCUUAAAGAUUUACUCUCUGGUAAGUACAACUUGAUUCAUGUCCACAACAUAGCAACCCUUGAUUGCUCCAGUGGAUCACUUCAGCUUCCUGGAAGGGAUGAAGGUCUCCAAAAUAAUAUUUAAAGAACAAAUCCUUGAAUGAGAAAUUGAGAAUGGUGUGGCAAUCUAGGUUUUGUCUAUAGGAGACCCUUUUUAGAGAAUAAAGUCUCUCAACAAUCUAUCUCCAAUCUCUUCAAUAUCUCUAACCCUCAAGGGGUUAUAAGGGAGGUAUUUAUAGGCAAAAGUUUGAAAAGUUUUGAUUUUGGAAGGUUUCUCAAUUGAAAUUUUGUGAAAAACUUGGUAGAAUCAACAUGAUUGCUCGAGCCAACUCACCCAUCGCUUGAGCGCCUCAAGCACUUGAGUGGUAUGGCUCACUUGAGCGGUCUUAAGCGCUUGAGUAGUCUUUAGUGCUUGAGCGCUCUAGGCCACUUGAGCAGUCUUGCUCUCUUUCAAAAAUCAAUUUUAAAAUCUUUUUAAGUUCAAAACAAAAUUGAUGCUCUUUAAUACCUCAACAUAGCCUAAUUAACAUAAGUCAAGCCUCUUUAAACAUGUGACUUCUCAAUUGGACAAACAACAACCCUUGAUCUUCAAUGAAGAGUAAGUCACUAACUAGAAAGACUUCUAUGACCAAACAUUACAAAGAACAAAAUUGCCAACAUAUAGGAAGGACUUACUGUCUUAACAAUCUCUCCCUUUGACAAUUUUGUGACAAAAAAUUGUUACAUAAACCCACUUGAACUCUGAUAACGGAGUUUACAUAACACACUUUAAUGCUCAAUUAAAACUAAAUUAAGGGAAAGCUUUGUAUUAAUUUAUAGUACUUAUAUUUCAACCCCGUAACCUACACACAUACAAAAAACUAUACUAAAGGUAAAGUAGUGUGAGGAAUAAAGUAAUGUUGAGAAAACAAAACAGGAUAGUUGGAGGUUUUGCUUGAUGACUUAUGAAAACAUGAAAAUGGAACAGAUUUUUGUAGAGACACUGAGGCACAAAGCAAAGCUUGAGAGGAAUAUAGAUACACACAAAUCAGGAAAACACAAUAGAAGCUUGAUAAGACACAAUAGAUCAAUAAUAAUGCUUAGAAGUCUAUCUCCAACCAGAAAAUGGGUAGUGAAAACCAUGGAAAGAAACUGCUAUGACUUAGAAUAGUUCUAGAGUGAUAAUUAGUUUAAACAUAAAUAUCUUAUAAGAAACAUUUGUGUCAAGUAUCUCUUUAAACCAUCUAAGUUAUGUUUUCAUCGGUUGAUAUGGUUUUCUCCAAUUUCUCAAGUUUAAUUUCCUUUAAUAUUUCAAUAAUUUCCCUUAAUGGAUGAAUGAAUGAAUGAAUUGAAUUAAAGAAUUCAAAAUUUUUAACUCAUAGUAACUUCCCUUAAAUUACAAUCAAUACAAUAAUUCAAAUCAAGUAUACAAAAACAUAAAUAAUAGAACAUUUAUGCAUUAGGUGGCGGUAGAGGGAUAGAGCUUGAAGCAUCGUGAGAAUGGGUACAAGAAAAGAUGUAGUUAAGUUAUCCCUAAAUCUCUCGGAGUUGGAGAUCCUAAGAGUCCAUCUUCUGAUGAAGUCGGGCCAUGGAAUUUAGAGCCUCAUGGGCGUUGGGUCUACAAAAGUAAAAGCCUUGUGUGUAGCUCGGGAAGAACUAACACAACCUCAACUUUAGAGUGAGUCCUCGGAGCAGACUCUAAAUAGUCUGCCUCUAGAAUUCCACCAUGCUCCAUAGCUCGAAGCUCAUCCUCCUAGACAACUACCUUUGCAUGCUGGCCUACAUCAUGUGGUUCAUAAGUUGGAAGAGCCAUCAAACUAUAUACAUGAAUGUAGUGCUUGGGCUAGGAACUCCCAUCUAAAAAGGCAUGGGUAGCCUAGACCCCUAGUGUAGGAUCAAUCUUAAAUCCCACAUCCUCGAGUAUCCGCGUCAUGAGGAGGGUAAAAGGGAAAGUGCCUCCUCUAAAGGAUAAACCACGAAGGGGAAUGAUUGUAUCCAGGAUGACUUAGCCAAUGUCAAAUUGUUGGCUUGAGAGAAUGACGUGAAUAAAGUGAGCAGAUGGUCAAUGGAUUUGGGUGCAGUGUGUAAAUGGGUAGAAGGAGUAAGUGAAGAAUGUGGCAAACAACCAUGUUAGCUUGAAGAAGCCAACAAUCAAGAUAUAAGAAGGAAAGGGGCAAAGACCCCCAUAAAGAGAAGUCAGAAUGGUGUCAAGUUUCUCUCGGGUGAGAGCCUGAACCUCUAGGGAAAAUGAAGAAAUGAGAGCCUCAAUUUGCGACAUGCUAAGGACACAUUGAAUGUAAUGGGAGAAAAUAAGGAAAAAUUGACCAUGCAUGGUCAAUUGAAAGGUGACUCCGACCACAAUAUAAUGCAUGUUCUCAUAGAACAUGUGAACAAGAUGGGGAUAGGAAGUCCCCUAGAGAGAAAACAAAGUCUCCUAACUUUACUCUUGAAUGAUGAUAGGGAAGACAGUGUCCUGAAAAGCUUAGAGGUUAAUGGCAUGCUCAGGCUCGACACAUUGAUAUGUGAAAGAAGCGUAAUAAUGGUCUCGUGCCACCUGGCAGUGAAAACGCUCAACCGAAAGUGCAUCUAGGUUAAAAAGACCCUGGAGUGGGAUGCCCUAGACGGUUUCAGUGACCUAGGAAAGGUCACCUCCCUCUGACAUCUAUGACUAGCCAUAUCUAAGGUAUAUAAUAUGAAAAAACAAAAGCUAAAGAAGAACUAAAGAAAAUCCAAAGAAAAGCUAAACCACUAAAAAUGUUAAACUCAAUGCGUCGAACAAUACUAUACAAAUGGAAAUGAAAAAUAUGAAGUGAACUGACCUCAGAAGACAAAAGGACAGUAACCUAGAGGGCUCGAAGAUGAAUAGGAAAGUUUGAAAUGAAUAUGGCGUGCUGGAUGACCUUUAUAUAGCCUAUAGGAGUGCUUGAUGCAGAUUAGCACUCGAGCGUCAUGACUAACUUAAAUCAAAGUAUUUAUUACUAUCAAAAUAUUUUAAAAGUUUCAAAGGAAGUAUUCAAUUUAGAACCUUUUUAGAAAUUUUUUUGAAAGAAACAAAAAUAAAACGUGAAAUAUUAUGUGUUAAAGGUGUUAGAAGACAAUAUUGUCUAAUCCAAAGCCUUACACAUUCCACAAAAAAAAAAAAGGAAAAAGAGAGAUAUUAUAUAAGAUUUUGAUCACAUCUAAUAGAAACUAAUAUUUAGCAACAUAUCACCAAGCACUAUCUUAUCAGAAAGCUCUAACAUGUUGGAAAUUUAUGUAAGGUUCCAUAACAACUAACAACUUUUUCUGACGACUUGGCAAUGGACCAUUUGCACUUUAACUACAUUAUUGAAUUUAAAUCAUAUUAGAAUAGUAAUUGACUUCUCUUUUGUGAGGCUACAUAUCUUGUAGGAUGGGAUAGGUGAUUCAUUUCAUAUAUGAAAUUUACUUAAUUUAGUAAUGCAUCCAAGUUCAUUAUGAAUAUAAUGGUACCACAACUUUUUGAAUAUUUGUAAUCUGUAAUCUUUGUUUCAACUUCUCAAGUCUAGUCAUUUUAUCGGCAUAACUAGUUUGCUUCAAUUAUCUCUCAACUUUAUUAUAAAACUAAGGGAAAUGAUUAUCACGCAUUUUAUAUUAACUUAACCAAACAUCUUUAUAUAUCUUACAUAUAUAUAUAUAUUGUAAAUUUAGGAAAAUUUCAUCCAUUAGCCAUAGUAAGUAAGAAUCAAAUAUGGGAUAUGUAAGCCAAUGGUGAUAUUGAUGGCGUCAAAUCAAUGACAUAGUAGAAACGUGGAUUGUCUAUUUUCAAACCUUUAUAUUUUCAUCCAAUAGUAAAAAGGUUUAGGCAUCACUUGAAAAGUAGUUUGUUUUUUACCUUGGACUAUGAUUUAUGAAUAAAGUUCUUCUGUUGUAUACCUUUUGUGAUGCCCCAAACCUAAUUUAGGGGUAAAAAUAAUAAUUUAGAAACAAAUAAAUAAAAAUUUAAAUAAAUUUAAUUAAGGUAAAAAUGUAUUUUCGUAUUUAAAAUUCCUAGGGAUCAAUUAUAUAUUUCUUGUCUUCUCUAUUCAAAAAACCCUAUUACACAAAAAUCAAAGAUCAGAGAACAUAGGACAACGUAGGGUUGAAGAUUUGGAGGUUUAGGGUUGAAGAUUAGUUUUCCAGGUAAGAUUCUAACCCUUAAAUUAGUAUUUUAGAUUCGUUAAUUAGUUUGAACACUUUAGAUAUUCUUUGAAAAAUCUGAAUCCACGUUAGGGUUUGUUAAUUUAAUUUUUAAAUAAAAAAGAUUGAAAAUUUAUGAACAUAAGUAGAGUUAUUAUUAAAGAUUGAAAAUUUUUGAAUAUUUGAAUUAAAAAUCUAGAAAAAAAAAAAGAAAAUAAAUUAUAGAUUUGGAUGUGGAAAAAAAUUAAUAUUAAUAAAUAAAUAAAACCUAUGAGUAUGGAGGUAGAAAAAUAUGAAAGUUGAAAGCAAAGAAAAAAAAAAGGAAUAAGGUUUUGUGGUUGUAUAUGCCUCCUUAGUGGAAAAAAAAUACAAGGUUGCUUGCAAUAGGAUAUGAUAAAGAGAGAGAGAUAAAUGCUUCGAUAUUGAUUUUUGUGGGGAAAAAAAGAUUGGGUAAUGCAGGAGAGAAAUAGGUAGCAUUUGUAGAGUUGGUGGAGUUGUUGUAAAAGCUCGUAGGGGUAAUUGUUAGGAAACAUUAGGACUUGAAAUAAUAAUAAUUGCUUCUAGUAAAAGUUUUAAUUUAGUUUAAGUAUAUAAAAGAAAUAGAUGAUUAGAAAAAGAUUUGGAAGGAAUAUGAAUUCAUAAAAUUUCGAAAUUUACUAAUUUAGAUUAUUAUUGUUUUGGAAGUUGAAUAUAAUAUAGGUGAUAAUAUUAUUAAUAUAGGAAAUGAUUAAGAUUCUCAAACCUACAAUUUUAGAUAAAUAGUUAAUAGUAAUAGAUGAUUUUUUAUUUUUUUUAUUUUUUAUUUUUUAUGUUAUGUUAAGUGAAUAAUGGAUUCUUUGAUUAAUUCUCUAAGGUUUCUAAGUGCUUCUUUAAGGUAAGGGAUAUUAAUACUGAUUUUGUAAAUGAAAAUAUUUCUUUUUAUAAGUUAUUUUAAAUUAUGAAAAAUUUUAUUAUUAUUUAUGCAUGGAUCAAAUAUAUAUUUUUUCAUGAGAAACAUGUUUAGGCAAUUUCUUUGUUUAUAAAUAAAUAAAUAAAAAAUGAGAACCUUGGAAAUAUAAUGUUUUGUUUUGUAAGUUUAAAAUAAUGAAAUAAAGUUUUUGACUCUGGUUUAUAUGACCUUAGUUAAUGGGUUAUAAUUGUUGACAUUUUUAGCUCCAAUCAACAAUUAUAAUUGUUGACAUUUUCAGCUCCAAUCAACGAUUAUAAUUGUUGAGAUUUUCAACCCUAGCCAAUGGGUUAUAAUAGUUGACCUUAUAGCCCUAGUCAACAGAUAUAAUUGUCAACCUUUGGUUUUGCCCAUCUUAAAAAGAACAAAUUUAAGGCUAGCCAUUUAUUUGUAAAGUCCCACCUAACUAAGUACCAUUUGUUAUUUAAUAACCAGAGUAAAGAUAUUUUGAAUGUAUUUGAUAUGAAAUUGUUUUGAUAUAAAUAUGAAAAUGUUUGGUUGAAAGUUCAAAUGUUUAAUGCAUGUUGAACUCAAAAGUUUUAUUAAAAUGAUUAUAUGUUAUAUAUCCUAUUUGUAAGCUUGAUCCAUGAAACUGUAUUAAUAUUCCUUAUUGGACUUUGAGCUCAUUCCCCUUUGUUGAGAAUUUUUUUGGUAUUCUCAGUUUGGGCAAGGAGUGAUGACUGGGUUGGGGAAUUUUCUUUGCUAUGAUUUUGGUUCAAUCUUUAUUUUGGACAUUGUUUAGAUGUUAAAAUUUAAUUCCCAUUUAAAUUAUUUGAGUUUGGAGUUAUUUGGACGAUAACACUUUGAUUGAUGUGUUAGUUUUAAAGUUGAGAAUUGAAAAUUAUAGAAUUUAUUUAUCUUACUACUUUGAACAGAAAUUUAGUAAUUGGAGAUCAUCCAGUUACAAGAUGAAUAUUUGUGUCAUUUCCACUUUGAGAGUUCAGACUUGGGGUGUGAAAUGACCGUUAUGCCCUUGGAGUGGGUAUAUUGUUUAUUUGAAUUUAAUGGUCCCCGAACUCCUUAAUUACUCAUAACUUUAUAUCACCUUCUCAAAGUUAAGUUGUUUUACAACUAUUAUCUAGCUACUUUUCUCUACUAUGACAACUUUAUUACAUAGUGAUUAAUUGAAAGAAUCUACAUGUUUUAUUUCAUAGGAUAGUUGAUUUUUUUACUCAAUGAAUCUUGCUUUUAUUAUUGAAAUUUCAAAUCAUUGUAGUCCAACAAUUUCCUAUCCAUUGGUAAUUUCAUAUUACAUUUCCAAAGUCUAAUCAUUUAAAAACACUUGUAGUUAAUAUAUUGGCAAUUGCAUUGUGGGAAGUUGUUCACUUGAUUUUAAUGUUGAAACUUUCAAAUUAUUGUAGUCCAACAAUUCCCUAUCCAUUGGUAAUUUCAUAUCACAUUUUCAAAUUAUAAUCAUUUACAAAUACUUGUAUAUAGUAUAUUUGGUGAUUGUAGAGUGGAAAGUUGAUCGUUUUCAUGAAGACCUCUAAAAUAUAAAUUUUUUUCAUUCCAUUUAAUAAAGAAUUUCAUUAAUUGAACAUAUAUGUUUUUUUUAGCUGGAAAGUAGAGGCCACAUUAUACGAGGCCUUAGGUGACAAUACUAGGUGAGGGUUUUUUUUUUAAUUUAUUUAUUAUGAAAUAUAAAUAAUAUUAUUUAUUGUAUAAUAAAGAUUAUUAUAAUAUAUUUUUUAUAGAUGAAAAAAAUAUUAAUUGAGUUUUAUUUAUUUUUUAAUAAUUGUUUUCAAUAAAUAACUUAUUUGUAAAAAGAAAACUAUAAAAUAUAUGCAUUUGAAAAAUAUUUAAUUUUUAUUUGAUUUAGUAUCAAUUAAUAUUUGUAAUAUUUUUUAAUAUUAUAGAAGUUAACAUACUCAAUCAAGAUAUUCAAGAUCAAGAGAACAUUUGAGAUUGAAUUAAUUUCUUUAUUGUUUAUGUUUUAGAAAAUUUUUAUAUCCAUUACAAAUUUUCUAUUGUUUAUUUUUCAUUCAAUUUUUGCAUUUUGUAAUAGAUAUUAAAACGAAUUUUUUUUCCUAUAUGUUAAAAAAAUAUUUCAAUGUCUUUAAAAAUAAAAUAUUGCAGUAAAAUCAAAAUUACAUUGUGAAACUUUAAGCGAAUGUUUUAUACUUAAGAAGUGCCAAUUAAAGUAAGCAUGCAUCUACAAUUGUAAUUUAGAUGUCAUACUGAAACAAUAGUUCUCUUCGACUAUAUCAUAAAAUUUGGUUCGAAUUACUUUAAGUCAUCUUGUAGAUUUUCAAGUUCUAAUGAUAUGCAUCAAGUAUGUGCAACAUACUUGAUAUAACUAAUAUUUUCUUAAGUAAUUGGACACUUUUUUUCUAUAAAUUUACUUGAUUAUCAAUGAAUACUUUUAUGUAGGGUAUUGAUAUAAUUCGAUAAAUAUUUUAAAAUAGUAUUAGAAUAGCUUUGCUCUUUCCCAAUUAACAAAUUUACCAAAUUAACUUAUAUAUAUUUGUUUAUUUGAAUUUACUGGUAUUUGACUCAAAUUGUUAUUAUUUUUAAAAUUAUAGGAAAACCAUUAUUUAUAGAGUUUAAUUAUAUUUUGGUAAAUUAUCUUUUUAAGUUUGACUAGGAUUAGGAAACUAUUAAUUUAAGAUUAAUCCAUAAGGCUCUAUAAAUUUGCAGUUUUAUAUAGGAUUUAAAAAAAGAAAGAAAAAGUAAGAAAAAGUGAAGAGAGAUAGGCAAAGAGUGCAUUGGGUUUUAGAUAGAGAAAGAUUGAGAGAGUUUUGAUUACUACUAAAAAAGAACAUAUUUUAGAUAGUAAUUCUCAUGAGUUUCGCAUCUUUUGAGCAUUAAUUAUGCCUAAAAAUGCUCAAUUAACAUGUUGUUGCCCUUGCAAAAGUUACUAACAAGUUUUAUAAAGUUUUGGAGUCAUUUCAAGUUAUGAUUUUAAUAAAUUGGUGACGAAAGAAAUGAAUUGAUUUGAAGAAGGCAAAUAAUAUUGAUGAUGAUCAAAUGCAUAAUGAAAUAAGAAAUAUAAUUAGUUUGAUCGGGAUUUGCUGCUAAUUUGGAGGUAGUUAAGGUGGAGUCAAAAGAAGAAAAUGGAAGAAAUGACAAAAAGGAGCUUAAAAACCAAAUGUUGCAGAUUUGUAUGAUCAUGCAAAAAUUUUACAUGACUAUGCGAAAUGGAUUAGAGAAGGAAAAUUGACUAUAGUAUAAGGAGGAUGCUUAAGUUGAUUUCGCAUGAACAUGAGAAAAUUUCGCAUGAACAUGCGAAAAUUUUGAACAAUCAUGCGAAAUGGUCCAGAAAGCUCUCUAAUGUUGUUGUUGCUCCACUAAUUUCGCACCACCAUGCGAAAUCGAUAUUUUCAUGCAAAAUGGCUGAAGCUCAUGUGAAAUCAUGAUUUUGAGGCUAAACUCCAGAUUUGUGAAUUUGGAAGGCUUUAUAAGACCAAUGAGAGGUUGCCAAGUGUUCACUUGACCUUGGCCUAUAAAUAGAAACUUGAAUUUCCCAUGUAAAGAGCUUUGUGAUACUUUUAAUUUUAGAUUUUUCUAGAAACUCUUUUUCUAAAUAGAAUUCUAUAUUUUCUUUAAUUUUCCCUCAUUUUCUCAUUAGCCAAACAUGCCUAGUGAGACCAAAUCUCCAAGUAUGAGUGGCUAAAUUUCGUUUUUCUCAAAGGAAGGAGGAUCUAGAGGCAAGAUCUAUGGUGAAUUAUAGAAAUGAGUUUUAAUUGCAAAUGUAAUUUGAUCCAAUUGAUUGAUUAAUUGAAAUUUGAGGAUUUCUCUCUUCAAAUUGUCUUGAAUGACUAUUACAUUGCAAACUAGGUAGAUUCAUUAAAUUCUUAAAGCUAGAUUUAAUGAGACUGAAUAGUUGCAUUGUAUGAAUCAUUGGAAGAUGAUUUAAGAUGAAUUGAAUAUAUAAUUUAAAUUGAUCUCUUGGAUUAAAUAACCUAAUUUGAAGAGAAAUUAGGUUUAGACUUAAAGGUAAAUCCAAAAUCGGUUUAGAUAAGAAUUUAGGUUUUCAAUAUAACUUGAUGAAAAAUAAAUCUCAACAUCUAUUCACUAUGGAAAUUGUUUUCUAAAAAAUAUUAACUCCGAGAAUUCCUUUUCCUUAUCAAUUUUCUUAUAUUCUACAUUAUAUUGUUCUUUUCAAUUAGAAAUCAUUGUUAUUUUGAUUUUUCAUGAAUUGUCAAAUCAAUUUCACUUGACCACAAUCAUUUCUUUUCCUUCCAUUUAAACCUUAAUUAUCGAGAAUAAUCCAUCCCAAUGGAAGACACCUAAGACCACUAUACUACCGUAGCUUUUGCUAAAAAACCUUUUUGAUCGGGCAAGAGUUACCUUAGCAUAGUUGAAUUAUGUUAUAAUUUUUUUUAUCCAAUAAACAACAAAAAAAUCAAUCGAUCAAGUUUGCAUUGUGUAUUCUUGAAUUUUAUUAAUAAAUUUAAUCCCCCUUUUUGAAGCGAUUACACCAAACCAAGUAAAUAUUUUAUAUACUUCAUUUGCUUUAUUUUUUCUAUUAAGUUUAGGUGUUGCAAUUUUCAAGAGUCAUGGUGAGAAGAUUGUGGGAAAAAUUAUUUUAAGGAUGGAGUCGAACAUAAAAUAUGAAAUUGAGUCCUUUGAUGGAAAUAAUAAUUUUAAUAUUUGAUAAAGUAUUAUUAAAGAUGUUUUGAUACAACAAAGACUUCUCAAAGCAUUACAAGGCAAAAAAACUAGAGAGCAUGACAAAUAAAGAAAUGAAAGAAUUAGAAGCAAGAGUUGUAAGUACUAUUUGUUUAAGUCUUAAAAAUGAAAUACAUUGUUUUGAAUGAAAAAUAUUCUUUCAGGGGUGUCAAUUGCUCUUUUAGAGACCAAAAAUAUUAAGCAAUCAAGUAGUUCAUCUCAUAUUGGACAAACUGUUAUGAUGAAUUCUAAACCACAUCAUCAUAGGAGUAAAUCGAAAGAAAAGUAUCUGAUAGGAGGAUGAUCAUUCCAUUCACAUUUAUGGAGGAAUAUGAAGUAUUAUUACUAUGAAAAAAAAAACAUAUCAGGAGAUAUUGUAAAGAAUUGAUGAAGUACCUAGAAGAAAUGAAAAUUUUUAAAUCCCAAGAGACUUCAAAUUCUACUAAUAUUGUUGAUGAAAAUUUUGAAAUAUUGUAGUAAAUUAAAAGUUACAUUAUGGGACUUUUAGUGAGUGUUUUGUGUUGAAGAAAGGCUAAUUAAAGUAAACAUGCAUCUAAAAUUAUAAUUUAGAUGUUGUACUCAAAUAGUUGCUCUCCUCGAUUAUAUCAUAAAAUUUGGUUUGAAGUAGUCUAAGUCAUCUAAUAAUUUUCUAGUUCCAAUUACAUGCAUCAAACAUGUGUGUUAGGAAGUGUUGCAAAUUACUAAUUAGUAUAGAUCCCUUUUUUUUUUUAAAGAAUAUUGUAUUGAAUAUUUCUAGGUUGAUAUAUUAUUGUAAUAUUAGACUUCCUUAUAGAAUAAGGAAUGUUGUUGAAAAUAUCCCUAUAAAUAUUCUAGUUCAUAAGGGGAAAAAGUUAUGAGAUGAAGAUGGACCCAUAAAGACUAUACAAGGUGGAUAGAGAUGUGAGGAAGAACAGGAGGUACCCGGUGGAGCGAGAGGGCUCGUGGUAAGGUAUAGGUACGAAGAGUGAGGAAACAUGGGAUGUUUUGGGAACCCAAUAGUUAUAUCUAGUUAUAUCAUCUAUAAGUUCUAGUUCUGUCCUUUGCAUUGUUCUCUAUUUUAUAGUGGAAUGAUUCUCUCUUAUCUGUGGAUGUAGGCAUGGUUUUCGAACCACGUUAAAACCUUAUGUACCGUUUGUGUCGAAUUUUUUUAUCUUUAUUUUCUUGAUUAAUGAAGUUUGCAUCAAAGCUUCCGUCAACGGAACAAACUUGUAUCAAAGCUUGGGUUAAAGAUUUCUGGAAGAGUAAAAGAUCACAAAGCACACAAGAUGAAACCAAAAGGAUUUUUUAGUGAAAAUGGAGUCGAUUGCUCUCUUGUGGUGAUAUGAUAUAAAAAGUUUGUCUCAUGGAAAGUUUGAAGAUUGACUUCAUGGAAUUUGGUCCAAAAUGGAGAUUGUUAAUAAGUGUCCCAAAUUCCUAAUUAGUAUAGAUUUUUUUUUUUUUUGUAAAGAAUAUUGUAUAGAAUAUUUCUAGGUUGAUAUAUUAUUGUAAUAUUAGACUUUCUUAUAGAAUAAGGAAGGUUGUUGAAAAUAUCUUUAUAAAUAUUCUAGGUCAUGAGGAAAAAAAGUUAUGAGAUGAAGAUGGGCCUGUAAAAACUAUAUGAGGUGGAUAGAGAUGUGAGGAAGAACGGGAGGUACUCAAUGGAAUGAGAGGGCUCGUGGUAGGGUAUGGAUACAAAGAGUGGGGAAAUAUGGGAUGUUUUGGGAACCUAAUAGUUGUAUCUGGUUCUGUCAUCUAUAAUGUUCUAGUUACGUCCUCUAUAAUGCUCUCUAUUGUAUAGUGGAAUGAUUCUCUUUCAUCCAUGGACGUAAGCAUGGUUGUCGAACCACGUUAAAACCUCAUGUACUGUUUGUGUUAUUAUUCUUUAAAUUUUUUAAUAUUUGUUUCUUGAUUAAUGAUGUGUGCAUCAAAGCUUCCACCUACAUAACAAACUGGUAUCAGAGCUUGGGUUGAAGAUUUUUGGAAUAGUAAAAGAUCACAAAGCACACAAGAUGAAAACAAAAGGAAUUUUUAGUGAAUGUGGAGUCAAUUGUUUUCUCGUGGUGAUAUGAUACAAAAAGUUUGUGUCAUGGAGGGUUUAAUGAUUGACUCCGUGAAAUUUGGUCCAAGGUAGAGAUUGUUAGGAAGUGUCCCAAAUUCCUAAUUAAUAUAAAUUCCUCUUUGUAAAGAAUAUUGUAUAGAAUAUUUCUAGGUUGAUAUAUUAUUGUAAUAUUAGACUUCCUUAUAGAAUAAAGAAGGUUGUUGGAAAUAUUUUCAUAAAUAUUUUAAGUCAUGAGGGAAAAAAGUUAUGAGAUGAAGAUGGGCCUAUAAAGACCAUACGAGAUGGAUAGAGAUGUGAGGAAGAAUCGAAGGUACCCAGUGGAGCGAGAGGGCUCAUGGUAGGACAUGAAUAUGAAGAGUGGGGAAACAUGGGAUGUUUUGGGAACCCAAUAGUUGUAUCUAGUUCUGUCAUCUAUAAUGUUCUAAUUCUGUCAUCUAUAAUGUUCUGGUUUUGUCCUCUGUAAUGUUCUUUAUUGUAUAGUGGAAUUAUUCUCCCUCAUCUGUGUAGGCAAGUUGUUAAACCACGUUAAAACCUCGAAUACCAUUUGUGUUGAUUUUUUUUUAGUUUUGUGUUCUUGAUUAACAAUGCUUGCAUCAAAGCUUCUACCAACGUAACAAUGUGCAACAUAUUUGAUAUAACUUAUAUUUUCUUAAGUAAUUGAACACUUUUUUUCUAUAAAUUUACUUGAUUAUCAAUGAAUACCUACAUAUGCGGUAUUGACAUAGUUUGAUAAAUAUUUUAAAAUAGUAUUAGAAUGGCUUUUCUUUUUCCCAAUUAAAAAAUUUAUCAAAUAUAUACAUACACACACACACACACAAUACUCAUUAGUAUGUCUUUUAUGAAAAAACUAUAUUUGUUUAUUUGAAUUUAGUAGCCAUUUAACUCCUUAGUUACUCAUAAACUUUAUAUCACCUUCUUAAAGUCAAGUCAUUUACAAUUAUUUCUAUCUAGCCUUCUCCAUUAUGACAACUUUAUAAGAUAGUGAUUGACUGGAAAAAUCUACAUGCCUUUGUUGAUAGGAUAAUUGUUUUUCUUUUUUUCGUAUUCAAAGAAUCUUGCUUUUGUUAUUGAGACUUUCAAAUCCUUUAUGUCUAGUGGUCUUAUAAUUCCCUAUUCAUUGGUCUUUCAUAUUACCAAUCAUUUUGCAAAUGAGUUAAUUUCAUUCACAUCCUCUGAGAUUUGAUGUAAAUUCGCUUAGUUACCAAUGAUUUCAAAUUUCAUUAAUUAGUACCCCUAUAGAUGUAAUUUGUGUACAAAAUUUAUUUUUUAAAAGAAUUUAGGUAAAAAUAUUUUAGGUUUAUGUCUUUAACAAUUCUCUAAAAUAAAUUUUACUUGCUAAAAAAUAACUUAUAUAGAUAGAAUACAUCUACAGGAGUUCUAACUGACGAAAUUUAAAACUAAUGGUGGUUUAGUGUAUUUAAACUAAACAUUAAGAAGGGUGACUGAAAUUAACCCUCUAGGUAUAUAUGUUUAACAAAAUUUUUAUUGUUUAUUUUUCAUUUAAUGUUUGCAUUUUUCAAUAAACAUUGAAAAGGAAUUGUUUUUCCAUAUGUUAACAAAAAGAAAUUUGAGCACCUAUAAAAAUGAAAUCUUGUAGUAAAAUUGAAGUUACAUUAUCAAACUUUUAACGAGUGUUUAUGUUUAGAAAGGCCAAUUAAAGCAAGCAUGCAUCUAGAAAUUAUAACUUAGAUGCAUCAAACAUGAGCAACAUAUUUGAUAUAACUAAUAGUUUCUUAAGUAACUAAACACUUCUUUUUCUAUAAAUUUACUUGAUUAUCGAUGAAUACUUACAUAUAUUUACAUAGUUUGAUAAAUAUUUUAAAAUAAUAUUAGAAUAACUUUUUUUUUCUCAAUUAUAUUAGAAAAUAAUAUAAAGUUACUUAUAAACUUUAUAUCAUUUUCUCAAAGUCAAGUCAUUUACAAUUAUUUCUAUUUAGCCUUCUCCAUUAGGACAACUUUUAUAUGAUAGUCGUUGAUUGGAAGAAUCUACAUGUCUUUUUUGAUAGGAUAGUUGUUUUUAUUUUUUUUAUUUUUUUUAUUCCAAAAAUUUGCUUCUAUCAUUGAAACUUUCAAAUCUUUUAUGUAUAUUACCAAUCAUUUUACAAGUGAGUUAAUUUCACUUAGGGUAGAUAUACUUAGCCACACCCCUAUAGAUGUAAUUUGUGUUUAAAUUUUAUUUUUUAUUCAGGUAAAAAUAUCUUAGGUAUAUGUGUUCAACAAUUCUCUAAAAAAUAAAUUUUCUUAUCUAAAAGUUUAUAUAGACAAAAUACAUCUGUAGAAGUCCUAACUAAUGAAAUUUAAAAUCAAUGGUUGUUUAGUGUAUUUACAUUAAACCUUAUGGGGUAUGAUUGAAAUUAACUCUCUUACAAGCACUUGUAGCUAAUAUGUUUGUAGUUGUAGUGUUGGAAAUUGAUCAUUUUCUUGAAGGCCUCUAAGAUAUUGGAAAUAUUGCCAUAGUUUUAGACUUUUUUUUAUUACACCUAAUAAAAAAUAUUAUUAAUUUAACAUAUAUAUUCUUGACUUAAAAGUAAAGUCUCUCCAUAUUGUAUAAGCCCUUAGGUGACAAUAUUAGGUGAAGUUUUUCUUUCGUUUAUUAAAAAAUAUAAAUAAUUUAUUAUUGUAUGAUAAAAUUUUAUGUAAUAUAUUUUUAUAGAUGUAAAAUUAUUAAUUGGGUUUUAUUUUAUUUUUUUACUAAAUUGUCAUUUCAAUAUAUAAAACUUAUUUGUAAAAAGACAAUUAUAAACUAUAUGAAAUUGAAAAACAUUUAGUUUUUUUAUUUAAUUUAUAAUUUUGUUUGGAUUAAUAAUUGAUAUUUGUAAGAUUUUUUAAUAUUAAAAAAAGUUAGCAUACUUAAGAAAGAUAUUCAAGAUCGGGAGUGUUUGAUAUUGGAUUAAUUUCCUUAUUUUCUCUAUUUUAAUAAAUUUUCAUGUCCAUUACAAAAUUUUUGUUGUUUAUAUUUUACUUCAAUAUUUUUAUUUUGUAAUAGACAUUUGAAAAGAUUUUUUCCUACAUGUUAAAAAAAAAAAAUGAACACUCCUAAAAAAGAAAUAUUGCAAUAAAAUUAAAGUUUACACUGUAGGACUAUUAGCAAGUGCUAUAUACUUAAAAUAGACCAAUUAAAGUAGAAAUACUUCUAAAAUUUUAAUUUAGGUAACAAUAAUAUAAAAAGAUAAUAUUUUUGAAACAAUAGUUCUCUUGGAGUUUUGGGUACGAUGGACUAGACUUUAUGUAACAAUAGAUAUAUGAACUUUCCAUUAACAUCUUGAGAGACAUGAUGAGGAGCAAAGUCAUCCUAGAAGGUACCAUAGAGGUACCUUAGCUCCAUUCAUCUAGACUACAUAAUGUUUAAAGAUCAAAUUCAAUGACUAGAUUUCAAAAAUCAAUAUAAGCUUUCUCAUAUUCUACUCUAUAUAAGACAAUGGUAUGAUACAUCUCUUGUGUCGUAGAAUGCACCAUGAAAACCUUAUCAUUUUAACAUCAGUUUGAAACUUAAAAGUCACUUAGCACAUUCUAGUUAUUAAUGUAAGAACAUUAAAAGAAAAUAUAAAAAAAGUUACUUUAUUCUUGUGAUUUUGAUCUAGGACUUUUAAUGAUAUUAAAAAAAAAAAAAAAAAACAGAAAAAUAAAUGGAAAUAAAAUCAACAAAUUAAACAAUUGAAUUAAGUUAGUUUAAUUUUUGCAUCGUUAAAUGGGUAAAUAAAGACUCUUAGAUUUGAUAUUAAUAUGAACAUCAUGACUUUAGUGAAUCUUACAAGAAAAUUUUAGUUUGAAAGACUUCAUUCAUUAAACGUGUGGCACAUAUUAAAGUAAAACUAAGUCUUCUCUAUAAUUUGUACCUAUCAUAGUUUCUUUCCUCAUAAAUAGCCUUUUUUGAAUAUAAUAUAGACUUCAACAUGUAUGGUGGGGCCGAUCAAACUACUAGUCAAGACAACUCAUGGGCAACAACGAUGUACCAACUAUAUUAAAUACUCUUCAUCUAUUUGCAUAUCAAGAGUAAUUUAGUAGUGUCUUUCUUAUGUACCUCGUAUCUAGACUUUCAAUGGAGAGUUCUUCAUCUAAAAAUUUGACUUGGGUUUUCAUAUUAGUUUUGGUUUAGACAUAUGGAUGCAAAGGUUGCAUCAAAGAAGAGAAGUAGGCUAAAUCAUCUUACAAAUUUUCAAGUUCAAAUUAGAUGCACCAAACAUAUGCAAUAUAUUUGAUAUAACUAAUAUUUUCUUAAGUAAUUGAAUACAAUUUUUUUUAUUUUAUAAAUUUACUUGAUUAUUAAUGAAUAACUACUUGUAUGAUAUUGACACAACUUGAUAAAACUUUUAAAAUAAUAUUAGAAUAACUUUGCUAAAAAAAAGUAAAAAUAAAAAUAAAAAUAUGUCUAUAUAUAUAAAAUUAAAUAAAAUUAAAAAUUAAAAAAGAAUAUAUAUAUAUAUAUAUAUAUUGUGUGUGUGUGUGUGUGUGCAUGGUCCCACAACUCAUUAGCUACUCAUAAGCUUUAUAUCACUUUCUCAAAGUCAAGUCAUUUUGUAAUUAUUUCUAUCUAGCCUUCUCCAUUACGACAACUGUAUAAGAUAUUGAUGGGUUGGAAAAAUCUUCAUGUCUUUUUUAAUAAGAUAGUUUUAUUAUUAUUAUUAUUAUUAUUAUUAUUAUUAUUAUUCAAAGAAUUUGAUUUUAUUAUUGAAACUUUCAAAUCCUUUAUGCCUAGUGGUCCUACAAUUCCCUAUUCAUUGGUAUUUCAUAUUACCAAUCAUUUUACAAAUAAGUUUAUUUCACCCGGUAAAUAUACUUAACUACUAAUGGUUUCAAAUUUAAUUGAUUAACACACUUAUAGAUGUAAUUUGUUUUUAAAUUUUAUUUUUUUAGAAGAAUUGUAGGUAAAAAUAUUUUAGGAAUAUGCGUUCAAUAAUUCUCUAAAAACAAUUUAUAUAGAUGGAAUACAUUCAUGGAAGUUCCAACUAAUGAAAUUUAAAACCAACGACGAUUUAAUGUAUUCUCACUAAAUCUUAGGGGAGGUGUACUAAAACUAGCCUUUUUACAAAUAUUUGUAGCUAGUAUAUUUGUAGUUAUGGUGUUGGAAGUUGAUCAUUUUCUUAAAGGCCUCUAUGAUAUUGGAAAUAUCGCCAAAGUUUUGAACUUUUUGUUUCAUCUAAAAAAAAUAUCAUUAAUUUAAUAUAUAUACUCUUUGCUUGAAAGUAUAGUUUCUUCAUAUAGUAUGAAGUUGUAGCUAGGUGACAAUAUUAGGUGAAAUUUUUUUGGUUUACUACAAAAUAUAAAUAAUAUAUUUAUUAUAUGAUAAAAUUUUGUAAAAUAUAUUAUUAUAGAUGCAAAAUUAUUAAUGGAGUUUUAUUUUUUACUAAAUUAUCAUUUCAAUAAUAAGAACUUAUUUGUUAAAAGAAAAUUAUAAAAUAUAUGCAGUUGAAAAAAUUUUAAUUUUUUUAUUUAAUUUGGUAUUUUAUUUGAAUUAAUAAUUGAUAUUUGUAAGAUAUUUUAAUAUUAAAAGAAGUUAACAUACUUAAAAAAGACAUUCAAAAUCAAGAGAGUAUUUGAUAUGAAAUUAAUUUAUUUAUUUUUUCUAUUUAAAUAAAUUUUUACAUCCAUUAAAAAAAUUUUAUUGUUUAUUUUUCACUUCAAUAUUUUUAUUUUGUAAAAGAAAUAGAAAUAAAAUCAACAAAUUAAACAAUUGAAUUAAGUUAGUUUAAUUUUGCCACCGUUAAAUUGGUAAAUGAAGACUCUUAUAUUUGAUAUUAACAUGAACAUCAUGACUUCAUUGAAUCUCACAAGAAAAUUUUAGUUUGAAAGAUUUUAUUCUUUAAUCAUGUGGCACAUAUUAAAGUGAGACCAAGUCUUCCCUAUAAUUUGUAUCUAUCACAAUUUCUUUCCUAAUGAAUAGCCUUUUUGAAUAGAAAAUAGACUUUAGCAUGCAUGGUGGGGCCUAGCUAUCAAACUACUAGUCAAAGCAACUCAUGGGCAAGAAUGAUGUACCAACUAGAUUAAGUAUUCUCCAUCUAGUUGCAUAUCAAGAGUAAUUUAGUAGUAUCUUUCUUGUGUACCUCAUUUCUAGACUUUCAAUGGAGAGUUUUUUAUCUUAAAAUUUGAUGUGGGUUUUCAUACUAGUCUUGGUUCAGAUAUGUGAAUGCAAAGGUUGCAUCGAAGAAGAGAAGUAGGCUAAGUCAUCUUACAAAUUUUCAAGUUCAAAUUAGAUGCAUCAAACAUGUGCAACAUAUUUGAUAUAACUAAUAUUUUACCAAGCAACUAAAUACUUUAUAUAUAUAUAUAUAUAUAUAUAUAAAUUUAUUGAUGAUCAAUGAAUACACAUGUAUGGUAUUGACACGGUUUGAUAAAUCUUUUAAAAUAGUAUUAGAAUAACUUUGCUAAAAAAAGUAAAAAUAAAAAUAAAAAUACAUAUAUAUAUAUAUAUAUAAAAUAAAAAAUUUUAAAAGAAUAUAUAUAUAUUAGUGGUCCCACAACUCAUUAGCUACUCAUAAGCUUUAUAUCAUUUUCUUAAAGUCAAGUCAUUUACAAUUAUUUCUAUCUAGCCUUCUCCGUUGCGACAACUGUACAAGAUAUUAAUUGAUUGAAAAAAUCAUCAUGUCUUUUUUGAUAGGAUAGUUUUUUUUUUUAUUCAAAGAACUUUCAAAUCCUUUAUGUCUAGUGGUCCUACAAUUCCUUAUUCAUUGGUAUUUCAUAUUACCAAUCAUUUUACAAAUAAGUUAAUUUCACUCGGUAAAUAUACUUAACCACCAAUGGUUUCCAAUUUGUAACACUCUUAUAGAUGUAGUUUGUUUUUAAAUUUGAUUUUUUAGAAGAAUUGUAGGUAAAAAUAUUUUAGCUAUAUAUGUUCAACAAUUCUCUAAAAACAAUUUAUAUAGAUGGAAUACAUUCAUGGAAGUUCCAACUAAUGAAAUUUAAAACCAAUGAUGAUUUAAUGUAUUUGUACUAAAUCUUAGGGAGUGUGGACUAAAAUUAGCCCUUUUACAAAUAUUUAUAACUAGUAUAUUUGUAGUUGUGGUAUUGGAAGUUGAUCAUUUUCUUAAAAGGUUUACCAUUGAAGUUAGUUGAAUAUAAAGUUAGGUGAACUUUACCAUUGUUAAAUUGGUAAAUGAAGACUCUUAGAUUUGAUACUAACAUGUACAUCAUGACUUCAUGGAAUCUCUCACAAGGAAAUUUUAGUUUGAAAGACUUCAUCUUUUAAACAUGUGGCACAUAUUAAAGUGAGACCAAGUCUUCCCUAUAAUUUGUAUCUAUCACAAUUUCUUUCCUCAUAAAUAGCCUUUUUGAAUAGAAUUAAUAUAGACUUUAGCAUGCAUGAUGGGCCCCGUCAAACUAUUAGUCAAGAUAAUUUGUAGGUAAGAACGAUGGACCAACUAUAUUAAAUACUCUUCAUCUAUUUGCAUAUCAAGAGCAACUUAAUAUUGUCUUUCUUUUGUACUUCAUGUUUGAACUUUCAAUGGAGAGUUUGUCAUCUAAAUAUUUGAUGUGGGUUUUUAUACUACUCUUGGUUCAAAUAUGUGGAUGCAAAGGUUGCAUCAAAGAAGAGAAGAUGGGUUUGCUUGAAUUCAAGGCUUUUCUUAAAUUGAAUAAUGAGCAUGCAGAUUUUCUUCUCCCUUCAUGGAUAGAUAACAACACUAGUGAAUGUUGUAAUUGGGAGCGGGUUAUUUGCAAUCCCACCACAGGUCGAGUUAAGAAGCUUUUCCUCAACGAUAUAACGCGACAACAAAAUUUCUUGGAAGACGAUUGGUACCAUUAUGAAAAUGUCAAAUUCUGGUUACUAAAUGUCUCCCUAUUCCUUCCUUUUGAAGAACUUCACCAUCUAAACUUGUCUGCAAACUCAUUUGAUGGGUUUAUUGAGAAUGAAGGUAUGUUACCUCUCACCUUUAAAAUUUCUUUUCACUUAUACUCCAAACAUUCUAAAGGAACUACUAGCAUAUGUUCUUAAAAGUGUUCAGGUGGAGACCAAAUGGUCACUAGUAACUAUUGAAUUUAAUAUAAGAACAAUUACUAAUUAUUAAAAUUUAUAAUGUAAAUUAACAUUUAAACAAAACAAUAAAAAAAUUAUUAUUUUAGAAAACUAUAGAUUACAUUAGCCUUAUAUAUAUAAGCAUACUUGUAAUUUAUGCCAUCAUUUCACACUCAACCCAAUUAGUGGGAUUCAACUAAGAGUGAGCAAUUUCACAAUUAUUAAUUAACAAAAACACUUAGGCUCCCAUAUCCUUAUCCUUUUUGCUGAAUUGUCUUUCCUUAUCUUCCAUUCCUAAAAAGCUUGAUUUCUAUAUUCCAAAUUGAUAGAGAUUGGUUAAAGAAAGGUGAUCACAAAAUUUGACUAUUGCUUUCAAAUGAGGAAUCACCAUCUUCAAAAUUUCACAUUUAAAAAAAAAAAAAAAAAAAAAACUAGCCUCGGGUAAGGUCCAAGCCUUAUUGUUUUAAGCUGAUGUCGGGUUGGUUUAAUAAUGAACAGAGUAAAUCCCAACCCAUGACCAUCUACGCAUUUCCAAAUUCCACCCAUCCACAACCCAUUAAUAUGACAUUUUCAGGGACAAAAUUUAAUCAAUUAAACCUAUUAGAUGGAUUCUCCAUACAAUGUUAAAAUGAAUAUAAAAACUUUAAUUCAAAAAAUAAUUUCCUUUAUUUAGUUAGGAUUCAAAUUAUAGGGGCACAAAACAUGAAAAUUUUCAUGUUUAAAAUUCACAAAGAUCACAAAAGCUCUUUGAAGCUCUAUGGACUUUUUUAUUUCUAACAUUUAAACACAAAAAUCACCAAAUUGAAUUAGAAACUUGGAUGCAUAUUCUUAUAUUAAAGACAUGUAAGCUUACAUAUUUAAAUAUGAAGAUCUCAACUUGUAAUUACAUGCUUCUAAUUAAAGUUAUAUUACUCUAUUUUACAGGAUUUAAAGGGUUAUCAAGUUUAAAGAAAUUGGAGAUCUUGGACAUAAGUGGUAAUGAGUUUGACAAAAGUGCCUUAAAAUCUUUGGGCACAAUAACAUCACUCAAGACAUUGGCUAUUUGCAGCAUGGGACUGAAUGGAUCUUUUUCCAUUCGAGGCAUGUUAUAUGUCCACAUUGUUUCUUUGAAAUUAAGUAAAAUGUAUUUCUAACUUUUAAUGUUCCUUAGUUAAUCUCUCUUUUGAUUCAUGUUUGUUGCAGAAUUAGCUAGUUUGAGAAAUUUGGAAGUGUUGGAUCUAAGCUAUAAUGAUUUGGAAAGCUUUCAACUAUUGCAAGGUACUUCAUUAACUUGCUAAAAAAACUUAUGAUAUUUUGUUAUUAAAUUAAAGGUAAGAUUAACAAACAAUUUCUUCCCAUUAGUUACUUUUCUUUGUAAUAUCAUUAAAUUUGAUAUAAAAUAGUCUAAAUCAUCCUUUCAAUUUAUAAGUUUUAAUUAAAACGCAUCAAGCAUGCACAAGGUGUUUAAUAUAACUAAUAUUUUCAUAAGUAAUUGAAUUUUUUUUAUGAAUUAAUUAACUUGAUUAUCAAUAAAUACUUACAUGUAUAAGAUUAAUAUAGUUUCAUAAGUAUUUUAAAAUUGUCUUACAACACACACACACACACACAGAGGGAAAAUGAAAGGUAUGUGAUACAUUUAUGCUAUGUUUGGUUCCCAAAAAAAUUGAGGGAAAAUGAAAGGAGAAAAAAGUGGAGAGGAAAAGUAAAAGAAAAGAAAAAAAGUGAAGAAAAAUAUAAAAUUGAUUAAAGUAAAUACAUGUUACUUUAAACUUUUUUACUUAUUUUAAUUCUUCAAUGUAAGGAUGAAAGAUUUGAAAAUGCAUAAGUUUCUAAUUUUUUUAUUUUAUUUUAUAGUUUUUACAAUACAACCAAACAUACUAAAAUCAUUUUCUUUAAUUUUUUUUUCUUUUCUUAAUACUUUUCACGAACCCUUAAGUUAUGUUUGGUUUGCAGAAAAUAUGAGGAAUAGCAAAUAGAAAAGAAAAUUAGAAGGAAAGAAAAAAUGAAGUAAAAUAAAAAUAAAUUUAAAUUUAAUAAAUUAUUUUUAUAUGCUACUUUAAGCUUAUUUCACUUAUUUUAAAUUAUUUAAACUCAUUUCUAAUAAAUAAUAAUGGAAAUUGUAGAGAAGUUUGUGUUAUUCAAGCUUUGCAAUGACUUUUCAAGGUGAAGGAAAAUAUUCUUGCUGAAAUUGAAAAAGGAAAUACCUUCUUAAAUAGCCUAUUGACCGAAAACACAUUACCCUAACAUAUACACACACCUUUAUUAUUUAUACAAUCAUGUAAUACUUAAUCCAGUUAGUGGGAUUCUAGUGGUUGUUUCUAUCUUGGUUUCCAAUAUUUCUGAUUGAUAGUGUUCGAUUAAUGAAAUAUCAUAAAUUUUGACCCCAAUAAGGACCAAUCCCUAUUAAAUGUAAUUGGGUUAACCUAAGACUAAAUGCUAGACCCAACUAAUAAAAACCCAUCUGUUUGUUGGAGUCUAAAUAACCUGGCCUUAGGUAGAGCCCAUGCCUUAUUAUUUUAAGAUGUAGUCCAACUGGUUUAACACUAGAUUGAGUAAAGCCCAACUUAUGAGCAUCUGUGCAUUUCCAUCCAUCCACAACCUACUGGCAUGGAUAAACUUUGGUCAAUUAAACCUAUUAUAACUGUAUACAAAAUUUUAAGUUCAAAAGAUAAUUUUCCUUAUUUAGUUAGGAUUCAUAUUAAAAAGGCACAAAACAUGAAUUUUCAUGUUUAAAUUCACAAAUACCACGAAAGCUCCUUCAAGCUCUAUGGACCAUUUUAUUUGUAACAUUAUAUUACUCUUAAUUAUCAAAUUAACCAACAAAUUCUUCUCAUUACUUAUCUUUCUUUUGUAAUGUCAUAAAAUUUGAUGUAAAGUAGUAUUGGUCAUCAUUUCAACUUUCAGGUUCCAAUUAGAUGCAUCAAGCAUGUGCAACAUAUUUGAUAUAACUAAUAUUUUUAUAAGUAAUUGAAUUUUUUUUUUCUAUAAAUCAAUUAACUUGAUUAUCAAUGAAUACUUUCAUACAUGAUAUUGAUGUAGUUUCAUAAAUAUUUUAAAAUAGUCAUAGAAGUCUUUUAUCUGAUUCACUAGAAAGAAAAAUAAACUAUUCUAAUGAAAAUACUUGAUGAUUUGAAGUGAUUGCUUUUGAUUUUAUUUGAUUGCUACCAUUAUUAAUUGUUAGAAAUUGGCAACAAAUACCCAUUUUGCAUCACUUCUAUAUGCAUCGGGGGAAUGAAUUAUAUUUCAUAGAGCUAACAGGGCAAAACUCAAACUUUUGGAAUUAUGGAAAAUGUUGCUAGAAAGCUAAUUAACCAUUUAUAUUAUGAUUAAGACUAGUUGGGUUAGAAAUAAUUCAUAUGGAGAUUAAAAAAAACUAUGUAAUUUAGUUUAGUAGCUUGGGUGCUAUUGUAAUGAUUAAUGAUCUGCAACUUGAACACAUCUACUAGUGCUUUCUACUUGUAUAGCUAAAUUUAUGUUACCACUUUGAACUAGAGUACUUACAUGAGAAGAAAGCUUUUCCCUAGUGAUAAUGCAAAAGAAAUUAAGUAUCAAUUUUUGUUAAAAAUAACAAGUGAUAGUUUAGAUAUGGUUUGAAUACACUUUCUUUCUUCUAUUUUUUUAUUUUGAAAAAAAAAACUCUUUAAUGAAAUAUAAGAAAUCUUAUAUGUAUAAAAAUUAAAGACUUAAACAAAAAAAUUUGAAAUUUUGAAAAUUUUCGAGAAGUAUUUUUAAGAAUUUGUAUUUUUAGUAUAAUAAUUCCUAUAUUUUGUAUAAAAGUUUUUGUUUAAAAAAAUAGAAGUGUAUCCAAAUUACAAAUUAAUUGUUAAAUUAAGAAUGUUUCUCAGAUCAAGAGAUAAUGAAAGUUGUAGAGAGUUUGCAUUACUCAACCUUUGCAAUUACUUUUUGAAGGUAAAAAAAAAAUACCUUCCUACAUAACAUACAAUGGUAGGUUCUGGUUUGUAAGAAACUAAUAAAUGAUUAAGAAUAUGAAUAAGACUUCCUUUAUAAUAGAUAUGUAGAGAAGAAUAGUGGAUGAUAGGUGGUGAAAAUCUUGUAAUAAAAUAUCAAUAUCGGUUAUAAGAUAAUCAACAUUUUCUCUAUUUCUUGUACCUAUGUGAUUAAGAAUCUUGUAGCUCCCUUAUUGAAAUAUAAUAUAAAAAUAUAAAUAAACUAUUUAGAAGUGCAUGUAGUUUUCAACAUGAGGAAGUUCAAAAGCAAGUUAAUUAUGAUAAUUUUCCAUAGUCUAUAUUGAACACAAAUUAUUUUUACUAAAGGUUCAAUCGUUCUAUGAAGGUUAAAAGUUUGAAUUGUUUACAUAUGCAAAUGUGAAAUUUGAAAGUUUAUAAUUUUUUAUAAUUUUCUUGUAGAUUCAAAAAGCUUGUCCAUAUUCAAAAAGCUCGAGACCUUGAACCUCAAUUACAACAAGUUCAAAAACACUAGCCUACAACAAUUGGAUAUAUUUACAUCCCUUAAAAAUCUUUCUCUAAGAUGGAACAAUGUUGGAGGAUUUUUUCCUAUCCAAGGUAUGUGUAAUUAUUAUUAUUAUUAUUUUUAAUGAUGAAAUAUUAGAAUUGUCAACAUCUUUUAUCUUUUUUUCCCCUCAAUGGUGUUGCAGAAUUAUGCACUCUGGAAAACUUGGUGAUGUUAGACCUAAGUGGGAAUUUCUUUUUUGGCAUGCAAGGUAAAUACAAAGUGAAGUUUUGGUUAUAUAUAUAUAUAUAUAUAUAUAUAUAUAUAUCAUGUAAGAACAUAACUAAAAUCAACAUUAUUUGCCUAUCAAUUUGUGCAUGACUAUUAUUUAGUUAUUCUUCGUAACAUAAUUGAAAGAAUGUCUAGGUGUACAACAUUUAAGAAUUUUACAUGGCACAAUGAAAAACAUGGUAAUCAAUGUGUGCAAUAAAAUUCUAAUAGUUGAAAAAGAAUUUUCUUGUAAUUUUAUGUUCAUGUAUAGUAAUCAAAGAGAAAAUCAUGAAAAUGUAUAUUAGUUAGACUUUAUAUAUCAAUAGACAAAAAAGAAAGAAAAAAAAAGAUUAGUUCCUUAACUUAUCCUAAAAUUUUCUAGAUAACAAGGAGUUUUUUUAUUUUGGGCUAUAAGGUUUACAACCUGAAAAGUGAAGAUGAUUAAUAUUAGUAAUAAAAUUUUAAAAUAUAAAAAUUAGUGAAAUAAUGUUCUCUAUAACUAUAACUCCAACUGCAACUAUUAAUAAAAGAUAAUAAAGGUACUUUAGACUUUGAAUCCAUGGUUAGGUUUGCAAUUUUUUGAUGAUCAAUAAAGCUACAACUUAUGCUGCAAAAGGCUAUACAAAAUGUAUUAGGAGCAUUGCUAAGCUCAUUUAUCAAUAAAGGAAAUCCAGUAAUACUUUGAUUGGAAAAAACCUAGAAUCAUGUUUGAUAUAUAAUAGGUGAAGAAACAAAAUAACAAUUCCAUGGUAUUAGUUAGUUUGAUAUCUCUUUUGUUAUAUGGAAUAACUAUUCCAUUUUAAAAUAAUUAUUUCAUCUUAUCGCUAGAACAAAAAAUUUCAGGCGAUUAUAUGGGCUUUUGGGUUUCUUAAGAAUUUAAGCAUUUAUGGGUCACCCAUAUAUAUAUAGGAAGAAUAAAAAAAAAAAUAUUCUAUGGAGACAAGGGUAGACACCCAUAAAUGUACAUAUAAUUAUUUAAAUAAAAAUAUCAAUAAGAAACAAUAUACAACAAAAUAGAAAAUUUUAAUCUUCCUAAAUUUUAAAAAUAGAAAAUAAAUGAAAAAAAAUUAAAAAGUAAAAAAAAAAAAAAAAAAAGGUCAAGAAUACAAAUAGAUAAGUAAACAAAAUAUAAAAAAAAUACAUAAAUUAAAAUUAAAAUUUUUUUAAAAAAAAUACAUAGAUUAAUAUGAACACUAAAUGAGGUUUUUUGAGAUAGACUUAGUUAGACUUGAACUAGAUGGAUAUUAAAAAAAAUAAAAAUAAAAAUUCAAAGAAAUAAAAACUAAUUAGAUGCUAAAUAUUGGAUUAAAAUAACCAAAUGAAUAAAGAGUAAUUAUUAAUUUUUAACAUUUUUUAUUCCUUAGAAUUAUUAUUUUGUGUAUUAAAUGUAUUAUGAGUGUAGUGGUAUAAAAAAUGUAGUUAAGAAUACUAUGAAGAAUAAUAAUGGUGAUGAUAAUGGUGACGACACUUAAUACCUUUUAUUGUACAUUUAGAAAAAAUGAGGUUCUUGAUCUUUAUGAAGAUUAUCAUUACUCAUCCGCAAGCAUGUUGAUAGUUGAAACUACUCAAUUAUCAAAAAUUGAAUUUCUAACCUUCAAUUUUUCUCUCUCAAAUGUAUAUGUGGGUGAGAAAGCACUAGGUAGGUUAUAAGGUCUCACAUGUAUAUGAGUCAUAGGAUAAAAAAUAUAGAGACAAUACUAGCAUUUAUUUGAUCCAGUGGCAAAUAGAGAAAUAUAACAUAACCAUAACCAUAAUGUUCUAACCUUAUAUAUACCAGAACCAUGUUUCCUUCAUUCAAUUUUGCAACUUUUUCUUUUCAAAUUAGAAUGUAACUCGUAGGAUCCAUUGUCCAUCAAAAUUUUGAAUCGAAUAUUAUAAGAUAUUUCACAUUUCUACCUACUAAAGCAUGAGCUUCAAUGUUCUCAUGCACUUUUGGCUACUAAGUUAAAGAACUCUUUGAGGGUUAAUGGAGUUUCUAUGAGUAGCAAAGCAUUAUAAUCACAAAGUCUUAUCAGUGAUAUGCAAUUUAACCAAGAACUUAUUCCCAACUAUUUUAUGACUUUUCUUGGCUACUUGUAGGCAAGCUAAAGAAAUUUUCUGGUUUGUUCAAGUCUAAAAAGUGGUUUCAAGUUUAGGGCCAAGCUUGGGCUGCACCUAGGUCCUUGGGCCUUAUUCAGCUCCACGUUUAAACCAACCUUGAGUCCAUCUUUGUAAUUUUUCUCCCAAUUCAUUGAUUUAUAUUAGGAUUUUAUAAAGCCUAUAAAUUGACCAACUAAAUAAAGUAGGUUCAUAAACUUUUAGGUGAAAAUUUUCUCUCUAAUAAAUGUUAAUUCAAGAGUCUCCGUAAUCUUUUUAUAUUCAUAUUAAUUGGUAUUUAAACUGACCUUACUAUAUUAAAGUCAAAUACCAAAUAGUGAACACUAUAUCUGCUACUACCACUAUGAUGGUCACAAACAUAGAAUGCUCCUUUUUUUAGAGUCAAUUGAUGCUUAUAAACAACAACUUUGUUUGAAAAUAAAAUACAUCGAGUGAUUGCAUCAAGAGAUUGAUGUAAUAAUUGCAUACUUGAUCUUGAUAAUGCUGAGUUGACUAAAUAAAUGAGUAUUUACUUAUAAGGUAGCCCAUAGAACAUUAUUUGUGGAAAUAUUCAUGCACCUCUACAUAUGUUCAUGAUAACUUAGGUUGAUAAAUUUAAGAAGAACAAAUUCAUAACCUUGGGCAUAGUUAGUAAGAAAUUUCACCAAUAGAGUUUGGUAUCAUGAUUCUAAUUGUUCAAAUUGUUUUAAAGGAGUAUUUUAAAUUGCAUGUUAAUUUGCUUCUAAUAAAUGGAGAGAAACCAAUUCAAGAAGAGAAUUGUACUCAAGCUAUGUAUAACAUUCAUGAAGAUGUAGAAAAUAUUGAUGAACUUACUUUUGAGCAAGUUGAAAUCAUAAUUAAAUAAAAGAACAAACCCAAGGGUUAAGAUUGUCAAGUAAAACUUUAACUAAAAUUUAUUGAUUUUUUAAAUGCCUAUUAGAGGGACAAUAGAAGUUCUAGAUAAAAAGUAAGAACUUUUCUAAGGAAUCACUUGUUAGAUUUUAAGUGAUCAAUAAAUAUAAUGUCCAAUUUAAAACUUUUAUAAAAGCAAUGCUUCUAAAGAAUAACUUGAUUUGAAUUUAAAGUUAUUAUUGAUAUUUGUUUAUAAUGGAUGUAGUUAAUCAACUGAACAUAGUAAAAAACACAUAAAUUUUUCAAAAUACCUUCUAGUUGUUGGGUAUAUUUAAAUAGUCAUCCAUAUCUCAUUAUCUUUUCACUCACAUACUAAUCUCCUUAUUGAGUAUUUACCAAUUACAAGUAGGUUGAAAGUUACUUGAAUUUAAGUCACUAAUCAAUGUUAACUUGAUAACAAAUAAGUCUCUCUUUGAAACUUGUUUUACAAGAUAGCGAAAUGUAGUCGAUCAAUCAUCAAAACAAUGUUCAAGCAUUAGGAUUUAGUUGUUAAUUUUUAUUUUUAUUUUUUGUGCUUAAACAAAGACAAAAAUGAUAAAAACUCCUUAAAAGUACAUAGUAAUUGAAUUUAAUUUAUACAUCAAACAAGAACAAACUAGUCUUGGAUUUAAAAUUCAUCAGGUUUUGUAAUUAUAAUUCCUAAAAAUUUGUAAGACAACAAAAUUAUUGGGCACUAGGUUAUUGGGUGUGUAUGACUAAGAGGUGAAGGAGGGUUCAUCUUAUACAAAGGAUGAUUUGAUUAAUUUUAAAGAUUGGAUAAACAAUAAUUGCAUAUUCAAGUAAAAAUAACAUUGCUAAAAAGGAAAAUAAGUAUUUUAGUCCUCAAACCUAAAAUGGCUAAAAAUUUUAAUUAAUACAAUACAACUUCACCUACAAAAGAAAAAAAAAACCCAAAACUUUUCAAUAGCACAACUAAGUCCAUUUAUCAAAAAAAAGAAAUAUAAGGAAGUUGGACUCAUUUACUAGCAAUUUAACAUAUGACUAAAACCUAUUGAAGAAUUUGCAAUAGCACUUACUUUGGUCAUGUCCAAACUUAUUGCACAUGGUGCAAAAAGGGGUAGUGCUCGAGGAUGCUUCCACAUAAGAAAGACCCUACUUAACUGUUACAAAGGUUAUUUUCCCACUUGUGGGAAUGCUAACCUUGCUAAUAUAUUAUAUGCCAUGUUUAUCAUAUACAAAUUUUUCUUUACUAAAUAUUUCUUUAAUGAUCUUGGACCUAAAAUUAAAUAUUUCAUUAGUAUUGGUCAUGUCGUUCCUCAACUUUUCAACUUUUAGAGUUAAAUCUUUAUCUUUAUCAUUGAUAGUUUUAUGUUUAGUCCCUAGAAACUUCACCUUAUUAACAAUAUGUUCAUUUAAUAUUUUGAUAUUUUUAAUUUUCAAAGAAUCAUAGAGCUCAUUAAUUUUAAUGUCUUUUUAUUCACUUUUAUGCUUUCAACCUUUGUUUUUAGUUUUCCUAUAAUAAUGCAUCAUAGACCCCAUGUAUAUCAUUAAAAUAAAACUCAUUUUUUUCAUUAGGAUUCAAUUAACCCAAUGGAUCAUAAUCAAAAUUAGUUGCAUAUGAACAAAAGCAAUAAGAUUAUCAUUUUGUACAUCUUUACUUUCAUUUGAGUUCUUAGCCCUACAAUCAUCAAACAUGGAAUUACUCCAAGUUACCUACAUAGCCUUCAUACCUAAUGUUUUUAAGGCAAGGACAAUCAACAACCAUGUGUCCCAUUCCCCCAAUGGUUCACUACGAAAUCAAGGUACAUAUGUUAUGCUUUCUUUGUUUCAUAGUGAUUAGAGAGGAUAAACAUUGUAAAAAAAAAAGUUGUCAUAGUUAAUGUAAGCUAAAACUAAAAAACUUGCUUUUUCAAUUGUGUAAGCAUGUUUUGUUCUUGAUGAAUAUUUACAACAUUCAGAGUUACUAAUGUUUAUAAUUCACAGAGACCUCAUUAACAACAAGUAACAACUAAUUGUAAGUAACCAUGAAAAAAAAAUAAGGAGAAAAAUAAAGGAAAAUCAAGGAAAGUGUCAAAUUUUUUCAUCCCCAUAAAAAAUGCUAAGGAAGAAAAAUGUGAAGAAAGUUUAAAGAAAGUAUAUUUUUCAAAAAUUGAAUUUUCUUUCCCUUAAAGUUGGUAUGGACAACCAAACAAGAAAAUGAUUUUUAAAUUCUUUUUUGACCUUUUUCUAUCAUUCUUUUUUUUUUCCCCCUACUCUAUUUCCUUUCCCUCAAACUUUCUAGGUAGUAAACAUUACCUAAGAUAAAUAGGGAAGAAAAUAUUUUAUCAUUUAUUUAUUUAGUAUUUUUCUUACCUUUUUUUGUAUUUUAUCCAAAUAUAAGAAAACUACUUUUCUUUAUUUUUUCUUUUCCUUGUUGCUUUUCAAGAAUCAAGCAUACUUUAAACUCUAAUUAAGAGUUACAUAGAUUUACAGAGAAACAAUGCAACUAGUAACAAAAAAUUAAGGAAAUUUAAUUUUUUAAUUUUUGAGAGUAAGUAUAAUAAGAUUGGUUUGUUUGAUACAAAAUUUGAAUAAAAAUUAUUUUAAUGAAAAUUCAAGGAAAGGAAAAAAAAAAAAAAAAACUUGAUCUCUAGACUAUAAUACUAAAUCAAUUAAAAAAUCUCCUAACAUCGUUUAUGUUCAUCUUUUUUUUUUUAUGGAUUUGAAAAACCCAAUAAUUUGGAGAAAACUGAUUCAAGGAAGAAUAAUUUUUAGAAUAAAAUAUUAUUAUUUAAGAAGAUCAUAAAUUUUAUAGUCAUUGUUGAAAAUGAUAAAUGAUUAAAAAAAAAAAGGUAGUUGGAAAUUUAGAUACUUUUAUAAGACAAAUGCAUUUUUCUAGUCUGGUAUGAAAAAAGGUAAAAUGAUAGGCUUUGAUCAUUUUUCAAGUUAGUUUGUUUAAAUCAUUUUAAUUUAUUUUGAUUUAAGAACAAUAACUUUUAUUACACUAGUUAUUUUGAUUUUCUUUUGAUAGAUUUUGCAAGCUUAAGCAAUUUGGAGCUAUUGGAUUUGAGUUAUAAUUUAUUUAGUGGGAGCAUUCCAUCAUCUAUAAGAUUGAUGUCUUCUAUCAAGUCUUUAUCCUUGGCUGAAAAUUACCUCAAUGGUUUCUUAGCAAAUCAAGGUACAUAUAUUGUGAUUACAGGUUUUUCUAUUUUCUUUUUUAAUAUCUUGUUUGUUCUUUAUGCCAAUUAAGUCAUGCAUGUCUAUUAAUUUUUGGUAUUUAAUGAAAAACUUUAUUCUUAAUUCAUAAAGACCUCAUCAACUAUAAGUAACAGUUAGUUCUAAGUUUGGGGGCAUUGACAAGACGAGGAGAUGAUUGGUUACAUGUCUUAUUCUCUUUUGUUGGCUUUUGCCAAUUGAAUAAGUUUCAAGAAUUAGAUUUUUCUUACAACUUAUUCCAAGGAAUCCUUCCUCCAUGUUUGAAUAAUUUGACAUCUUUGAGGUUAUUGGAUCUCUCUUCCAACCUAUUCUCCGGAAAUCUUUCUUCCCCUCUGUUACCUAAUCUCACAUCCCUGGAGUACAUCGAUCUCAGUUACAAUCAUUUUGAGGGUUCAUUCUCUUUCAGCUCUUUUGCUAAUCACUCCAACUUUCAAGUGGUCAAACUUGGAAGGAAUAACAACAAAUUUGAGGUAGAAACUGAAUAUCCAGUUGAUUGGGUUCCCCUAUUUCAGUUGAAAGCUCUUAUGCUAUCCAACUGUAAGCUCAUCGAUGACCUUCCUGGUUUUCUUCGACACCAAUUAAGAUUAACCGUGGUUGAUCUCUCCCAUAAUAACUUGACUGGAAGUUUCCCCAUUCAGCAGCUUGAAAACAAUACAAGACUAGGAUCUCUAGUUUUGAGGAAUAACUCUUUAAUGGGUCAACUACUUCCCCUGAGACCUAAUAGUCGUAUCACUUUAUUGGAUAUCUCAGACAACCGACUUCAUGGGGAACUUCAACAAAAUGUGGCCAAUAUGAUUCCAAAUAUUGAGUUUCUAAAUUUAUCCAACAAUCUUCCCCUUCAUUUCAUCCAUAUUUGGAUCUACCUUUAAAUCUCUAUUGCAUACAACCCAUAUAUGAUUCCCUCUAAAUUUAGCCUUCAUUUCUUGUUAAGAGGUUUUAAAAGCCAGCAAUUUAAUUUACUUUCAUCCUCUAUAUAGAUGAGAACUCUUAUAUUUAUCCAAUGAUAGGUAACAUUUUUGCAAAUGCUUUUAUUUGAUUUUUUUAAUUGGUCUUAAAAAUAAGUGUUAAUAAAGAUCCACAAUAUAAAAUAAUAAAUUAUAUCUCAAUUGACCUCAAGAUACUAUUUACUUCUACUAACUCAUUUUACAUCUCAAUUGUUCUUAAAAAGUCUAUAAUGGUAAUUAACUAUAGAAUUCAAGUUUUAAUUAUGCAAAAAAUAUAUAAAGGUUUUUAAAAUUAAUAGAAAAAAAGAUUCUAAUAAAUAAUAAGUAGAUUGAAACAUUUAUUUCUAGAAGUAGAGAAAGAUGGAGGAUCAUAAAAGUUGAAAAAAGAAUAAUUUGGAAGUCAUAAAAUUUUGGAAAAAGAAUAAUUCAUAGAGACCUCAUUAACAACAAGUAACAACUAAUUGUAAGUAACCAUGAAAAAAGUAAGGAGAAAAAUAAGGGAAAAGCAAGGAAAGUAGCAAAUUUUUUCAUCCCCAUAAAAAAAUGAUAAGGAAGAAAAAAGUGAAGAAAGUUUAAAGAAAGCAUAUUCUUCAAAAAUUGAAUUUUCUUUCCCUUAAAAUUGGUAUGGACAACCAAACAAGAAAAUGAUUUUUAAAUUCUUUUUUGACCUUUUUCUAUCAUUCUUUUUUUUCCCCCUACUCUAUUUCCUUUCCCUCAAACUUUCUAGGUAGUAAACAUUACCUAAGAUAAAUAGGGAAGAAAAUAUUUUAUCAUUUAUUUAUUUAGUAUUUUUCUUACCUUUUUUGUAUUUUAUCCAAAUAUAAGAAAACUAUUUUUCUUUAUUUUUUCUUUUCCUUGUUGCUUUUCAAGAAUCAAGCAUGCUUUAAACUCUAAUUAAGAGUUACAUGGAUUUACGGAGAAACAAUGCAACUGGUAACAAAAAAUUAAGGAAAUUUAAUUUUUGAGAGUAAGUAUAAUGAGAUUGGUUUGUUUGAUACAAAAUUUAAAUAAAAAUUCUUUCAAUGAAAAUUCAAGGAAAGGAAAAAAAAACAAAUUUAUCUCUAGACUAUAAUACUAAAUCACUUAAAAAAAACUCCUAACAUCGUUUAUGUUCAUCUUUCUUUUUAUGGAUUUGAAAAACCCAAUAAUUUGGAGAAAACUGAUUCAAGGAAGAAUAAUUUUUAGAAUAAAAGAUUAUUAUUUAAGAAGAUCAUAAAUAUUAUAGUCAUUGUUGAAUAUGAUAAAUGAUUAAAAAAAAAAAAGGUAGUUGGAAAUUUAGAUACUUUUAUAAGACAAAUGCAUUUUUCUAGUAUGGUAUGAAAAAAAGGUAAAAUGAUAGGCUUUGAUCAUUUUUUAAGGUAGUUUGUUUAAAUCAUUUUAAUUUAUUUUGAUUUAAUAACAAUAACUUUUAUUACACUAGUUAUUUUGAUUUUCUUUUGAUAGAUUUUGCAAGCUUAAGAAAUUUGGAGGUAUUGGAUUUGAGUUAUAAUUCAUUUAGUGGGAUCGUUCCAUCGUCUAUAAGAUUGUUGUCUUCUCUCAAGUCUUUAUCUCUGGCUGGAAAUCACCUCAAUGGUUCCUUAGCAAAUCAAGGUACAUAUAUUGUGAUUACAGGUUUUUCUAUUUUCUUUUUUAAUAUCUUGUUUGUUCUUUAUGCCAAUGAAGUCAUGCAUGUCUAUUAAUUUUUGGUAUUUAAUAAAAAACUUUAUUCUUAAUUCAUGAAGACCUCAUCAACUGUAAGUAACAACUAGUUGUAAAUUUGGGGGCAUUGAUAAGACGAGGAGAUGAUUGGUUACAUGUCUUAUUCUCUUUUGUAAGCUUCUGCCAAUUGAAUAAGCUUCAAGAGUUAGAUUUUUCUUACAACUUAUUCCAAGGGAUCCUUCCUCCAUGUUUGAAUAAUUUGACAUCUUUGAGGUUAUUGGAUCUCUCUUCCAACCUAUUCUCCGAAAAUCUUUUUUCCCCUCUGUUACCUAAUCUCACAUCCCUGGAGUACAUCGAUCUCAGUUACAAUCAUUUUGAGGGUUCAUUCUCUUUCAGCUCUUUUACUAAUCACUCCAACCUUCAAGUGGUCAAACUUGGAAGGAAUAACAACAAAUUUGAGGUAGAAACUGAAUAUCCAGUUGGUUGGGUUCCCCUGUUUCUGUUGAAAGCUCUUGUCCUAUCCAACUGUAAGCUCAUCGGUGAUCCUGGUUUCCUUCGACACCAAUUAAGAUUAACCGUGGUUGAUCUCUCCCAUAAUAAUUAGACUGGAAGUUUCCCCAUUUGGCUGCUUGAUAACAAUACAAGACUAGGAUCUCUAGUUCUGAGGAAUAACUCUUUAAUGGGUCAACUACUUCCCCUGAGACCUAAUAGUCGUAUCACUUUAUUGGAUAUCUCAGACAACCGACUUCAUGGGGAACUUCAACAAAAUGUGGCCAAUAUGAUUCCAAAUAUUGAGUUUCUAAAUUUAUCCAACAAUCAUCCCCUUCAUUUCAUCCAUAUUUGGAUCUACCUUUAAAUCUCUAUUGCAUACAACCCAUAUAUGAUUCCCUCUAAAUUUAGCCUUCAUUUCUUGCUAAGAGGUUUUAAAAGCCAGCAAUUUAAUUUACUUUCAUCCUCUAGAUUGAUGAGAACUCUUAUAUUUAUCCAAUGAUAGGUAACAUUUUUGCAAAUGCUUUUAUUUGAUUUUUUUAAUUGGUCUUAAAAAUAAGUGUUAAUAAAGAUCCACAAUAUAAAAUAAUAAAUUACAUCUCAAUUGACCUCAAGAUACUAUUUACUUCUACUAACUCAUUUUACAUCUUAAUUGUUCUUAAAAAGUCUAUAAUGGUAAUUAACUAUAGAAUUCAAGUUUUAAUUAUGCAAAAAAUAUAUAAAGGUUUUUAAAGUUAAUAGAAAAAGAGAUUCUGAUAAAUAAUAAGUAGAUUGAAACAUUUAUUUCUAGAAGUAGAGAAAGAUGGAGGAUCAUAAAAGUUGAAAAAAGAAUAAUUUGGAAGUCAUAAAAUUUUGGAAAAAGAAUAAUUCAUAGAGACCUCAUUAACAACAAGUAACAACUAAUUGUAAGUAACCAUGAAAAAAGUAAGGAGAAAAAUAAAGGAAAAUCAAGGAAAGUGACAAAUUUUUUCAUCCCCAUAAAAAAUGAUAAGGAAGAAAAAGGUGAAGAAAGUUUAAAGAAAGUAUAUUUUUCAAAAAUUGAAUUUUCUUUCCCUUAAAGUUGGUAUGGACAACCAAACAAGAAAAUGAUUUUUAAAUUCUUUUUUGACCUUUUUCUAUCAUUCUUUUUUUUUUCCUUACUCUAUUUCCUUUCCCUCAAACUUUCUAGGUAGUAAACAUUACCUAAGAUAAAUAGAGAAGAAAAUAUUUUAUCAUUUAUUUAUUUAGUAUUUUUUUUACCUUUUUUUGUAUUUUAUCCAAAUAUAAGAAAACUAUUUUUCUUUAUUUUUUCUUUUCCUUGUUGCUUUUCAAGAAUCAAGCAUACUUUAAACUUUAAUUAAGAGUUACAUAGAUUUACGGAGAAACAAUGCAACUGGUAACAAAAAAUUAAGGAAAUUUAAUUUUUGAGAGUAAGUAUAAUGAGAUUGGUUUGUUUGAUACAAAAUUUGAAUAAAAAUUCUUUCAAUGAAAAUUCAAGGAAAGGAAAAAAAACAAAUUUAUCUCUAGACUAUAAUACUAAAUCACUUAAAAAAAACUCCUAACAUCGUUUAUGUUCAUCUUUCUUUUUAUGGAUUUGAAAAACCCAAUAAUUUGGAGAAAACUGAUUCAAGGAAGAAUAAUUUUUAGAAUAAAAGAUUAUUAUUUAAGAAGAUCAUAAAUAUUAUAGUCAUUGUUGAAUAUGAUAAAUGAUUAAAAAAAAAAAAGGUAGUAGGAAAUUUGGAUACUUUUAUAAGACAAAUGCAUUUUUCUAGUAUGGUAUGAAAAAAAGGUAAAAUGAUAGGCUUUGAUCAUUUUUUAAGGUAGUUUGUUUAAAUCAUUUUAAUUUAUUUUGAUUUAAUAACAAUAACUUUUAUUACACUAGUUAUUUUGAUUUUCUUUUGAUAGAUUUUGCAAGCUUAAGCAAUUUGGAGGUAUUGGAUUUGAGUGGUAAUUCAUUUAGUGGGAUCGUUCCAUCGUCUAUAAGAUUGUUGUCUUCUCUCAAGUCUUUAUCUCUGGCUGGAAAUCACCUCAAUGGUUCCUUAGCAAAUCAAGGUACAUAUAUUGUGAUUACAGGUUUUUCUAUUUUCUUUUUUAAUAUCUUGUUUGUUCUUUAUGCCAAUGAAGUCAUGCAUGUCUAUUAAUUUUUGGUAUUUAAUAAAAAACUUUAUUCUUAAUUCAUGAAGACCUCAUCAACUGUAAGUAACAACUAGUUGUAAAUUUGGGGGCAUUGAUAAGACGAGGAGAUGAUUGGUUACAUGUCUUAUCACUACUACAAAAAUUGAAAUUAAUGACGCUUUAUUUUAUGACGCUUUCUAAAAGCGUCAUUAUUGAGGGUAUACAAUGACGCUUAUAAGAAGUGUCAUAGUUGUAUUAUUUAUCUUGAUACUGAUUAUAAGUGUCAUUAUUUGAUGUCAUCUUUUUCCUUGUAACUGUGUAUAUAAUGACGCUUAUAAGAAGCGUCAUAGUUUUAUUAUUUACCUUGACACUUAUUAUAAGCAUCAUUAUUUGAUGGGUAUGUAAUGACGUUCUUGAGAAGUGUCAUAGUUGUAUUGACUUUUAAAAUUUUUGUUUUUAAGUUAACUUAUACAAAUUUUGAUAUUAGAAUAUUAUUCUAUAAAUUAAUUAUGGUAAAUUGACAUUAAUAUUAAUGACAUAAAGUUGCUACAUUAAGGUUUUUUUAAAAAAAUUUGGAUAUAAAUAAAAUAAAAUCCUAAUAAAUUAUUUUUUUAUUGUUUGAUAUUAAUUUUUUUAUAGUUUGUAUCAAUACAAUCUAUUUUCAUAAACUAUUUUUCAUUUUUAUUAAAUUAGAAAUUAUCUUAUAUUUCAUUUAAAAAUAAUUUGUUAAUUUAUUUGUGGACCACAAAAAAGUGGCCUAUUUUGAGCACUUGUUCGAGCCUUGGGCCACAUUUAUUGGGUUUAACCCUUUUAUUUGAGAAGGUUUUAUAGUUAAUGAAUAUAAAUUUGAAAUUAUUUAACUAAAAUGAAAUAAAUUAAUAUUUAAAUUAAUUUAAUGAUGAUUAGACUCACAAUAAAACUAAAUGCAAUAAGAAUAUUUAUAAAAACUUUCUAAUAUUUAUGGGAAUUAAGCUCAUUCUAUUAAAUUAGUUUUUUUUUUAAAUAUCAAUAUUCAAAUUAAACCAAUAUCAACCUAAAAUAUCAAAUAAUUAAACAAUAUAAAUUUAUUAUGAGUUCAAUAUAUAAAAAUUAUUAUUGGAAGAUGAAAUAAAGAAUACUAUUUUAAUUUAUUGAAAAAGGACAUGCAUGAUAUUUUAGAAUUUGUUAUAAAGUCUCCAUUGAAAACCCUAACUUUUGGAAGACAAGAAAGAAGGGAGAGAGCCACCGUUUUUAGUGAGAAAGAAGAGAAGAGAGAAAAAUGCAAGUUUUUCUCAUCAGGCCCAGAUUUCAUCAAAGGUCUGAUCCCACUUUGUCCGUGGUCCGAUCGAGCUGAAAUUUGGAGGAGAGUUUCGUGACUCAUUUAUCUUCAAUCUGAACGGUGAAGAUCGGAUUUGGAGUUUCGGAAAGUCAUUAGAAAGAAAGAGGAGAAGAGAGAAAAACGUAGGUUUUUCUCAUCAUGCCCAGAUUUUAUCAAAUGUCCGAUCCCGCUUCGUCCGUGGUCCGAUCGAGUUGAAAUUUGAAGGAGAGGUUUGUGGCUCAUGUAUCUUCAAUAUGAACGGUGGAGAUCUGAUUUGGAGUUUCGGACAGUCAUUAGAGAGAAAGAGGAGAAGAGAGAAAAACUUAGGUUUUUCUCAUCGUGCCCAGAUUUCAUCAAAUGUCUGAUCCCGCUUCGUCCGUGGUCCGAUCGAGUUGAAAUUUGAAGGAGAGGUUCGUGGCUCAUGUAUAUUCAAUAUGAACGGUGGAGAUCGGAUUUGGAGUUUUGGACAGUCAUUAGAGAGAAAGAGGAGAAGAGAGAAAAACAGUGGUUUUUUUAUAUCAUGCCCAGAUUUCAUCAAAGGUUCAAUGCCGCUUUUUUCAUGGUCUGAUUGAGCUGAAAUUUGGAGGAGAGGUUCAUAAGUCAUUAAUCUUAAAUUUGAACGGUGAAGAUCGGAUUUAGAGUUUUGGAAAGUCAUCUUUCAGCCAAAAACAAAACCUUUAUUUUAUCAAAGAUGGCGCUUCCUGAAAGUGUCAUUGUUGCCUAAGACAUACAAUGACAGAGGCGAAGAGGACGCUUUAGAGAAGCGUCAUCUGUUACCUUUCUUGACGCUUAAAAAACGUCAUAGUUUCCCAUUUUUCUUGUAGUGUAUUCUCUUUUGUAAGCUUCUGCCAAUUGAAUAAGCUUCAAGAGUUAGAUCUUUCUUACAACUUAUUCCAAGGGAUCCUUCCUCCAUGUUUGAAUAAUUUGACAUCUUUGAGGUUAUUGGAUCUCUCUUCCAACCUAUUCUCCGAAAAUCUUUCUUCCCCUCUGUUACCUAAUCUCACAUCCCUGGAGUACAUCGAUCUCAGUUACAAUCAUUUUGAGGGUUCAUUCUCUUUCAGCUCUUUUACUAAUCACUCCAACCUUCAAGUGGUCAAACUUGGAAGGAAUAACAACAAGUUUGAGGUAGAAACUGAAUAUCCAGUUGGUUGGGUUCCCCUGUUUCUGUUGAAAGCUCUUAUCCUAUCCAACUGUAAGCUCAUCGGUGAUCCUGGUUUCCUUCGACACCAAUUAAGAUUAACCGUGGUUGAUCUCUCCCAUAAUAAUUAGACUGGAAGUUUCCCCAUUUGGCUGCUUGAUAACAAUACAAGACUAGGAUCUCUAGUUCUGAGGAAUAACUCUUUAAUGGGUCAACUACUUCCCCUGAGACCUAAUAGUCGUAUCACUUUAUUGGAUAUCUCAGACAACCGACUUCAUGGGGAACUUCAACAAAAUGUGGCCAAUAUGAUUCCAAAUAUUGAGUUUCUAAAUUUAUCCAACAAUGGUUUUGAAGGUAUUCUCCCAUCCUCAAUAGCCGAAAUGAGUUCCUUACAGUCAUUAUAUUUGUCUGCUAAUAGUUUCUCAGGGGAAGUACCAAAACAAUUGCUUGCGGCAAAAUAUUUGUGGCUUCUGAAAUUAUCAAAUUAUAAAUUUCAUGGCGAAAUAUUUUCAAGGGACUUUAACUUGACUCAGUUAGGGUUUUUGCAUUUGGACAAUAAUCAGUUCAAGGGAACACUGUCAAAUGUAAUCUCCAGAAUCUCUAGGUUAUGGGUGUUGGAUAGGUAACAUGACCGAUUUGACUACACUGGUGUUGGGCAACAAUAGUUUUAAAGGCAAAUUACCACCUGAGAUUUCUCAAUUGUUGGGGAUGAUAUUUCUUGACGUUUCUCAAAACGCUCUUUUAGGAUCUCUUCCUUCUUUGAAGAGCCUGGAGUAUUUAGAUACCCAGAGAUUGAUACCCAGAGAUUUUCUCAAUUCCUCAUAUCUAUUGACUUUGGAUAUCAGAGACAACAGGUUAUUUGGAAGUAUUCCCUAUUCAAUCUCUAGACUUUUAGAGCUAAGAGGAAACCUUUUAAGUGAUUUCAUUCCAUAUCAGCUUUGUCAUUUGACUAAAAUAAGCUUGAUGGAUAUUUCAAACAACAAUUUUUCUGGGUCAAUUCCCGGAUGCUUUGGUCAUAUCGGAUUUGGAGAUUUCAAAACUGAGCACAAUGUGUAUAUACCGAUGUUGGAUUCGUAUUCAGAAAGCAAUCCUUCUAUAUAUACGGGUUACUUAAUAAAAUAUUUAUUUUUCUCUAGUGAACUCCCUGAUGAAGUAGAUGAAGUUGAGUUUGUUACCAAGAAUAGGUAUAGCUCCUACAGAGUAGAUAAAAAUAUUUGUUGGGAAUUUAGAUAUUUUUAUAGGAAAGUAGACAAGUAUUCUAAUUUAUAAAAACAAUGCAUUUCUUUAGUUUGGUAUAAAAAAAAAUGAAACGAUAGGUAUUGGUAUUUUUUUUAAAGCAACAAACGUUUUAUUUUAUUUGUAUUUAAGAACAAUGUCUUUUCUUAUACUAGUUAUUUUAAUUUUCUUUUGACAGAUUUUGCAAGCUUAAGCAAUUUGGAGAUACUAGAUUUGAGUUCUAAUUCCUUAAGUGGGAUUAUUCCAUCAUCUAUAAGAUUGAUGUCUCAUCUCAAGUCUUUAUCCUUGGCCGGAAAUCAGCUCAAUGGUUCUUUACAAAAUCAAGGUACAUAUGUUAUGAUUUGUUUGUUUCAUAUGGAUUAGAGAAGAUGAAUAUUGUAAAAAAAAAGUUGUAGUUAAUGUAAGCUAGAAAUAAGUAUCUUGCCUUAUAAAUUAUAUGAGCAUGUGUUUGUUCUUAAUGAAUCUUUACAACAUUUAGAGUUACCAAUGUUUAUAAUUCAUAAAGACCUCAUUAACCGUGAGUAACAACUAAUUGUAAGUAAUUGUGGAAAAAGUAAGGAAAACAAAAUGAGGGAAAAGCAAGGAAUUAGGAAAUUAUUUUGUUCCCAUUAAAAAAUGCUAAGGAAGAAAAAGGUAAAAGAAAGUUUAAAAAAAGUGUAUUUUUCAAAAAUUUAUUUCUCUUUCCUUUAAUUUUGCUAUGGACAACCAAACAAGAAAAUUAUUUUAUAAUUCCUUUUUUAUUUUUUUCAUUCUCUCUCUCUUUUUUCCCCUACUCUAUUUCUUUUCCCUCAAACUUUCUUGGUAGUAAACACAACCUAAGAUAAAAUGGGGAAGAAAAUUUUCAGUUUUUUUUUUAUUUUUUUAGAAUGUUUUCUUACUUUUUAGUAUUUUAUGCAAAUAUAGGAAAAUUAUUUUUUUUUCUUUUUUUUUCUUGCUCCUUUUCGGACAUGAAUCACACUUUAAAAGAAAAUUAAUUUUUAAUUAGGAGUUAAGAUAAAUUUAAGGAGAAACAGUGAAUCACGAAUAACAAAAAAAUAAGGAAAUUGAAUUUUUGAAAGUAAGUAUAAUCAAAUUGCUUCAUUUGAUACAAAAUUUGAAUAAAAAUUCUUUCAAGGAAAGGAAAAAACAUUUUUGUCUCUAGAUUAUAAUACUAAAUCAUGUAAAAAAUCUCUUAACAUCAUUUAUAUUCAUAUUUAUUUUUGUAGAUUUGAAAAAUUCAACAAUUUGGAAUAAACUUAUUCAAUGAAUAAUAAUUUUUAGAUUUAAAGAUUAUUAUUUAAGAUCAUAAAUAUUACCAUGAUUGUUGAUGUCUAAGAAGAUCAUAUUCAACAAUUUUUUUAAUAUGUUGUUUUUUUAUGGUAAUUAAUUGAUGUCUUGUAAUUUUUAAUAUUUAAUGAAAAACAUUAUUUUAAUUCAUCUAGAGCUCUUAAUUCAUGAAGACCUCAUUAAUGGUGAGUAAUAGUUGGCUGUAAGUUUGGAGUCAAAGACAUGUCAAGGAGAUGAUUAGUUACAUGUCUUAUUCUCUUUUGUAGGUUUCUGUCAAUUGAAUAAGCUUCAAGAGUUAGAUCUUUCUUACAACUUAUUCCAAGGGAUCCUUCCUCCAUGUUUGAAUAAUUUGACAUCUCUAAGGUUAUUGGAUCUCUCUGUCAACCUAUUCUCCGGAAAUCUUUCUUCUCCUUUAUUACCUAAUCUCACAUCCCUGGAGUACAUCGAUCUCAGUUACAAUCAGUUUGAGGGUUCAUUCUCUUUCAGCUCUUUUGCUAAUCACUCAAAGCUUCAAAUGGUCAAACUUGGAAUGAAUAACAACAAAUUUGAGGUAGAAACUGAAUAUCCAAUUGGUUGGGUUCCCUUGUUUCAAUUGAAGGCUCUUUCGCUAGACAGCUGUAAGCUCACCGGCGACCUUCCUAGUUUUCUUCAAUACCAAUUCAGGUUAGUGGGGGUUGAUCUCUCACAUAAUAACUUGACAGGAAGUUUUCCCAAUUGGCUGCUUGAAAACAAUACGAGACUAAAAUCUCUAGUUCUGAGGAAUAACUCUUUAAUGGGUCAAUUACUUCCCUUGGAACGUAAUACCCGUAUCCAUUCAUUGGAUAUCUCACACAAUCAGUUGGAUGGACAACUUCAAGAAAAUGUGGCCCAUAUGAUUCCAAAUAUGAAAUAUCUAAAUUUAUCCGACAAUGGUUUUGAGGGUAUUCUCCCAUCCUCAAUAGUUGAACUAAGAGCCUUAUGGUAUUUGGAUUUGUCUACCAAUAAUUUCUCUGGAGAAGUACCAAAGCAAUUGCUUGCAGCAAAAGAUUUGGGGGUUUUGAAAUUAUCAAAUAAUAAAUUUCAUGGUGAAAUAUUUUCAAGGGACUUUAACUUGAUUAGGUUGGAAGUUUUGUAUUUGGGCAAUAAUCAGUUGACGGGAACUCUGUCAAAUGUAAUCUCUAAAAGCUCUUGGUUGGGGGUGUUGGAUGUGAGCAACAACUACAUGUCAGGUGAAAUUCCAAGCCAGAUAGGUAACAUGACCUAUUUGACUACACUGGUGUUGGGCAACAAUAGUUUUAAAGGCAAAUUACCACCCGAGAUUUCUCAAUUGUGGGGUUUGGAGUUUCUUGACGUUUCUCAAAAUGCUCUUUCAGGAUCUCUUCCUUGUUUGAAGACCAUGGAGAGUUUAAAGCAUCUACAUUUGCAAGGGAACAUGUUUACAGGAUUAAUACCCAGAGAUUUUCUCAAUUCCUCACAUUUAUUGACUUUGGAUAUGCGAGAUAACAGGUUAUUUGGAAGUAUUCCCAAUUCAAUCUCUGCACUUUUGAAGCAGCUAAGGAUUUUUUUGCUGGGAGGAAACCUUUUAAGUGGUUUUAUUCCAAAUCAUCUUUGUCAUUUGACUGAAAUAAGCUUGAUGGAUCUUUCAAACAACUCUUUUUCAGGGCCAAUUCCCAAAUGCUUUGGCCAUAUCCGAUUUGGGGAGAUGAAAAAGGAAGACAACGUGUUUGGACAGUUCAUUGAAAUUAGGUAUGGAAUGGAUUCUCAUCUUGUAUAUGCAGGUUACUUGGUGAAAUAUUGGGAGGACUUAAGUUCAGUAUAUAAGGGAAAAGAUGAAGUUGAGUUUGUGACCAAGAACAGGCGUGACUUCUACAGAGGUGGCAUCCUUGAAUUCAUGUCUGGAUUGGACUUAUCAUGUAACAACUUGACAGGCGAAAUACCUCAUGAACUUGGAAUGCUAAGUUGGAUUCGUGCAUUGAACUUGUCUCACAAUCAAUUGAAUGGCUCCAUUCCAAAGAGUUUCUCCGAUCUUUCUCAAAUAGAGAGCUUAGACCUUUCUUAUAAUAAAUUGGGUGGAGAAAUUCCUCUAGAGCUAGUUGAACUCAAUUUUUUAGCGGUGUUUAGUGUGGCUUACAACAACAUCUCUGGUAGAGUUCCAAAUGCCAAAGCACAAUUUGCAACAUUUGAUGAAAGCAGCUAUGAAGGUAAUCCUUUCCUUUGUGGGGAACUAUUAAAGAGGAAAUGCAACACAAGUAUUGAGUCACCAUGCGCACCAUCACAGUCUUUUGAAAGUGAGACAAAAUGGUAUGAUAUCAAUCAUGUUGUUUUCUUUGCAAGUUUUACUACUUCAUAUAUCAUGAUCUUGUUAGGAUUUGUUACCAUCCUUUACAUCAAUCCUUAUUGGCGUCAUAGAUGGUUCAAUUUUAUUGAGGAAUGUGUAUAUUCCUGCUAUUAUUUUGUUUUUGAUAGUCUUUCCAAGUUCUCAGCAUAUUUGUAUAAUUAGAUACUUUUAAUUGGAUGAUGUUUGCAUAAUUAACUACUAUUUGUUUCCAUGGGAUAAAAAGAAAUGGGAUUAUAAUUGCUAUGAGUUGAAACUUACAUACUUUGCUCAAAUUCUAACAUCUUUUGAUUUUAUUUUCAAGUUCCGUUAUUUAUUAUGUAUUGUUUAAUUCAAGAUUUAACCAUAUUAUGCUACUCUUAUAAAAACAAAUUCAAAUUUUUAGGAACUUAGCAUUAAAAUAAUUUCAUAGUCAGAUUUUUAAAAAUAAAGAAGAAAGAAAAUAAUAAAUAAUUAGAAAAACAAUUCAAGGGAGUAUUAAAUUAUUAUCUUAGAAUUGUUUGGCGUAGUAUGGGAAUUCAAAAAUAAUCUUUCAAUUUGUUAGAAAUGUUUAUUUAUUUAUUAUAGCAAUGAUUGAAAUAUCAAUCACAAAGUAAUGUUUUCUUUUCUUUUGUAGGGCACUAACAUUUUUUCUUUGAUUGUAAUAAUUGAUAAAUAUAUUACACAAUUAUUUGUUUUAAAGAGGGGAGGGAUGACAAACAUAAUAACAUGUGAAAUAUUUCUAAAACUGUGAUGGGAAAUAAACCAUCUAAUUAGGGUGCAAUAUUAUUCAUUUUAAUUUAUAUGAAUUUACUUAUUUUUAUUUCCAUCAUAUUUUGAACUAUUUUUUGAAAUUAAGGGAGAUUAAAACAUCAUGAAUUUCUUAGUUUAAUUUAUAUUUUUAAUAAUAAAGCAUGAAAUAUUUAAAAAAAAAAAAGAAAAUCAUGAAUUUCUUUAAUUCCUUAGGAAACCAAUAUAUAAAAAAAGUUGAAUAUAUUAUUAUUUUAUAUCCUAAAUUUCUAAAUUUGUUCAUCACGUAUUUAUUUUUAUAUUAAAUUUAUUAUCAAUAAUUAUUUAUUAUAUAUUAUUAUUUUAUAUUUAAAAAUGUUCAUAAAUAAUUAAAAUUAAUAAAUAUAAAAAAUGAAAUAUUAAAAAAUUAAAUUAAAAAGAUUUCAUCAAGCUAACAUAUUUUGAUAAAAAAAAAAAGAGUAAAAAAGAAGAUGGGGAUAUUAUAGAGGUGGGGAAAAAGAUAAAAGAAAAAUCAUGUGGUAUAAUAAUUGCCACGUGUUAAAGUUAUUUUCUUUAAAAAUUAAUUAUAGUAAUGAUGAACUCAUUUGUCUUAUCAAAGUAAAUAAAAAUAAAUAAAUAAAAGAAAAAAAGAAAAAGAAAAAAAGUGGUGGUUGAUUGGAGGUUAGAGAGGAGGGUUUGAAGGUAAAUUUGGAAUAUUGAUUAUUUUCACUAAGUAGAUAUUUUGAAAGUUAUUUUCAAUGUUUUAAAAACCGGACCGGCCGGUCCGACCGGUCCAACCGUCGACCGGUCACCAUUCCGGUCCGAUCCGGUCAUUUGGACCGGAUUGAGAUCGAACCGGAGUUGAACCGCUCGAACCAGCGGUUCAACCGCUGAACCGGACAAACCGAUCGGUUCCAAGGGAACCGGCCAAUUCAAAUAAUUUUAAUUUUAAAAAAAAAAUUACACAAUAAAAAUAUUACUGUGGGUAAGCUGCAAGCAUGAAAGGUAGGAUUCCAUGUUGGGCCUGUCUUGUGACAAGCCCACACACCCACUCCAAUUACCCUGGGCCUCUUUUUUGAGCCCACAAGAUCAUGCCAAGGCUUUGCUGAGGAUGGCUUUUAUAGGAGUCAUUUGACUCCUUGUUCCUCUCAUAUUCCGAUGUGGGAUUGCAUUUUAUCAAUGAAAAAAAACAUAACAAACAUAACAAAACUCCACCAACAGAAUUUGAACCUUGGACCAAUCUUUAACUCUAGUCCACCUAGGAAACCACUCGGCUACAUGUGUUUUAUCAUCUAAUGUGCCAAACAAAAUAAUAUAUAUUAGAUUUUAAAUUUUUUUAUAAUAUUAAAUAAAAAUAAUAUAAUAUUUUUAAAAAUUAUGAAAUUAGUUUAAAUUUUCAUUUUUUUUAUAUUCACAUUUAAAUAUUAUACAUAUUUCAUUUAAUAAAAUUUAAAAUAUUAAUAUGAUUUAAUUUGAUAAUAUCAAAGAUAUAAAAUAAUAUUAUUGAUGUUUAAUUUAUUCAUAUAUAUUUUAAAAUUUUUUAUAAUUAUUUUUAAUUUUAAUAAUAUAUAAAUUAUAUAUUUAUUACGUCACCGGUUCGAUAGCGGUUCGACCGCCGGUCCGACCAGUGAACCGUGAACCGGUAACUUUUCCAGUUCGAUCACCGGUCCGAUUCUGAAAACAUUGGUUAUUUUGCCUGAAACCCAUAUUGUUUGAAAAUAAAAAAUCAAAGUUUUAAAAAAAUACAAUUUUUUUGAAAUGAUGCAUGAUUAUAUCAUUCCCCUAAUAGAUUAUUUAUUCCUUUAAACUUUACUUCAAAUAAAAUAGUUUUAAUUAUUUUCUUUUUGGAAUUAUAUUUAACAUAUUAUUAAAAAUAUAAAAAACAUUUUAAUAAUAUUGUUAAUGAGUUUAUAUAUAUAUAUAUAUAUUGUAAAAUAAUUAAAUUUAAAAAUAUUUAAAUUUAGUUAUGGGCUGCCCAUUUCAAAAUAAUAAGAAUCUCGUAACCUAAUUUUUCCAAAUUCCAGGUAAAUAUGCUAAUCUAAAAAUAAAAAAUAAAAAUUAGGUUUUUAUGCUCUCCAAUCUACCACUUAAGCAUCCGACAUGGCUAAAAUAAAUUACAAAAAAAAAAAAAAAAAAAAAAGGAAAAAAAACAAAAGUGUGUGAUCCUCUUUCUCGAGUCUUCACAUUUUGAGACACUGAAACCAAAUCAAAAUUAAUCCUUCAAAUUAAUUUUCACCUCCAAACAUGGCUAUCCGAAAAACCCUAACGUCUGCCUCCUCUUCCUCUUAUCCCGGAAACCUAAAUUCCGUGACCCUAACCCCUUCUCUUUCCGAAAACCCUCCGGAAUCGGAAGAUUCAUAAUUCUUCAGAAUUAAUUUUCACCUCGAAGCCAAACCCUAACUGCCUCAUCUUCCUCUCAUUCAUAUCCCAAAAGUAGCUUCAACAGUCAGGCCUGUAGCCAUGAAAGCCGUAGUGAUCACUACUUCCGGUGAUCCCCAAGUUCUCCAAGUGCAAGAAGUCGAAAACCCUGAAAUUGGAGAUGAUGAAGUUCUAAGUAGAGUGGACGCCGCUGCCAUUAACCGAACAGAUACGCUCCAGAGGAAGGGCUUGCACCCUUCCUCAAAGGCGGCAGUCCCUACCCGGGUCUCGAAUGUUCUGGAAUCAUCGAAGCUGUUGGAAAAGCCGUCGUUCGAUGGAAGGUUGGCGAUCAGGUAUUUCAAUUGCCUAAUAUUUUGAUUUCGUUUCUGUUCCUCUGUUUUUCUCGGCUAUCAAACACUAGGAACGUGUAAAUAAGGAGGUUAGUUGAUUGCGAAAACGGGAAUUUUUUGUUCGUGUCUGUGUUAAGGAGUCUUUGUUGAGAAUUUUGGGGAAAUUUAUGAUAGGUUAAAUUAUUGAGCUUAUUGGUUUUCAAAUUUAUGGUUGUAAGAAAAUUGGUCAGUGUAAGGUUAUGGGUUCAUUACCAAUUUGCUUAGUGAAAAUUUUUCCACAUAUUGUGGACCGGUUUGGUAGCAGAAAUAAGAACUGUGUUUUGUUUUUCAAAACGGAAAUGGAUGCAGAAAACAUGUUUGGUAGCCUACUUUCAGAACUUGUUUCCGAAAAUAUUUCCUGAAAAUGAAUUAUUUCAGAACUUGUUUUUAAAAAAUUCAAACACUUUAUCAAUUUAAAAGGUUCUGAAAUGGACAUGUUCAUGGUCUUCAUUUUUUAAAAUUAAAGCUUUUAUGAAAAAACCAUUUUCCCUUCUACUAAACAAACAGGCUCUAUAUUGUAACAGAUCGAUUGGCCAUUUCCUUUGUCAUGUUUUGUGAAUCAUGGCAACACUGGAAUCCACUCCAUUACCAUCUGUUAGUGAUUAGAAGACAAAGCACCAAUUUUAAUGAUAUCCUUUAUGUGAUUUUGCUUCCUCCUGAGUACAAGUUCAUAAUAUACAUGGUACAUGGUGAAUCUGUAUGACAGUUCAUGGUAUACAGGUGUGUGCUCUUCUUUCUGGUGGAGGGCAUGCUGAAAAAGUGGCUGUUCCAGCUGGGCAAGUUCUCCCUGUCCUAUCUGGUGUUUCUCUGAAGGAUGCUGCUGAGGUUGCAUGUACUGUUUGGUCAACUGUUUUAAUGAUGAGCCGACUGUCUGCAGGAGAAACAUUCCUGGUGAAUUUUUUGUCUUUUUUAUUUUCUGAUGCCUGAUAUAUUUACCAGCACAAAUUUACCCUGUUGCUGUUUAAUGUGUGUGCAUCAAUAUUGGAUUAGGGAGGUAGAAGAGCCAUGGUUCUAAUUAAAUCAUUACAUCAUCAUAUUCUUAUUUAGAUACAUUGUAUCCCACAAUUUCAUUGCAUCCAAGGCUAUGUUGUUUUUUAUUGCACGGUUUGUCAUGGUAAUUUCUCAACCCUUCUCUGGAAAAUUAUGUUGGAUGGCUGCUAUUAAUUACCCCAAAAGAAGAAAUUUUAUGUUGAAGUAAGAUGAGUAGCACAAAGAGUUACUUGUGGUUGAUCCUAUCAUCAAAUGGGCGAUUGAUGCACAAUCCAAAUGGUAAAUUUUUUUCCCCCUUUAUCCAGAUGGAAUUUUUAUGCAUGGUUGAAUAGUGAAAUGAGAGGACUGAUAAUAUUUCAGGUUCAUGGGGGUUCAAUUGGAAUUGGUACCAUCUAUUCAAAUAGCGAAAUACCGAGGAGCAAGGGUAUUUGUUACAGCAGGUUUGCCAUCACUGUUCUACCUCAUCUCACAGAAUGCUUAUCUCAUGGCACCAAUUCCUUUUCUUCACAUGUUUUCAACCAUUUUUUCCACCCAGGAACGAGGAAAAAUUAGCUAUUUGUAAGGAUCAUUGAGCAGAUGUGUGCAUCAAUUACAAGACUGAAAACUUUGUUGCAUGGGUGAAGGAGGAAACAGGAGGGAAAGGUAUAUUCUAUUGUAUCUUAACGAUAAUUUCAAUUGAAGGUGGAAUUGCUUUUUAUUUUUUAGUGCACCAAAUCCACUAGUCUGGAAUGUUUGAAAAGAUAAAUAGUCAUCUUCCACUUGAUUCCGAUUGUGAAGAUCUAACCCCAAAAAUGUUGAAUGACAGGUGUUGAUGUUAUACUGGAUAAUAUUGGAGGGGCCUACUUUUGGGGAGACAUCAAUGGUUUAAAUGUUGAUGGAAGGCUUUUUAUUAUUGGUUUUCAGGGUGGAACAGUGGUACAAGUAAAUCUUUCAGGUUUACUUGCAAGGCGCCUUACAGUGCAAGGUACUGCUUUCUCUGUAGAAGAUUUUUCUGUAGUUUUGGAGUUGAAUCAAUUUGAUUAAUCUCAUCCAAGUUCAGAACUGAGGUGGAUUCUGGCAAGCCAAGGAAAAACCAAAUUACCAUAAAUUCUUUUUUUUUUUUCUGGAUCGUUUUACUUCUUGGAAAUCCUGUUUCUCGAUCUGUUAAUCACAUGGUUUGUUUUUCUUUAUUGUCCCUCUUUCUUUUCUUGUUGGUACCAAAUCCCUAAGAUGUGGAAGCCAAGUGAGCACUUUCUAUCUUUUCUUGUUUCAAUCUCUCAUCCUCUUGUGCACAUUGAGCAAUAAGCUCAUUCAAAGUCCAUUUUUCCUUUUGUGUGUUGUAACUGAUUUUGAAUGGACUGAAUUGUGUAGGCAGAGAGAUCAAGACCAAGUGCACGAGUAUGUCUUCCGAAAACUCUAACUUUAGUGCCUUUAGUCUAGUCACAAGAUUAGACAUUUCCAUAAUAUACUCCCUUAUAUUCUCUUUCCCUUUAUACCGCAUAGAGACAAGCUUACUAAGAAUAGUGUUUGUCUCAACCUUUUCAUUUGCAGCGAUCAAUUUGCUAUCUGGUCUAAGAAUGCCUUGGCUCGAGUUUUCUCAGGUAUUGCACCCCUUAUAACUUUUGGAAUUGAGUGCUUCGUUAUUAUUAGACUCAUGCGAUUGGAUCGCUCCCAUUUUUCCAUAGUAGACCUUUGCUCAGCAGUGCUGGCACUAGUAAGAUCUGGAGGGCGAUCCUCUCUUAAUGCAUAGUCUAAAUCCAUGCACCCGAGCACAAUUAUAGCGUGUUCCUUCCAUUUCUUGAAGUUUGUGCCAUUAAGGGCAGGAAUGUUAUUGACAUUUGCAGAUAUAGAAUAUGUUGAAUUCAUAAUAAUAAAGCUCACAAUCAGCCACAUAAACAUCAUACAUACAUGAAAAAUAACAUCAUACAAGAUACCUAGUACAAACAUUAAUAUUCUGUCUUUUGACAAUAAAUAUUAACUUGUAAUUGGUAUCCUUAUACAAAAUUAAUUCAUAAAUAUUGACAAUAAAACCAAAAACAAUGUGCCUCUCUUUGGACUAACAUAUUGAAUGCAAGAUAAACUUUAUAUGUCACAUAUUUAUGACUACUUUAUUUAUUAUUAUAUUAAAAUAAUCUUUCUUUGGGUCGCUUAUUUUAAAUAAUAAUAAUAACAUGUUUAGAUAUUAUAAAAUAAAUAAAUUAUAUAAUAUAAGUUACUUUGGCAACUAACAUACAUAAUUCAUUUAUUUUUUGUUGUUUCCUUCCUCUUGGAUCUUUUGUUUGUGUUUUAAAAAAAAAAAUGUUUCAGUGAAAAUGGGAAAUGCAACCAGGCUCUAAUACCAUUUUGUGGGACGUUCAUUCUCCAUUAUCAUCGAACACAUGCAGGAUAUAUUUAUAUAUAUCUAUCAAUUCAUUCAAAAUAUGCCGAUGGGAAGCCAGAGAGAACAAGUUCUAUUUUUAUUUUGAAAACAUUGUUAUCCUUAAAGAACAAACACUAUUAUUUGGAUUUAUACUCUCCUGCCUUAGGGACCAUACCCUUUGGCUAUUAGGCCUCACGAGUCUUAGGCCCAUCAUCUAAGGCUCGUGAUGGCACUGGGCUCUACAUAUAAGGUGGCCCAUACUCUGGAACGAAUAUAAAUCAUAUGUAUAUAUAUGGAUAGCUAAAUCCUGAAUAAUGGUUAAUAUGAUGUCGGUUCACAUUUAUUAUAUCAUAUAGACUUCCCAUCUGAAGAAAAUCGACAACAAGUAGCUUUGCCAUUCUUAGUUCGUAUACAACCAACCUUAGCAAGGGUUGAACCCUUUUAUGCUUAGUUGUGCCAUACAGAUCCUUACCACCGCCUACAACAUGUAAUUGAAAUGAUUCGAUAAUAUCAUCUAGUGAACCAAUACCUCCAAAUGAGAGACCAUUGCCUCAGUAACUAAGACUCACGACUGAGAAUUGCGUGAACCCCUUUGCUUGGGUUGGAGCUUGACUGAUGCACAAAAUAUUCAUAGGCCUCUUCCCAUAACAGGCACCUUGUGUUUGCAACAUAAUUGAACAUGUAUUGAAGUGAGUUUUUUUGCAUCUUUUUGUAAGAAAAUUCUAAACAACAAAGAUUGCUUAGUGUGCCUGACUCCUCAAGGAAUCAAGGUUCAUUCCUGUAGGGCCAGUUUUUUCACAGUCGAACUAGAUAACAUGGAGAGUAUGUUGCAAUGCUUCAACGGGGUAUUUCUUAGGAAAAUCCACCUGAAGCUGGUACAAUUCGUUGGCGUACUGAGUUCCUAAAGCUCUAUUGACUUCAAUCACCCAUCUCUGUAGAUUAUCGGUGACUUUAUGCUCGGAUCCUGUAGGAGGAUUGACUUGACAUUCCACUAGUUUUUUCUGGAAGGCGAUUUUGUUUAACACCUUGUGAGAAGAGGCAGGGGAACUGGUCAUUGUUUCUUCGAGAAGAUCAGUGGCCGAGGAUGGGUUUGGACCAGAAUUGCUAUAUGGGUUUUCUUUGGGUGAACCAAUUAGUGAAAUAGGUGGCUAUAUAGCAACUAAAGGGUGGUCAUACUAACGAGGAGCUAUUAUUUCAUGCAUGUGGAGAGGAAAUGACUAGCUUCUUCAAGGAUAUAUGAUUAUUCAUCUCUAGCUUACGUUGACUAUCUCCUAACAAAUUUCUGCUUUGAAGCUCCCUUAGUUUCACUACAGCUAAUUGGCCAACUUGGUUUCAUCAUGUUUCCUACAACCUCUAAGCAAAGCAUGCCAGAUCACCGAAUCAGGUUCUAUUCGCAUUUUGUCCAUAAACUCCUUUGCCUAUUGACAAUAGACUGCCCCUCAAAAUUUGAUGAGAUAACAUCAACGCUGACAUGUUGGCCAUCCCCAUAAGCAUCUUUAUAGAGAUUGAUUCUAUGUUUAGAUAUUUCUCUCUCCUCAAGUGAGUUCAACUUUUCUGUAGCAUCCUUCUCCUUCUCUACUAAUAGUCUUAGUUGAACAUCCAACCUAUGUUCCCAAAGUGCCAGCAUCUCAUAUCUGAUGACAAGCCAACAACCUUGCCCUUGCUGAGACCCAAAUAAGUAUCCAGAACCAUCAACAUCAACCCUUUCAUAGGCCUUUGUAUUUGAAGGUCGGAUUGGGAUUGCUUUGAAUGCACUGGCACUACAAUACACAAUUGUUUCUUCUCCGAUAAAAACACCACAAAGAGGUGAGGGGACUGGUAUUAGCAAAGAAGUGUUGUUAUCUAUAUUGUUCUAAGCCCGAUUACCCUCAACAAAAUCCUCAUCCUCAUCUGUACUCUUCCAUUACAUCCCUAGGCUUUUCAAUGUGAUCCACAUGGCUUACAGGAAUCCAGAAAUACUGAUCUGUAUAAAAGUUGCUCUUAUGGGGCUCUCCUAGAAAACAUCCCAAUCAAGAUGAUCAACCUAGCUUAGAUGCUCAGCACCCCAAACUUACCAGAAAUAGAGGAAUAAAAAGCAAGGAUAGGAGCCAAAGUAAAAACUAAGGGAAGAGCAAAUAGGAAAUCAAGCAAAACAUGAAUGUACAGAGCCUCAUUUCAGGUGACAUCUUUGGGCUAAUAAUAGGUGGAAUUAACAAAGUAGAUAAGCAUGAUUGUUAUAAAUAUCAAGUUCAAGGAUGAAGUCGUGCAUCAGCUACUUAUAGGGGGAGUCAAGGAAACCAAGAUAAGAUCAAAGAGAGCAUGUAUGCAAAUAAACAGAUACGACAAAAUAGACCAAACAACUCGUGAAUAUCCUCCUACAAAAAACUACUACACGUGGCAAAAAGUGAUGAAACAAAAAGAGUUGGGUCCGCAUAUACAUAUCCUAUUCUAUCCUAUUCCUUCAAAUCCAAAGCAACCUGUAUUUUCAAUGGGAUUUGUUGUGAUGAAUUUUACUGGAUUGUAACAUGUAAAUAUGUUAAAAGAGGCUUGGGACAUUCCUAUAUAGUAACGCAUAAAGGUACUUCCAUUGUGAAGUUGUCAAAAUUGCAAAUUUAAAUUACAAAAUUUGAAAACAUAGAGAUGAAAGAUGAUGAAACCUUCUUUGAAAUUUUAUAUUGAACUCAUUAAUAUUAUUAAUUUUCAUUUCAGUCUAGGGGAAAGAAUUCUUUACUCUAAAGUGGUCACAAAAAUAUUAAAAUUCCUUGUCGAGAGAUUUAGACCUAAAGUGAUCAAUAUAGAAGAAAGUAAAAAUAUUCUAAGUGUAGGUAAACUUGUAGACUCAAAUGACUCUACCUUCUCAUAAAAAAUCCUCAAUUUUAUAAAUUAUAUUGAUUUCUUCAUUUGAUACAAAAUUUGAAUAAAGAUUUUUCAAAUGACAACACAAGGAAAGGGAAAAAAAAAUUCUCUCCAAAUCAUAUUAUUUAAUCACUUAAAUUAUUUAAAAAUAAAAAUGUUUACUGCUAACAUUAUUUAGGUUCAUCUUUCUUUUGAUGGAGGUUAAAAUUCAUAAUUUUGAGGAAAAAGAUGAGGAUUCUCAUUUUUUUUCCAUAUAUGAAUGGGAUUCUCAUUGUGUAUAUGUGGGUUACUAAAUGGCAAAUUUGGGGGCCACCAGAGUCUGCAAUAUGAGGGAAAAAUGAAGUUGAGUUUGUCACCAAGAAUAGACAUGGUUCCUACAAAGGUGGCAUCUUUAAUUUCAUGUUUGGAUUGGACUUGUCAUGUAACAACUUAACAAGUGAAAUCCCUCAUGAACUUGGAAUGUUAAGUUUGAUUCAUGCAUUGAACUUGUCUCGUAAUCAACUAAAAGGCUCCAUUUCAAAGAGUUUUUGCAAUCUUUCUCAAAUAGAGAGCUUAGACCUUUUUAAUAAUAAACUAAGUGGAGAAAUUCCUCCAAAAUUGGUUAGACUAAACUUUUUAGCAGUGUUCAAUGUGACUCACAAUAGCAUCUUCGGAAGAGUUUUAGAUAUGAAUACAUAAUUUGCAAAAUUUGAUGAAAGUAACUAUGAAGCUAAUCCUUUCCUUUGUGGACCACCAUUAAAGAGAAAAUGUAGCAUAAAUGUUGUUGAACCACCUUACCAACCAUUAGAGUCUUCGGAAGAAAGUGAUGCAAAAUGGUAUAAUAUCAAUCUUGUUAUUUUCUUUGCAAAUUUUACUACAUCAUAUAUCAUGAUAUUAUUAGGAAUUUCAACCAUUCUUUACAUUAACCCUUAUUGGUGUCAAAGAUGGUUCAAUUUUAUCGAGAAAUAUAUAUACUUUUGCUAUUAUUUUGUUUCCUAUACUCUUUCCAAGUUAUUAACAUAUUUUGAAUAAUUAGAGAUUUUUGUUUUCAAUAAUAUUUACAUAAUUAACUACUAUUGGCUUCCAUGACAUGGAAAGAAAUGCGAUGAAGGCAACAACCACUUUUUUUUCUCCUCUACUAGUGCAUGAUUGAUAUGAGUUAAAACUUGCACCCUUAUCUUUGCUUAAAUUUUCUCAGCUUUUGUUUCAAUUCUUAAUUAUCAUUUCUUUUAUGUAUUGUUUAAUACAAUAUCCUAAACACAUUGCUUUGAAGGUUACUUAUUUAUUAAGCAUGAUAUUGAUUUUCAUAAAAACAAAUUCAAGUUUUUUAGGAAUUUUUAGAAUUAUUAUAAUUUGGAGUUCACAUUAGAGGAAAAAAGGAAAGAAAAGAAUAGAUGAUUAAAAAAACAAUUUUAGUAAGUAUAAUUUGUCAUCUUCGGUAUAACAAAUGGGAAUUCCAAAAUAAUAUUUCAAUUUGUUAGUCUAUUCCUUAUAGUAUUAAUUGAUAUAUCAAAUAGGAAGUCACGUUUUGAUUUUUUAUUAGCUUGAAUUGCAUGUCACAUAUAUUUUAAAAUCAAGCAUACAUCAGCCGGGAAGUUCUUGUAACAUGCAUGAACAUGAUAUGAUGAAUUGAAUAAUUUUCUUAAUAUAUGUGUAUAUACUACACAUUAUUAAAUCAUAUAUGUAUAUUUAUAGUCGUAUAAUAUAUUUAUAUAAGUAACAAUAAAUUAUAUUGUAUAAGGUAUCGGUAGGAGUUUUCAAUUCCCUCAUACAAUAAUAUCUAUCAAUAAUUGGAUUGGACACCUUGCUGGCCAUGAGAAUGGACUUGACAUUAACACAUAGCCUUGAGUGGUGUUGAUAUUAUUACUUUGAACCAGAACUGCAGUCAUCUCAAAAACUAUAUUAUAUAGAAAAGCAAAAUAAAAACAUUAGUUAAAACAAAUGUCAAGAUCCUUGAAAUCACGUUUCAAUAUGUUAAAUUACCAUUUUUUUAAAUAAAUAUUUUAUAGGUUGUGUGAAUAAAUAUAAUUGCUAUGAAGGUUUCAAUUUAAUUUUACUAGCAAAUCCAUAAUAGGUGAAAAGACAAAACUACCAUUUUUGUUUUUUUUUCUUUAUUUACCUUUUUUCUCUCGUAACCUUACUCCUUUCACCUUUUUGUUUUUUCCUUUUUCUCAACUAACUAUUUUUUUCUUGUAAUUGUUAUUAUCAUUUUUUAUUAUAAAUAUUAUAACCUUAUAUUAUAAAUUUUUAAUUAUAUUUAAACUAACUAAUGUUGUGGUUUUAAUUGACAUGGAAAAGAAUGUGGUUAUACAUGUGAUUGUCGCCUUUUUUUUUUUCCAAUUAGUUAACUAUUGAUACAAGUUAAAAGUAAAAAUUGCAAUAUUAUCUUUAUGUCAAUUUCACCGAUCUUUUGUUUUUAUUUUCAUGUAUCAUUCCUUUUUUGGUUAUUUAAUUAAAAGGAUUAAAAAAAAAAAAUCACAUAUUCACAAGAAUAACCUUCAUAUUUUAAAAACAUAAAUUUUUAUAAAAAUACCCUCCAACUAUAAUUUUUAUAUGUCCCUAUUUCAAAUUCAAACACUUCUUUUAAUAAUAAUAAUAAUAAAAAAGGGCAAAAAUGUCAAACUGGGAUUAUAUUUAUAAUUUUCAAUAAUUAGAGGUUGUUUUUCCAAAGUAAAAAUUAUUUUGUUCCUUUGGCACAAAUAUUUCUUUCUUUUUUGUAUUUUUUUAUUCAAAAUAUUAAACACAUUACCCUCAAGGUUACUAUUUAUUAUGAAUGGUGUUUACUUUACAUUACGACAAAUUCAAAUUUUUUAGAAUUUUUUAAUGUUAAAAUAAUUUGGAGCUUAAUAGGGAAAAAAAGAAUAAAUAAUUAGAAAAGCAAUUCAAAAAAAUAAAAUUUAUCCUCUUAAAUUGGUUUUGUGUAAUACUAUAGAAGCCAUUUCUUGAGUUUGAUAUGGUAGAAUUUGGAUUCAUAUUUAUUUUAAAAUCAAGAAAUUCAAGUGUUGGUAGCAUCAAUAGAAUCUUAAAAAAUUUGCAAAAAAAUAUUUAGGUAGAUCACAUUUAAAUAUAACUAAUAGAAUAAAAAAUUAGUAUUAUUAGGAAGACAUGAUCAAUUAAAUCUUUUUUCUUAUCUAUGACACCGACUUUAUUUUUUUACAUAGUCAAUAUAAUUUAUUACAACUUAUAUGUCAUUAAAUUAUACAUGUUUAUAUUAAAUAUAAUAUAAGAUCAUUAAUGGAAUAAUUAUGCAAGUAAUAUAAAUUGUAUAUAAUAUAAAAAAUUUAAAGUCCAUCAAACUAAUGGAAUCUAUUAUAAUAAGUAGACUAGACACCAUGUUGGCCCGAGUUGGAGGCCUAGGCCAGAUUUUAAAGGCUGGGCUUUGAGUUGCCCGUGGGCCUGAGCCAAGGCCUUCUCUUGGUAUCAUCAUUUUGAAGAAAUAAAUUGCUGAUACAGAGAAAAAAACUAUACUAAAUAGAAAAAUAAAUAAAAGCAUUGACUAAAAUGAAGGCCAAGGUCCUUGAAAAAUAAUCUUAAAAUUGUUGCAUAUAUAAUUUCAAUAAUGCAUAAAUAAUUGCAAUAUAUAUGAUGUGAUAAAGAAUUUGGAAUUAAAAGAAGAUUGAUCUAUUUUAAAUGUGGUUGGAAUAUUUCUAAAUUUGUGAUGGGAAGUUAGACAGCCAAUUAGGGAUCCAUAUUAUUUAUUUUCAAUGAUAUGAAUUUAUUUACUUUUAUUAAUAUUCUUAAUGCAACAAUAUAAAAUAUGUCAAUUUUCUAAAAUUAAAAAAGUAAUUGUAAAAGAAAAUUUUUAAUUAUUUUUAUGAAAUUGAGUUUAUUAUAGCAUUUUUCUUUACAUAAAUUUCUUUUUUAUUUUUAUUUUUUUAAAAAUGAGAUAUGAAAAAAAAAGAUCAAUAUUAGUAAAAGUAAAACCCAAUAUAUAAAAAAUAUGAAUAAAUGUUUAUGAAAUAAGAUUUAAAAGUGAGAAGGUAAUAAUUUUUUUCUCUUUUAAUUCCUAUUCAAUUCAUUACAAAAAAUAUUUUUGGUUUUUAUGCUAAAAUUUAUUGUUUAUUAAAAAAUUCUAGUAUAUCUAGCUAUCAUAGAAGAGCUCCAAAAUUUUAUUGUUUAAGAGAAUAUGUGUUGCCACUUUAAAAGAUUUAUAUGCAAAAGGGAUUGAUAUUUUUUUCCUUUGGAUAUGUUUAGUUCCCGGAAAAUUUGAGGGAAAAUGUGAGGGAAGAAAAAUAGAGAAGAAAAGUAUAACGAAAUAAAAAGUGAAGGAAAAUGAAAAAUAGAUUUAAAGUUAACAAAUUAUUUUCAUUGGUUUUUUCAAACUUAUUUUACUUAUUUUAUUCUAUUAAAUAAAGAUUAACUAAUUUUAAUUAUAUUUGGUUUGAUUUUUAUUAUUUUUCAAAGCAAAACCAAAUAUGAAAAAAAAAACAUUUUUUUUUUUUGUUAUUUUUUUCUUUCCUUAUUACUUUUUAGGACUCAAACAUAGCUUUUAGAUUUGGAGCAUGGAAAGAUAAGAGUAUUGAAUAAUGGUUCUAUAUAUGCCCAUGCCCAUGCCCAUGAUACCAUUGAAAAAAAUGGAGAGAGGGUGAAACCUUUACUAGAUGAUAAAUUAUUCUCUUCAAUGGAAAUCAAAUAUAAUUAUUUUUAUCUUGUAUUAAUUGAAUGUUAUACUCCAUAAACUCAAAAUUAAAAUAAAUAAAAAAUUUAAAAACUAGGACAAUCCCAUUUUUUUUCAAUUUCUUAAAAAGAAAUUAAAUUAUAUUUAUUUAUAUCUAUUUUCAUCCCUACCCAACAAAAUAAAAAAAAAUUAACAAGGUGGGACAUGUAUGAGAAAUUCUCACACUAACUCUCACUAGUUUAUUUUUUUUUAAAAAAAAAAAUAAAAUCAAUUUCUUUUAAAAAAAUUAAACUACAUAAAAAAUAAACAAAUUUUACAAUUUUUUUUAAGAAAAGUAAAUUUCUUAUUUUAUAUAUGUUAAAAAUAAAUAUAAUCUUUUAUUUUUUAUAUAUAUAAUCGGGUAAGGUAGAGUGGGACAAAGAAAUAAUCCCCUUCGAUUCCAAUCCGAAUUUUUAAAAUAUAAAAUAAAAAUCUUAAACUCAUCCCUAAUCCAUUUAUUUUUAAUCCUAAACUUGUCUUAUUAAGAAUAAGGCAAAGUGAGUACAUGAAAACACUUCUUUUAUCAUCAUCUCUACAAGUUCUAAUGUUUAGAUUGCAAUCCAUAUCAAAGAUUUAUAAAGAAAGAACAACAAUGAAUUUCAUAAACAUUUGAAAGCAUAAACAAAGUUUUAAAUAAUAUUGCUUGAGGUGCAAAUAUUAUUUGGCGCACAUGUUGAGGGACUUCAACUGGUGUAGUCUAGGUUUUUUACACUAGUAAGUAAUCUUGAAUAUCUAGAGUAACUUGAUCAAAAUCUCUUUAAUUUUAUUUUCUUUGAUGGUUGUAUGAUGAAUUAGAAUGCUUAUAUAACAUGAUUAAAAAUUUUAAGAAAAAAAAACUAAGAAGAAAGAAAGAAGCAUCGAUCUUCCAAAUAUUGCUUCCACUUUAAUAUCUAGUAGGCUCUAAGAAAAGAACUUUAUUCAUGAAUCAUAACCCAAGUCGAAAAUAAAUUGAACCCAUUUUCUAAGUUAAAUUUUGAAUUUUUUACUAGUGAAUGCAAAUUGGGAAAAUGUAUAUAAAUAUAAUCAAACUAGAAUAGUAGAUUAGGUUUGUAGGUGGAGUUUGUUUGAAUUGUUGGAACUUCCAAGUCGUUGUGGGUCUAGUGGUCCCAUAGCUCUCUAUUAAUUUCCACCAUCAAUUUUUUGCAAUAAAGUCAAGUCAUUCCUAACCCUUAUAUUAAGUUGGCCUUAAAAGUCAAGUCAUUGAUCAUAGUUACAUUCAUGAAUCACAACCCAAGUCGAAAAUAAAUUAAACCCAUUUUUCAAGUUCAACUUUGAAUUUUUUAGUAGUAAAUGCAAAUUGGGAAAACAUAUAUAAAUAUAAUUAAACUAAAAUAGUAGAUUAGGUUUGUAGGUGGAGUCUGCUUGAAUUAUUGAAACUUCCAAGUCAUCGUGGGCCCAAUGGUCCCAUAGCUCUCUAUUAAUUUCCACCAUCAAUUUUUUGCAAUAAAGUCAAGUCAUUCUAACCCCUAUAUUAACUUGGCCUUAAAAGUCCAAUCAUUGAUAGCUAAAUCCCAACCCAAGUCAAAAAUAAAUUGAACCCAUUUUCUAAGUUCAACUUUGAAUUUUUUUUAAUUGGAAAAAUGUAUAUAAAUAGAAUUAAACUAGAAUAGUAGAUUAGGUUUGUAGGUGGAGUUUGCUUGAAUUUGUGAAACUUCCAAGUCGUCGUGGGUCUAGUGGUCCCAUAGCUCUCUAUUAAUUUCCACCAUCAAUUUUCUGCAAUAAAGUCAAGUCAUUCCUAACCCCUAUAUUAAGUUGGCCUUAAAAGUCAAGUCAUUGAUCAUAGUUACAUUCAUGAAUCACAACCCAAGUCGAAAAUAAAUUAAACCCAUUUUUCAAGUUCAACUUUGAAUUUUUUACUAGUGAAUGCAAAUUGGGAAAACAUAUAUAAAUAUAAUUAAACUAAAAUAUUAGAUUAGGUUUGUAGGUGGAGUCUACUUGAAUUAUUGAAACUUCCAAGUCAUCGUGGGCCCGGUGGUCCCAUAGCUCUUUAUUAAUUUCCACCAUCAAUUUUUUUGCAAUAAAGUCAAGUCAUUCUAACCCUUAUAUUAAUUUGGCCUUAAAAGUCCAAUCAUUGAUAGCUAAAUCCCAACCCAAGUCAAAAAUAAAUUGAACCCAUUUUCUAAGUUCGACUUUGAAUUUUUUUUAAUUGGAAAAAUGUAUAUAAAUAGAAUUAAACUAGAAUAUUAGAUUAGGUUUGUAGGUGGAGUCUACUUGAAUUUGUGAAACUUCCAAGUCGUUGUGGGUCUAGUGGUCCCAUAGUUCUCUAUUAAUUUCCACCAUCAAUUUUCUGCAAUAAAGUCAAGUCAUUCCUAACCCAUAUAUUAAUUUGGCCUUAAAAGUCCAGUCAUUGAUAGCUACGUUCAUGAAUCCCAACUCAAGUCAAAAAUAAAUUGAACCCAUUUUCUAAGUUCAACUUUGAAUUCUUUUAAUUGGGAAAAUGUAUAUAAAUACAAUUAAACUAGAAUAGUAGAUUAGGUUUGUAGGUGGAGUCUGCUUGAAUUUGUGAAACUUCCAAGUCGUCAUGGGUCUAGUGGUCCCAUAGCUCUUUAUUAAUUUUCACCAUCAAUUUUCUGCAAUAAAGUCAAGUCAUUCCUAAACCAUAUAUUAAUUUGGCCUUAAAAGUCAAGUCAUUGAUAGUUACGUUCAUGAAUCACAACCCAAGUCUAAAAUAAAUUGAACCCAUUUUCCAAGUUCAACUUUGAUUUUUUUACUAGUGAAUGCAAAUUGGGAAAACAUAUAUAAAUAUAAUUAAACUAGUAUAGUAUAUUAGGUUUGUAGGUGGAGUAAGCUUGAAUUGUUGAAACUUUCAAGUCGUCGUGGGUCUAAGGGUCUUAUAGCUCUCUAUUAAUUUCCAUCGUCAAUUUUUAUGAAUUAAGAUUUAAAAGUGAGAAGGGAAUAAAUUUUUUCUUUUUCAAUUCAUUACAAAAAAUAUUUUUGGUUUUUAUGCUAAAAUUUAUUGUUUAUUCAAAAAAUUAAAGUAUAAAAAUAUAAAAAAAAAUAUAUAUCUUGAUAUUAUAGAAGAGCUCCAAAAUUUUUGUGUUUAAGAGAAUAUGUGUUGCCACUUUAGAAGAUUUAUAUACAAAAAGGAUUGAUGUUUCUCCUUUGACUAUGUUUGGUUGCCAAAAAUUUGAGGGAAAGAAAAUAAAAAAAAAUAGUAAAAAAGAAAAAAUGAAGGAAAAUAAAAAAUAGUUUUCAAGUUAAUAAAUUAUUUUUAUAUGUUUUUUCAAACUUAUUUUACUUAUUUUCUUUCAUUAUAUAAAGAUUAAAUAAUUUUAAAAUGCAUAAUUUCUAACUAAUUUUAAUUAUAUUUAAUUUUUCUUUUAUAUUUUUUAGACGGGAUCCGACACAUGAAAAAAUCCUUUUUUUUAGCAUCUUUUUUUCUUUUCUUAUUACUUUCCAAUAACCAAAUAUAACCUUUAGAUUUAGCCUUUAGACUUGGAGUAUGGAAGGAUACUGAGUAUUGAAAGAAGGUUUUGUAUAUGGCCAUGAUACCAUAGAAAAAAUGGGCGAGAGAGAAAAAACCUUUAUUAAAUGAUAAAUUAUUUUACUACUUACUACAUAAAUAGAUAUUCAUGGAGUGCAUUCUCUAAAAAGCUCCAGUCUCAUGAAAAUGGAAAGAUGGACCGGCCAGUGGACCGGUUCGAGUUUGGAUUUAUGGGCUGCCUCAGCCUAACACGCAUGAUAGGCUGUUGCAGGUGAAGAACUAAUUAAUUUAAAGCCUUCUUCUAUCCUCUCCUAUUCCUCUUUCACUCCAAAUUUUCCACAUGAUAAUGACAAUUCUUUUGUUAAAUGGUAAAAAAAAAAAUUUAACAAUUAAUUUAAAAUCAUUUAUAAAAUCAUGAACUUUGGCAUCCUAAUUAAUGCAAUUUAAACUUUUUUUGUUUACAAAUGAAAUAAGAGGCAACAUAUAAACCCAAAAGUUAAUUUUCCUACCAUCUCUAUGCACCAUUUUAGCUUUACUCCAAUAUAUUUUCUAUGAUUAAUUAUUUUCAUUCAAACAAUAAUAUCAAAAUAUUUUAAAAUUAGACAUAUCAUAAUCAAAUAUCAUUAUAUUAUUAUUGAAUAAUAUUUAAUGUAAUUUAAUAAUCAACGUAUACUUAUAGAAUUUAUAUUUUUUAUUAAUGCAUAUAAUAUUAUUAUCAAAUAUGAUAAAUUAUAUAUAUAUAUUUCUUUAACAAAACAACUUUAAAAUAUCUAUUAUACUUUUAAUUUCAUCUCUAAGAGGUUUUUUUUUUUUUCUUUUUUUUUUUUACAUUUUUAUAAGUUUUGAUCAAUUGUAGGCUAACCAAUAUUUUUUUAUCAAAAUAUCCACCAAUAUAUCUCCGAUAUAUUAGAUAUAUCCGUAACAUCGAAAUACCAAUAUAUCCGCGAUUAUCGAUAUUUUUAUCCUUGAGGGAUAACAACUAAUAUAGUUUUUGCACUUAAUGAUAUUCCUCAACAUUUAGAUUGAUUUGACCAAAAUCUUUUUAAUUUUAUUUUCUUUGAUGGUUAUAUGAUGAAUUAGAAUAGUCAUAUAACAUUAACAGAUUUAAGAAAAAAAGGAUAAAAAAGCUCGUAUUUUUCAAAUAUUGGUUUCAACUUUGAAUAUUUUUAUUGGUAAAUGAAAAUUGUGAAAAACCUACUAAUGCUAAUACUUUUCACCACAUAAUUAAAUAUAAUAAACUAGAAUAGUGAUUCAUUGAUGUCUUAUAAAGACACAUGCCUUCUUUGACUUGUUAGUUGAUUUUUGUAGGUGGAGUCCAUUUCCAUUUGAAUUGUUGAAACUUCCAAGUCCUUGUGGGUCUAGUGGUCUCUCUAAUAAUUCCCACCAUUAAUUUUUUGUGAUGAAGUGCAGUCAUUGAUAGCUACUAUAUCAAUUUGCUAUUAAAAGUCAAGUCAUUGAUAACUAAUAUUCAAUCUUUUUCAAUAUGGAAAUUGGAAUCUCUAGCACUACUCUUCUCAUUGUUCAUUUUUAGGUAAUGUGAGAAUGUGUGAACAUAAAUGUCUUCUAAUCAACCAAUUUUUUUGAAAAAAACAUGUACAAAAUUGCAAAACUUGCAAAAUCAAACUUUCUUGUUGAAUAACCAUAGCUUGAUGGUUUUGAAGAAUCAAAGGAUGAAUCAUAAAAGGGUAUUUGAUAAAAAAUAAAAAUUUAAAAAGUUAAAAGACAACUACUCCCUUAAGUGUAAUAAGUGUAUUUGGUAGCACAAAUUUCCUACCACUUAUUAUUUUUUCCUUUCUUAAAAAAUUAUUUACUCUAUUAAAUAAACUAACCUUGGCUUAGCACUUAUAGCAAAAUAGGUUAAGUAGUUUUUAAAAUUUUAUAAUAUUAGAUUUACAUUUUUAUCCUUCAAAAUUUCAUUAAUGCUAGAUUCUUCUAUAUGCUUAACUAAUAAAUAAUUUUUAGCAUUUUUCUUUUCUUAUAAACAUAAAAAAAUAAAAAUAUUAUUAACUUAUUGGUAUAUUUUAAAAUUUUAAUUAGAUUUAAGCUUUUAUUUGUUUGGAUUACCAAUUAUACAUAUAAAUCCUUUGUUAUUAUUGUUAUUAUUGAAAGAAAGGGGUUGAAUAGGUAGUCCCUCAAUCCCCAAAUUAAAUUCUUUAUUGCCUACUUUUGGUUUAUUCCUUUACAUGAAUUCCUUGGUGAGAGUAAACAUUUCAUUAAUAGAUAAAUAAAAUUGAUUCCAUAUCAUAGGGUAUAAUGUGGAAAAAUCACCAGUCUCAUGUGUUCCUUAGUGGAUCCUUUGGAGCCCUAUCAAAGUUUCAUGAUGAAACCAUUGACUUUUGUUUAACCCAAAUGUGCUUUCAAGACAAAUCUUGAAAGAUUUGAGAGAUGGAGGUUCAAGUCUUUUAUGAACGACCAUGUUCUCUUAGGGUUCAUGAAAUUCACACCUUUUGAUAAAUAAAACUUAUCUAUUUAUACGUCUAAAACCCAGUAUUUAUUUAUUUAAUUAUAGAAAGUUUCUUAGUUUUAAAAACAUUUCAAAAAUCAUUUUUAGAAUCAAAUAAGAAUUUUAGAGAUAAACACAAUAUUAAAAUUUAACAAAAACAAAUUUUCGAAUUAAAAACACAAUAUAAACUAAAUUACAAAAUAUAAAGUAAUUUUUACCCUAAUUUCUUGUUGCAAAACCAAAUGGAACACCUAGAAGGGGAGUGAAUGGGUGAUUUUAAAUUUUUUCAAUAAUUAUUUAUAAGUUAUACCCAAUUCUUUUACCCUGCAAGUUGUUAGGGACUAUCAAUUCUUUCAUUUUGGCAAUUCAAACAAUAUAUCAAAUAAUAAAAAGAUAUAAAUAAUGAGACAUAAAUAUUUUUACGUGGAAAACCCCCCACACUAACCAUGGAGAUAAAAAGCCAUGGAGUCUAAGACCUAUUAAUCUAAAUUCACGGUACGAAAUCAAGUUACACAAAUUUAUUUGACAACUUUACCUUAAAGACUUACUCUACAGUACUGACAACUUGAUUCACAUCCACGACGUAGCAACCCUCGAUUACUCCAAUGGAUCACUUCAAGCUUACUAAAAGGAUGAAGGCCUUCAAACCAAGAUUCAAAAAUCAAUUCCUUGAAUGAGAGAUCAGGAAUGGUGUGCCACUUUAGGCUUUCUCUCUAAGAACUCUAAAAUGAUCUCCUCAAUGAAAACCUUUUAAACAAAAUGAGAUAUUUCUCCACAAUCUCUAACCCUCAAGGGGUUAUAAUGAGAUAUUUAUAAGCAACUAAGUUGAAGAGUUUCGGUUUUGGAAGGUUUCUCAAUUGAAUUUGUGUGAAAAACUCGACAGAAUCAACAUGACCGCUCGAGGCAGCACACUUCCCACUUGAGCGUUUCGGGCACUUGAGCGGUAAGGCUUGCUUGAGUUGUCCUAAGCGCUUGAGCAUUCCAGGCUACUUGAGCAAUCUUGCUCUAUUUCAAAAGUUAAUUUUAAACCAUUUUAAGUUCAAAACAAAAUUGAUUCCCUUUAUACCUCAAAGGAGCCUAACUUGCCACAAACCAAACUUUUUUAGAUAUACUUGUGACUUCCUGGUUGGACGAACAACAACUCUUAAUCUUCAAUGGAGAGCAAGUCACUAUCUAAAAAGAUUUAUAUGGUCAAACAUAAAAAAACAAAAAAAUUGCCAACAUAACAACAAGACUCAAUGUCCAUGCAUGGUCACCUGAAAGGUGACUCCGACCACAAUAUAAUGCAUGUUCUCAUAGAACAUGUGAACAAGAUGGGGAUAGGAAGUCCCCUAGAGAGAAAACAGAGUCUCCUAACCCUACUCUUGAAUGAUGAUAGGGAAGACAGUGUCCUGAAAAGCUUAAAGGUUAAUGGCAUGCUCAGGCUCGACACACCGAUAUGUGAAAGAAGCGUAAUAAUGGUCCCGUGCCACCUGGUAGUGAAAGCGCUCAACCGGAAGUGCAUCUAGGUUAAAAAGACCCUAGAGUGGGAUGCCCUAGACGGUUUCAGUGACCUAGGAAAGGUCACCUCCCUUUGACAUCUAUGACUAGCCAUAUCUAAGGUAUAUAAUAUGAAAAAACAAAAGCUAAAGAAAAUCCAGAGAAAAGCUAAACCACUAAAAAUGUUAAACUCAAUGCGUCGAACAAUACUAUACAAAUGGAAAUGAAAAAUAUGAAGCGAACUGACCUCAGAAGACAAAAGGACAGUAACCCAGAGGGCUCGAAGAGGAAUAGGAAAGAUUGAAAUGAAUAUGGCGUGAUGGAUGACCUUUAUAUAGCUUAUAAGAGUGCUUGAUGCAGAUUAGCACUUGAGCGUCAUGACUAACUUAAAUCAAAUUAUUUAUUAAUAUGGAAAUAUUUUAAAAGUUUCAAAGGAAGUAUUCAAUUUAGAACCUUUUUAGAAUUUUUUUGAAAGAAACAAAAAUAAAGCGUGAAAUAUUAUGUGUUAAAGGUGUUAGAAGACAAUAUUGUCUAAUCCAAAGCCUUACACAUUCCUAAAAAAAAAAAAAAAAAAAAAGGAAAAAGAGAGAUAUUAUAUAAGAUUUUGAUCACAUCUAAUAGAAACUAAUAUUUAGCAACAUAUCACCAAGCACUAUCUUAUCAGAAAGCUCUAACAUGUUGGAAAUUUAUGUAAGGUUCCAUAACAGCUAAAAACUUUUUCUGACGACUCGGUAAUGGACCAUUUGCACUUUAACUACAUUAUUGAAUUUAAAUCAUAUUAGAAUUGUAAUUGACUUCUCUUUUGUGAGACUACAUAUCUUGUAGGAUGGGAUAGGUGAUUCAUUUCAUAUAUGAAAUUUACUUAAUUUAGUAAUGCUUCCAAGUUCAUUAUGAAUCUAAUGGUAUCACAACUCCUUUAAUAUUUGUAAUUUUGUAAUCUUUGUUUCAACUUCUCAAGUCUAGUCAUUUUAUUGGCAUAACUAGUUUGCUUCAAUUAUCUCUCAACUUUAUUAUAAAACUAAGGGAAAGGAUUAUCACGCAUUUUAUAUUAACUUAACCAAACAUCUUUAUAUAUCUUACAUAUAUAUAUUUUUUGUAAAUUUAGGAAAAUUUCAUCCAUUAGCCAUAGUAAGUAAGAAUCAAAUAAGGGAUAUGUAAGCCAAUGGUGAUAUUGAUGGCGUCAAAUCAAUGACAUAGUAGAAAAGUGGAUUGUCUAUUUUCAAACCUUUAUAUUUUCAUCCAAUAGUAAAAAGGUUUAGGCAUCACUUGAAAAGUAGUUCGUUUUUUACCUUGGACUAUGAUUUAUGAAUAAAGUUCUUCUGUUGUAUACCUUUUGUGAUGCCCCAAACCUAAUUUAGGGGUAAAAAAAUAAUUUAGAAAAAAAUAAAUAAAAAGUUAAAUAAAUUUAAUUAAGGUAAAAAUGUAUUUUUGUAUUUAAAAUUCCUAGGUAUCAAUUAUAUAUUUCUUGUCUUCUCUAUUCAAAAAACCCUAUUACACAAAAAUCAAAUAUCAGAGAACAUAGGACAACGCAGGGUUGAAGAUUUGGAGGUUUAGGGUUGAAGAUUAGUUUUCCAGGUAAGAUUCUAACCCUUAAAUUAGUAUUUUAGAUUCGUUAAUUAGUUUGAACACUUUAGAUAUUCUUUGAAAAAUCUGAAUCUACGUUAGGGUUUGUUAAUUUAAUUUUUAAAUAAAAAAGAUUCAAAAUUUAUGAACAUAAGUAGAGUUAUUAUUAAAGAUUGAAAUUUUUUGAAUAUUUGAAUUAAAAAUCUAGAAAAAAAAAGAAGAAAAUAAAUUAUAGCUUUGGAUGUGGAAAAAAGUUAAUAUUAAUAAAUAAAUAAAACUUAUGAGUACGGAGGUAGAAAAAUAUGAGAGUUGAAAGCAAAGAAAAAAAAAAGAGAAUAAGGUUUUGUGGUUGUACGUGUCUCCUUAGUGGAAAAAAGAAAUACAAGGUUGUUUGCAAUAGGAUAUGACAAAGAGAGAGAGAUAAAUGCUUAGAUGUUGAUUUUUGUGGGGAAAAAAAGAUUGGGUAAUGUAGGAGAGAAAUAGGUAGCACUUGUAGAGUUGGUGGGGUUGUUGUAAAAGCUCGUAGGGUAAUUGUUAGGUAGUAGUAGGGUAUGAGAUUAAUUGUUAGGAAACAUUAGGACUUGAAAUAAUAAUAAUUGCUUCUAGUAAAAGUUUUAACUUAGUUUAAGUAUAUAAAAGAAAUAGAUGAUUAGAAUAAGAUUUGGAAGGAAUAUGAAUUCAUAAAAAUUUCGAAAUUUACUAAUUUAGAUUAUUAUUUUUUUGGAAGUUGAAUAUAAUAUAGGUGGUAAUAUUAUUAAUAUAGGAAAUGAUUAAGAUUCUCAAACCUACAAUUUUAGAUAAAUAGUUAAUAGUAAUAGUUGAUUUUUUAUUUUUUUUAUUUUUUAUUUUUUAUGUUAUGUUAAGUGAAUAAUGGAUUCUUUGAUUAAUUCUCUAAGGUUUCUAAGUGCUUCUUUAAGAUAAGGGAUAUUAAUACUGAUUUUGUAAAUGAAAAUAUUUCUUUUUAUAAGUUAUUUUAAAUUAUGAAAAAUUUUAUUUUUAUUUAUGCAUGGAUCAAAUAUAUAUUUUUUCAUGAGAAACAUGUUUGGGCAAUUUCUUUGUUUAUAAAUAAAUAAAUAAAAAAUGAGAACUUUGGAAAUAUAAUGUUUUGUUUUGCAAGUUUAAAAUAAUGAAAUAAAGUUUUUGACUCUGGUUUAUAUGACCUUAGUUAAUGGGUUAUAAUUGUUGACAUUUUCAGCUCUCCAAUCAAUGAUUAUAAUUGUUGAGAUUUUCAACCCUAGCCAACGGGUUAUAAUAGUUGACCUUAUAGCCCUAGUCAACAGAUAUAAUUGUUAACCUUUCGUUUUUCCCAUCUUAAAAAGAACAAAUUUAAGGCUAACCAUUUAUUUGUAAAGUCCCACCUAACUAAGUACCAUUUGUUAUUUAAUAACCAGAGUAAAGAUAUUUUGAAUGUAUUUGAUAUGAAAUUAUUUUGAUAUAAAUAUGAAAAUGUUUGGUUGAAAAGUUCAAAUGUUUAAUGCAUGUUGAAUUCAAAAGUUUUUAUGAAAAUGAUUAUAUGUUAUAUCUCCUAUUUGUAAGUUUGAUCCAUAAAACUGUAUUAAUAUUCCUUAUUGGACUUUGAGCUCAUUCCCCUUUGUUGAGAAUUUUUUUUGGUAUUCUCAGUUUGGGCAAGGAGUGAUGACUGGGUUGGGGAAUUUUCUUUACUAUGAUUUUGGUUCAAUCUUUAUUUUGGACAUUGUAAUUUAAUUCCCAUUUAAAUUAUUUGGGUUUGGAGUUAUUUGGACGAUAACACUUUGAUUGAUGUGUUAGUUUUAAAGUUGAGAAUUGAAAAUUAUAGAAUUUAUUUAUCUUUCUACUUUGAAUAGAAAUUUAGUAAUUGGAGAUCAUCCAGUUACAAGAUGAAUAUUAGAUGAAUAUUUGUGUCGUUUCCACAUUGAGUGUUCAGGCUUAGGGUGUGAAAUGACCGUUAUGCCCUUGGAGUGGGUAUAUUGUUUAUUUGAAUUUAAUGGUCCCCGAACUCCUUAAUUACUCAUAACUUUAUAUCACCUUCUCAAAGUUAAGUUGUUUUACAACUACUAUCUAGCUACUUUUCUCUACUAUGACAACUUUAUUACAUAGUGAUUAAUUGAAAGAAUCUACAUGUCUUAUUUCAUAGGAUAGUUGAUUUUUUUACUCAAUGAAUCUUGCUUUUAUUAUUGAAAAUUUCAAAUCAUUGUAGUCCAACAAUUUACUAUCCUUUGGUAAUUUCAUAUUACAUUUCCAAAGUCUAAUCAUUUAAAAACACUUGUAGUUAAUAUAUUGGCAAUUGCAUUGUGGGAAGUUGUUCACUUGAUUUUAAUGUUGAAACUUUCAAAUUGUUGUAGUCCAACAAUUCCCUAUCCAUUGGUAAUUUCAUAUCACAUUUUCAAAGUAUAAUCAUUUACAAAUACUUGUAUAUAGUAUAUUUGGUGAUUGUAGAGUGGAAAGUUGAUCGUUUUCAUGAAGACCUCUAAAAUAGAAAUUUUUUUCAUUCCAUUUAAUAAAGAAUUUCAUUAAUUGAACAUAUAUGUUUUUUUAACCGGAAAGUAGAGGCCACAUUAUACGAGGCCUUAGGUGACAAUACUAGGUGAGGGUUUUUUUUUUUAAUUUAUUUAUUACUAAAUAUAAAUAAUAUUAUUUAUUGUAUAAUAAAGAUUAUUAUAAUAUAUUUUUUAUAGAUGAAAAAAAUAUUAAUUGAGUUUUAUUUUUUUAAAAUAAUUGUUUUCAAUAAAUAACUUAUUUGUAAAAAGAAAACUAUAAAAUAUAUGCAUUUGAAAAAUAUUUAAUUUUUAUUUGAUUUAGUAUCAAUUAAUAUUUGUAAUAUUUUUUAAUAUUAUAGAAGUUAACAUACUCAAUCAAGAUAUUCAAGAUCAAGAGAAUAUUUAAGAUUGAAUUAAUUUCUUUAUUGUUUAUGUUUUAGUAAAUUUUUAUAUCCAUUACAAAUUUUUUAUUGUUUAUUUUUCAUUCAAUGUUUGCAUUUUUUAAUAGAUAUUAAAACGAUUUUUUUUCUUGUAUGUUAAAAAAAUAUUUCAAUGUCUUUAAAAAUAAAAUAUUGCAGUAAAAUCAAAAUUACAUUGUGAAACUUUAAGCGAAUGUUUUAUACUUAAGAAGUGCCAAUUAAAGUAAGCAUGCAUCUACAAUUGUAAUUUAGAUGUCAUACUGAAACAAUAGUUCUCUUUGACUAUAUCAUAAAAUUUGGUUCGAAUUACUUUAAGUCGUCUUGUAGAUUUUCAAGUUCCAAUGAUAUGCAUCAAGUAUGUGCAACAUACUUGAUAUAACUAAUAUUUUCUUAAGUAAUUGGACACUUUUUUCUAUAAAUUUACUUGAUUAUCAAUGAAUACUUUUAUGUAAGGUAUUGAUAUAAUUCGAUAAAUAUUUUAAAAUAGUAUUAGAAUAGCUUUGCUCUUUCCCAAUUAACAAAUUUACUAAAUUAACUUAUAUAUAUUUGUUUAUUUGAAUUUACUGGUAUUUGACUCAAAUUGUUAUUAUUUUUAAAAUUAUAGGAAAACCAUUAUUUAUAGAGUUUAAUUAUAUUUGGUAAAUUAUCUUUUUAAGUUUGGCUAGGAUUAGGAAACUAUUAAUUUAAGAUUAAUCCAUAAGGCUCUAUAAAUUUGCAGUUUUAUUUAGGAUUUAAAAAAAGAAAGAAAAAGUAAGAAAAAGUGAAGAGAGAUAGGCAAAGAGUGCAUUGGGUUUUAAAUAAAGAAAGGUUGAGAGAGUUUUGAUUACUACUCAAAAAGAACAUAUUUUAGAUAGUAAUUCUCAUGGGUUUCACAUCUUUUGAGUAUUAAUUAUGCCUAAAAAUGCUCAAUUAACAUGUUGUUGCCUUUGCAAGAGUUACUAACAAGUUUUAUAAAGUUUUGGAGUCAUUUCAAGUUAUGAUUUUAAUAAAUUGGUGACGAAAGAGAUGAAUUGAUUUGAAGAAGGCAAAUAAUAUUGAUGAUGAUCCAAAUGCAUAAUGAAAGAAGCAAUAUAAUUAGUUUGAUCGGGAUUUGCUGCUAAUUUGGAGGUAGUUAAGGUGGAGUCAAAAGAAGAAAAUGGAAGAAAUGACAAAGAGGAGCUUAAAAACCAAAUGUUGCAGAUUUGUAUGAUCAUGCAAAAAUUACAUGACUAUGCGAAAUGGAUUAGAGAAGGAAAAUUGACUAUAGUAUAAGGAGGAUGCUUAAGUUGAUUUCGCAUGAACAUGCGAAAAUUUUGCACAAUCAUGCGAAAUGGUCCAGAAAGCUCUCUAAUGUUGUUGUUGCUCCACUAAUUUCACACCACCAUGCGAAAUUGAUCUUUUCAUGCAAAAUGGCUGAAGCUCAUGUGAAAUCAUGAUUUUGAUGCUAAACUCUAGAUUUGUGAAUUUGGAAGGUUUUAGAAGAUCAAUGAGAAGUUGCCAAGUGUCCACUUGACCUUGGUCUAUAAAUAGAAACUUGAAUUUCCCAUGUAAAGAGCUUUGUGAUACUUUUGAUUUUAGAUUUUUCUAGGAACUCUUUCUCUAAAUAGAAUUCUAUAUUUUCUUUAAUUUUCUCUCAUUUUCUCAUUCGCCAAACAUGCCUAGUGAGACCAAAUCUCCAAGUAUGAGUGGCUAAAUCUCGUUUUUCUCAAAGGAAUGAGGAUCUAGAGUCAAGAUCUAUGGUGAAUUAUAGAAAUGAGUUUUAAUCGGAAAUGCAAUUUGAUUCAAUUGAUUGAUUAAUUGAAAUUUGAGGAUUUUUCUCUUCAAAUUAUCCUAAAUGACUAUUACAUUGCAAACUAGGUAGAUUCAUUAAAUUCUUAAAGCUAGAUUUAAUGAGACUGAAUAGUUGCAUUGUAUGAAUCAUUGGAAGAUAAUUUAAGAUGAAUUGAAUAUAUAAUUUAAAUUGAUCUCUUGGAUUAAAUAACCUAAUUUGAAGAGAAAUUAGGUUUAGACUUAAAGGUAAAUCUAAAAUCGAUUUAGAUAAGAAUUUAGGUUUUCAAUCUAACUUGAUGAAAAAUAAAUCUCAACAUCUAUUCACCAUGGAAAUUGUUUUCUAAAAAAUAUUAACUCCGAGAAUUCCUUUUCCUUAUCAAUUUUCUUAUAUUCUACAUUAUAUUGUUCUUUUCGAUUAGAAAUCAUUGUUAUUUUGAUUUUUCAUGAAUUGUCAAAUCAAUUUCACUUGACCAUAAUCAUUUCUUUUCCUCCCAUUUAAGCCUUAAUUAUCGAGAAUAAUCCAUCCCAAUAGAAGACACCUAAGACCACUAUACUACCGUAGCUUUUGCUAAAAAACCUUUUUGAUCGGGCAAGAGUUACCUUAGCAUAGUUGAAUUAGGUUAUAAUUUUUUUAUCCAAUAAACAACAAAAAAAAUCAAUCGAUCAAGUUUGCAUUGUGUAUUCUUGAAUUUUAUUAAUAAAUUUGAUCCCCCUUUUUGAAGCGAUUACACCAAACCAAGUAAAUAUUUUAUAUACUUCAUUUGCUUUAUUUUUUCUAUUAAGUUUAGGUGUUGCAAUUUUCAAGAGUCAUGGUGAGAAGAUUGUGGGAAAAAUUAUUUUAAGGAUGGAGUCGAACAUAAAAUAUGAAAUUGAGUCCUUUGAUGGAAAUAAUAAUUUUAAUAUUUGAUAGAGUAUUAUUAAAGAUGUUUUGAUACAACAAAGACUUCUCAAAGCAUUACAAGGCAAAAAAACUAGAGAGCAUGACAAAUAAAGAAAUGAAAGAAUUAGAAGCAAGAGUUGUAAGUACUAUUUGUUUAAGUCUUAAAAAUGAAAUACAUUGUUUUGAAUGAAAAAAAUAUUCUUUUAGGGGUGUCAAUUGCUCUUUUAGAGACCAAAAAUAUUAAGCAGUCAAGUAGUUCAUCUCAUAUUGGACAAACUGUUAUGAUGAAUUCUAAACCACAUCAUCAUAGGAGUAAAUCGAAAGAAAGUAUCUGAUAGGAGGAUGAUCAUUCCAUUCACACUUAUGGAGGAAUAUGAAGUAUUAUUACUGUGAAAAAAAAAACAUAUCAGGAGAUAUUGUAAAGAAUUGAUGAAGUACCUAGAAGAAAUGAAAAUUUUUAAAUCCCAAGAGACUUCAAAUUUUACUAAUAUUGUUGAUGAAAAUUUUGAAAUAUUGUAGUAAAUUAAAAGUUACAUUAUGGGACUUUUAGUGAGUGUUUUAUGUUGAAGAAAGGCUAAUUAAAGUAAACAUGCAUCUAAAACUAUAAUUUAGAUGUUGUACUCAAAUAGUUGCUCUCCUCGAUUAUAUCAUAAAAUUUGGUUUGAAGUCUAAGUCAUCUAAUAAUUUUCUAAUUCAAAUUGCAUGCAUCAAACAUGUGUGUUAGGAAGUGUUGCAAAUUACUAAUUAAUAUAGAUUCUUUUUUUUUUUAAAGAAUAUUGUAUUGAAUAUUUCUAGGUUGAUAUAUUAUUGUAAUAUUAGACUUUCUUAUAGAAUAAGGAAGGUUGUUGAAAAUAUCCCUAUAAAUAUUCUAGUUCAUAAGGGGAAAAAGUUAUGAGAUGAAGAUGGACCCAUAAAGACUAUACAAGGUGGAUAGAGACGUGAAGAAAAACGAGAGGUACCCGGUGGAGCGAGAGGGCUCGUGGUAGGGUAUAGGUACAAAGAGUGAGAAAACAUGGGAUGUUUUGGGAACCCAAUAAUUGUAUCUGGUUAUGUCCUCUAUAAGUUCUAGUCCUGUCAUCUGCAUUGUUCUCUAUUUUAUAGUGGAAUGAUUCUCUUUUAUCUGUGGACGUGGGCAUGGUUUUCGAACCAUGUUAAAACCUUGUGUACCGUUUGUGUUGAUUUUUUUUUUUAUCUUUAUUUUAUUGAUUAAUGAAGUUUGCAUCAAAGCUUCUGUCAACGUAACAAACUUGUAUCAAAGCUUGGGUUAAAGAUUUCUAGAAGAGUAAAAGAUCAUAGAGCACACAAGAUGAAAACAAAAGGAAUUUUUAGUGAAAAUGGAGUCAAUUGCUCUCUCAUGGUGAUAUGAUAUAAAAAGUUUGUGUCAUGGAAAGUUUGAAGAUUUACUUCAUGGAAUCUGGUCCAAAAUGGAGAUUGUUAAUAAGUAUCCCAAAUUCCUAAUUAGUUUAGAUUUUUUUUUUUUGUAAAGAAUAUUGUAUAGAAUAUUUCUAGGUUAAUAUAUUAUUGUAAUAUUAGACUUCCUUAUAGAAUAAGGAAGGUUGUUGAAAAUAUCUUUAUAAAUAUUCUAGGUCAUGAGGGAAAAAAGUUAUGAGAUGAAAUGGGCCUGUAAAAACUAUAUGAGGUGGAUAGAGAUGUGAGGAAGAACAAGAGGUACUCAAUGGAAUGAAAGGGCUCGUGGUAGGGUAUGGAUACAAAGAGUGGGGAAAUAUGGGAUGUUUUGGGAACCUAAUAGUUGUAUCUGGUUCUGUCAUCUAUAAUGUUCUAGUUAUGUCCUCUAUAAUUGAUUCGUUCCCAAUUGGUGUCUCAGCUGAUUCAUGUCCUCUCCAUGGUCCCUGAUAGUGGUGCCAUUUGAUUCAUGUCCAGCUGGUGUCCCUUGAUUUUGGUCUUCAGGGAGUAAUCAACAAAAUUUAUAACCUAUUACACCAUGUACUAGGAUAGCCUUAGCUAGCAUAGCAUAGUGGCUCUAGGGUCGUUCACUGGGAUGGGUUUUCACUUCACAAUUGAUAUUAAUUCAAAGAUGAAUUGGUGCUUUUUCAUUUCAAGGUUAGCUUUAAAAGAAAACAUAAAGAUGUUUGAAUGAAAAAGGUUUUGUUUUAAACUAACCAAAAAUAAUAACUGAUUUUACUUACAAAGAAAAGUGUUUCUUGGAGUUUAGAUCACUGGGCUCAGAUUCCUUGUACAAAAAGGGAGUUCCGGUCACUUGUUUCUUUUCCUCGCAUUAGAGAAUUAACAUAUAGUUAAUUCUCUAACCGGUGUGGUACAGAUGCUUCCCCUUAAUGGGUUCAAACACUAAAUCCCUCUCACUGAUGCAACUUGCAAUGGCUCGUGCCUCUCACCUAGCAUUUGCCAUUCAAGGUGAUCUUUAACCUUGGAUUACCCUUCACAAGCUCGCAAGAGAUAACUAAUGGAUGUCUCCUUAGAGUCCAAAAGCUUACCAAGUGUUGGCAAUUCUAGAAAAUCAUACCUUCAAACCACCUCCCAAAAGCUCGCAAGAGGUAAACCAGUGCAUCUCCAUUGACGGAGAUCACUUGCCUAACCAAGUGUUGGCUCAAGUGAAUUGAAGGUGUUUUAAGUUAACUAAAAAGAUAAAAACCAUUAACGGGUCACACUUUCUCUUCAUUAAAAACUAAAACAACAAAACUUCCAAUUUAUGCAUGAGGAAACUUACCCGGCUUUCUUUCACUCCAAGAGACGAAGAGCCUAGCCUCUCAUCCUCUGAGAAAAAAUCCUCAGAGUUUGAUUGGCUAGAAAGAAAACUAACGAGAAAACAAAAAUAUAUAUAAGAAGCAGAGCAAAAGCUCUGUUCGUUGAUUACAUAUAUGAUAUAUGAUAUAUGAUGGAUCCUCUUCUUUACAUUGGUUCAAAGAUAUAUAUAGAGAAGAUAUUUUCUAAGAAAUAUCCCAAUAAUAUCUUUGACUAAUUACAAGGAGAAAAUAGAAAUUUACACAAAAUAUCUUGAGAGAAAAAAUCUAACUUAGUCGGUGGCAAAUAUCAGGAAGCUUCAGGAGAAUAUCGCGUCACUGUGCAAAAAUCCGGGUAAUCUGAAAUGCCGGCCGCGGAUGCUCUCCGGGUUAGCGCUAUUAGAAGAUCCGGACAUGCCUGUCUGGGGAGGUUGAAAUGCCUCUUCUUCCAUCCGGCGUCAGGCGUCGGAUUUGAAAUAUCUGAUCAGAGGAUCCUGACAUGUCUGACCGAACAGAAUUUCAGAUGUGAGAUAUCCGGACGUCGCAAGGGGGACCGUUUGCGUGUACAAGGUGUAGAGACCCUUCCCCCUGAUGACACGGAGCACGCAUCGCUAUCCAGAGCAACUCCAUCCGGAUUUCCCAAGAGGACACGCACCGCCAUGCUAUCCGGCACUCGUGAACAUCACACUCCGGAUGAUAGCAUAUCCUAUCCGGAUAUGUUGUCUGGAUCAUUGACUAAAGUGAGCAAGCCUUACUACAGCCCACGUUCCGCCGCUCUUCCAAUGGUGUGUCCGGACGCCCUGUCUGGACAUCUUUUUCCAUGGAUUCCAAAGAACUCUCCUCAAUCUCGGAUUGCUUUGGUGAUAAAAAAGCUAUCAAAACACCAAAACUUAACACAAUUUGAUUAGAAUUGAUUGCAAGGGUCCUUAAUAUGUUAAUUGGGUUAAAAAGUGAUAACUACUACUCAAAAGUGUUUAAAAGAGUUAAUUACAAGCUAUGAAAUAACACUUUUUGAGUAGUAAUCAAUAAUGUUCUCUAUUGUAUAGUGGAAUGAUUCUCUUUCAUUCGUGGAUGUAGGCAUGGUUGUCGAACCACAUUAAAACCUCGUGUACUGUUUGUGUUUUUUUUUUAAAAAAAAUUAAUCUUUGUUUCUUGAUUAAUGAUGUGUGCAUCAAAGCUUCCAUCUACGUAACAAACUGGUAUCAGAGCUUGGGUUGAAGAUUUUUGGAAUAGUAAAAGAUCACAAAGCACACAAGAUGAAAACAAAAGGAAUUUUUAGUGAAUGUGGAGUCAAUUGUUCUCUCAUGGUGAUAUGAUACAAAAAGUUUGUGUCAUGGAGGGUUUAAUGAUUGACUCCAUGGAAUUUGGUCCAAGGUAGAGAUUGUUAGGAAGUGUCCCAAAUUCCUAAUUAGUAUAGAUUUUUUUUUUAUAAAGAAUCUUGUAUAGAAUAUUUCUAGGUUGAUAUAUUAUUGUAAUAUUAGACUUCCUUAUAGAAUAAUGAAGGUUGUUGGAAAUAUUUUUAUAAAUAUUUUUAGUCAUGAGGGGAAAAAGUUAUGAGAUGAAGAUGAGCCUAUAAAGACCAUACGAGAUGGAUAGAGAUAUGAGGAAGAAUCGAAGGUACCCAGUGGAGCAAGAGGGCUCGUGGUAGGGUAUGAAUAUGAAGAGUGGGGAAACAUGGGAUGUUUUGGGAACCCAAUAGUUGUAUCUAGUUUUGUCAUCUAUAAUGUUCUGGUUCUGGCAUCUAUAAUGUUCUGGUUUUGUCCUAUGUAAUGUUCUUUAUUGUAUAGUGGAAUUAUUAUCUCUCAUCUGUGUAGACAAGUUGCUAAACCACGUUAAAACCUCGAAUACCAUUUGUGUUGAUUUUUUUUAUCUUUGCGUUCUUGAUUAACGAUGCUUGCAUCAAAGCUUCUACCAACGUAACAAUGUGCAACAUAUUUGAUAUAACUUAUAUUUUCUUAAGUAAUUGAACACUUUUUCUAUAAAUUUACUUGAUUAUCAAUGAAUACCUACAUAUACGGUAUUGACAUAGUUUGAUAAAUAUUUUAAAAUAGUAUUAGAAUGGCUUUUCUUUUUCCCAAUUAACAAAUUUAUCAAAUAUAUACAUACACACACACACACACACAUAAUACUCAUUAGUAUGUCUUUUAUGAAAAAACUAUAUUUGUUUAUUUGAAUUUAGUAGCCAUUCAACUCCUUAGUUACUCAUAAACUUUUUAUCACCUUCUUAAAGUCAAGUCAUUUACAAUUAUUUCUAUCUAGCCUUCUCCAUUAUAACAACUUUAUAAGAUAGUGAUUGAUUGGAAGAAUCUACAUGCCUUUGUUGAUAGGAUAAUUGUUUUUCUUUUUUUUUCGUAUUCAAAGAAUCUUGCUUCUGUUAUUGAAACUUUCAAAUCCUUUAUGUCAAGUUGUCUUAUAAUUCCCUAUUCAUUGGUCUUUCAUAUUACCAAUCAUUUUGAAAAUGAGUUAAUUUCAUUCACAUCCUCUGAGAUUUGAUGUAAAUUCGCUUAGUUACCAAUGAUUUCAAAUUUCAUUAAUUAGUACCCCUAUAGAUGUAAUUUGUGUACAAAAUUUAUUUUUUAAAAGAGUUUAGGUAAAAAUAUUUUAGGUAUAUGUCUUUAACAAUUCUCUAAAAUAAAUUUUACUUGCUAAAAAAUAACUUAUAUAGAUAGAAUACAUCUACAGGAGUUCUAACUAACGAAAUUUAAAACUAAUGGUGGUUUAGUGUAUUUAAACUAAACAUUAGGAAGGGUGACUGAAAUUAACCCUCUAGGUAUAUAUGUUUAACAAAAUUUUUAUUGUUUAUUUUUCAUUUAAUGUUUGCAUUUUUCAAUAAACAUUGAAAAGGAAUUGUUUUUCCAUAUGUUAACAAAAAGAAAUUUGAACACCUAUAAAAAUAAAAUCUUGUAGCAAAAUUGGAGUUACAUUAUCAGACUUUUAAUGAGUGUUUAUGUUUAGAAAGACCAAUUAAAGCAAGCAUGCAUCUAGAAAUUGUAACUUAGAUGCAUCAAACAUGAGCAACAUAUUUGAUAUAACCAAUAGUUUCUUAAGUAACUAAACACUUCUUUUUCUAUAAAUUUACUUGAUUAUCGAUGAAUACUUACAUAUAUUUACAUAGUUUGAUAAAUAUUUUAAAAUAAUAUUAGAAUAACUUUGUUUUUUCUCAAUUAUAUUAGAAAAUAAUAUAAAGUUACUUAUAAACUUUAUAUCAUUUUCUCAAAGUCAAGUCAUUUACAAUUAUUUCUAUCUAGCCUUCUCCAUUAUGACAACUUUUAUAUGAUAGCCGUUGAUUGGAAGAAUCUACAUGUCUUUUUUGAUAGGAUAGUUGUUUUUAUUUUUUUAUUUUUUUUAUUCCAAAAAUUUGCUUCUAUCAUUGAAACUUUCAAAUCUUUUAUGUAUAUUACCAAUCAUUUUACAAGUGAGUUAAUUUCACUUAGGGUAGAUAUACUUAGCCACACCCCUAUAGAUGUAAUUUGUGUUUAAAUUUUAUUUUUUAUUUAGGUAAAAAUAUCUUAGGUAUAUGUGUUCAACAAUUCUCUAAAAAAUAAAUUUUCUUAUCUAAAAGUUUAUAUAGACAAAAUACAUCUAUAGAAGUCCUAAUUAAUGAAAUUUAAAAUUAAUGGUUGUUUAGUGUAUUUACAUUAAACCUUAUGGGGUAUGAUUGAAAUUAACUCUUUUACAAGCACUUGUAGCUAAUAUGUUUGUAGUUGUAGUGUUGGAAAUUGAUCAUUUUCUUGAAGGCCUCUAAGAUAUUGAAAAUAUUGCCAUAGUUUUAGACUUUUUUUUAUUACACCUAAUAAAAAAUAUUAUUAAUUUAACAUAUAUAUUCUUGACUUAAAAGUAAAGUCUCUCCAUAUUGUAUAAGCCCUUAGGUGGCAAUAUUAGGUGAAGUUUUUCUUUCGUUUAUUACAAAAUAUAAAUAAUUUAUUAUUGUAUGAUAAAAUUUUAUGUAAUAUAUUUUUAUAGAUGUAAAAUUAUUAAUUGGGUUUUUUUUUUACUAAAUUGUCAUUUCAAUAUAUAAAACUUAUUUGUAAAAAGACAAUUAUAAACUAUAUGAAAUUGAAAAACAUUUAGUUUUUUUAUUUAAUUUAGAAUUUUAUUUGGAUUAAUAAUUGAUAUUUGUAAGAUUUUUUAAUAUUAAAAAAAGUUAGCAUACUUAAGAAAGAUAUUCAAGAUCGGGAGUGUUUGAUAUUGGAUUAAUUUCCUUAUUUUCUCUAUUUUAAUAAAUUUUCACGUCCAUUACAAAAUUUUUGUUGUUUAUUUUUCACUUCAAUAUUUUUAUUUUGUAAUAGACAUUUGAAAAGAUUUUUUCCUACAUGUUAAAAAAAAAAAUAUUUGAACACUCCUAAAAAAGAAUAUUGCUAUAAAAUUAAAGUUUACAUUGUAGGACUAUUAGCAAAUGCUAUAUACUUAAAAUAGACCAAUUAAAGUAGAAAUACUUCUAAAAUUGUAAUUUAGGUAACAAUAAUAUAAAAAGAUAAUAUUUUUGAAACAAUAGUUCUCUUGGAGUUUUGGGUACGAUGGACUAGACUUUAUGUACAAUAGAUAUACAAACUUUCCAUUAACAUCUUGAGAGACAUGAUGAGGAGCAAAGUCAUCCAAGAAGGUACCAUAGAGGUACCUUAGCUCCAUUCAUCUAGACUACAUAAUGUUUAAAGAUCAAAUUCAAUGACUAGAUUUCAAAAAUCAAUAUAAGCUUUCUCAUAUUCUACUCUAUAUAAGACAAUGGUAUGAUACCUCUCUUGUGUCGUAGAAUGCACCAUGAAAACCUUAUCAUUUUAACAUCAGUUUGAAACUUAAAAGUCACUUAGCACAUUCUAGUUAUUAAUCUAAGAGCAUUAAAAGAAAAUAUAAAAAAAGUUACUUUAUCCUUGUGAUUUUGAUUUAGGACUUUUAAUGAUAUUAAAAAAAAAAAACAAAACAGAAAAAUAAAUGGAAAUAAAAUCAACAAAUUAAACAAUUGAAUUAAGUUAGUUUAAUUCUUGCAUCGUUAAAUGGGUAAAUAAAGACUCUUAGAUUUGAUAUUAAUAUGAACAUCAUGACUUCAGUGAAUCUUACAAGAAAAUUUUAGUUUGAAAGACUUCAUUCAUUAAACGUGUGGCACAUAUUAAAGUAAAACUAAGUCUUCUCUAUAAUUUGUACCUAUCAUAGUUUCUUUCCUUAUAAAUAGCCUUUUUUGAAUAUAAUAUAGACUUCAACAUGCAUGGUGGGGCCAAUCAAACUACUAGUCAAGACAACUCAUGGGCAACAACGAUGUACCAACUACAUUUAAAUACUCUUCAUCUAUUUACAUAUCAAGAGUAAUUUAGUAGUGUCUUAUUUAUGUACCUCAUAUCUAGACUUUCAAUGGAGAGUUCUUCAUCUAAAAAUUUGACUUGGGUUUUCAUACUAGUUUUGGUUUAGACAUGUGGAUGCAAAGGUUGCAUCAAAGAAGAGAAGUAGGCUAAAUCAUCUUACAAAUUUUAUAGUUCAAAUUAGAUGCACCAAACAUAUGCAACAUAUUUGAUAUAACUAAUAUUUUCUUAAGUAAUUGAAUACAAUUUUUUUUUUAAAUUUACUUGAUUAUUAAUGAAUAACUACAUGUAUGGUAUUGACACAACAUGAUAAAUCUUUUAAAAUAGUAUUAGAAUAACUUUGCUAAAAAAAAGUAAAAAUAAAAAUAAAAAUACAUCUAUAUAUAAAAUUAAAUUAAAUUAAAAAUUAAAAAAGAAUAUAUAUUCUCUGUGUGUGUGUGUGUGCAUGGUCCCACAACUCAUUAGCUACUCAUAAGCUUUAUAUCACUUUCUCAAAGUCAAGUCAUUUUGUAAUUAUUUCUAUCUAGCCUUCUCCAUUACGACAACUGUAUAGGAUAUUGAUUGGUUGGAAAAAUCUUCAUGUCUUUUUUUAUAAGAUAGUUUUUUUAUUAUUAUUAUUAUUCAAAGAAUUUGCUUUUAUUAUUGAAACUUUCAAAUCCUUUAUGUCUAGUGGUCCUACAAUUCCCUAUUCAUUGGUAUUUCAUAUUACCAAUCAUUUUACAAAUAAGUUUAUUUCACCCGGUAAAUAUACUUAACUACUAAUGGUUUCAAAUUUAAUUGAUUAACACACUUAUAGAUGUAAUUUGUUUUUAAAUUUUAUUUUUUUAGAAGAAUUGUAGGUAAAAAUGUUUUAGGAAUAUGUGUUCAAUAAUUCUCUAAAAACAAUUUAUAUAGAUGGAAUACAUUCAUGUAAGUUCCAACUAAUGAAAUUUAAAACUAAUGACAAUUUAAUGUAUUUGCACUAAAUCUUAGGGGAGGUGUACUAAAACUAGCCCUUUUACAAAUAUUUGAUAUGAAAUUAAUUAAUUAAUUUUUUCUAUUUAAAUAAAUUUUUGCAUCCAUUAAUAAAAUUUUAUUGUUUAUUUUUCACUUCAAUAUUUUUAUUUUGUAAAAUAAAUAGAAAUAAAAUCAACAAAUUAAAAAAUUGAAUUAAGUUAGUUUAAUUUUGCCACCUUUAAAUUGGUAAAUGAAGACUCUUAUAUUUGAUAUUAACAUGAACAUCAUGACUUUAUUGAAUCUCACAAGAAAAUUUUAGUUUGAAAGAUUUUAUCCUUUAAACAUGUGACACAUAUUAAAGUGAGACCAAGUCUUCCCUAUAAUUUGUAUCUAUCACAAUUUCUUUCCUAAUGAAUAGCCUUUUUGAAUAGAAUAUAGACUUUAGCAUGCAUGGUGGGGCCUAGCUAUCAAACUACUAGUCAAAACAACUCAUGGGCAAGAAUGAUGUACCAACUAGAUUAAGUAUUCUCCAUCUAUUUGCAUAUCAAGAGUAAUUUAGUAGUAUCUUUCUUGUGUACCUCAUUUCUAGACUUUCAAUGGAGAGUUUUUUAUCUUAAAAUUUGACGUGGGUUUUCAUACUAGUCUUGGUUCAGAUAUGUGAAUGCAAAGGUUGCAUCAAAGAAGAGAAGUAGGCUAAGUCAUCUUACAAAUUUUCAAGUUCAAAUUAGAUGCAUCGAACAUGUGCAACAUAUUUGAUAUAACUAAUAUUUUACCAAGCAACUAAAUACUUUAUAUAUAUAUAUAAAUUUAUUGAUGAUCAAUGAAUACCUACAUGUAUGGUAUUGACACAGUUUGAUAAAUCUUUUAAAAUAGUAUUAGAAUAACUUUGCUAAAAAAAGUAAAAAUAAAAUAAAAUAAAAUAUAUAUAUAUAUAUAUAUAUAAAUAAACAAAAUAAAAAAUUUAAAAAGAAUAUAUAUAUUAGUGGUCCCACAACUCAUUAGCUACUCAUAAGCUUUAUAUCAUUUUCUUAAAGUCAAGUCAUUUACAAUUAUUUCUAUAUAGCCUUCUCCAUUGCGACAACUGUACAAUAUAUUAAUUGAUUGAAAAAAUCAUCAUGUCUUUUUUGAUAGGAUAGUUUUUUUUUUAUUCAAAGAACUUUCAAAUUCUUUAUGUCUAGUGGUCCUACAAUUCCCUAUUCAUUGGUAUUUCAUAUUACCAACCAUUUUACAAAUAAGUUAAUUUCACUCGAUAAAUAUACUUAACCACCAAUGGUUUCCAAUUUGUAGCAUUCUUAUAGAUGUAGUUUGUUUUUAAAUUUUAUUUUUUAGAAGAAUUGUAGGUAAAAAUAUUUUAGCUAUAUAUGUUCAACAAUUCUCUAAAAACAAUUUAUAUAGAUGGAAUACGUUCAUGGAAGUUCCAACUAAUGAAAUUUAAAACCAAUGAUGAUUUAAUGUAUUUGUACUAAAUCUUAGGGAGUGUGGACUAAAAUUAGCCCUUUUACAAAUAUUUAUAACUAGUAUAUUUGUAGUUGUGGUAUUGGAAGUUGAUCAUUUUCUUAAAAGGUUUACCAUUGAAGUUAGUUGAAUAUAAAGUUAGGUGAACUUUACCAUUGUUAAAUUGGUAAAUGAAGACUCUUAGAUUUGAUACUAACAUGUACAUCAUGACUUCAUUGAAUCUCUCACAAGGAAAUUUUAGUUUGAAAGACUUCAUCUUUUAAACAUGUGGCACAUAUUAAAGUGAGACCAAGUCUUCCCUAUAAUUUGUAUCUAUCACAAUUUCUUUCCUCAUAAAUAGCCUUUUUGAAUAGAAUUAAUAUAGACUUUAGCAUGCAUGAUGGGCCCUAUCAAACUAUUAGUCAAGAUAAUUUGUAGGUAAGAACGAUGGACCAACUAUAUUAAAUACUCUUCAUCUAUUUGCAUAUCAAGAGCAACUUAAUAUUGUCUUUCUUUUGUACUUCAUGUUUGAACUUUCAAUGGAGAGUUUGUCAUCUAAAUAUUUGAUGUGGGUUUUUAUACUACUCUUGGUUCAAAUAUGUGGAUGCAAAGGUUGCAUCGAAGAAGAGAAGAUGGGUUUGCUUGAAUUCAAGGCUUUUCUUAAAUUGAAUAAUGAGCAUGCAGAUUUUCUUCUCCCUUCAUGGAUAGAUAACAACACUAGUGAAUGUUGUAAUUGGGAGCGGGUUAUUUGCAAUCCCACCACAGGUCGAGUUAAGAAGCUUUUCUUCAAUGAUAUAACGCGACAACACUUGGAAGACAAUUGGUACUAUUACGAAAAUGUCAAAUUCUGGUUACUAAAUGUCUCCUUAUUCCUUCCUUUUGAAGAACUUCACCAUCUAAACUUGUCUGCAAACUCAUUUGAUGGGUUUAUUGAGAAUGAAGGUAUGUUACCUCUCACCUUUAAAUUUUCUUUUCACUUAUACUCCAAACAUUCUAAAGGAACUACUAGCAUAUGUUCUUAAAAGUGUUCAGGUGGAGAACAAAUGGUCACUAGUAACUAUUGAAUUUAAUAUAAGAACAAUUACUAAUUAUUAAAAUUUAUAAUGUAAAUUAACAUUUAAACAGAACAAUAAAAAAAUUAUUAUUUUAGAAAACUAUAGAUUACAUUAGCCUUAUAUAUAUAAGCAUACUUGUUAUUUAUGUCAUCAUUUCACACUCAACCCAAUAAGUGGGAUUCAACUAAGAGUGAGCAAUUUCACAAUUAUUAAUUAACAGGAACACUUAGGCUCCCAUAUCCUUAUCAUUUUUGCUGAAUUGUCUUUCCUUAUCUUCCAUUCCUAAAAAGCUUGAUUUCUAUAUUCCAAAUUGAUAGAGAUUGGUUAAAGAAAGGUGAUCACAAAAUUUGACUAUUGCUUUCAAAUGAGGAAUCACCAUCUUCAAAAUUUCACAUUUACAAAAAAAAUAAAUAAAAUAAAUAAAUAAAUAAAACUAGCCUCGGGUAAGGUCCAAGCCUUAUUGUUUUAAGCUGAUGUCAGAUUGGUUUAAUAAUGAACAGAGUAAAUCCUAACCCAUGACCAUCUACGCAUUUCCAAAUUCCACCCAUCCACAACCCAUUAAUAUGACAUUUUCAGGGACAAAAUUUAAUCAAUUAAACCUAUUAGAUGGAUUCUCCAUACAAUGUUAAAAUGAAUAUAAAAACUUUAAUUCAAAAAAUAAUUUCCUUUAUUUAGUUAGGAUUCAAAUUAUAGGGGCACAAAACAUGAAAAUUUUCAUGUUUAAAAUUCACAAAGAUCACAAAAGCUCUUUGAAGCUCUAUGGACUUUUUUAUUUCUAACAUUUAAACACAAAAAUCACCAAAUUUAAUUAGAGAUUUGGAUGCAUAUUCUUAUAUUAAAGACAUGUAAGCUUACAUAUUUAAAUAUGAAGAUCUCAACUUGUAAUUACAUGCUUCUAAUUAAAGUUAUAUUACUCUAUUUUACAGGAUUUAAAGGGUUAUCAAGUUUAAAGAAAUUGGAGAUCUUGGACAUAAGUGGUAAUGAGUUUGACAAAAGUGCCUUAAAAUCUUUGGGCACAAUAACAUCACUCAAGACAUUGGCUAUUUGCAGCAUGGGACUGAAUGGAUCUUUUUCCAUUCGAGGCAUGUUAUAUGUCCACAUUGUUUCUUUGAAAUUAAGUAAAAUAUAUUUCUAACUUUUAAUGUUCCUUAGUUAAUCUCUCUUUUGAUUCAUGUUUGUUGCAGACUUAGCUAGUUUGAGAAAUUUGGAAGUGUUGGAUCUAAGCUAUAAUCAUUUGGAAAGCUUUCAACUAUUGCAAGGUACUUCAUUAACUUGCUAAAAAAACUUACGAUAUUUUGUUAUUAAAUUAAAGGUAAGAUUAACAAACAAUUUCUUCUCAUUAGUUACUUUUCUUUGUAAUAUCAUUAAAUUUGAUAUAAUGUAGUCUAAAUCAUCCUUUCAAUUUAUAAGUUUUAAUUAAAACGCAUCAAGCAUGCACAAGAUGUUUAAUAUAACUAAUAUUUUCAUAAGUAAUUGAAUUUUUUUUAUGAAUUAAUUAACUUGAUUAUCAAUAAAUGCUUACAUGUAUAAGAUUAAUAUAGUUUCAUAAGUAUUUUAAAAUUGUCUUACAACACACACACACACACACAAGGAAAAUGAAAGGUAUGUGAUACCUUUAUGCUAUGUUUGGUUCUCAAAAAAAAUUGAGGGAAAAUGAAAGGAGAAAAAAAUAGAGAGGAAAAGUAAAAGAAAAGAAAAGAAAAAAAGUGAAGAAAAAUAUAAAAUUGAUUAAAGUAAAUACAUUAUUUUUAUAUGUUACUUUAACUUGUUUCACUUAUUUUAAUUCUUCAAUGUAAAGAUGAAAGAUUUGAAAAUGCAUAAGUUUCUAAUUAUUUUUUUAUUUUAUUUUAUAGUUUUUACAAUACAACCAAACAUAAUAAAAUCAUUUUCUUUAAUUUUUUUUCUUUUCUUAAUACUUUUCACGAACCCUUAAGUUAUGUUUGGUUUGCAGAAAAUAUGAGGAACAGAAAAUAGAAAAGAAAAUUAAAAGGAAAGAAAAAGUGAAGUAAAAUAAAAAUAAAUUUAAAUUUAAUAAAUUAUUUUUAUAUGCUACUUUAAACUUAUUUCACUUAUUUUAAAUUAUUUAAACUCAUUUCUAAUAAAUAAUAAUGGAAAUUGUAGAGAAGUUUGUGUUAUUCAAGCUUUGCAAUGACUUUUCAAGGUGAAGGAAAAUAUUCUUGCUGAAAUUGAAGAAGGAAAUACCUUCUUAAAUAGCCUAUUGACCGAAAACACAUUACCCUAACAUAUACACACACCUUUAUUAUUUAUACAAUCAUUUAAUACUUAAUCCCGUUAGUGGGAUUCUAGUGGUUGUUUCUAUCUUGGUUUCCAAUAUUUCUGAUUGAUAGUGUUGGAUUAAUGAAAUAUCAUAAAUUUUGACCCCAAUAAGGACCAAUCCCUAUUAAAUGUAAUUGGGUUGACCUAAGACUAAAUGUUAGACCCAACUAAUAAAAACCCAUCUGUUUGUUGGAGUCUAAAUAACCCAGCCUUAGGUAGGGCCCAUGCCUUAUUAUUUUAAGAUGUAGUCCAACUGGUUUGACACUGGAUUGAGUAAAGCCCAACUUAUGAGCAUCUGUGCAUUUCCAUCCAUCCACAACCUACUGGCAUGGACAAACUUUGGUCAAUUAAACCUAUUAUAAAUGUAUACAAAAUUUUAAGUUCAAAAGAUAAUUUUUCUUAUUUAGUUAGGAUUCAUAUUAAAAAGGCACAAAGCACGAAUUUUCAUGUUUAAAUUCACAAAUAUCACGAAAGCUCCUUCAAGCUCUAUGGACCAUUUUAUUUGUAACAUUAUAUUACUCUUAAUUAUCAAAUUAACCAACAAAUUCUUCUCAUUAGUUAUUUUUCUUUUGUAGUGUCAUAAAAUUUGAUGUAAAGUAAUAUUGGUCAUCAUUUCAACUUUCAUGUUCCAAUUAGAUGCAUCAAGCAUGUGCAACAUAUUUGAUAUAACUAAUAUUUUUAUAAGUAAUUGAAUUUUUUUUUCUAUAAAUCAAUUAACUUGAUUAUCAAUGAAUACUUUCAUACAUGAUAUUGAUGUAGUUUCAUAAAUAUUUUUAAAUAGUCAUAGAAGUCUUUUAUCUGAUUCACUAGAAAGAAAAAUAAACUAUUCUAAUGAAAAUACUUGAUGAUUUGAAGUGAUUGCUUUUGAUUUUAUUUGAUUGCUACCAUUAUUAAUUGUUAGAAAUUGGCAACAAAUACCCAUUUUGCAUCACUUCUAUAUGCAUCGAGGGAAUGAAUUAUAUUUCAUAGAGCUAACAGGGCAAAACUCAUACUUUUGGAAUUAUGGAAAAGGUUGCUAGAAAGCUAAUUAACAAUUUAUAUUAUGAUUAAGACUAGUUGGGUUAGAAAUAAUUCAUAUGGAGAUUAAAAAAAACUAUGUAAUUUAGUUUAGUAGCUUGGGUGCUAUUGUAAUGAUUAAUGAUCUGCAACUUGAACACAUCUACUAGUGCUUUCUACUUGUAUAGCUAAAUUUAUGUUACCACUUUGAACUACAGUACUUACAUGAGAAGAAAGCUUUUCCUUAGUGAUAAUGCAAAAGAAAUUAAGUAUCAAUUUUUGUUAAACUAACAAGUGAUAGUUUAGAUAUGUUUUGAAUACACUUCCUUUCUUCUAUUUUUUUAUUUUGAAAAAAAAAACUCUUUAAUGAAAUAUAAGAAAUCUUAUAUGUAUAAAAAGUAAAGACUUAAACAAAAAAAUUCUUCAAAUUUUAAAAAUUUCGAGAAGUAUUUUUAAGAAUUUGUAUUUUUAGUAUAAUAAUUCCUAUAUUUUGUAUAAAAGCUUUUGUUCAAAAAAAUAGAAGUGUAUCCAAAUUAAAAAUUAAUGGUUAAAUUAAGAAUGUUUCUCAGAUCAAGGGAUAAUGAAAGUUGUAGAGAGUUUGCAUUACUCAACCUUUGCAACUACUUUUUGAAGGUAAAAGAAAAUACCUUCUUACAUAACAUACAAUGGCAAGUUCUGGUUUGUAAGAAACUAAUAAAUGAUUAAGAAUAUGAAUAAGACUUCCUUAAUAAUAGAUAUGUAGAGAAGAAUAGUGGAUGAUAGGAGGUGAAAAUCUUGUAAUAAAAUAUCAAUAUCGGUUAUAAGAUAAUCAACAUUUUCUUGUACCUAUGUGAUUAAGAAUCUUGUAGCUCCCUUAUUGAAAUAUAAUAUAAAAAUAUAAAUAAACUAUUUAGAAGUGCAUGUAGUUUUCAACAUGAGGAAGUUCAAAAGCAAGUUAAUUAUGAUAAUUUUCUAUAGUCUAUAUUGAACACAAAUUAUUUUUUCUAAAGGUUCAAUCGUUCUAUGAAGGUUAAAAGUUUGAAUUGUUUACAUAUGCAAAUGUGAAAUUUGAAAUUUUAUAAUGUUUUAUAAUUUUCUUGUAGAUUCAAAAAACUUGUCCAUAUUCAAAAAGCUCGAGACCUUGAACCUCAAUCACAACAAGUUCAAAAACACUAGCCUACAACAAUUGAAUAUAUUUACAUCCCUUAAAAAUCUUUCUCUAAGACGGAACUAUGAUGGAGGAUUUUUUCCGAUCCAAGGUAUGUGUAAUUAUUAUUAUUAUUUUUAAUGAUAAAAUAUUAGAAUUGUCAACAUCUUUUAUCUUUUUUCCCCUCAAUGGUGUUGCAGAAUUAUGCACUCUAGAAAACUUGGUGAUGUUGGACCUAAGUGGGAAUUUCUUUAUUGGCAUGCAAGGUAAAUACAAAGUGAAGUUUUGGUUAUAUAUAUAUAUCAUGUAAGAACAUAACUAAAAUCAACAUUCUUUGCCUAUCAAUUUGUGCAUGACUAUUAUUUAGUUAUUCUUCGUAACAUAAUUGAAAGAAUGUUUAGGUGUAUAACAUUUAAGAAUUUUACAUGGCACAAUGAAAAACAUGGUAAUCAAUGUAUGCAAUAAAAUUCUAAUAGUUGAAAAAGAAUUUUCUUGUAAUUUUAUGUUCGUGUAUAGUAAUCAAAGAGAAAAUCAUGAAAAUGUAUAUUAGUUAGACUUUAUAUAUCAAUAGACAAAAAAGAAAGAAAAAAGAUUAGUUCCUUAACUUAUCCUAAAAUUUUCUAGAUAACAAGGAGUUUUUUUAUUUUGGGCUAUAAGAUUUACAACCUGAAAAGUGAAGAUGAUUAAUAUUAGUAAUAUAAUUUUGAAAUAUAAAAAUUAAUGAAAUAAUGUUCUCUAUAACUAUAACUGCAACUGCAACUAUUAAUAAAAGAUAAUAAAAGUACUUUAGACUUUGAAUCCAUGGUUAGGUUUGCAAUUUUUUGAUGAUCAAUAAAGCUACAACUUAUGCUGCAAAAGGCUAUACAAAAUGUAUUAGGAGCAUUGCUAAGCUCAUUUAUCAAUAAAAGAAAUCCAGUAAUACUUUGAUUGGAAAAAACCUAGAAUCAUGUUUGAUAUAUAUAAUAGGAGAAGAAACAAAAUAACAAUUCCAUGGUAUUAGUUAGUUUGAUAUCCCUUUUGUUAUAUGGAAUAACUAUUCCAUUUUAAAAUAAUUAUUUCAUCUUAUCGCUAGAACAAAAAAUUUCAAGCAAUUAUAUGCGCUUUUGGGUUUCUUAAGAAUUUAAGCAUUUAUGGGUCACCCAUAUAUACAUAUAUAUAUAUAUAUAUAUAUAUAUAUAUGUAGGAAGAAUAAAAAAAAAUAUUAUACGGAGACAAGGGUAGACACCCAUAUAUAUAUAUAUAUAUAUAUAUAUAUAUAUAUAUGUAGGAAGAAUAUAAAAAAAUAUUAUAUGGAGACAAGGGUAGACACCCAUAAAUGUACAUAUAAUUAUUUAAAUAAAAAAUCAAUAAGAAACAAUAUACAACAAAAUAGAAAAUUUUAAUCUUCUUAAAUUUUAAAAAUAAAAACUAAAUGAAAAAAAAUUAAGAAGUAAAAAUAAUAAUAAAAAGGUCAAGAAUACAAAUAGAGAAGUAAACAAAAAAAAUACAUAAAUUAAAAUUAAAAUUUAAAAGAAAAAAUACAUAGAUUAAUAUGAACACUAAAUGAGGUUUUUUGAGAUAGACUUAGUUAGACCUGAACCAGAUGGAUAUUAAAAAAAAUAAAAAAAAAUUGAAAGAAAUAAAAACUAAUUAGAUGCUAAAUAUUGGAUUAAAAUAACCAAAUGAAUAAAGAGUAAUUAUUAAUUUUUAACAUUUUUUAUUCCCUAGAAUUAUUAUUUUGUGUAUUAAAUGUAUUCUGAGUGUAGUGGUAUAAAAAAUGUAGUUAAGAAUACUAUGAAGAAUAAUAAUGGUGAUGAUAAUGGUGACGACACUUAAUACCUUUUAUUGUACGUUUAGAAAAAAUGAGGUUCUUGAUCUUUAUGGAGAUUAUCAUUACUCAUCCGCAAGCAUGUUGAUAGUUGAAACUACUCAAUUAUCAAAAAUUGAAUUUCUAACCUUCAAUUUUUCUCUCUCAAAUGUAUAUGUGGGUGAGAAAGCACUAGGAAGAUUAUAAGGUCUCACAUGUAUAUGAGUCAUAGGAUAAAAAAUAUAGAGACAAUACUAGCAUUUAUUUGAUCUAGUGGCAAAUAGAGAAAUAUAAAAUAACCAUAACCAUAAUGUUCUAACCUUAUAUAUACCAGAACCAUGUUUCCUUCAUUCAAUGUUGCAACUUUUUCUUUUCAAAUUAGAAUGUAACUUGUAGGAUCCAUUGCCCAUCAAAAUUUUGAAUCGAAUAUUAUAAGAUAUUUCACAUUUCUACCUACUAAAGCAUGAGCUUCAAUGUUCUCAUGCACUUUUGGCUACUAAGUUAAAGAACCCUUUGAGGAUUAAUGGAGUUUCUAUGAGUAGCAAAGCAUUAUAAUCAGAAAGUCUUAUCAGUGAUAUGCAAUUUGACCAAGAACUUAUUCCCAACUAUUUUAUGAAUUUUAUGACUUUUCUUGGCUACUUGUAGGCAAGCUAAAGAAAUUUUCUGGUUUGUUCAAGUCUAAAAAGUGGUUUCAAGUUUAGGGCCAAGCUUGGGCUGCACCUAGGUCCUUGGGCCUUGUUCAGCUCCACGUUUAAACCAACCUUGAGUCCAUCUUUGUAAUUUUUCUCCCAAUUCAUUGAUUAAUAUUAGGAUUUUAUAGAGCCUAUAAAUUGACCAACUAAAUAAAGUAGGUUCAUAAACUUUUAGGUGAAAAUUUUCUCUUUAAUAAAUGUUAAUUCAAGAGUCUCCGUAAUCUUUUUAUAUUCAUAUUAAUUGGUAUUUAAACCGACCUUACUAUAUUAAAGUCAAAUACCAAAUAGUGAACACUAUAUCUACUACUACCACUAUGAUGGUCACAAACAUAGAAUGCUCCAUUUUUUAGAGUCAAUUGAUGCUUAUAAACAACUUUGUUUGAAAAUAAAACACAUCGAGUGAUUGCAUCAAGAGAUUGAUGUAAUAAUUGCAUACUUGAUCUAGAUAAUGUUAAUAUGAGUUGACUAAAUAAAUGAGUAUUUACUUAUAAGGUAGCCCAUAGAACAUUAUUUGUGGAAAUAUUCAUGCACCUCUACAUAUGUUCAUGAUAACUUAGGUUGAUAAAUUUAAGAAGAACAAAUUCAUAACCUUGGGCAUAGUUAGUAAGAAAUUUCACCAAUAGAGUUUGGUAUCAUGAUUCUAAUUGUUCAAAUUGUUUUAAAGGAGUAUUUUAAAUUGCAUGUUAAUUUGCUUCUAAUAAAUGGAGAGAAACCAAUUCAAGAAGAGAAUUGUACUCAAGCUAUGUAUAGCAUUCAUGAAGAUGUAGAAAAUAUUGAUGAACUUACUUUUGAGCAAGUUGAAAUCAUAAUUAAAUAAAAUAACAAACCCAAGGGUUAAGAUUGUCAAGUAAAACUUUAAUUAAAAUUUAUUGAUUUUUUAAAUGCCUAUUAGAGGAGCAAUAGAAGUUCUAGAUAGAAAGUAAGAACUUUUCUAAGGAAUCACUUGUUAGAUUUUAAGUGAUCAAUAAAUAUAAUGUCCAAUUUAAAACUUUUAUAAAAGCAAUGGUUCUAAAGAAUAACUUGAUUUGAAUUUAAAGUUAUUAUUGAUAUUUAUUUAUAAUGGAUGUAGUUAAUCAAUUGAACAUAGUAAAAAACACAUAAUUUUUUCAAAAUACCUUCUAAUUGUUGGGUAUAUUUAAGUAGUUAUUCAUAUCUCAUUAUCUUUUUACUCACAUACUAAUCUCCUUAUUGAGUAUUUACCAAUUACAAGUAGGUUGAAAGUUACUUGAAUUUAAGUCACUAAUCAAUGUUAACUUGAUGACAAAUAAGUCUCCCUUUGAAACUUGUUUUAUAACAUAGCGAAAUGUAGUCGAUCAAUCAUCAAAACAAUGUUUAAGCAUUGGGAUUUAGUUGUUAAUUUUUAUUUUUUAUUUUUUGUGCUUAAACAAAGACAAAAAUUAUAAAAACUCCUGAAAAGUACAUAUUAAUUGAAUUUAAUUUAUACAUCAAACAAGAACAAACUAGUCUUGGAUUUAAAAUUCAAUAGGUUUUGUAAUUAUAAUUCCUAAAAAUUUGUAAGACAACAAAAUUAUUGGACACUAGGCUAUUGGGUGUGUAUGACUAAGAGGUGAAGGAGGGUUCAUCUUAUACAAAGGAUGAUUUGAUUAAUUUUAAAGAUUGAAUAAACAAUAAUUGCAUAUUCAAGUAAAAAUAACAUUGCUAAAAAGGAAAAUAAGUAUUUUAGUCCUCAAACCUAAAAUGGCUAAAAAAUUUAAUUAAUACAAUUACAACUUCACCUACAAAAAAAAAAAAAAAAAAAUACCCAAAACUUUUCAAUAGCACAACUAAGUCCAUUUAUCAAAAGCUCUAUGAACAACAACAACUAUCAAAUCACAUAAAUCAUGUUGUUUACAAAGUGCCCUUGAUGUUUUAAAACAUAAGAUAUUACAUAAAAAUCAACCAAUAGUGUAUGACAUUAUAAAAAACAUAUCCAAAUCCAUUGUCGAACUUAAACUAAAUUCAACUUUAUAUACAUAGUCGCAAGUGGGUCUUUUUGUCUUUCAAUUUGGGUCAAAUUCAGAUGUUAGUUUUUUACACAACAAGGGAUUAUCAAGGUGAUAAUUCAUGCAUAUAAAUAGUAUUACUUAUAUAAAAAAAAUGGUAAAUGCAAUUUUUUUGUAUUCACUCACCAUUUGGCAUAUCAAUAAGAAAAAAAUAUAUACAAUAGGUGCUAUCAAUAAUAUUAUGCAUCACUAGAAAUUAUAAUUUUUCAUUUGUUAUCACUACUUGUGCACUUUGGAAAGCUUGCUAGGUACAACAAAUUAGCUCAGUGAAGAAAUUGAUCAAUUCCUUCAUUUCUAAAUAAAUUUGCAUAUACACUAGAAUAAAAACAACUUUUUAACUUAACAAGUUGACUGAGUCUCAGAACUUAGUAGGUUGAAGGCAUAGACUUCCAUCCAAGCUCAUUUACUGGCACCACAUGUUGGAAAAAUAAAGAAAAAUCAAAACACUUGAGUAUAGUUGCAAACCAAUCUAAAUAUAGAGUGAGAUCUACCUUUCUUUGAAAGUUUAGAACAAAUUUUUAUUUUUAUGAUAAGACUAUGCAGUACUUAUCCCUCUCUAACAAGUCUAUAAUCAGUCCAAAGCAUGGGAUAUUGCAUAUUUCUUGAACUCAAUUAGCCUUUAAUCCAUGCAUUUCAAGUAAAUUUAAAACCUGGUGUACUUGUUCUUGAUUCACAUCCUUGUCACUAUUAUCAUUACUUGUUCUUGAAUAUAGAACCUUAUUGUCCAUUAACAAGCGGGCCUAUGUUCCUCCAUGAUUCAAGAGUAUUAUGUUUUGUUCAUCAUCAGUUGGUCUUGCUCUAAAGCUUCUUUUUUAUGACUAUCAAUAACCAGACUUAGAUACCAAAAUUUAUGCAAGAGAGCAUGUACUUUAUACAGUCAAGAACUUGUGAGUCUAGACUUUGUUAUCUAGGUAAAAGAAUAAAUUGGUUUGUUAAAAUAGCUAGCAUUAGGUAUCUAUUCAAUUCCUAUCUUAGACAAUAAAGAUACAAAUGAUCAAAUACAUUCUUAUUAAGAAACAUUUGAUACCAAAAGUGAUGUAAGACAACACAGUUCCUCUAUUCAAUCAAGUUUAAGGCUUAGAUGAACCUAUGAAUUUAUAUUAAUUAAUUGGGAAAGAGAAUAAAUAGGCUAAGUAGAAGUGAUAGGAUUGUAAUAGCAUUAAGUUAAUGAUCUUGUUUAGGUCUUCUACUAAAUUAGAGAAGAAACAAACAAAAGUAAUCAAACGUGUUAGUGAUAAUUAUAUCUACUUAACAUUGAGACAAUAGUUGUACUAAUGGUAAUUAUAUUAUUUCUUGAGAGUUUAAACAAUAUAUAUUGAAAAUAUUUUUAAAGGUUUAGCAACUACCAAGGUUAUAAUCAACUACGAGCUUUUUAUUUUUAAAAAUAUGAAAUAUUAAUAUCUUUACUUUCUUUGAUCUUCUUGUAGGUUUUAAAAGUUUGUCUAAGCUGAAAAAGCUGGAAAUCUUAAACCUUCGUGAUAAUCAGUUCAACAAGACCAUUAUAAAACAGUUGAGUGGACUCACAUCCCUUAAAACACUAGUUGUAAGCUACAACUAUAUUGAGGGACUUUUUCCUUCCCAAGGUAUUGCUUAUUCUUUUAAUAUCCUUAGUAACCACUCUACCAUGAUUUUUUUUUUUUUCAAUUUUAUUUUCUUUCUUGAACCAUACAGAAUUAUCUAUUUUUGGAAACUUGAUGACACUGGAUUUAAGAGAUAAUAGACUCAAUGGCUCCCUAUCAAUCCAAGGUAAAUUCUAAUCAGAAUUAUCAUUAUAUUUAGGGCAUAUAAUAAAUUAAUUAAAUUAUUUUAUCUAUUAUCAUUACUUGGUUAUUUGGAUUUUCUUGAUAUUGUUUAGCAUUUUACAUAGGAAAAUGAAAUGGAAAAAUCAACCCAUGCUUAGUGUUUAAGCACUGGGCUAGAAGUAUAUUUGUCUUCCCAAUUUAAUCAAAGAGAAAAGUCAUAAAUAACAUAAUUUAACUUAUACCUUAUAUUGAUUGAAGAGGUUAGACUACUUUUGGAUUUAAUGGUCAAUAUUUGUUGAAGAUAGGGUUUCCUAAAUUUGAUAAAAAGAACUUCAAUUUAAAUUACCAUAACUACAUAAAGGUGUGACUAGCAUAAUUAAACUCUUUUAUUAAUAGAUGUUCAUAGACUAGUAUUAUAAUCCCACAUGCACAAAUAAUCAAAUUUUGAAAUUAGACUUCAAAUAACUAUGCAAUAUACGAAACUACAAAAUGAAUGGUAGGUCAUAAUUAAUUAAAUUCGUACUAUAUUCAAUGUUGGUCAACACGUGUCAAGUAAAAGUUUUGGCCUAAGUGUAAGGGCUCACUUGCUCCAAUAUAUAUGUUAUUCACUUUGGGUCAAGGCCUACUUUAAAAUAUCUAUACAUUUAUGAGAUAUUUUAAAAUGUAAAAUGAUAGGUUUUGAUCAUUUUUAAAGGUAGCAAACAUUUUAUUUUAUUUGUAUUUAAGAACAACGUCUUUUCUUAUACAAUGUUUAUUUAAUUUUCUUUUGAUAGAUUUUGCAAGCUUAAGCAAUUUGGAGAUAUUGGAUUUGAGUUAUAAUUCCUUCAAUGGAAUUGUUUCAUCAUCUAUAAGAUUAAAGUCUUCUCUCAAGUCUUUAUCCUUGGCUGGAAAUAGACUCAAUGGUUCUUUACAAUGUCAAGGUAGGAAACAUUUAAUUUUAUUUGUAUUUAAGAACAAUGUCUUUUCUUAUAUAAUGUUUUUUUAAUUUUCUUUUGAUAGAUUUUGCAAGCUUAAGAAAUUUGGAGAUAUUGGAUUUGAGUUAUAAUUCCUUCAAUGGAAUUGUUUCAUCAUCUAUAAGAUUAAAGUCUUCUCUCAAGUCUUUAUCCUUGGCUGAAAAUAGACUCAAUGGUUCUUUUCAAUAUCAAGGUACAUAUGUUAUGCUUUCUUUGUUUCAUAAAGAUUAGACAAGAUAAACAUUGUGAAAAAAAGGUUGUCAUAGUUAAUGUAAAAUGAUAGGUUUUUGAUCAUUUUUAAAGGUGGCAAACAUUUUAUUUUAUUUGUAUUUAAGAACAAUGUCUUUUCUUAUACAAUGUUAUUUUAAUUUUCUUUUGACAGAUUUUGCAAGCUUAAACAAUUUGGAGAUAUUGGAUUUGAGUGGUAAUUUCUUCAAUGGAAUUGUUUCAUCAUCUAUAAGAUUAAAGUCUUCUCUCAAGUCUUUAUCCUUGGCUAGUAAUAGACUCAAUGGUUCUUUUCAAUAUCAAGGUACAUAUGUUAUGAUUUCUUUGUUUCAUAAAGAUUAGACAAGAUAAACAUUGUGAAAAAAAGGUUGUCAUAGUUAAUGUAAAAUGAUAUGUUUUGAUCAUUUUUAAAGGUGGCAAACAUUUUAUUUUAUUUGUAUUUAAGAACAAUGUCUUUUCUUAUACAAUGUUAUUUUAAUUUUCUUUUGACAGAUUUUGCAAGCUUAAACAAUUUGGAGAUAUUGGAUUUGAGUGGUAAUUUCUUCAAUGGAAUUUUUUCAUCAUCUAUAAGAUUUAAGUCUUCUCUCAAGUCUUUAUCCUUGGCUGUAAAUGGACUCAGUGGUUCUUUACAAUAUCAAGGUACAUAUGUUAUGCUUUCUUCGUUUCAUAGAGAUUAGAGAGGAUAAACAUUGUAAAAAAAAAAAAGUUGUCAUAGUUAAUGCAAGCUAAAACUAAAAAACUUGCUUUUUCAAUUAUGUAAGCAUGUUUUGUUCUUGAUGAAUCUUUACAACAUUCAAAGUUACUAAUAUUUAUAAUUCAUAGAGACCUCAUUAACAACCACUAACAACUAAUUGUAAGUAACUAUGAAAAAAGUAAGGACAAAAAUGAGGGAAAAGCAAGGAAAGUGACAAAUUUUUUCAUCCCCAUAAAAAAUGCUAAGGAAGAAAAAGGUGAAGAAAAUUUAAAGAAAGUAUAUUUUUCAAAAAUUAAAUUUUCUUUCCCUUAAAGUUGGUAUGGACAACCAAACAAGAAAAUGAUUUUGAAAUUCUUUUUUGACUUUUUUCUUUCAUUUUUUUUCCUACUCUAUUUUCUUUCCCUCAAACUUUCUAGGUAGUAAACAUUACCUAAGACAAAUAGGGAAGAAAAUAUUUUAUCAUUUAUUUAUUUAGCAUUUUUCUUACAUUUUUUGUAUUUUAUCCAAAUAUAAGAAAACUAUUUUUCUUUAUUUUUUCUUUUCCUUGUUGCGUUUCAAGAAUCAAGCAUACUUUAAACUCUAAUUAAGAGUUACAUAGAUUUACGAAGAAACGAUGCAACUGGUAACAAAAAAUUAAGGAAAUUUAAUUUUUGAGAGUAAGUAUAAUGAGAUUGGUUUGUUUGAUACAAAAUUUGAAUAAAAAUUCUUUUAAUGAAAAUUCAAGGAAAGGAAAAAAAAAACAACUUUAUCUCUAGACUAUAAUACUAAAUCAAUUAAAAAAAAUCUCCUAACAUCGUUUAUGUUCAUCUUUCUUUUUAUGGAUUUGAAAAACUCAAUAAUUUGGAGAAAACUGAUUUAAGGAAGAAUAUUUUUUAGAGUAAAAGAUUAUUAUUUAAGAAUAUCAUAAAUAUUAUAGUCAUUGUUGAAUAUGAUAAAUGAUAAAUAAAAAAUAAAAAAUAAAUAAAAAGUCGUUGGAAAUUUAGAUACUUUUAUGGAAAGAUAGACAAAGUGCUCUAGUUUAUAAUACUAAUGCACUUUUCUAAUUUGAUAUGAAAAAAGGUAAAACGAUAGGUUUUGAUCAUUUUUAAAGGUAGUUUGUUUAAAUCAUUUUAAUUUAUUUUGAUUUAUGAACAAUAACUUUUAUUACACUAGUUAUUUUGAUUUUCUUUUGAUAGAUUUUGCAAGCUUAAGCAAUUUGAAGGUAUUGGAUUUGAGUUAUAAUUCAUUUAGUGGGAUCGUUCCAUCAUCUAUAAGAUUGAUGUCUUCUCUCAAGUCUUUAUCUCUGGCUGGAAAUGACCUCAAUGGUUCCUUACCAAAUCAAGGUACAUAUAUUGAGAUUACAGGUUUUUCUGUUUUCUUUUUUAAUAUCUUGUUUGUUCUUUAUGCCAAUGAAGUCAUGCAUGUCUAUUAAUUUUUGGUAUUUAAUGAAAAACUUUAUUCUUAAUUCAUAAAGACCUCAUCAACUGUGAGUAACAGCUAGUUGUAAGUUUGGGGGCAUUGACAAGACGAGGAGAUGAUUGGUUACAUGUCUUAUUCUCUUUUGUAGGCUUUUUCCAAUUGAAUAAGCUUCAAGAGUUGGAUCUUAAUUACAACUUAUUCCAAGGGAUCCUUCCUCAAUGUUUGAAUAAUUUGACAUCUCUAAGGUUAUUAGAUCUCUCUUCCAACCUAUUCUCCGAAAAUCUUUCUUCCACUCUGUUACCUAAUCUCACAUCCCUGGAGUACAUUGAUCUCAGUUACAAUCAAUUUGAGGGUUCAUUCUCUUUCAGCUCUUUUGCUAAUCACUCCAAGCUUCAAGUGGUCAUACUUGGAAGUUAUAACAACAAAUUUGAGGUAGUUGGAAGGGAUAACAACAAAUUUGAGGUAGAAACUAAAUAUCCAGUUGGUUGGGUUCCCCUGUUUCAGUUGAAACCUCACCGGUGACCUUCCUGGUUUUCUUCAAUACCAAUUUAGAUUAACGGCAGUUGAUCUCUCCCAUAAUAACUUGACAGGAAGUUUCCCCAAUUGGCUGCUUGAAAACAAUACGAGAUUGGAAUUUCUGCUCCUGAGGAAUAACUCUUUAAAGGGUCAACUACUUCUCCUAGGACCUAAUACCCUGAUCAGUUCGUUGGAUAUCUCACACAAUCAGUUGGAUGGACAACUUCAAGAAAAUGUGGCCCAUAUGAUUCCAAAUAUUUGGAAGUAUUCCCAAUUCAAUCUCUAGACUUCUAGAGCUAAGGAUUCUUUUGCUAAGAGGAAACCUUUUAAGUGGUUUCAUUCCAUAUCGACUUUGUCAUUUGACUAAAAUAAGCUUGAUGGAUCUUUCAAACAACAAUUUUUCUGGGUUAAUUCCUGGAUGCUUUGGUCAUAUCGGAUUUGGAGAUUUCAAAACUGAGCACAAUGUGUAUAUACCGAUGUUGGAUUCAUAUUCAGAAAGCAAUCCUUCUAUAUAUACGGGUUACUUAAUAAAAUAUUUAUUUUUCUCUAGUGAACUCCCUGAUAAAGUAGAUGAAGUUAAGUUUGUUACCAAGAAUAGGUAUAGCUCCCACAUAGUAGAUAAAAAUAUUUGUUCGGAAUUUAGAUAUUUUUAUAGAAAAGUAGACAAGUAUUCUAAUUUAUAAAAACAAUGCAUUUCUUUAGUUUGGUAUAAAAAAAUGAAAUGAUAGGUAUUGGUAAUUUUUUUUAAAGUAGCAAACGUUUUAUUUUAUUUGUAUUUAAGAAAGAUGUCUUUUCUUAUACUAGUUAUUUUAAUUUUCUUUUGACAGUUUUUGCAAGCUUAAGCAAUUUGGAGAUACUAGAUUUGAGUUCUAAUUCCUUAAGUGGGAUUAUUCCAUCAUCUAUAAGAUUGAUGUCUCAUCUCAAGUUUUUAUCGCUGGUCGGAAAUCACCUCAAUGGUUCUUUACAAAAUCAAGGUACAUAUGUUAUGAUUUGUUUGUUUCAUAUAGAUUAGAGAAGAUAAAUAUUGUAAAAAAAAAAAGUUGUAGUUAAUGUAAGUUAGAAAAAAGUAUCUUGCCUUAUAAAUUAUAUAAGCACGUGUUUGUUCUUAAUGAAUCUUUACAACAUUUAGAGUUACCAAUCUUUAUAAUUCAUAAAGACCUCAUAAACACUGAGUAACAACUAAUUGUAAGUAAUUGUGGAAAAGUAAGGAAAACAAAUUGCUUCAUUUGAUACAAAAUUCGAAUAAAAAUUCUUUUAAUGAAAACUCAAGGAAAGGAAAAAACAUUUUUAUCUCUAGAUUAUAAUACUAAAUCAUGUAAAAAAUCUCGUAACAUCAUUUAUAUUCAUAUUUCUUUUUAUAGAUAUGAAAAAUUCAACAAUUUGGAAUAAACUUAUUCAAUGAAGAAUAAUUUUUAGAUUUAAAGAUUAUUAUUUAAGAAGAUCGUAAAUAUUACCAUCAUUGUUGAUGUCUAAGAAGAUCAUAUUCAACAAUUUUUUUAAUAUGUUGUUUUCUAUGGUAAUUAAUUGAUGUCUUGUAAUUUUUAAUAUUUAAUGAAAAACAUUAUUUUAAUUCAUCUAGAGCUCUUAAUUCAUGAAGACCUCAUUAACGGUGAGUAAUAGUUGGCUGUAAGUUUGGAGUCAAAGACAUUUCAAGGAGAUGAUUAGUUACAUGUCUUGUUCUCUUUUGUAGGUUUCUGCCAAUUGAAUAAGCUUCAAGAGUUAGAUCUUUCUUACAACUUAUUCCAAGGGACCCUUCCUCCAUGUUUGAAUAAUUUGACAUCUCUGAGGUUAUUGGAUCUCUCUUCCAACCAUUUAUCCGGAAAUCUUUCUUCGCCUCUGUUACCUAAUCUCACAUCCCUGGAGUAUAUCGAUCUCAGUUACAAUCAUUUUGAGGGUUCAUUCUCUUUCAGCUCUUUUGCUAAUCACUCCAAGCUUCAAGUGGUCAUACUUGGAAGUGAUAACAACAAAUUUGAGGUAGAAACUGAAUAUCCAGUUGGUUGGGUUCCCCUGUUUCAAUUGAAGGCUCUUUUCCUAUCCAACUGCAAGCUCACCGGUGACAUUCCUGAUUUUCUUCAAUACCAAUUCAAAUUAGAGGUGGUUGAUCUAUCCCAUAAUAACUUGACAGGAAGGUUCACCAAUUGGUUGCUUGAAAACAACACGAGACUAGAAUUUCUAGUCCUAAGGAAUAACUCUUUAAUGGGUCAACUACUUCCCCUGAGACCUAAUACCCGUAUCCUUUCAUUGGAUAUCUCACACAAUCAGUUGGAUGGACGACUUCAAGAAAAUGUGGGCCAUAUGAUUCCAAAUAUUGUGUUUCUAAAUUUAUCCAACAAUGGUUUUGAAGGUCUUCUCCCAUCCUCAAUAGCUGAAAUGAGUUCCUUAAGGGUGUUGGAUUUGUCUGCCAAUAAUUUCUCAGGAGAAGUACCAAAGCAGUUGCUUGCAACAAAAGAUUUGGUGAUUCUAAAAUUAUCAUAUAAUAAAUUUCAUGGUGAAAUAUUUUCAAGGGACUUUAACAUGACUGGGUUGGAUAUUUUGUAUUUAGACAAUAAUCAGUUCAUGGGAACUCUGUCAAAUGUAAUCUCCGGAAGCUCUCAGUUAAUGGUGUUGGAUGUGAGCAACAACUACAUGUCAGGUGAAAUUCCAAGCGGGAUAGGUAACAUGACAGAAUUGAGAACAUUGGUCAUGGGCAACAAUAAUUUUAGAGGCAAAUUACCACCUGAGAUUUCUCAAUUGCAACAGAUGAAGUUUCUUGACGUUUCUCAAAAUGCUCUUUCAGGAUCUCUUCCUUCUUUGAAGAGCAUGGAGUAUUUAGAGCAUCUACAUUUGCAAGGGAACAUGUUUACAGGAUUAAUACCGAGAGAUUUUCUCAAUUCCUCAGAUCUAUUGACUUUGGAUAUGCGAGAUAACAGGUUAUUUGGAAGUAUUCCCAAUUCAAUCUCUGCACUUUUGGAGCUAAGGAUUCUUUUGCUAAGAGGAAACCUUUUCAGUGGUUUCAUUCCAAAUCAUCUUUGUCAUUUAACUAAAAUAAGCUUGAUGGAUCUUUCAAAUAACUCUUUUUCAGGGCCAAUUCCCAAAUGCUUUGGCGAUAUCCGAUUUGGGGAGAUGAAAAAGGAGAAUGACGUGUUUAGACAGUUCAUUGAUUUUGGGUAUGGAGGGGAUUCUCGUAAUUUAUAUGUUGGAUUCACGGUGAAAAAAUGGGAGUUCGAUAGUGAUGUAUAUGAUGAAAAAAAUGAAGUUGAGUUUGUCACCAAGAACAGGCAUGACUCCUACAGUGGUGACAUCCUUAAUUUCAUGUUUGGAUUGGACUUGUCAUGUAAUAACUUAACCGGUGAAAUCCCUCACAAACUUGGAAAGCUAAGUUGGAUUCAUGCAUUGAACUUGUCUCACAAUCAAUUGAAGGACUCCAUUCCAAAGAGUUUCUCCAAUCUUUCUCAAAUAGAGAGCUUGGACCUUUCUUAUAAUAAAUUAAGUGGAGAAAUUCCUCUAGAGCUAGUUGAACUCAAUUUUCUAGAGGUGUUCAGUGUGGCUUACAACAACAUCUCUGGUAGAGUUCCAGAUACAAAAGCACAAUUUGGGACAUUUGAUGAAAGAAGCUAUGAAGGUAAUCCUUUUCUCUGUGGGACAUUGUUAAAGAGAAAAUGCAACACAAGUAUCGAGCCACCAUGCGCACCAUCACAAUCUUUUGAAAGUGAGGCAAAAUGGUAUGAUAUCAAUCAUGUUGUUUUCUUUGCAAGUUUUACUACUUCAUAUAUCAUGAUCUUGUUAGGAUUUGUUACCAUCCUUUACAUCAAUCCUUAUUGGCGUCAUAGAUGGUUCAAUUUUAUCGAGGAAUGUAUAUAUUCCUGUUAUUAUUUUGUUUUUGAUAAUCUUUCCAAGUUAUCAGCAUAUUUGUAUAAUUAGAUACUUUUAAUUGGAUGAUGUUUGCAUAAUUAACUACUAUUUGUUUCCACUAGAUAGAAAGAAAUGGGAUGUAUAAUUGCUACAAGUUGAAACUUACAUACUUUGCUCAAAUUUUGACAUCUUUUGAUUUUAUUUUCAAGUUCCGUUAUUUUUUAUGUAUUGUUUAAUUCAAGAUUUAACCAUAUUUUGUUACUCUUAUAAAAACAAAUUCAAAUUUUUAGGAAGUUUUAGCAUUAAAAUAAUUUCAUAGUCAUAUUUUAAAAAAUAAAGAAGAAAGAAAAUAAUAAAUAAUUGGAAAAACAAUUCAAGGGAGUAUUAAAUUAUCAUCUUAGAAUUGUUUGGCAUAGUAUGGGAAUUCAAAAAUAAUCUUUCAAUUUGUUAGAAGCGUUUAUUUAUUUAUUAUAGCAAUGAUUGAAAUAUCAAUCACAAAGCAAUGUUUUCUUUUCUUUUGUAGGGCACUAACACUUUUUCUUUGAUCGUAAUAAUUGAUAAAUAUAUUACACAAUUAUUUGUUUUUAAAAAGGGAGGGAUGACAAAUAUAAUAACAUGUGAAAUAUUUCUAAAUGAUGGGAAAUAAGCCAAUCUAAUUAGGGUGCAAUAUUAUUCAUUUUAAUUUAUAUGAAUUUACUUAUUUUUAUUUGUAUCAUAUUUUGAACCAUUUUAUGAAAUUAAGGGAGAUUAAAACAUCGAGUUUCUUAUUUUAAUUUAUAUUUUUAAUAAUAAAGCAUGAAAUAUUUUUUUUUUUAAAAUCAUGAAUUUCUUUAAUUCCUUAGGAAACCAAUAUAUAAAAAAAUUGAAUAUAUUAUGAUUUUAUGUCCUAAAUCUCUAAAUUUGUUCAUCACGUAUUUAUUUUUAUAUUAAAUUUAUUAUUAUUAAUUAUUUAUUAUAUAUUAUUAUUUUAUGUUUAAAAAUGUCCAUAAAUAAUUAAAAUUAAUAAAUAAAAAAAAUGAAAUAUUAAAAAAAUUAAAUUAAAAAGAUUUCAUCAAACUAACAUAUUUAAAAAAAAAAAAAAGCAAAAAGAAGAUGGGGAUAUUAUAGAUGAGGGGAAAAAGAUAAAAAAUAAAUAAAAAUUAUGCGGUAUGAUAAUUGCCUCGUGUUAAAGUUAUUUUCUUUUAAAAAUAAUAAUUGUAAUGAUGAACUCAUUUGUCUUAUUAAAGUAAACAAAAAUGAAGAAAAAAAAAAAGUUGUAGUUGGCUAGAGGUGAGAGAGAGAGAGGAGGGUUUGAGUGUAAGUUUGAAAUAUUAAUUAUUUUCACUAAGUAGAUAUUUUGAAGGUUAUUUUCCCCAAAACACAUAUUCUUUUAAUAAAAAAUCAAAAUUUUAGAUUAUUUGUUCCUUUAAACUUUAGUUUGAAUAAAAUUAGUUUUAAUUAUUUUCUUUUUGGAAUUAUAUUUAACACAUUAUUAAAAAUAUAAAAAAAUAUUAUUAGGUUUUUAUGUGCUGAUUGGGUUUUUUAAAUACCCAAUAUGCCCUCCAAUCUACCACUUAAGCAUCCGAUAUGGCUAAAAAUAAAUUAAAAAAAAAAAAAAGGAAAAAAAACAAAAGUGUAUGAUCCUCUUUCUCGAGUCUUCACAUUUUCAGACACUGAACCCAAAUCAAAAUUAAUCCUCCAAAUUAAUUUUCACCUCGAACCCAAACCCUAACUGCUGCCCCGUUUUCUCCUCAAACAUAGCUAUCCGAAAAACCCUAACCUCUGCCUCGUCUUCCUCUUAUCCCGGAAACCUAAAUCCCGUGACCCUAACCCCUUCUCUUUCCGAAAACCCUCCGGAAUAGGAAGAUUCAUAAUUCUUCAGAAUUAAUUUUCACCUCGAAGCCAGACCCUAACUGCCUCAUCUUCCUCUCAUUCAUAUCCUAAAAGUAGCUUCAACAGUCAGGCCUGUAGCCAUGAAAGCCGUAAUGAUCGCCACUUCCGGUGAUCCCCAAGUUCUCCAAGUGCAAGAAGUCGAAAACCCUAAAAUUGGAGAU